rnacentral:lncRNA from 1 species
AAUGGUCUAACUAUCAAUUGCAGACGUUUAAUCAAUGAUUCUGCUAGACCGUCUUGAGUGUGAACAUGCACAACUGGAUGUUCAACUGUUAUACCAGUAGACAUACAAUAAUCAUUAAAUGUCUGAGAUGUAAAAUCACCAGCAUUAUCUAGAUGGAUUUUCUUUAUUGUAUAGUCUGAAAAUUGUGCUUUCAAUCUUAUUAUUUGAGCUAGCAAUCUCGCAAAGCCAUGUUGCGAGUUGAUAAUAAACACACAUGUGACCAUCUUGUAGAAGCAUCUAUCAAGACCAUAUAAUAUUUAAAGGGUCCACAUGCAGGUUGAAUUGGUCCACAUAUAUCACCCUGUAUACGUUCCAGAAACGCAGAGGAUUCAAUUCCAACCUUAACUGUUGCAGGUUAAAUUGAGCUUUCUUCUUUUUCUUCGUGCUGAUAACGUGUUGUAAAGAAAGCUCAAAAUAUAAGAAGAAAAAGACAAGAAAUAUGAUAGAGAAGAGAAUUUUUCUUAUUCAAGUGUAUCUUCCAAAUGGUGAGUGAUUCUCUAUUUAUAGUGUUGAGAUAUCACUUCAAAAGUCAUCUAAUUAAUAGAUACAUAGUUAUCUUGGAAGUUCUUAUCACCUUGAAAGCACCUAUACAUAAACCCAUUUAAUAGUGGAUAAAUCUAAUAGAUAAUCCACAUAUACUAUACAAUGAAUUUACAAGAAAUCUCAUAAUAUAAGAUGGAAAUCCAAAAAAUAUUUAAUGACUUUCAUUUCAUUAAUCUUUAAAAUAAUAAAUCCAUUAAUCUCAUUAAUAAAAGACGAAAAUAUAUCUAUUUAGUUAGGUAAUUGGAUUAAUUUCAUUUUAUUACUAUUAGAAUAAUAUAUUUAUUAAUUUUUUUUUUAUAUCUAAUGUGAUGUAUCAAACAAACAAAAUACUUAGAUAAUGUAUGUACAAUUGCACAGAUACAUUUAUUAUCACAUACUAACCUCUUAGAUACAUAAAAAUAUUAAUAGACUUUGAUAAGAUGAACAAAAAUAGAUUAAGAUGUAUCAUAAAUACAUACAAACAUAUCAUACAUACAUGCUAACCGCUUAUUCAGUAUGAACAAGUAAACUAUGAUACAUGGUGCACAAGUACACUAAUAUGGAUUAUAUAUUAAUUUCAUGUAUCUAUUAUGCAUAUCUUGUAUAAAUUUCAUAUAUCUAUUUAUAUGUAUAGUAUUAAUGUAAUCGAGUAUCAAUGUCUAUGUUAUAUCAAAAAAUGUGUAUGUAUCAUUAUAAAAACUUUUCGCUGUUAUAUUUUGUGUUUUGAUGAUCCUUAUAAAUUAAGGGACUUGGUCCCAAGCUAAGUUCUCUCGUCCUGAUCUAUAAUAAGGUACAAUUGUAAAAUUGUCGUGUCAAGGUUGGUGAGGCGUCCACAUACUACACCAAUCAGAAUGAACGAGGGUGUUUGUCCAACAGAUAAUAACUCUUUAUGGUUGAUAUUUUCAACAUAACGAACACCAUAUUAAAUUCAUUCAUUUAAAGAAGGAAGUCAACCAGCAAACCUCUCAAGAAUUCAUAAAAAAUUUCGCAAGGGACCUGGUCCCUGCAAGACUGCGUAUGUGAAAGCAUGACAAGACAACUGUUAGAAAAAUUACCACCUCUGAUGUGGUAGGUGCAUGUCCUUUCAGAGAGGCAGACUCUCAGCCAAUGGGCGGUCCCAAGUAGUUUGUGUUCAUUUUGAUAUAAUCUCUUAAUGCAUAACACAAACUCAAGAUUUGGCAAACAAUAUUCUUAUGCUUAUUGUUUAUGACCAUAUGAAUGAAUGAUUGUACACUCACGUGGGAGUUAUGCAGGUUGCUUUUCAUCAUCAAAAAGAGGGAAAUCGAUAAAUGUUUAUGCUCUUAGAUGUAUUGAUGAUCUCCUCACAAGUGCGGGGACCUGUCAUCUACAGAGUAUGAAACUUGUCCAGUUGUCAAAGUGUUGUACAGUUGUAAAACCUAUCCGCAUCAGAAAGUUAGUGAAGCAGCAGAGUACUUCACCAAUCAGAAGCGACGUAGUUGUUUGUUUGAUGGGUAAUAAAUCUUCAUAGUAUAUAUAUCAAACAAACAACAACAAUAUUCAUUCAUUCAUUUAAAUAGAGAUAUUAUCUAGCUUCAAGAACAAAAAGGGAACUGAUAGAAGUGCUUUCAUUGCUUUUUGUACUUGUUACAUUCGCUUGCUUGUAAUUGUUCUUAUAUUGUAGGAUUCGUUUCAUUUGUGAAAGAAACAUUUCAAACAUAGGUUAAUCAUUGUAAGGGCUAAGUUAAGGGUAACUUAGGUUCUUACUCUAAGUACAUAUUAAUCAGAUAGGAUUAAUAUAGAGAGCGGUGUUGUAUCUGCUCAGUCUCAGUUAAGCGAUAUGUAGUAUUACUUAGUGGAGAGUUUAGCAGGCUAAUCUCUUGUUGUAAUCGUCUUUUACUUUUUCUUGUUGAAGAUUAGUGAAAGCGGUUUGAAAAGUCCUACUGAGAACGGAUCGUGGUUUUAUUCCCUUGAGCAAGGAGGUUUUCAUGUAAAGUUACUUGUCAAUAUUUACUUUCGGUAUUUGUUCUUUCCCAUUUUGAUAAGUGGACAUAUACAUUCUAUCAAGUGGUAUCAGAGCUUGGACUCUCUAUUUGGUUAGAGAGAGAUUCUUGCAAGGACUGUCAACAACAGUGAGCGUGCAAAGAAAACAGUCUCCACAAGGCCACCUCUUCUUGAUGGUCAGUUCCAUAGAUGGUGAAAUAUUAGAAUGAGAGAUUAUCUCAUGGCUGAGGACACUGAAGUGUGGCACGUAAUAUUUGAAUGUCCUUAUGUGCCAACCAUGGAUGUUAAGGUUGUAGAGAUAACACGAGUCAUCCCCAAAACUAGAAAACAAGAUAAUGACUCUGACAAGCAAGUAACUUGGAAAAAUUACUAAGUCAAGAAGCUGCUUAUGUGUGGCAUUGGAAUGAAAGAAUACGAUCUUAUUUCUUCGUGCGAAUCAACCAAAGAAAUUUGGGAUCUGAUGAGAACUACUUUUGAUGGCAUUGAGGAAACAAUGAAAUCUAAGCUAGAUUUCUUUACUCCCCAACUCGAAAGUUUCAUCAUAGAAUAAGGUGAACCUGUUCAUUAAAUGUAGACAAGAUUCUCCGCCAUCCCCAAUGAGCUCAUGUUUCUUGAUGAACCUGUCCUGGUGUGCAAGCAAGUCUCUAUGAUAUCGAAAAUUCUUUCCAGAUCUGAUGAGACAAAGGGCCCUGAACAGGAGACUCUAAAUACUCUAUUUGAGCUUCUUCAAGAUAAUGAGUUGCAUAGAAAAAAGGAGUGUCUCAUUUUGAAGGGCAAAGACAAGAGGACAGAUCUGAUUGAUUGAUGAGUCUGACUAGAAGAAAGAAAAUCAUGAAAAGGCUACCAGCUCAAGGAAAGAGUGUCACAAGUGUAAUCAACCAGGUUACUCCAUUGGAAAUUGUCUUAUAUACCAGGCCGACCAAAGAGAAUAUGUCAAAACUACAGAAGGUAAAAACAAAGAGGGGAACCAGGUCCUUCUCAAGAUAAACAGAAGAGAAGCUUUCUUUAUGUUGGUAAAGAAGGAUCUGGCUUCAUGGGAAAAUUCCUCAAAUGAUGCUUUCAUGGCAAAGUCAGAUGAAGUAGAUGUUGAUAAAAAGGUAACUCUAUCCUAUUUCAAACAAAACUUGAAUACCUUUUCUACUAAUAAGUUGAGAAAUCUAGCUGUUGUAUUACUUGAUUUGAUAAGCGAGCUGACAAAUUAAAAGGAUCUCGUAAACAAUAGUCUAGACAUCUUUCAAGAUGGAAAAAUUUCUUUAGUUUGCCUAACUAUCUGAUAUUGAAAAUCAAAUAGUUGUUCUAGAAACUAAAAAUCUACAAUUGAAGGAAAAGAUAACAGGGGCGACUACUACAUUUUUUAAAGGAAAGAAUGAGGCCAACAACUUGCAGUUGAAGCUUAAAGUUAAGUUGCGCACUGCUGAAAUGAAGAUGAAAUUGGCUCUGGAGAGAAAUCGUGUGCUAGAAAGGGACCUAUUCCAUGUAAAAGAGGAAUUAAAAAAAUCCCUCAAAUGGACCAUUCCUCUAAGAUUCUUACAAAUCUAAUCGGUCAAGACAACAGUAGAAGAGGGAUGGGCUGUGACAAGAUAAAAUGCUCUUACAAUCCUCAAAGAAAAAAUGUUGCCGAUGCUAAUAAUCUGCUGUGUGUGAAUUGUGGUCAAGAUGAACAUCUUAAGAAAGAUUGUCCAAUUUUGAAAAAAUAUGAAGGAAGUUUGUCAAACUAUUCCAAAUAGUAGAAUAGACUGAGGAAGGGACCUAGUCCUACUUAUGGUCCUAUGAUGAAGAAAAGCAGUUUGCCUCACUGGACAAGAAAUUUUCUUGUCACUCCGUUAUCUACUUACUGGGAACUUCGACUAAAGUGGGUUUCCGAAGCUAAAAAGUGAUACGGUAUGGAGGUGAGAUGAAGUAGCAGCAGUCUGUGGUGGUUCAUGAAUAAGCAGAUGCUCCAAGCACGUGACUGGGAAAACGGAAAAAACUUUCUCUCUUUCAAGGCACUUCAAGGUGGAGGUGUCUUAUUUGACAAUGAGAAGAAAGGGUAUUUUUGGGGGGAAGACAUGUUUGGAAAAUCUAUGGAACACACUAUUUAGGAUAUGUACUAUGUCAAUGGUUGAAGUAGAUCUUUAAGUGUUUAGGGUGGCAAUUUCAGCUCAUAUUAAUAAAACAUGUCCAUUUUGACCAUAUUUAAUGACUUGGAUCACUUAUAUUUUAAUUGGUUAAAUAUGAGCUUCAAACUAUUUUAAGAGUCUUUACAAAUAUGAUCAAAAUGGAUUAAAUAUGGGUAUUCAUAUUUGACCCAUAAUAGAUCACUUAUUUUCACUUCCACUUUCACUCAAUAUUCUUAAUUGUUCUAAAAAAUAAAAAAUUAAAUAUUAUUUUUUCAGAAAUAAUUUUUUUUUUUUUGCAAAAACAAAUCUUUUUGUUUUUGAAAAAAAAUUUAGGGGUAGGUUGAUGGAAGUUGGAGGGGGGAGGGGAGGCGAGGUAGGGGGUAAAUUUUUUAGUUUUUUUUGCAAAAUACAUUUUUUAAUAAAGCAAAAUAAUUUAGGGGUAGGUUGGUGUAAGGUGGGGGAGGGGGUGCGUUGGGGCGGGGGUGAGGGGGUAAAAUUUUUUUUUAAAAAAUAAUUUUUUUUUCGAAAAGCAAAAAAAUUUAGGGGCAGGUUGGUGGAAAGUGGGAGGGGGGGGGGCACCACGAGGGGUGGGAUGGAGGUAGGGGGUAACUUUUUUUUUUUUGAAAAACAAAAAAAUUUAGGGGUAGGUUGGUGGAAGGUGGGGGGAGGGCGGUCCGGGGGGUGGGUGGGUGGGGUUAGGCGGAGGUACGGGGUAAAAUAUCUUUUUUUUGUUUUUGAAAAAUAAAAAAAAAUUAAGGGUGGGUUGGUGGAAGGUGGGGGGGGGGGCCCUAGGGGGUGGGGGUGCUUGAGGGAGGAGGUAAUUUCUUUAUUUGAAAAAUAGAUUUUUUAAAAUGGGUUGAAACCAUUUUACCCAAACCAUAUUUGACCAAAUCCAUAUUUGCCCGUAUUCUAUUUGGAUGGAUUGUAAUCCAAACCAUUUUUGCUCAAUCCAUUCAAAUCAAUCCGCUCCAACCAUUUGCCACCUUCUGUGAUGAUUGAAAUAAAGUUAAGUUGUUAUCAGAAAGAACGUGUGGUCACAAACUUGAUCUUGCUUUCUUGGGCGAUGAUCUUGAUAGAAAAGAGAUGAAAGAACAUGCAUAUUGCAGAUCUGAAUAUUGCUCGUAGUGACAAUCACACUUGCCUUGCUCAAGACGAUAAUGCUGAGUUAUAACACAAAAAAGAUGCUUAUGUGGGUGUUGCUCUGCUGCACAAACUUGUCAGAGGGGAUUUGGUCCCCAGACUACACAAAAUGAAAUUUUCAGAUGACAAAGGUUGUGAUAAUGGUGUUAAAGAGAAGCAUAUCUGACCAUCCUUCAGGUAAAAUAUGCAGACUUUUAAUCUUACAAGAACCCUCGGGCUGAAGUGAUGAAUGUAACACUUUUUAUGACAAAAAUGAUGAUAUUGAGUAGUGUAAUCUCAAUGAUUUUGAAAGAGUAUGUGUGGGAUAAUCUUCCUCCAGCAAGGCUUAUCUGGUGUAUAAAAUGUUUGCAUUGAAAAAGAUUUUCAUGAUGAGUCUUGAAGAAUUGAGAAGCAAAUUGCAAAACAAAGAAGAUUCUGAGAUGGAAGAGAUGUUUUAUAUUCAGAGAGAUGAUCUAAACUAUGAGCUUGCUGAAGAACAUCCUCUUCAUAAAUCCAGCAAUCUGAAAGAAGAUGAUGCAGAUGAUGAACAUGAUGAGGGACCCGGUCCUAUAUACAACAUUAAACAAAAAUUAUGUAGUUCAAACUGAUAAUGUGAAUGCAGAAGAUGAGAAUGAAAAAGCUGAUUAAGCUAAGUUUGCAAGAAGCAAUGUAUGAUACUCGGUUCCCCCAAAAGCUGAUAAGUUGUCCAAAUUCUUCUUCAAUAAUGUCUUCAAAAGAGGUAAAAUUGUCAAAACCCUCUUUUUGAAUAUACUAGGAAAGGAAUUGCUGACUGUUCGGGUACAUAUUAAUCAUGUCAUCUUUGGAGCUACCUUUUGAAUUAUUUUGUGAAAAUUUGUUGCAUUUAUGGGUAAUGGGUUCUAAAUAAGCACGAUGGGAGAUUUCCUCUUAUAUCUACAGAUUCAGCUAAACUUUAAAGGUAUACUCGAUUUUCCAAAAAAAUACAUCAAUGAGCUGCUCAAAAGGCUUAAAAUACUUGAAGUCAUGACAAUGUUUAAAAUUUGGUAAUGUCAUUAUGGAGUUUCGCAAAAUGAAAGAUCAAGUGGCUGACAUCUUCACACAAGGCCUAAGCAAGGACCAGCUUGUUAGGAACAUGUAUGUACUCACAGUGACUUAGCUGAAGGGAAGAAGAUAGCACAACUUGAUCAGGGCAAUUAAUGUAUGAACAAAGAAAGGGACCUAGUACCAGUUCAAUGAAGGUCCUGAAGGUUUCAUGCUAUGAGUGCCUAGACAUAUCAUACUCUCUUGGGUACUAACUUGAAGCUGGAUGCUGAGGAAUCGGGUUCAAAGACACUACUCAUAUUCGAAGAAACCACUUUUGGAGGCUGCUAAUAGAAUCCGAAGAUAUUUGAAGAAGACAGGGAACCUGGUACAAUUUUGUCCAUCAGGAGACUUUUUGAUUUGGGUACAUGGUGAUGUUGAUUAUGCUGUGUAUCAAGCUGAUGGAAAGAGUACCUCAAGAGUGGAUUAUGCUAUAGGCUGAUCUUUCACUCAUGAGGAGUUAAAAGGCAAGAUUCAGUUGCUCUUUUAUCAGUUGAGGUAGUAAAUGUAGCAAGUCCAGCUUGAUAGACUCAAAUCUUGUGGACGAAGAAGCAGCCUGAAGCUCGUAAAACCUGGAUGAAAUAAUCAAGCUGAUGAUGGAAAUGCUAAAACUUUCUUGAAUGAAUCAUGCCUGACGCAAUAAACUCUCUCAUGACUAUGCAAAGGGAGCGGGUAUCCUUGUUUUUCGUUAUGUAUGUUUUAGCAAGUUCGGUCUUAUACGUUUGUAGGUGUACACACGUGGAAAAGGGACUGAAGAAAAAGGGAGGUCAAGACAGAUCUAGGAAAUCACAUUCAAACAACAGAGAGAGACCUGGUUCUUCUCGAAGGUUACCACUGUUAACAUUGCAGUUUGAAUUAUGCAUGAGAACCUUGAAAUUGUCACAUGUCUUUCAUUCAGGUAUUUGAUCGUUGUCCCAUCUCUUGAAUACCAAAAUGGCACUUUCUUUCACAUAAUAUACCAUUUCACUUUCUUUAUAUUCCAUAUUCCUUCCAUAUCCCUAGAAAAAUCAAUUUACCUUCCAAAUAUAAGAGUUUUUUUAAACCCUCUUUUUUCCUCUCUAGAAAAAUGCUUCAAAUUGUUAAAUCAUUUGUUCUUACUAGAGAAUUUUUUGAUGAAGAUGUUUUUAAGUGUGAAAAGGGACCAGGUCUCCCAAUAAAAUGAAGAAGUGGAAAAGACGAUGUUCAAAAAGGAAAAAAAGUUGAUAUUCGAAGAACUCAAUUCUGAAGAGGAGGGUGUUUAUUUUUUUUUUAAAAAAAACUAAAAAAUAAAUGAAAAAAAGAAAUUUUCUUUUUGGUUCCUCAAUUGUUGAUCUAUUCAUCUGGAGGCCUUGAGUAGUUUGUUUUACCAAUCUUUCUGUUAUGAGAAACUCAAGCCAAAAUCUGAAGUUAUGAUAGUAUUAUUGCUAGCAGAGUUACUGAAAUGGUUUGCGUGCAAGCUCAGCUUCUGAAAUAGAACUAUCUGAGGGACCAGGUUGAAUUAAAAAUAAUGGCAGCUCUGAAGGUUCAACAUAAAGGUUGGGCAACACAACAUGCUGAACGUCAAGAGAGACUUUAGAAAAUACCAUGCUAAGGGAAUUGUUCUACUGAUCUAUUCUUGAAAUCCCUUGCCACUAAGUCAUCCCUUCUCUCCCUAAAUUUCUUUGUCAAUCCUCAUUCCUCUUUCUCCAUCGAAAAUAUGUGGCAUUGUCAUGGUUUUCAUUCGUAAUCACUUUUGUAAUGCUUUGAUGACUGAUCUUUUAUUUAUGGAUGAAAAAAUGUCUUGUUUCGACUAACUUGUCUCAAUAAUUUAUGCAUUUUUACUCAUACUCAGUGUUACCAAAGUAGCCAUGAAUUUUCGUGAACCGCAUUUAUGUCAACUUCGUUUACAAUUUUAACAUUUUUUAUGAUGUCAAAAGGGGGGAAAUUGUUAUGGUAUGAGAUCAAUGAUGUUAGCUAUUUGAAACAGACAUGGGGCAUGCUGAUAGGGGGAUCAAUUCUAGAUACUUGAAAAGGACAUGACAAUGCCGAUAGGGGGAAGAAGUUAUUUGUCAUCAUCAAAAAGGUUGAAAAUACUACUUUGAUGUUUUGAUGAUUUGGAAAAAUUUGGGAAUGAUGAAAUUCAGUUACCCAAAGAGUUCUUGUUGAUAGGGGUAACUGGUGAAUAGGUCUAUUAUCAUCAAAAAGGAGGAAAAUGUUGUUCAUAGUUGAUAUGAAGUUUUGAUGAUUCAACAAACUUAGCGAUCUAACAAGGAAUCAGAUCCUUGUUACUGGGACUGGUCAUAGUGAAAUGAAUGAUAAACUUAGUGUGAGGUAUAUUUGUGUGUUAUCAUCAAAAAGGGGGAAAAUGUUAUAUUCUAGGUGUUUUGACGAUCCUCACAAAUGAAGGGAGAUGGUACCAAGAUGAGUUCUCUCGUCUAGAUCUAUAAUGGGGUACAAUUGUAAAGCUGGCGUGUCAGAGGUUGGUAAGGCGUCAACAUACUACACCAAUCAAAAUGGACGAGGGUGUUUGUCCAAUGAAAAAUAACUCUUUAUGGUUAAUAAUUUCAACAUUGACGAACACCAUAUUAAGUUCAUUCAUUCAAAUAAAGAAGUCAGUCAGCAAGCCUCUCAAGAAUUCAUAAAGAAGUUUGCAAGGGACCUGGUCCUUGCAAGACUACGUAUGUGAAAGCACGACAAGACAGCUGUCAGAAAAGCUGUCACCUCUGAUGUGGUAGGUUUACGUCCUUCUAGAGAGACAGACUCUCAGCCAAUGGGUGGUCCUAAGUAGUUUGUGUUCAUUUUGAUAUAAUCUCUCAACACAAAACACAAACUUAAGAUUUGACAAAUAAUAUUCUUAUGCUUAUUGUUUAUGGCCAUAUGAAUUAAUGAUUGUACACUCACGCAAGGAGUAAUGCAGAUUGCUUUCAAUCAUCAAAAAGAGGGAAAUUGAUAUGUAUUUAUGCUCUUAGAUUUUUUGAUGAUAUUGCGGGGACAUGGUGCUAUGCAGAGUAUGAAACUCGUCCAGUUGUCAAAGUGUUGUAAAAGUGUAAAAGCUAUCCGCGUCAGGAAGUUAGUGAUGCAGAAGAAUACUUCACCAAUCAGAAGGGACGAGGUUGUUUGUUUGAUGAGUAAUAACUCUUCAUAGUAUAUAUAUCAAACAAACAACAACAAGUUUUAUUCAUUCAUUCAAAGAGAGGUAUUUUCAAGCUUCAAGAACAAUAAGAGAACUGAUUGAAGUGCUUUCAUUGCUUUUUGUAUUUGAUGCAUUUGCUUGCUUGUAAUUGUUCUUAUAUUGUAGGAUUCGUUUCAUCUAUGAAAGAGAUGCUUCAAACCUGGGUGAAUCAUUGUAAGGGCUAGGUUAAGGGUAACUUAGUUUCUUACUCUAAGUCUAUAUUAACAGGGUAGAAUUUGUAUAAAGAGUAGUGUCGUAUCUGCUCAGGUUCAACUAGGUGAUAUGGAGUAUUACUUAGUGGAGAUAUUUGCAGGCUAAUCUCUUGUUGUAAUCCACUUUUACUUUUGCCUGUUAAAGAUUAGUUAAAACAGUUUGAAAAGUAUUGUUGAGAACAUGUCUUGGUUUUCCUCCUUUGAGCAAGAAGGUUUCAACGUAAAGUUACUUGUCAAUAUUUACUUUCGGCAUCUGUUCUUUAAUGUUGUGUUAUUUAUGUAUUGAGGACCUGAUCCCAUCUAUAUAAGUAGAUGCAUACAUUCCAACACUCGGUAAUGUGAGUGUAUAUAUAUCUCAAGAACCAUUGCUGGAUCCAAGCAAUCUCUUGGCCCGACUAAAGACUCAGAGGAAGACUUACUCAACACAAAGAACUUUAAAACUAAAAUUUUGGACCUGAAUAUCUCAAAUGAACAACUCAAAAUAUAAUAGAAUAUUCAAUUAGCCAGAAAUAGACAACUCAAGUCUUUAAAACAUUUUACAAAGAAAUGAAAAGACUCAUAAACUACUACUGUCUAUCUAUCUAUGAAGCCUCUAAUACUAUGAGGGAUGUCGAGACAAGACCCUUGAUGAAGAAAAAUAAGGGAUCCUCCGAAAGCAAGGAGACUCGCCAAACAACUCUAGAAUUCGACUAGAUCAAGGAAGCGUUGGUUGAUGAUUUUGGUUACCUGUAUUUGCAUCAUGAAUGAUGCAAGCCAAAUGGCGUCAGUACAUGGAAUGUACAAGCAUGUAAGGGGAAUACUGAACAUAACAUAAAAGCUUGAACUUGGAAAGAAGAAACAUACUCACCUCGACUUUACUCAACUCAACCUCAACUCAUGGAUACUCAAUUCAAUGCAGUAUAAAAGAACAAUAAAAACCAAUUUAUAUAAGCAUUUAAUACUGUAAAUAACAACUCAAUGUAUUUAAAAAUACAACAACAACUCAGUUUGUAUGUAAAGAUACAAAAUCACUCUGUUUGGGAAAUUCUCUAACGGACAACCAUCACUAUAAGCUAUGUGAUGAUACAACGUCUCGUCUAAGCUGCAAAACUGUCACAUAAGACAUUAAACAAUCUUUUCUGUCAUCGAUUGACUCCCAAAGUCCAGAGGGAAACAACUCAGAUAAUACACUAGAUCCGCAAGCAAUUACUUAGUGAAGAAGGAAGUGCUCGAGUGAUGAAAAUCAGGAGGUGGUCUUGGAAGCAGCCAUCCUUUGAAAAAAGCGUAAUAACUCACUAGUCUAGCUCCAAAUGACCCAGGCAUUUUCCUUUGGGAAAGGAGGGUUGUUAAGUAGGCGUAAAACUCUUCCUAUGUUGUAUUUAAUCAUGAAUUAUCAACAAAUCAAUUAGUAGUAUGUCUAUUCCAGAAGACCUUCCACGGAUGAUUUCUAGCUAGUGUGUCGCGAGUAGUUUCUCGAGACCUCUAUAUAUCUCAGCCUCGGAUUAGUAUCAUAUAUCGCUCUAGAGAGCAUUUUGUUGUUGUAGUGCGGAUGUUGGGAGGAGCCGCUCCUCUAUGGUAAGGAUGAUUAAAUAAGAUAGAAUUAAUAAUUUAAAGACAAAACUGAACUGACCGAUAAACAAAACAGAAAAAAAUGUUAUUGGAUUUUCAAUGGGUUUAUUAAAAAAAUUUAUUGGGGUUAUUGGUUCGAUAUCAAUUUUUACUAUUAGAUUAUUGGGUAAAUUGAUAACCCUAUAAGACGGUAAUAAUUUAUUAUGUUAUCCUUCCUAAUCAUUAAAUAUAAAUAAUUUAAUGUACAAUUGGACACUAUAACUAUAUCAAAUUAUCAGUUCUCUACCAACUUUAAACUAGACACUUUACUUGUUUUUACUGUUCACUAAAAACCUAAAGACUAAAGUUAGGUUUCACAAUUGUAGCUAUUUGUUUUUAGUUUUAAUUUUAGUUUUAGUCUUGUCGAACUAUUUUAUUUUAGUUUUAGUUUGUAAUUGUAGGCUGUAGCAUUUGCAAGUUUGUAAAGGUCCGUAAUUUGAUUAACACAAAAGAUUCCAUACUAUAUUUUGGUGGUAACAUGUAAUUAUAGCCUUCUUACAAUAUUUUCUCUUAUUGAUGCAAUUUUAAUUAUCUUUCUUGUUUCACUAUAUCAAAGCUUUUAGAGAAGUUAGAAGACAUAUAAUAUUUUACGAACAUUUUCUUAUUAGGUAAAUCGAAAACUGAACCGAUAAUGAUCAAAACUGAUAAACCGAAAAUUGAUAAAGAAUAUUUUAUCAAAAAUUGAUAAACUGACCGAUGCACACCCGUGGUGAUUAGUUUAUUAGGAUUAGUUAUUAUUUUAUUUUUUUACAAAAAAAUAAUAAUAAAAAUAUUAACUGACUAUUAUGAACUAAUAAAAAUAUAAAAAAUUUAAAUUGCUAGGGUAAGAAAUAUAAUUAAGACAAUACUAACUUAUUUAUAACACCAAAAAUAAAAGAAAACAGAUAUUUUUUGUAAUGUUUCUUUACUUUCUUAAAAAAAUAUAAAACUUACCUAAAAUGUGAUUUAUAUUUUGUUGUUUUCAAAUAUUUUGAAAUAAACUUGAUAAAAUAAGAUAAAAAUCAAAAAAUUUAAUUCAAAAUUUUAAGAUACAUUCAAGCACUAAAAAUGGUGUGAAAGUUUAAGUUCGGUAAAAGAUUAUGUGUCUACAGCUAUGCCCGGUGGCGUAGCCACCCUUAUGUCAGGUUGUCUAAUUGGACACCCUUAAUCGGAUAACUAUACCGUAUAUACAAGUAAAUAAUAAACAAAGUGGCUAAAUAACAUAUUUUGGCCACCCUUGACACCACAAUAUAAUGUAAUCUAGUGGUUUCAGGUGCCUUGAGAUCUGUUAAGAUCUACACGAACUUAAAGUGUUUGUGUGUUCGAAUCUCAAUAGUAACAAUUUUUCUCCACUUUUUAAUAAAAGCGGGUUCACUUUAACACUUGGACACCCUUUUUGAAAUUUCUGUCUCCGCCAACUGGCUAUGUCCAUCACUUUUUAAAAAAUGUUUGACCAACAUUUUUACCCAAAAAAGCGACAGACGAAGCGACAUCAUCAGUCGCUUCUUUAAAAUGUUAGACCAAAAACAACGGACAAAUCAAAAUAAAUGACCGAUAUAACGUCAUUGUCUGUCGUUUUUAAUAAAAAAAAUUAAAAAGAUGGACAAUUUCUCAAAUGGCAUCGCUUAUUUGGAGCGUCAACAUUUGUCAUUUUUGGAUCUAUCCUUUUUUGCCAGUUUUUUAAUAGUGUUCUCUUUAAUUGGUGAAUGUAUGUUUUGAUAAGACUUUUGAAUACUUAAUAUUAAUAAUUAUGUCUAAAUAUUUAUUCUAGUAGAAGUGAUAUGGAAUUUAGUUAUUGUUCUACUUCAAAUAUAAAAUUCUAAUCAAAAUAGUGGUAGAAAAAGACAAUUUCUGACACAAGUGUUUGUCUCUAAAAAAAAGUAUCCAAAUUUUUUCCCCCUAUUUUAUAAACAUGAGAAAAUAACUCAUAAUAUAUAUAUAUAUAUAUAUAUAUAUAUAUAUAUAUAUAUUUCAAAAUAAAUUUUUGCAUACCAAAUACACACAAAUAAUGAUACUUGAUUUACCACUUAAAAAAUUUCAAAGAUGCUUCUGGAAAUGACUUGAGAUUCGCACUCUGGUAAGACCACACACAUUCAUGAGUUCAAUAAUUUUCUCAGGGUAACAUCCUACUUAUUCCAUAAAAAUAAAAAUGUAAUUUAAUAACUACAAUAUUUCCAAAUCAAGCAAAGACACAUGCAAAUACAAUAAGCGUUACGCUUUAAUUUCAAAUGAGAUGAUGUUAGCUAAAAUUAUGAACUGAUGUACAUAUCGCUCCAUAGAAACGAAUAUAAAUUUCAUUCUUAGUAAAGUAAACUUACUUUGUUAACCAAGUCGUUGCAAGCUUUUCAUAAAUUUUUGUCACUAUCCAAAAUCGGGCUAUAAUGACGCCUACCACAAACCGGAGUAGGCAGGCUAAACCCAAACAAAGAUUUUGUAGAAGAUAAACAAUUUAAAUAACAAUAAUAAAGACUAAGAAUAAGCGGAAACAUGAAUAACAUAUAGAAAUGGGUCAUAGUAUAGAACUGUAAAUACGAAACAUAGUGUACGAAAUAGGCCCAAAAGUGACCAAGAAAACAAACGAACAUAAGACCUAAUACCCACACCUAGUGUCGCCGAUACAUGAGGUACUAAGUACAGAAAGGCUAUAUAUACGAAAGAACUGACUAACAAAUUACAAAAUACAAGUCAUUAAAAAGGAGAGAAGACAUCAAGUCUGGAAAAGAUCUUUGAAUUUCAGUGCUUACAAUGAGCAAAUAAUGUGACAACCAAGGGAGAUCCAACACUCACUAAGGGUGGAUAAUACUAAGAGUUGCAUCAGAAAAGAUGUAGAAGUGUAGUAUGAGUACUAAAACACGCCAAGAGCUAACCAUGAUCUCGCUAUGUUAUAGCCGAGGGAGACCCAACGCUCACUGAGGGUAACUCAUACUGAGAGCUACAUUAGAAAAAAAUGCAGAAGUAUAGUAUGAGUACUAAAGCACAAGAUACUCAUCAAGCACCACACACAGACUGAGAUCAGAAAGAUCAAGUAUAUAAAGAGAAUUAAUGAUGAUACUCGAAUUUCAAGGAUAGGUUCUAAGAUACGAUUAAACUAAUACAGAGACAAGAAAAAAUACUAAUAACUCAAGUCCAAGGUACACACAAAUACAAGACAACCACAAGAACACUCAAUAGUUAAAUCACUCAAUAAUGCCAAUGAUGACUGAAGGAGCUAAGAUGUAUGAUACCUAAGACUUAUCAAUAAUAUACUAGUAACCCAUAUAUAACUCAAUGGACUGCCAGGAAUACUACCUUGGACUUAUUAACAAGUAUAGAUAUUAGAAUGUAGGCCAAAACUAAGUCAAUGAGCCACCUAGAAGGAUACCUCAAACAUAUUAGUAUAAAAGUAGACGAAAAGUACAUACAAUCAUAAAAACAAAUGUUUUCCUUCCAUUUAAAUCAUAAAGUCUCAAGAUCUUCCAAAUUAUUCGUAUAACCCCCUUUUGACCAUUUCAAAGGCUAUAUAAAAGAUAAGCGACCAAAUUCAACUACCUUGCUCUAAUAUCAUCACGAAUCUCAAAUCUCAACAUCAAAACCACAACACGAAAAACACACAUUUAGCUAUAUCCCAUCACAACACAGUGUACUAACACGAAACUUUAGUUAGUCGAAAGUUCACAACCUUGGGUUCAACAAUCAAUAUGAACAUAGUUUAUAAGCACCACAAUAGCAACAAAAAAAUUUAAACCAAGAAAAGAAAACGUGUUAAAAUAAAUUUCACACACACUAGAAGGAUACCAUCACUAAGGAUCAACAUAAACUUAGACCUUCCGGCUAAAACUACACUAAGUAAUCCAAAAAUGGUCAUGAAUUGUCUAAGGAACAAGUAAGCCUAAGCUAACCCUAAAUUCCAAUCUAACAUUCUGUACUACUAAAAAUAUAAUCAAUCUAAAUGAGACAAGUCUAAGGAAAGGGAAAUCAUAACCUACCUCAAGACCAAAGUUGAACCUCUAAUUCAGUGUUUUUCCCUUCUGAAGGACCUUUGAAUGGUUCCAAGCUAUCAACAAUGCAAUGGGAACACAAAAACAACCACAAUAAUACUCAUAAUAAGAAUUUGAAAACAGAAAUAUAACCCCAUUUACACAAUCUGGGAACUAUAUACGAAGUCAUAAAAUUGACUCUAUCAUGAGUUCUCAAAUUGUCCAAGGAAGUUGUGCCCCAAAAUGGCCAUAAUCCAAGCCACCAUUGAGAAAAUACCGCCUUUCCAAUAUUAAGAUCAAUAAGGAUCAAAUAUGGAGAAUUAAAGAGGAAAUUAAUAGAAUUACCAAGGUCAGUGGAAGAUUCAAUGACCCCAAAAUGUGCUCAUGCAAUUUCCCGAUGCAACUCACCAAUAAUCACUCUACUCCACCAAGUAAAGCUCUAAAAAUUGCCAAAAUAUCAAUUCUUUAUUUAAAGAAUGCAUGUUGAAAAUGAAUUUUUAAAAAUUAUAAAUGCCAAUUGAUUACCCCUUCGUAAAUACCGUGAUCAUCCAUGUUAACACUUUUCGAAUGCAACUAGAGGUCGGAACACUAAGGCUAGGAGCAACAACCCUCUGUGAUCGUCGAACGACUCACACAAAUAGAAAUUUCUCAGCAGGUCAAUGUCACGAUCCAAAGUAAUACCCUACGCGUAACAUGACUUAUAGAACCCCGAGAGAUACUACACAAGCCACUUACAUACAUCAUAUAAGAUAAUAGAAAUAAAUAUUUUAUGAAAUAAUCUUAUAGCAUAAGUCUCAACAAAAUAUUUAUUACAUCAAAAGAAGUGAUUGGAGGUAACCCAUAAAUCCCAUACAAUGUCUGAAAACUAAAACAAAAAAAGCGAUAAAAGUGUCUUGGUCCUCAAAACAUGAGGACUCACCAAUCCUUGAGUGACAAAAGAUUAACUAGCAACGAGUGUGAGAGGUAGGAGCGUCAGACCCUACAUUAGUGAAAUAAUGUAGACACAAGUAUGCAUUAGUACAUAUAAUAUACUAAGUACGAUAACAACACAUAAGAGCUAUGAAAUCAUCCCAAAAAUCACGUUACAUGACAUGUAAUGACCAAGCUAAAUCAUAAGAUCAAGGGUUACAAAAUAUAAGUCAUAAUCACGGUCAAUUCUAGCUUAACUACUGCGAAAACAUUUAUGAUAUACUAGAAGUAAUAUUAGUUCAUUAAUCAUUACUAUGGGAAGUCUACUAUGUAAUCGACAUAGAAAAUGUGAUCCAUAUCAUGGAAUCCAGUGUCUAUCCAUAUCGAAAAGAGAUGUCAUUACUUUCCAAGGUAAGAACCAUCAGUCUGAGCUAAAGUGGAUCCACAAGCUAGUGUAUAUUUGAGACCAAUCCUAUUGUGGCACAUAGUUUAUGGGCAAUGGGUAAUCGUCGCAAGUCCACUCAAUGCUAAGUAAAAUUCAACAAAAAGUCAUUAAUCACAAACAGAUUAUUAUCGAUAGAAAAAGGUACCAUUUACGAAACCAUUCCAACCUAGAGUUCAUUUAGAAUAGCUCCUUAGCUUGAUUUAACUUAGGUGAGAAAACCUUUCACAAACAACAUUGCCACUUUACUCUCAAUCAUCCUCAAAUCAUUUACAUCAACUUUAUAAAAAUAUAUGUAUCAUCUUCAUAAUUACAUCUUUCCCAGUUCAUCAGUUUCAUCAUGUGUCCAUCGACAAAAAUCAUGUAUCAUGCGUAGGUUAAUAUGAAUUAAACUAAAAAAUAUUUAAUUACUUCAAUUCAUGCGUAAACAGAUAGAAAACAAUCAAUUGAAUCACCAUUGGAAAAGACAAUGAAGAUUGAAUAAAACCCUAACUUUGAAUUGAUAAUUUAGCUUGUAAAAUUGGAGAUUUUAGAAACCCUAAGGAGGAAAGGACUCCAUAGGUGAAUACUAACACACCUUAGAUAUAAAUUCCCAAAAGAUAUGGUAAAAUUGAGACCUUGGUAAUUGGUACCUAACUUCAUCUUCCUUAGUCUGUGGGAAAAUUUGGGGAAGAAUUUGGAGGGAAAUUUUGAAAUUAAGUGAAUGAUUUAGAAUGUGUAGUUUUAAGACUUAAUUCACUUGUAUAGGUCUUGAAAUAGGGUUUGAAACGACUUAGUUUAGGUAGAAAACACUUAUAGAAACAAGUAAAAUGACCCUAGCUUAAUAACCGACAGAAUCACCUAAAAAUAAAGUUUGGAUGGUCCGUACACGACCUCACUGGUCGUCUAGGGAAUGGUCAUAGAGACCCCCUCCCCCUUCCUAGAAACCUAUAAAUGGUUGGGUUUGGUCUCAUAAAUGGGUCUUCCACCUAUAUACUGGACGUUUAUGGAAUCGUCCAAGUGCCUUGGGUCUUAACAGCCCUAAACGACUAGCCCACUUGCCUUAAGUGGAUAUUGGUGUUAGGAUCGAAUUCACGCACACACACUAGAUGAAUGGAAAAUACAAGAACUUUCAAGAGAAAGAGAUGAGAGAUCUAGAGAGAGAAAGAGAAAACCCAAUAUUUCGUGGUAACACCCCGUGAGUAAACUUCCACGGCGGUGAGGUAUAUUUAUAUUUAUAAAUCAGAGUAUUUUUGGUUACAGAGAAUAAAUAGGAAAACCUAAAAUAGAGAAUAAAUAGGAAAGCCUAAAAUAGAGAAUAAAUAGGAAAACCUAAAAUUAAUCAGGCUCCACUACCUAACAAUUCUCCCACUUGGAGACUGACUCAGUCAUCCAAAAAAUACAUUCUCAAAAAAAAUCUCUUCAUCAUCAACAUCUUUACCGCACCGCAACAUCUGUAGCAACAACUACAGAAGACUAACCGAAGUUUUACAUAACCUUAGUUUCCCAACAUCAACACAUUUCGUCAACAUGUCUGCUGGGUUUCUUUCACCUUCUAUCUUCUCCAAGCACAUAUCACCAUCCUCCACUGCCCUGCGAGUGAAACGGUAUCGCCUUCUGAUGUGCUUUGUCUUCGAAUGAUAGACUGAAUUUUUCACCAACUGUAUGGCACUUUGGCUAUCUGAGUAAAGAAUCUUCUCGCUCUGCUUCUUGCCCAAUUCCUCAAGAUAAUCUACCAGCCAUAUCAUCUCUUUCCCAGCUUCAGCUAUUGCCACAUACUCAGCUUUAGUAGAUGAAAGAGAAACACACUUCUGAAGCCUGGACAUCCAACUCACUGUUGUUCCACCUAUGGUGUAAAUGUACCCGGAUGUACUCUUGCUCGAGUCAACAUCCCCACCAUGAUUAGCAUCCACAAAACCCUGUAGAGUCACCUUGCCUUUGCCAAAACAAAGUGAAGUACUGGAUGUACCUCUCAGAUAUCUCAGAAGCCACUUCACAGCUUCCCAAUGCUCUUUCCCAGGGUUCGCCAUGUACCUGCUAACUACUCCCACUACAUGUGCUAUAUCAGGUCUAGUGCAGACCAUAGCAUACAUCAAACUACCAACUGCUGAAGCAUAUGGAACAAGUGCCAUGUGAUCACGCUCCUCGGCAUUCUUGGGUGACUGCUUCUUUGACAAUUUAAAGUGAUUUGCCAAUGGAGUAGUCCUUGGUUUAACAUCAUUAACGCUGAAUCUGCUCAGCACCUUCUCAAUGUACAACUCCUGAGAUAGAUUUAAAGUGCCAGCAGAUCUAUCCCGAGAAAUCUUCAUCCCCAAAAUCUGCUUUGCUGGACCCAAAUCUUUCAUCUCAAACGCUGUAGACAACCUUGUCUUCAGAUUGUUAAUCUCCCUCAUACUAGAUCCUGCAAUCAACAUAUCAUCCACAUACAAGAGUAGAAAGACAUAUGAAUUAGUGUAUUUCUUGAAGUAACAACAAGGAUCCUUUUCAGCUUUGCAGAAUCCACUCUUGGUCAUAAAGGAGUCAAACUUCUUGUACCACUGCCUUGAGCUUUCUUUAGUCCAUACAAGCUCCUAGUGAGCUUGCACACCAUGUGUUUCUUGCCUGGAACCACAAAUCCUUCCGGUUGCUGCAUAUAGAUCUCUUUGUCCAGAUCUCCAUGUAAAAACGCUGUUUUUUACAUCCAUUUGCUCUAGAUGCAAAUUUUCCGAUGCAACAAUACUCAACAGAAUUCGAAUAGAGGUUAACUUCACAACAGGAGAGAAUAUUCCAGCAUAAUCAAUACCUUUCCUUUGUGAAUAUCCUUUAACCACUAAACGAGCCUUGAACCUUCUUUUGCCAUCUGGUUCAGUCUUGAUUCUGAACACCCACUUGUUCAGCAAAGCUCUCUUCCCUUCAGGUAACUCAGUCAACACCCAUGUAUCAUUCUUCUCAAGUGACCUCAUCUCAUCAUCCAUGGCUUUCUCCCACUUGAUCGAAUCCUCCACCUGUAGGGCCUUAUCAAAAGACUCUGGUUCCCCCUCAUCAGUCAGCAAUAGAUAGUGUAAUGAAGGUGAAUACAUAUCUGGUGCCCUGAUGGAUCUAGAUGAUCUCCUUAACACCUGCUUAGCUGUAACUUGCUCCACUUCAGAUUCUUCAGUAGGAGUUGGUUGAGUAUCAGCUUCGACACCUCUGGGGUUACUCUUCUCCAACUCAACCUCAACUCCCACUUGCUUUGUAAUCUCUAGAACCUUCUGCUCUCUGUCCUUGAACAGGACAGACUCAUCAAAUGUUACGUCACAAUGUCUCAAGAUCUUUUUGUUCUUGUCAUCCCAAAACCUAUAACUAAACAAAUCAGAACCAUAUCCUAUGAAGUAACACUUCAAAGCCUUGGCAUCAAGCUUGUCUCUCUUUUUUGGAUCAACAUCAACAUAAGGAGUGCAACCAAAAGUCCUCAAGUGUGAGUACUUGAGUUCUUUUCCUGUCCACACCUCCUCUGGAAUCUUGAACCCUAAAGGAACUGAUGGUCCCCUGUUGAUCAAGUAUGCAGUUGUGCUCACAGCAUCUGCCCAAAGUGUUUUGGGCAACCCACAGUGUAUCCUCAUACUCCUUGCACGCUCAUUCAAUGUUCUGUUCAUCCUCUCAGCAAUUCCAUUCUGCCUUGCCUUACCAGGAACUGUCCUCAUCAAUCUGAUUCCCUCAGCUGCACAGAAUGCCUUGAACUCUGAUUUGUCAUACUCUCCUGCAUUGUCAGACCUUAGGCAUUUGACUUUCAAACCGGUCUGAUUCUCAACUUCAGCUUUCCACUUCUUGAAAGUUGCAAACACAUCUGAGUUAUGCUUCAAGAAGUAAACCCAUACCUUCCUGCUUAAAUCAUCAAUGAACUUAACAUAGAAUCUGGAUCCUCCAAGUGAUAUUACUGGGGAUGGUACCCAAACAUCUGUAUGGACCAUUUCCAACCGCACUUUCUUUGGCUCUCUAGGAGUCUUUGUGAAGCUUACUCUUUUCUGUUUGCCCAUAACACAGCUCUCACAAAGACCCAUAUCAACAGACUUCAGACCCUCUAAUGCUCCUUUUGCAACCAGCAUCUUCAUUCCUUUAGUACUCAUGUGUCCAAGUCUGUUGUGUCACAGACAUGAACCAGAAGCACCUUCAGCAACAACGACCAUGUUUAUACACCCUGCAGUGGUGUACAAGGUUCCAGAAUUGGUGCCACGAGCUACUACCAUAGCACCUUUCACGAUCUUCCACGAACCUUUCCCAAACUCUGUUGCAUAUCCCGUGCUAUCAAACUGACCAAUAGAGAUAAGAUUUUUCUUGAUUCCAGGAAUAUAUCUGACAUCCUCCAUUUUCCACUGGUUUCCCGAGGUGAUCUUUAUGCAAACAUCCCCCUUUCCUUCAAUCUCUAAGGCUUUAUUGUCAGCAAGAUAUACUUUUCCAAAAUUUCCAGAUUUGAAGUUUUGGAACAACACUUUGCUUGGAGACGAAUGGAAAAAUGCACUAGAAUCCAAAAUCCAUGAUUCAACUGGGCUGUUCACACUAAGGAUUAGAGCAUCCCCAAUGUCCUAUGCUGAAUUUACAGAAUAAUUGUCAUCUCCAAAUUUCUGAUUAUGUUUCUUCUUUGGCUUUGUAUAGUUCGUCCGAAAGUGCCCUUUUUUCCACAGUUCCAACAAGUCAUGUUUGAUCUGUUCAGUGAUUUUCCUCGAUUCUUUAAUUUUGAUCGACCAUGUUGAUUUUGGCCUUUCGUCUUACUUCUCCCCCUUCGAUCAACGCUGAGAGCACUGCCCGAUGAAUCUCCCACUUCUCGUUUGCGAAUACUUUCGCUAAGAACAACAUCACGGAUUUCAUCAAACUUCAGUUUCUCAGAUCCACGGGAACUGCUAAUCGCAGCAACAACAGUAUCCCAAGACUCGGGCAGAGAUGAAAUCAAAAUCAACGCCUUAAUUUCAUCUUCGAAAUUAAUAUCCACAGAAUUGAGUUGACUCACAAUCAUAUUGAACUUGUUUAUAUGAUCAGAAACGGAUCCAGUUUCAGACAUCUGUAAAUUGAACAAAAUCUAUGCAUCAAAUAUACCUUGUUCAUAGCCGAUGGUUUUUCAUACAUGUUUGACAGUGCCUUCAAUAGACCGGACGUAGUCUUCUCCUUCACGAUGUUGAACGCCACAUUUCUUGACAAUGUCAACCGGAUCAACCCUAGAGCCUGGCGAUCCUUGAGUUUCCACUUCUCCUCCGUCAUGGAUUCCGGCUUCACCCCGGUCAACGGUUCGUGAAGAUCUUUCUGGUACAGAUAAUCUUCGAUCUGCAUCUUCCAGAAACUGAAAUCGGAUCCAUCAAACUUCUCGAUUCCAAGUUUUGAACUAUCCAUCUUCUGUGAUCGUGUUGAAUCUCCUUAGCUCUGAUACUAGUUUUUAGAAUCGAAUUCACGCACACACACUAGAUGAAUGGAAAACACAAGAACUUUCAAGAGAAAGAGAUGAGAGAUCUAGAGAGAGAAAGAGAAAACCCAAUAUUUCGUGGUAACACCCCGUGAGUAAACUUUCACGGCGGUGAGGUAUAUUUAUAUUAAUUAAUCAGAGUAUUUUUGGUUACAGAGAAUAAAUAGGAAAACCUAAAAUAGAGAAUAAAUAGGAAAACCUAAAAUUAAUCAGGCUCCACUACCUAACAAUUGGUGCCCUAAACAUGCCGUUUAGGGUCUCGUGAAGGGUUUUCGACUUAUUUUAGGUUUGUGGACUUGCUCGUUAGCUCACUUUAACCUUUGCAAAACCCGAUGUGUUACAGUCACCCUCUAUGAAUGCAAGGUUUCCUGCACGAAUGCGAAGUCCAUGCAAGUUUCUCUCCGUGAAUGUGGCCAAGGAAUCGUGAACGUGAAGAAGAGAAUAGUGUUGUGUGAACACCUAAUUUUUUACCAAAAUAUAAAAAGUCAAACACCAAUUUUUUUUUAAAAAGGUUAUAUUUAAAAUAAAUAAAAAAUCAAUAAAUUGUGUAAAUUACUUUAAUAAUAAAAAAUUAUGAAUAUAUGGUAUUUGUUUUAAAUCUUCAACUUUUAAUUAGUUUAAAAAUAAUGGUAGAAGAAGAAAAAAGGGGAGUCCUAAAUAUUCAAAUUAUCUUCCCCUUAUCUUUAUUAUUCCCAACUUCCUAACUUAUUUUACUAAAAAAUCUCAUCCCAUUUAUUUUUUAUUUUUAUUUUUUUCUUUCUUCUCUCUCUCUCUCUGGACGUUAUUUCACAUUUUUUUUAAAUUUUCUAUUAUUAUUAUUUAUUCAUUUUAUAUCCAUCCUUAUCUCAACCCAAUUCCCUCAACAAUAUUUCAAAUUAAAUCCUAAUCCAACUCUACUACGUUCCUUUUAAUUAGCACCAAACUCUCAGCCAAAAUUAUUAUAAAAAAACACGUUCAGUUGAAAAAAAGAGAACACACAGAUAUAGAGAAAUACAAAGAGGAAAAGAGAGAAAUACAGAGAGAAAUAUAUAGAGGAAGAAAAGUGAGUCAUUCUUUUGAGAGUUAGGCCAGAGUUAGAGUUUUUUUUUGUCGUGGUUCCAAAUUCGUGGCUCAAAGCAAUAGAUCAUAGAAGUUAUUUUUCGUGAUAGCCAUCUUCGCAGCGAGGUAAUUCUUAACUCUCGCAUUAUUUAAAUGUUAUGUUGUAUGAAUAUUUGAAUCUAUAAUAUGAAGUUCUUUGAAUCUUAUGUUAUUAUUAUGCAAUGUCAAUAUGUGAUGCAUGUUAAGAUUUUUUUAUUUUUUUCUCGAUCUGAAAAACGAAAAAAAAAUGUUUCUUGCUAACAAAAAUAAUAUAAAAUAAAAGAUGUAUCAUACAUUUUUUAAAAAAAUAUUUAUAAAAAUAAAAGAUGUAUCAUACAUUUUUUUUAAAGAUGAAAGGAGAAUGAAAAUAAAAAUAAAAUAUAAAACUAAUAAAAUAAAAAGUAAGAAACAAAAAAAAACGUUAAAAAAAAGAAGUAACAAAAAAAAUAUUUUUUUUAAAAAAGAGAAAAAGACAAAAUCUAAAAAAAAAAAAAAAGAAAAAGGAGAGAAACAGAUUUUACAAGAAAAAAAAUAAAAUAAAAUAAAAAAGAAAAUUUAAAAAUAAAACAAAAACGUAUGAAAAAAAAGAGAGACAAUUUUGUUUCAUUAAAAAAAAGAUAUUGCUAAUUUAUUUAGGAUUUCUUGAUAAAACUAACUUCAAAUCUUAUAAAAAUUUUUUUAUUUUAAAUCUAAAAUAAAUAAAUAAAUAUAUAAUCCUAAAUUAACUUGAACUCUAAAUAUCUCCUUCCUACACAAACUCUAAUUCUUAGAAAUUAGAUAUCUAUAUAUAUUCUACCUAUAAUAACAGUAAAAAUUAAAAACAUACAAAUAUCAACAAAAAAAAAUAAUAUAUAUAUAUAUAUAUAUAUAUAUACACGGAUGUUCAAUUUUAAAAUUACACAAAAAAUAAAAAAAAAAUAAACACCCUUUAAGAUAAAUAAGCCAGUUUCAAAUAAGUUUUAGAAUAAAUCUGAGGAUAAAUAACAAUUUUGUUAUUAAGUUUAAAUAAUACAAUGUCCAAAAAUUAAGUUAAGUCAUACUAAAGUUAAUAAAGCGACCGUGCCAGAACCACGAGAAUUGAGGGGUGCCUAACACCUUCCCCUCAGUCAACAGAAUUCCUUACCCGAAUUUCUAGUUCGCAGACCAAUAAAAAAUAGAGUCAAAUUUCCUUUUGAUUAGAGAUUUAAAAAAAGGUGACUUGGAACACCAAAACUCAAUUCUAAAUGGCGACUCUAAAUAAUAAUUAUCCCUUUUCAAAACGUUACUUUAAUUGGAAAAACUCUUUUUCUUUCAAAAAAACAAAAAUAAAAAAUAAUUGAAAAAAAGGGGUGUGACAUGUUGCAUCAGCAACACUGCACCAAUUGUUUCCCAAGAGUAAGAAUUCCCUCGAUGGGAGCUCGGAAUUUAUCCGGAGCCAUGUGGACAAAACCAAACUAUGUUACCAAAUUAGAAAUGUCAAUCAACACCCAUUGGAGUCAACAAAAAAAAUGAUGAAAGUCGUCUGGUCAAAAUAAGUCAACACGUAAAAAGAAAUACCAGAUAAAAUGACAAAAGUCACAAACUCAUUCCGACCACCUUGGAAUCUAAAUCAGAAGUCCUAGACAAAAAUUGGUAUUUCAGAGCGAACUGUGCUGACAAAAUUUUCAUCGGAGUUCUUUUACCAACAAUAUUAACCAAAAUCAAACUUUGAUCAAAACUUCAAAGCUAAAACACCUAAUGACACAAACUCAAAAUGACAGCCUCCAAACCCAAACCAAUCAUCCCACUAAACCAAAAUGACCCUUCCAAUGAUGAUAGAAUUGAAGGAAUCCUCAUAUGACAUAUGAAUCUUCAUAUGUUGGCUAAAGUCAACUCUUUCACUUCGUCAGCCUCCAAUAGGGAAAAACCAACUCGAAACUCUCCCGGCUACCUCAGUAAAUGUUCUCAUCAAUCCAUCACCACUGAGAAAAAGUUAUUGGAAAGGAACAAAAUAAUAAAAGCAUGCAAAAAAUACAGAAAUGACCUGAAAUAGCAUUACAGUUUCACAUAAAGAUCCACACUUCACUUUAUGUAAUUUAUUUGCCUGACAACCUUAUUAUAGAGUCAUUUUUACUUUCACACCCACUAAAUCUUUUUCUAUUUUUUGUUGUGCUCUUUCUCCUCUACUUGCAUUUUCCAUUCGAUAUAAUAUCAUUUUAUAGCCUCGUAUCAUUAUUACAAAAAAUAAUUUUUAGUGGUAAUUAAUUAUUAAUUAUGGUUAAAUAUAUAUUUUUAACGGUAAUUAAUAUUCUUUGUAUAUGUGCCUAAAGUCUUUAGCAAAAUUGAAUCAAAUGACUACUAUAAUAAAUACUUUAGCAUUCUUUAUUAAUAUGUUUAUUUAUUACGCCUUAAAGUAGCUUUUGUUGUAGUGUAAAUAUUUUUGUUUUGUUCAUCAAUAUUAGCAUACUAUUUUUCACUCCAAAUAAAUUUACAUUACCUCCAACAAUUUUAAUUUUGCCAACAUCAUCAACAUUCAUCUGAUCUUCUUCUUUUGCUCCAUUUCUUGCUUUCUUUCUUUGUAUGUUUCCUCUCAAUACAAGUUGUUAAACACAUAUUACAAUUUCCUAGGUAAGUGGGUUUGGAAUAAAAAGGCAAGCUCCCUCUUCCAAAGCUUUCUUUAGUGAUAGUCCGUUUUCUUCGUCACAUACAAUUGCAUAAUAAUUUCAAGAACAUAGAAAUUAGAAUUGAAUUAUAUUAUACACUAUGUGAUAGUUAGUGACACAAAUAAUCACUAAAUUUUUCAUUAUAAAGGUAAUUUUACAAAAUAAUCAUAUAUAAUAUAUUUAAUAAAAUAGAAAUUAGUGAUAAAUAAUUUAUUAUCACCAAACAAAAAAAAUAGUGCCACUUACAUUAAAGAAUCCGGAAAGCCUGAUGGCUUUAAAGGAUAGGGGAGACUUUGCUCGUGAUAGAUGUCAUAAGUGAAAGAAUCAGAACAAUAUACUCAAGGCCCUUGAGUCAAGAGUUUAGAAGAAUCCAAAUCCGCUGAAUGGACACUGAUGAUUAUCGCAUCAAUUUUUUUAUUUUCUUUGGAGAACAUUGACAUUGCUUCUGAAUACGUAUCGAUCGUGAUAAUUGCAUCAAUAUACCUUAAAAGUUAGUGAAAAAAAUAUGCACAAAAUUAUCUCGAUAAUUUUUAAUUUCUCAUAUAUAAUUCAAUUGUAAUUUUCUAGUUAUAUUGUUAUUUUUUAGUUUACGCAAUUGCACGUAUGAAUAAAUUAUAUUGUUAUCAAUGUGAGGAAUCAUAGACAAGUUUACCUAUAAAGCUAUAUACAGUUCUAUUAAGGAUAAGUAAUUGAAUAUAUAUGUGUCAAUUGGAGAAGUAAAAUAAUGUUACGUUAACAAGUGUUAUCAUCAUGAUAUUUUAUGUUUGUAAGUUAUUUUAUAGCAUGACCGUACUUUUUAGUAUGUUAAAAAUUGUCUAUUGUCUUAACAAAUUAAAAUAGAGAAAGAAAUUGAAUGAUUAUUAUAAUGGAACAAAAAUAAAAACAGUAUUUGAGCGUAGUAAUUUCGACAUGUUUUUUUGUACAAGGUAGAUUAUUGGUCGAUAAAAAUUAACACCAAACUAAUUAAGGAUAUUGAGAACAAUGCUACAUUGAAAAACAAUUUAGUGGAUCAGUUGUAUUACAUAAGCUAAUUUCCAAAACACAUGAAAAUUAAAGAAUAAAAAAGAAAGCGAGACGAAGAAGAAAAAUAUGGAGCUUAACCCGCUAAUUAUAUCACCUUAUCGUACUAUAUUAAGCAUUUCUUUCUACUUUUACCCUGCUCCAUUGAACAUUCUUAAAAUUUCUUUUACUUUUUUAUACUUUUAUUUUGUAAUGUUUUACUUUAUUUUGCUUUUUUUUUAAAAAUAGUAUCCAAUCAAACACAUAUUACUAGAAAAAUUAUCAAGAUUCUCUAAAAGUGUGCAAAUAUAUAUUUACUAAUAUUAUAAUGCAUAUUCAGAAGAUAAAUAAAUGACAUCUUCAAAAUUUUUAGUUCACGUAGUUUAAUAUACUAGGUUAGUCAUCACUUGUUGAAAAAAAUGAAGAAUCAUCAAAUAAGUUUAGUUUCCACCUCUCUAAAAUAAAACUGAAAAAAUAGAAAAGAAAUUCCAUGAAUUCUGUUAAUUAUAUACUAUGAAAAGGAUAUUGACGAUUUUUAAUUUCUUCACUCAACUACAUCUAAUUUAUCUUUAUAUAUAUAAUUCUGUUAUUAAACUAUAUGAAAUUAGAAGACGAAUAAAAUAGGGAGAAGAGAAAAAUUUCUUAUUCAUAAGUAUAUUAAGGAUUCAUUGAUCUUUCACAAGUUUUAUUUACAAUGAAGGAAAACCCUUUAUUUAUAGGGGAAACCUUACUUGGUCCCCAUGUAGGAUUCCUAACCAUGUCGUACAACGACUCCACAGAAUUAGACAUUCACUAUAAUACAAAUUGUUCAUAACACUCCCCCUUGAAUGUCCAUAAAUUAUGUGCCUCGUUAAAAGCUGAAAGCCACUUGACUGUAAGGAGAGGACUUCCAGGGCUCGAUAUACGGCUGUGUCUUACUAGAUAAAACUCAGUAGGAAAAAAUCUAGUGAAGGAAAAAAAGUACACAUAUCUAAUAAUACGCAUUAUGGAUACCUCAUUAAAAACCUUACAAGGAAAAUCCAGUGGAACAAAACCUUGUGAGGAAAAAAGAGUACAUCGCGUAUUAACUCCCUUUAAUGACAACAUUAAUUCAGAGACUAGAAUCUUUGUUUUCCAAGCUUGUGCAGCAUCUUCUUGAAAGUUGUAGUUGGUAGAGAUUUAGUGAAUAAAUCAACAAUAAUAUUACUUGAACAGACCUCUUACAUGUUGAUAUCCCCAUUCUUGGGAGCUUAUGAGUGUAGAAAAACCUUGACGAAAUAUGCUUUCUUCUAUAUGCUUUUAUAAAUCUUCCCUUGAGGGUCAAAGAUUUCUGCAAGAUCCUUACUUCAACUUUUUUAAGCAAAUAAUCUAUUGCCAAGAUUUUCAAUUCUAAUCAUCAACUUGCAUAAUAAUACUUGUAUAUGCUCUAUGCAUUUUGAAUCUAUUUAAUCCUUAUGAGGAUGAUAAAUAAGUUUUUAAAAAACUUGUAUAUGCUUUAGAUUUUGGACCCAUUGGAUAUUUUCAUAUCAAUUUUGUCAAGUAACAACAUUUAAUAUUAGAUGUAUGACAUUUUCUAGUGCCUAGAAUGCAAGUCAAAUAAGCUUUACGGACUUCUUCACACCCACCGUGCAAUGCAUGCGGUUAUUGAUAGACAGAAGAAUCAUGGUAUCCACUUCCGGGUAUUAGCAAAAGCGUUACGUAUGUCUGGUGGAGAUCAUAUUCACUCUGGUACCGUAGUAGGUAAACUUGAAGGUGAAAGAGACAUAACUUUGGGCUUUGUUGAUUUACUGCGUGAUGAUUUUGUUGAACAAGAUAGAAGUCGCGGUAUUUAUUUCACUCAAGAUUGGGUCUCUUUACCAGGUGUUCUACCUGUGGCUUCAGGAGGUUACCAAGAUGCAUCAUUCUACUUUUCGCUUGAUAAUUAUUUCUACACAAGCAUGCUUUAAUAGAUGUAGAAUUCAUAUCCUCAUAAUCUUUUACAAUAUUGCACGCUAUUGUAUUAAAGAUAUCGUUAAUGAUAUACCAUUUUGCCCUGAUUCACAAUACGACAUAACUUAUCGAGAUCUCAUCACUACAUUAUUUUUAGGUAGCUACCCCUCUCAUGAGGUUUCACAAAGUGUUAUGUCGUAGACUUUCCAAGAGCACAUUAUCUUCUUAUUAUGAUCAUUUGAUUCUUUGAUCCUCUCCCUUUUUCAAAGAUUAUUUUAUUUAGAAUUGAUUAGUGGACUCUAUCUUUAAGGGACAUUCAAUAGGAGUAUUUACAACUUUUGUGUUGCUUCUAAUCUCCCCCUUAUGUUAGACAAACUAACAUAUAUCUCAAUCUUUGGAGAAUCUAUCCUUGUGCAUCAAUGUAUAUUCAUUGAUUAUAUACCACAUAUCAAAAUAAUCAGAUGAAAAAUAUUUUGUCGGCGACCAUAAAUCAAUUGAAAAAAAUUUGAUCAUAAUUUAUCGGUCUGAUGUGUACAAUUACUUUUGUAUGCAAUAUCGUAUUUCAUAUCGACAUAUGAAGCUUUAUUUUCAUAAAUAAUGAUUUUACUAUUUGAGACAUUUAGUGUCACAUUAUCUUGAGUAUUUAUCAAUAUUAUCAAGAUAAAUUGUCUUGAUUGCAUAUUCUGAAAUUGUUAUCUUAACUCAAUUAUUUUUGCACAAACAAUUUUGUGAAUGUCAAACUACAUGUUGACAACAAACGCACAUGUGAUUAUCUUAUAGAUUCAUUUUUUUUCAUAUCACAUUAUAGGUGAACGGGCCAUAUUUCCCUUUUAUACUUUUCAGAAUUUAGGGAUUUAGUCCCAACUUUAAUUGGUCCAAUCAACUUUAUCACGAGAACAAGCAACGUAAAGAAUUCUUGAAGAAUCUUCAACUUUUUUGAUGUAUGUUCAUUACUCCGUAUGCACAUCUUUGGGAUGACCAAAUUAUUCAUGCCAACUAAUAUAAUUAUUAAUACUCGUAAACUCCAAGUUUACUACGUCAUGUGCCUUUUGCUUUAGUAAAUUUUUUAUUUACUAUUAUAUGAGUAAAUUUUAAUUUUAUUAAUCCAAGAGUAUUUCAAAGUUAUUUCUUCUCAAUUACAUCACCCUUUAGGUGAGUCGUGAUCUCAUCAUUGGAUGAACUAAUCUGAAAAAAAUUGUGCAUGUAACAUAUAAUGUGUGCAACAUUUUUGUAAACAUCAAGUUGCGAGAUAAUAAUAGACACACAUGAGACCAUAUAGAAGAAACAUUUAUUAGGACCAUUAAAUGUCUAAUCAAUCCACUAGGUGGAUGACUAGGUACACAAAUAUUUGUAUACGUUCCUAGAACGCAGAGAAUUCAAUCUCAACUUUCGUUAUGAUGGUCUCACAAUUAGCUUGCCUUACUAGCAAUCAUUACAAGAAAAUUCACUAUUUAAAAGAAUUUUUAGGUUUUUUAACGGAUGUCCAUUUUAAUUUAUCAUAAUUCAUCUAAACAUUAUAGACUAAUGAUGUUUCAGACAAUCAUGUCAAAUUAAGAAAGUGUUGAAAUUAGAAAACUUCUUAUUUAUCAUAGAAUGUGCCUCAAUUGAACUAAUUCUUGUCCAAUACAAGCCUGAAGAUAAAGUAUGAAACGUUCCUAUAAUACAUGUCUUCUUAUAGACAUUCAUGAUGAUACCACAUUGAUACGCUCAAACUUACUUCUCAAAUAAGAAGUAAAUCGGUCGUGUCAAGUAAAUAACCCAACUAGUGAGGUUGGGAUCGUUCCCACGAGGAAAAUAGUCUAGACUUAACUUCAAUCUAUUAUUACUUUUGUUUAGUCAAUUAAUUCCUUGGAAAGUAAAAACAAUAAAAGGGGAGUUUCUAUUUCUAAAUGAAUGAAAAUAACUACCUAAAUUGAAAGAGACACUUAACAGCUUUGAAUGUUUGAUUUUAAUCAAUUAAUCAAAGUAACUAGAGUUUACGUGUUCCCACAGGUUCAUAACUUGAUAAUUCUAACUAAAACAAUUCUUUCCUAGUAUCUUGCAUGCAAAGUGAUAAGUUAUGUACUUCUAAAUCCUUGGUCCGGCAUCUAGAAAAUCUCACUCUGCACCUUGGUCUGGCUACGUGUGUUGCUAUCCUAACCCUUAUAUUUACCUCAUAUUAAGCAUCGUAUUCGAUAUUUGACUAAGUUAUUACGUCGUACCAAUCAAUACUAGUCUAUUAGAUAGCAUACACUAAAUCUAUGUUGAUAAUUAUUUUCCUAUUAUCUACCUCCUUGGUCCGGCAAGUAGCAUUAAGGCGAGUUCUAACGUUGGCCAUCCGUUAAAAAUACUUCUAAGCGAAAGAAUUAUUAAUACAUGCAAGACACUAUUCUAGAAUCGUUAUUUUAGUUAGGUUUUAUCUCAUUAUUUGCUAUGGUUCCCACAACCCUAGUUAUGGAUUUUAGUUACUCAUAGUCAUAAUCACAAUAUUCAAAUAUAUUAAAUAAGAAUUCAUGUACUUACUUCAAUGAGAAAGAGUAAAAUCCGAAAGUUUGCUUGAUUAAUCACCAAUAAUCACUUGCAAGAAUCUUAAGGUAAUCAACAUUCUCACAAAAAGUCUAAUGAUUCUCAAAAGUCUAACAAUACAGUGUCUACUAAUAUGAUGUCUAACAAUACGGAGUCUAAAUAAUAAUACCGAGUCUAACCUCAAAAACGAGGUUUUUCGAACUAUUUAUAGAAAAUAAAAACCUAAUUAAACAAAGACUCUAUUUGCUGGAAAUCUGUCAAAAUGCGGCUGGGUCGACGAAACUCGCGACGGAUCGUCGUGGUCACGACGGACCAUCAUGGACUCCGUCGUCCCAUACUUAUGCAAUUUCUUCUGUUGCUCUCUUCAUUACCCUCGACGGCAGGUAUGACGGACCAUCAUAGACACAACGGUCCGUCAAGGGUCUUCGUUUCAAAACACUUGGAAUAUGGGUACUGGGACUACUUCUCUGAACUUCAUCACAAACCUGCAGGACGGACCGUCAUGAACUCCGUAGCCCCACACUUGGUCAGACUUCCCCAUCUUCCUUAGCAGCUGCACUACACUGCCACUUACGGACCGUCACAAGCACGACGGACUGUCAUAAGCUCCGUAGGUGGUCUAUUCUGCAUUUCUUCGCUCAAAAUCUCCACAUUCAUCUUUGGACAGAUUUCUUGCAAAAUAAAGAGAAACUUAUAUAAACAUUAGCCCAAAAAGGCUUUUGGACACACUAAACUUAAGGAAAAAGUAUUAAUAAUACCGUGAAACCACGGUAUAUCACACAUCGUUAACCAAAGGUCGCAAUCUUUCUCAUGCCUAGCAUGGUGGCUUACACCUCAUUCCUUUUAGAGAAUGGAUCUAUAAUUUUUAGCAUUUAUCAAAAGUUCUCAUUCUUCAUGAAUGAAACACAAAUAUGUGAGCAUAUCAAAUAGUGAUAACUUUUGUACCUCAUUCCAUAUCUAUGUGCAUUAUUCAAUCACUUGUCUUCUUUCAGACAUAUUAUGCACUACAACCACAUUCACUUUACGUAAUGGAGAAAAUUAAGUAAAUUUCAUGACUUCUCAUCAAAAAUACAUUAGUUUCCCUUUAAUCAUUAUUAUAUCAUCAAUAUGGUGCAUUGAGACUCACAUUCAAUGUCUUAUCCAUAUAAAAGUUUCUUAGGUCAUAAAUCGAUGGAUCUUGAACCCAAUAUCUUAUCAUCAUGGUGCAUCAGGACUUUAACCCAAUGUCUUACCCUCUUUUUGCGAUUCGACAUAAAUCCAUCGUCUUAUUUUUUUGGUGCGAUAAAACUUAAAUGUAUUGUCUUACCCAUAAUGAGGCUCAUCAUUUAUAUGAUCGUACAUUAUAAUUGCACACAAAAUUGAGAUUAUUGAUUUAUUAUAAUCAACAUUAGUUUAAUAAAUAUAGCUUAAUAGAUCACUUACCUCAUAUAAAGGUUGAAAACAUAUCUUUCACUAAAUUGUGCUUAUUUAAUUAUUUAAAUAAAUUAAGAAAUUCUCUUCCCAGUCGAUUAAAAUUAAAUGUAUAGAAAGUCGACAAGUCUAUUUAAAUACUUACUUUAGAUGGUACCUCCAGAUCUGUUACAUAAAUAAUUAUAACAUAAAGAUAAAUCAUACCUGAAGAUAUAAGAACCUUAUUGCAUAACUUAUGCAAGAUCUCUUUUGCACUUUUCCCGUCUUCUUCAUCAUUCUUUAAGAAUAGAACAAUCGUGGUGAUAAUAUGUUAUGAAACUAUAUGAAAUUAGAAGACGAAUAAAUUAGGGAGAAGAGAAAGAUUUCUUAUUCAUAAGUAUAUUCAGGAUUCAUUGAUCUUUCACAAAUGUUAUUUACAAUGAAGGGAAACCCUUUAUUUAUAGGGGAAACCUUACUUGGUCCCCAAGUAGGAUUCCUAACCAUAUCAUACAAGGACUCCACAUAAUUAGACAUUCACUAUAAUACAAAUUGUUUAUAACAAAUUCAUCAUUUUAAAAGAGUUGUACAUAAAAUUAUGUUGUAAUAAAUGAAAAAUAGAUAUAAGAAAAAGAAAAAACGUGUCUAGUAAAUUUAAACAAAAAUAAAUAAGAAAAAAAUAACAUAAAAAUAAUGAAAAAGAGAGGAUGAUCCAAGCCCAAAAGUUGAGCCCAAUCCAAUCAUUAAAAAGGGUUAAUAAAAAAAAGAAGGCGAGGAAUUGCUGCACAUGGAAUUUGAACCCACGAUGCAAAAGCCAUUGCUAAACCCCUUAUGCAUCGAGUACAACUUCUCACUUAUUUUCAAGGGAUUGAUUUUUAAUACAUGUACAUAUAAAAUCAGAAUUUGACCCUAUUUAUAUAAUGUCAAUUUUCGACCGAGGAAAUUCGGGUGAACCCUCUAGACACAACCUAGGUCCAGCCCGGUAUAUAUAUACAUAUUUUUGAAAGUACAAGGUAAACUUUAUCAAAAGGAUGACAUAACAAGUUAUAUUAAGAAUUUUUAAAAAAAUUGUUGAGUUACCUCCUUGAAAUUAGGAGAGAAAUAUUAAUUAAAAAUAAGGAAAAUACCCUGUUUAAUGAAAAUCGAGCCUACCCACAUUUUUUUCUACAUACAAUAAAAAGUUAUUUCAUGGUGAAUAAUAAUGAUAGUCAGAUUUAUUCUUAUUUCGGUCUUUCUCAUCCCUCCCAUUACCCUAAUUUGAGCCGCCUUCACCAUCCAAAUAUUUUUUCUUAAAAUGAUAGAAAGAUUAUUAAUUCAACGAUCUACAUGUUUAAAAAUUAGUUUUGAUAGAUUCAAUUAAUUUUCUCUUAUGCCUUUUUGUCACUCAGCCAAUUGAAAAAGAAUAUUUUUUCCUUAUUCUACAAAAAUAUCAAAUGUAAAAAACAUAUGCAAGUUUGAUUAAAUAGUUGAAAUUAACAUAAAUCUAUGUCCCUUCAAAAGCACGUGAUAAAAGUUGAAACAAUAUAAAUAGCAACGUAUAAUUAUCCAUCCCCCUUUAAAUAAACAUAAACAUCUCUAGGGUGAAAACUAAUCGAAUAUAUGACAUAUACUUUAUAGCAAGAACAAAAAUAAAGAAUCUGAUUUGAUAUUUCAUUAACACGCAAAACUCAUUUAAUUAACUAUUGAAAUUACAUAAACAAGUAUAGAAUGGACUUAUAAUCACAGGAAAAAGAGAAAUUUCAUAUUCACUAGACAAAAGAUGAAUCUAAUAAGAGGUCAAUUUUAAAACAAGAACAAAAAUCAUAUGAAUUAAAUCUCCUUUGAAUGAAAAUCACACAAAACUUACUUAAAUAAGAAAACCAAAAAUAAUUCUAUAUAUAGAUUUGUAGAAACUCUACCUUCAUAGUCACAAGACUUCAACAAAUCAAUCAUUUUAGUUGCAUUAUCUUUGACAUGAUCAUCUAACAUCACGUAAACUUCGUCCAUUAUAUCAUAACAAGUAGUUGUCAUUGAGCUAUUUGCUUCAAGAAUUUGAGAAGAUGAAAUACAAAAAAUUAUUUGCUAUAUAGAAGAUUAAGUUUAACAGAGAAACACUUUGCCCUUUUCGUGGCGUUAUAUAGUACUUACAGUGGGCAGUAAGUAUGUUUAAAUAGCGAUCUUAAUUCUUAUAUUAUAUGUUUAUUUCAUGUUUGGUCCCUACAUAAUUCGAUUAAGCGUAAUUAACCUUCCAUUAAUAUAAAUAUGUGAUUUUCAUCCUUCAAACUCAUAAAAAUUAAAAACUUGACAGAGACAUUUAUUUUAAUAAUAUAAGGACUUCAUUCAAUAAAAAAUAUUGAAAAAAGUAAAGUUAUAAAAUUCAUUUUAAAAUACUAAUCCAGGACUUUGAAGCAAGAAGAUGAUGACGAAAAUUGACAAAUGACCAUUUAAGCAUUUAUACUUGGUUCAUAUAUAUAACUAUCAUUAAUUUGAUGGAUUAAAAUUGACCGUUUAUAUUAUUUUUAAGACUAAUAACGCAUAUAGUCGAAUUCUACAUGGAUCAAAACUUAAAUAUAUAUAUGACUCAAGGGUCAAAAUAAGUAUUUGUCGUACAAAUCUUUUUAAUUUGACUUAUGUAGUUAUUGUUUUCUUUCUUUAAUCAAGGAAAAGAUAUAAUUUUGACCUCUUUUUUUUUCUUUCACAGGUUUAGUAUGAAGGGCUAUGUUUUCUUGAAAAAGAAUAGUUUUUGGUGUUGAUAAACUGAGUGUCCAAAGAAACUUUCGAUCAUAAGAAAAAAUCACUUUUGAAAGAUCCAAAAUUUCAAAGAUCAUGCUCAUACUUAUUCUAAUUCACCAAUAGGUACGUCAACCUUCCAUCCAAAGGAAAACUAAAAUGAUACUUUGGUGUAAUUAAACGCAUAAAGUCUUAACCCCAUCUUUCAAAUAUAUAAAAAAAAUGUGUAUAAUAACAAAAUACAUAAAAAAUAAGUGUUAUCAGUAAAAAAACAUCCAGUUGAAUACAAUCGUCUAAAAAUUUUAAUUUUGUCUAAAAUAAUAAAGUCAUGAAAGUAAAGAUAUAUGAAGUAUGACAUCCUUUUGAAUGUCAAGUAACUUACCAAAGCUCCCAAAGAAGUAUUGUCUUGAAUGAAAUAUCAACAAGGCCACAAGUGUUUGGAUAUUCAUAAAAAGAUGCAACAAAAUAGUAUAAGUAAGACAAUGCAUGUACUUAGUAAGCGUCGUAGGCUGAUUUAGAUAAAGUUAGAUAGCCAUAUCAUAAGAAGUAUGAAUUGUACCAAGACUAGUUCAUAAGUUCAAUUCAUUACAUGUCAUGAUCCAAAAUCGGACUUUGAGCGAUGAAUAUACCAAAGGAUAUAACUAUACGGAAGCACUAAGAAGAAGAGGAGAGGUUUGUUGCAUGAAUAUGUAUAAAAUAAUAUACAAAAAGGGGUAUGAAAGUGACUGAGAAAGAAAAAUUAUAUACAAGAACCAACUCCAAACCUAGUAUCACUAGCACAAGAGCGUCUAAACACAAAAAAAUUCUAUAAACAUCAAAUUUGUCUAAUAAAAACAAAAUACACAUAGACAAUAACAAAAUAGAAAAAACAACAAUCUCUAAAAAUCAAAAGCUCACUAUAAUCAGAUCAUCAACAACAACAUAAUAUUUGAACUUAGCGAGGGUGGCUUCUACUAUGAGUUCCAUCACAAAAAAAAAGUGUAGUAUGAUUAUCAAAAUAUGAAUUACUAAGUAGGCAUCAUAUGUCGAUUGAGUUCAAUAAAAACUAUAUAAACAAAGAGACACAAUAAUGCUAACACUACAUCUUAGCAGCUAAUGAGAGAUAUAUCGACCAUGAUAGUGAAGAUAAUAACAAUAAGCGCAUAGCAACUAAUACAUGACAAUCAUGAUCAAAUAGAUAACAUGACGAUGCAAUGCAAAUGUGGACCGUGCAUAAAAAUAGAAUUAAAAGCUCGAACAUACACAAAGAAAAUCACACAAUCAUACCAAACCAACCUUAACGGAUAAACUUAAGUUUCAAGACACAUCGAAAAAUUCUAAGAAUCCUAUAUUGUCAACCAAGACUAAGUCUAAUCUUAAUCAACGGCUUAACGACUAAAAGCAACUAAGCUAAAAGCAUGUAAGUGGCCAAAAUACAACUAAGGAUGAUAAAAAUCUAGAACGUCAUCCUUAAAGCUUUCUAAUGAUCAAUCCUAUUCAAUUUAUGUAGAAUCCACUAGCCCAAGUUUAAAAGGGAGAAAAUUAUAACCUAUUUCAAGAAACUACACUCGAAUCUCUACUCGGGUGCUUUUUCUGUAUGAAGAGCCUCAGAACACAGUCACACUAUCAAAAACAAAAUAUGGUCAUUAAUAUGGACAAACUAUAUAUACCCAUAUUGAUGUUAAAAAUUUCAAACUUGAAAUCGGGUUAAAAAUUGAUUCUCAAAGUUCGACAACAAAACGAAAAAAGAACUCUAUUAAACAAAAAAUCUGUAUAAAUAUAGUAACUGUAGAUUGUGUAUCUAAUUUUAUGAGAAAUAUUCGAUGAGAUAUUAUAUAUUCAAUUUCAUGUAUAUAUGUUCUUCUUUCUGGAAUCAGAGUAAGAGAAUAGGGCAUUAUAUGUGGAUUACAAGCACCACACACUUCAAAUCCUGCCACAAACAAAUGUUUGGCAUUUAAGUAGAGAAUGGUAGAAUAACAGCCCAUUAUCCACUCAUUUUCAACUUAGUGCCAACAUACCCUUGAGGAUUUCUUGGUUAUUAAAAAAAACGACAUCUUUUUUUUUUGAGUUAAACAAUAUAUCUAUUAGUAUUACAAAAAAUGUAUGUAAAAAUUACAACGAAGACCAGGAGCGAAUGUGGACUAUCCACGCCACUAAAACAAGGACAUCGAAGACUAAGCCUAUCCUAUUCAACCUAAAAGGCCGGAGAGCACAACUCCAGUUUACAACUAUCUACACUAGGAAUGACAAAAAACAGAAUACAUCAAAAAAAUAUCCACAAUGAAUUAAGCCUAUAGCAGUGUUGUGGACGGCGAGAGGCGACAAAAGGCGACAAGGGCCUGCCUCGCCACGCGGCGAGGCGAGCGGCGAGGCGCUUGCCUUUUUGAAUAAAGGCGCCAAUUAAUACCAAAAAUUAAAAAUAUUUAAUUGCAUAUUUUAUCCAAAGUCUUAAUAGCAAUAACACAUAUUAGCAAAUAUUCAAUUCAAAAACCAAUAGAAUGUCUAAAACUUUAAAGACCAAACAAUUCAAAAUACAAUAAACCAAAACUUUAAAAGUCUAUUCUUCUUCAAAAUUAUCCAACUCUUGAAGAUCAAAAUCUUCUACAUCAUUAUAUUGCUCUUCAUCUUCUUCCUCCACGUAUUCUUCAUCAAUUAGUGUCCGAGUCCUACUUGAAGAUGAACUUAAAGAUGUACUUUCUACUCCUUUGCCCUUGUCAAGUACUGUUGAUCUUGAAGAAAGUCCCCUAAGAUGAUAGAUACUCUCGUCCGCUCCAAUUGCCGUAGCAACACUACCCCAAGUAAGAUCAUCAUCUUCAUAUACUAGUUCAUCAUCUUGAUCUUCGGGGCAUCCAACUAACCAUUCGUUGGAAUCAUCUAUGUUAUCCAAGCGAAUUGGAUCAAUAAGAUCACGAGCAUCAUAAUGGAGUUUCAAUGUUCUAUUGUACUUAAUGUACACUAGAUCAUUGAGACGCGAUAGUGUAAGCCUAUUCCUCUUUUUGGAAUGAAUCUGUGCAUAAGUUAUUGAUAUUAACUAGUUGAUAUUGAUAAUAAUAUAAUAUGAAAAAUAGGAUAUAAAUUUUUACUUACGUGUUCAAACAUACUCCAAUUUCGCUCACAUCCAGAUGAGCUACAAGUUAGGCUUAACACUUUCAUGGCAAACUUUUGCAAGUUUGGUGUUUCACUACCAAAUAGUGACCACCAUUCAACUAUAAUAAAAUAAAUUUAAAGGUUAGUGACUAUAAGUAAGUCAAAUAAUAUAAGUAAGAAUGUAAGAUCUAAAUCAACCCACUUACCCGGUGACCUUGUGUCUCUAGCUCUUUUAGCCGGACCACAACCAAAUAGUCCAUCCGCCAUUUUGUACUUAGGAAGCUCAGCGAUUAGUGCAUCUUGUAUUGUUGUAUCACGGACCAACUUCUCAACACAUGCAUAAUACUCGGUCCACAAACUCUAUAAUAAAGUUCCCUCUUCUUCAGCUUUAUAAUAUAAUCCUGGGUUCAAAACAUGGCCUGCAGCAUGCAAAGGCCGAUGGAGUUGUUCUGACCACCUUGCAUCAAUAAUUUGAAACACUUUCUCAUAAUGCUUCUGAAUUCCACGAAAACCAUGUGCAAUAGCUUCUUUGGCUCUAUCCAUUGCCUCAUAAAUAUAACCCAUUGGUGGUUUUUUCUCCCCAUCCACCAAACGAAGCACUUUUGUCAAAGGGCUACAAACUGUAAGUGCCCGAACAACAUCAUUCCAAAAGUGGAUAGAAAUAAGAAGAUUGGCAACUUCUUUCCCUGAAGUUUCCUUUGCAAAUUUACUUGAAUUCCAUUCGGUUGAGAGGACUAAAGUUUUCAAGUUUUUUCUUUGAAUGUACAUAGCUCUCAAAGUUAAGAAUGCCGUUGCAAAUCUUGUCUUGGCCGGUUUCACCAAAUUUCUUUCUUUGGUGAAUUUUCUCAUCAAGUUUAACAACAAUGACCUUUGACUAAUGUAAGAAUGGAUUCUGAUGGCCUUCUUAAAAACUGUUAUAGAAAGAUUAAAUUAAAUUAAUUAGUAGCUAAUGAAUUAUUGAGUAUUGACUAUUGACUAUAAAGAAACUUAAUAAAGUUAAAGGAUAGGUUGAUUACCGGAAGCAUAUGGCUUAACCUUGAAUAUGUCACCAAAUAUCAAGUUGAUGCAAUGAGCGGCACAUGGAGUCCAAUAAAUGUGUGGAUACGCACCCAUCAUCAUACUUCCCGCUUUGACAUUCUCACUAGCAUUAUCGGUGACAAUUUGUACCACAUUUUCUGGUCCAAUUCUUUCGAUAGUGCUUUCAAAUAACUUGUACAUUUUGGUGGAAUCGGUAGAUUCAUUGCUAGCAUCAACCGAACCAAGAAAUACACUACCGAUUGGAGAAUUCACCAAAAUAUUGAUGAUCAUUUUGCCAUUUCGUGCCGUCCAUUUGUCCAUCAUAAUGGAACAACCAAACUUUGUCCAUUGCACUUUAUGCUCCUCAACAAUUUUUUCUACUUUAUCCACCUCUUUUUUAAGGUGAGUGACUCUAACUUCAUGGAAUGUAGGAGGCUUCAUUUCGGGGCCAUGUUGUCCAACCGCCUCAAUAAAUUUAUCGAAUGAUUUGUGAUUGACGCAAUUAAAAGGGAGCCCGGCAUCAUGCAUCCAAAUUGCAAAAGCACUUACCGCACGCUCUCUUAGAAUUUUCUUUGUUUCUUCGAUUCCUCCUCCUUUUUCUAAGCCUCCUUUUUGUGUUGAUUUUUGUGAAAAAUAGAGGUUCAAAGGUCCUUUCGUCACACUCCGUGCAGUGGAUGAACCUCCACUAGAAGAUAUCCUUUGAGUUUUGGAGGGAGGCCUCAUUUCCGCAUAAUCAUCCAUUUCAUCAAGAUCAUCAAUAUCAACAAAUUCUUCCGGUUGCCUCAUUCGAAAUUUGGGAUUAUUAGCUAUUUUGCUUUGCAUAUAAGCCCUUAUUUCUUCUCUAAUUUCCGACGGACAAGCGGCACAUUGUUUAACAUUUUUGAAACCACCCACUAAAUGUUGUUUAUGUCGCGUUAUUCCACCAUUGAAAGUACUCCCACAAAAGUUACAAGUGACCGAAUCUUUCGUCGCUCCUUGAGUGCCGUAAUUCCAUCCAAUGUCCCUCUUUUUGCUAGCAUCCACCAUUGAUUAUCAAAUUCAAUUAAUUCGCUGUUUAGGAAUAUUGGAAUAAAUAAUUAGGUCUUAGGAAAAGAAUUUUUUAAAAAAAAUUAACACUUGUUACAUUUACUGAGUCCUCACUGCCUGAGUCCUCACUGCUGCUUACGCAGCUUACCAAAAUAAAAAAAAAUGAAGAAGAAAGAACAGAAAAAAUAAGAACAGAAGAAGAAGAAGAACAGAGACGCGACAUUACCUGAAAACAGAGAGUCGCGAGGUCGCCGGUGAGGGAGAAGAGACGCGACAGCGAGGGAGAGCGAGGAAGCAGAGACGCGACAGCGAGGAAGCAGAGACGCGACAGCGAGGGAGCAGCGAGGGCCGGCGAGGGAGCAGCGAGGGCCGGCGAGGGAGAAGAGAAGAGUCAAUCGAUCGAUCGAUCGAUCGAGAGUCGCGAGUUUCAGAAAUUUUCGAAAGUAAAAAAAAAAACCCUAAUUUUGACUAAUAUUAUUAAGUCAAAAUUUUUUUAAUCAAAAAGGCGGCGCCUUUCUCUCGCCAUUUCAGCGCCAUUAUCGCCAGGGCCUCGCCUUUUUCUCCUCGCCUCGCCUCGCCAGAGAAUGGUGAGCCACCCUCGCCUCGCCUCGCCUCUCGCCUUUGGCGACGAGGUGAGCGCCUUUCAUAACAUUGGCCUAUAGAUAAGGAAAACAAUUGAGAUCAUGUAGUGCCUGCUUUCACAUGACUAGCCAUUCACCUUUGAUGGAUAGAUGUAGCACAAUUUUCCUGCGGAUGUGAUCAACAUCACAUCUAGAGCUUUGAGGUCUUAUUUUAUUCUUUUCUCUCCAUAUAAAAGCACUGGCAAUGGCAAAAAUAGAGCUAACAAAUGAGUACUUUGUUUCUAGAGAUAUUGUUUUUUUUGAGAAUGAAUUCUUGUUUAUCCAACAAGUUCCCUGUUCUUAUGAGAAUAUUGAAAAAGUAGUCGAAAAUGGAUUUGUUGAUGAUGGUUUUGUGAGAGAUAUUGGAGUUGAGCAUGGCUAACAUCAACCGGUGAUUAAUAUGCCUGAUUCACAAGUUAAUGAGGUGCAAGAUGCUCAAGAAAUGACGAAAGAAGACAUGUCUAGUAUCCAAGAGGUAGAGGGCAGCGAAGAACAAAAUAAUGAACCUCAAUUGGGUCGUGGACAUCGAAUAAAACAACAACCUGCUCACAAUAGGAUUAUGUUGCUAAUACCAUCUGAAAAUUGGUUCCUUCCACUAGUUCAUCUACUACAAUGCAUACCUCAGCUAUGCCUUACCCAAUAACACAUUAUGUGACUUGGGACAUAUUUUCUUUGUGAUAUCGAAAACAAAUAUGAAAAAUACAUAUAUAGCGAAAAAUACAUAUUUUUGUUUGCUACGGAACGCAAUUAUACAAAGUGUAACUAUAACAUACAAAUGUAAUUUUUAUAUUUGCUAUAUGGGAAAGUUAUAUAUACUAGAAUGUCACCCAGAAUUAAGGCAAUGGCACCAGGAAUUAAGUCAAUGGGCCACCCAGAAUGAUACCUCAAACUUAUUAGUAUGAAAGUAGCCAAAAAGUACAUACAAUCAUGAAAAUAAAUAUUUUCCUUCCCUUUAAAUCAUAAAGUCUCAAGAGCUUCCGAAUUCGUAUAACUCAUUUUGACCAUUCACAAGGCUAUAUCGAAGAUAAGCGACCAAAUGCAACUACCAUGCUCAAAUAUCAUCACAAACCUCAAACCUCAUUAUCAAAACCACAACACAAAAGACACAUUUAGCUAAAUCCCAUCACGACACAAAUGUACUAACACAGAACUCUAGCUAGUCCAAGUUCACAACCUUGGGUUCAACAAUUGAUAUUAGCACAAUUUAUAAGGUAAGAAAUACCACAUUAGCAACUAAAAAAUUCAAACCAAGAAAAACACGUGUUAAAAUAAUUUCACGCCCCUUAGAAGCCAUUUCUAAGGAUACUAAAUGAUACCAUCACCAAGGAUCAACCUAAACUAAGACAUUCCGGCUAAAACUACACUAAGUAACCCAGAAAUGGUCAUAAAUCGACUAAGAAACAAGUAAACCCAAGCUAAUCCUAAAUUCCAAUCUAACAUACUAUACUACUCAAUAUAUAAUCAAUCUAAAUGAGACAAGUCUAAGGAAAGGGAAAUCAUUACCUACCUCGAGACCAAAGUUGAACCUCUAAUUCAGUGUUUUUCCCUUCUGAAGGACCUUUGAAUGGUUCCAGCUAUCAACAACGCAAUGGGAACACAAAAACAACCACAAUAAUACUCAUAAUAAGAAUUUGAAAACAGAAAUAUAACCCCAAUUACACAAUCUGGGAACUAUAUACGAAGUCAUAAAAUUGACUCUUUAAUGAGUUCUCAAAUUGUCCAAGGAAGUUGUGCCCCAAAAUGGCCACAAUCCAAGCCACCAUUGAGAAAAUACUGCCCCUCCAAUAUUAAGCUCAACAGGAUCAAAUAUGGAGAAUUAAAGAGGAAAUUGAUAGAAUUACCAAGGUCAGCGGAAGAUUCAAUGACCCCAAAAUGUGCCCACGCAAUUUCCCGAUGCAACUCACCAACAAUCAGUCUACUCCACCAAGUAAAGCUCUAAAAAUUGACAAAAUAUCAAUCUUUAUUUGAAGAAUGCAUGUUGAAAAUGAACUUUUAAAAAUUAUAAAUGCCAAUUGAUUACCCCUUCGUGAAUACCGUGACCAUCCAUGUUAACCCUUUGGGAAUGAAACGAGAGGUUGGAACACUCAGUUAGGAACAAUAACCCUAUGUGAUCGUCGAGAGACUCACACAAACAGAAUUGUAUCAGCAGGUUAAAUGUCACGAUCUAAAGUAUACCCUUAACAUCUCGUAACUUGAAUAAGCGUAGAACCAAAAAUAUUCAUGUUUGGAAAUAAAGGAAAAAAUAUGGAAAAUUUUCUAAUUUUAAAAAGUGAGUUUUUGUUAUUUUUCAAAUGGCCAUAACUUCUAGUUCGGGAGGAGUUAGGAUUGUUGACACUCAAUUUUGGACCUUCAGAAUAUAAAUUAAUCAUUGAGUUUCUUGAAUUCCACGUGAUUUGAAAUAAUUAGUUUUUCUAAAAAAUAUUUUCCAAGUUAUUGUUAAUUUAUUUUGUAACUUUUAAGUAGUAUAUAUCCUUUUAUAUAAUUUUGUAUAUAAUUAGUAUAUUUUAUAAACAUGUCAAUAAAUCAUCUCAAAAAAGACUUUAAUUUAGUAAGUAUUUUAUCAAAUUAGUUUAGUGUAAAUUACGGUUGUAAUUUUGAAUUAUUAGUUUACAAUUAAGUCAAUUAUUUUAUUUCGUUAAGAUUAAGAAACUCGUUAAUUAAUAAAUAUGAAUUGAUCUUAUUUAGACCCUAGUCGAAUUUGUUAAUUUAAUUCAAUUAGGCUAUUUCUUAAAUCCCAAUCUCACCUCUUCGCUUAUGUCACUUUUAAACCCAUCUCCAAAUUCCAGCCCGCUUGUCCCUUGUCUCAAAUAAAUUUCAGCAGUCCAACUUCAUAGAACGUACAAAUGCACAAACAGUGAAUCACAUGUUUGUCUUUCUUUGACUCUUGUGCCUAAUAAUGCAUCAGUGAAGCUACUUCAAUAUUAUAAGUUAGUCGCCAUAUGUGUUGGCUCGAUUUGGUAUCUUUAUGUUCAACUGAAACUCUGUUUGAGAUGAUCCAUUUUUCGUUUUGUGUCAAUGAAUAUGUUAGCUGCACCGUUAUGUUUUGAGCCACUGCCUUUAUCAUUUUGGUGUAGCCUCUGUUUUCUUGCCUUAGUUGCAUACAGAAUUUUGACGAGAAGAUCACUGAUUUAUUAUGUAAAAAUGCCAUAGAUUUUUUUUCUUGUUUUCCUCUUGUCAUGAAAUGAUUUCAUUCCAUAUAGGGAGCCUAUUCUAUUUGUUAUUUGCUAAUUAUAAGAAUGAUGUGAUUUUUUCUUACUUGUUUUUAAUUCCUUCAUUAACAAUAUUGGAUAGAGGACAAUUGCGUGCAUUCACUUAUGAUCCUUGUAUAAUAUUGGCAGGUCGAACUAAUCACAUACAUAUCUUGCUUUAUUAUUUUUUAUGCACUUUGGUUUUAUUGUAUAGCUCUAAAAUAUGGCCAGACAAUAAUUUCUAUCUUGUUUCUCUCUUUUUACUGUGUAUGAACUCGUUCCUCCUGAGACCAUGGUGUACUUCUUUCUUUGCAUUUCCGAAUGGGGCCCCAAAUCCUCUUCUUCCCUCCAGUCAGCCCCCAUUGCAAAUCGUGAGGUACAUGAAUAGUUUGAAGACCAUAAAUAAGGGCUGGAAAUUGAAACACAGGCGUCCGGAAGGCGAAAAUAGGCUGUAUACAUACUGUAUACAACGUUUAUAUGGCUAAAAAUGCAAAAAUGCAGAGAUGAGGCAAAAUACAGGUGUCCGGAAGCAGGAUAUACAUGAAAAAAAUGAGCUGUAUACAUUCAAUAUACACUAAUAUACAGACGGUGUAUACAAAAAUGGAAUUGGGUUAAAGCGCAAAAACUUGCAGCGAAAUUGGCCCAGUUGUAUUAUCUCUUUUACUCUUCUAAUUGUUUUUUGAUUAUGCUUGACUAAUUUUUUAACUCUAACCAUAGAAUAUUUUAUUUAACUUAAUUAGAUUCCCCAAAAAGGAUGAGUUAUUGUUGUUAUGUUGGUUUACAUUUAAUACUUUUUUUUUUGUGUCAAUUGAAUUAAAUCUCUUUCUUCUUAAAAAAGACGUGUUAUUUAAUGUUUUUCAGCUAACACACUUUUAGCUUAUUUAAAAUUAUAUUUCAAGUUAAGGUUUCUAAAAAAAAGAACUUUAAAAACGUUGUUUCCUUUACUUGCUCAUUUUUCUUAAAAAGGGGGGGGGGGGGGGGGGGGGAGGGGAGGGAUAGUCAAAGCCUUUUCUUUACUCUUGAAUGAACUCAAAAUAGUUUUUAUGUCUUAAUUAAUCAAAUUGGAAUCAUUGUUAUAACUUAGGUUAUAUAUAUAAAUAACAUAAGUCGUAGGAUAAUCGCGUGUUAGCGGGUGCUUCAAAUGCCUUAAAACCCUUCUUGAAGCGUAAAUAAGAAUCUCUUACCCAUUUUCUCUAAAAUUAUUAAUAUUUAAUUUGUUAAAAUAUUUUAUAUUAAAUUUUCUUAAUUUCUUUAAAAAAUUAAGUGGAGACUCUUUUCUAAAUAUUUUUCAAAUUAUUUUAUACUUAGAACAUUUCAAAAAGUGAUUUUUCUAAAUAUAGUAAAAUUAUGGCAUAACAAUGGUCAAUUCUUUAUACGGUUGGAGAUCUCUUGGGAAGAUCCUUACAAUGUGGCCGAGUUUUCUCGAUUUCGAUGUCAUAUGAGGAUGAUGUGCCUUGUGGAAGUUGGGUUGUUGGAUUGAGGAAAGUCCAAUACGGAUUUUAGUAAGAGUAAAGUGGUCUUUUCACCCUACUAUUUUCCAAUUCGUUUUAAGGACUUAUUAGGGUUAAAACUAAGCCUUAAUUCAGUUUUAGAAAAGUUGAAUAUGCUUAGGGCUUGGGAGAAAAGAGAAAAAAAGAGGAAGACCAAGAAUCAUUCAAGAACGCUAAGGUUUCGCAAGUGGAGUUCAUCGGGGGUGAUCCCUAUCGAGGUAUGUGAGAUCUUCUUGUGUUGGGUUCGUUCACCCACACACCAACAUGUUUAAUUCAACGAAUUCUGAAUAUAUUGAAUGAUGAAUAUUGAAGUUCUUGAUGAACAAUUGUUGAAUUCUUGUUGGUUGAGUUGUAGUAUGCCUUUAGUUGUUUUGAUUCGUGUUUCCAGGAUAUUUUACGAGUUUAAACUAUUGGGUAUUGAGAAUUUUAGUGAUCCUAAGUGUUGGGGAAAAAUCCAUCGAAGUUUAGAAGGUUUAGAGUUAAAAAUCGGAGAAGAAAAGUCGAAAAUCCCGUCUGACAGACCCUGGGGCAUCACGCCUGCCAGAGCGCCUCAGACCAUAGUCUGUCCGUUAGGCUCUGGCGCUCUGCGCCUCUCAGAGCGCCAAGGUCACCUUGAUACCCCAUUCUUUACCUAUCUUUUCAUACUAGUUCCUAAGUGAUGUACCCACAUUUCUUUGUUGAUUGCAACACUCUAAAGUACAUCUAAACAUUAUGAAAUCAUCCAUAAACAUUAGAUCAUGAUCUUUAAAUCCAUAAUCCAAUUCAAGUAAAGUUAAGAUCAAAGUUAAAGAAGUUAAGAGUCAAGUUAAUGGUUAGGAAGCAAGUCAAAGUUAGUUCCGAAAGUUUCCAAAAGUAUCUAACAAACAUUUUUAACUUUGUUUUAAGACUCAAGUUACAAGUUAAGCAAGAGUAAAAAGUUGAGUUUCUUCUCAAAAGUUAUAAGGGGACUAAGUAAUCCCUUAGAGUUACAAAUGUUUUUACACUUAACCAAGUAAAGAGCCUUCGGGCUAGUUUUAAGACAGAAGUAAUAACUUUAUAAAAUGAAGCAAGCAAGGAAACUAUGAUUUCCAAGAGAUCUUUUAAAGCUAUGUUUUGAGCAAUAAUCUCAAACCACAGAAUCAGUAUGUUUUAAAAACAUAAGAGUCAGUAUAUUUUGGAGUAGUAUUGAGCACCGAUGUGAGGAUGCGAGUUUUAUAUUAACUCAAGCCUCCAUGGAAACCAUGUAAUCAUCAUGGGUAGAAGAAGAUCAUACUUUUUUAGAUGAACCUUUUUCCACAGAAUACUAGUGGAUCCAUUAGGCAAUUCAGGUCCUAUACUCUAGCAAGGUUAGGAUGGUCAGGUAGCGUGGGCUGAUUAAAGUUGUAUUAUCAAUAUAACUCUUAAGUGAUGGUUAUCGGUUAGAGAAGGUCUCACAGAAGUUAUUGUAUUUUCAUAGUUAUCAGUUCUUUGUAUUUUUACAUACAUCUCAGAGAUUUAUUAUAUCCAUUAUACACUCAGUGUUCACAAUAUGUUUUUAGUCAGCUUUUCUUUAUAUUAAUUUUACUCUUAAAUUGCAUUAUAUUGAAAUGAGUAGUUACUCAUGAGUUGAACAGAACCAAGGUAAGUGUUCCUUCUUACUACUUUCCCAACUUAAGUGUUGUUUUAGCAUUCCAACUUGCAUACUCAUACAUUCAAUGUACUGAUGCCAGUUGGUAUUCAUCGUAUUAUGAUGCAGACUCAGCUAACUAGGAUCAGUAAUCAGCGCACCAUUGAUCUAGUGAGCAGCUCAGAGUCAGUUAGUAAGCCCUCCUUCAUUCAAGAGGACAUCUUUAGUUUUAGCUAUUUGCUUAGUAUUCAAUUAUUUGGAUGAUUGGGGUUCUGUCCAACAUCCAUCUUUAUGUUAGAGACUUCGUAGAUAAAUUAUGUUGGUGUUUCUUAGUCUUUCCUUUCACUUGUAAUUGUCCAAGACUUGGGUUGCCACUUUUGCUAAUUACUUUCCUUAAAAUUAUUUCUUGAGAUUAUAUCUUGUGUUAAGUCUUCCGCUGCGUUAAGUAAGUCAGGCCAAGGGUAUGCUCAAGGUCAGAAAUGGUCAUUGGGUGCCGGCCACUUCCAGGAUGUAGACUUGGGGUGUAACACGUAAAAUGGCAUAUAGAACCCUGAGAUACCCUAGACAAGACACUUACAUACAUCAUACAAGAUAAUAUAUUUUAAGAAACAUUCUUAUAUCAUAAAAGAGUUUGACAAAAGUGAAAGUCUAACACAAGUCUCAUCUCAUAUACUGUUUGAAAACUGAAAUAAAAGAAGCGAUAAAAUUGUCUUGGUCCUCAAAACAUGAGGAUUCACCUAUUCGUGAUUUUUCAAAGAUCAACUAGCCACGAGUGUGAGAGGUAGGAGCGUUAGACCCUACAUUAGUGAAACAAUGUAGACACAAGUAUGAAUUAGUACAUGUAAUAUAUUAAGUACGAUAACAAUGCAUAAGAGUUAUGUAAUCAUUCUAAAAAGCACAUGGCAUGACAUGUAAUGACCAAGCUAAAUAAUAAGAUCAAUGGAUAGAAAAUAUAAGUCAUAAUCAUGGUCAAUGCAAGCUUAACUUCUUCGUAAACACUUGUGAGAUACUAGAAGUAAUAUUAAUUAGGGGAAUUUACCAUGUAAUCGAUAUAGACAAUGCGAGCCAUAUCUGGGAAUCCAGUGUCUAUACCAUUUCAAAAAGAGAUGUCAUUACUUGCCAAGGUAAGAACCAUCACUCUAAGGUAAAGUGGAUCCACUAGCUAGUGUAUAUCUGAGACCAAUCCUAUGUUGGCACAUAGUUUAUGGGAAAUGGAUAAUCACCGCAAGACCACUCAGUGCUAAGUAAAAUUCACAGAAUAGUCAUCAAUCACAGACAUAUUAUUAUCAAUAGAAAGGUACCAUUUACAAAACCAUUCCAACCUAGAGUUUAUUUAGAAUAGCUCCCUAGCUUGAUUUAACUUAGGUGAGAAAACCUUUCAACCUUAUAAAUAUUUUAUGUGAGAAAUCCUUUCCCAAUCAUGUUCAUUGUAGUAUGUGAGAAAACCUUUCACAAACAACAUUGACAUUUUACUCUCAAAGUAUCCUCAAAUCAUUUACAUAAACUUUACGAAAAUAUAUGUAUCAUCUUCAUAAUUUCAUCUUUCACACUUCAUCAGUUCCAUCAUGUGUUCAUCGAUAAAAAUCAUGGAUCAUGCAUAGGUUAAUAUAAUUCAACUUAAAAUUGUUUAGUUACUUCAAUUCAUCCAUAAAAAUAGAGAAAACAAUCAAUUAAAUCAUAAAUGGAAAAAACAAUGAAGCUUGAAUAAAAACCAAAUUUUGAAUUGAAAAUCUAACUUGUAAUUUGGAGAUUAUAGGAACCCUAUGGAGGAAAGGACUCCAUAGGUUAGUACUAACAUACCUUAGAGAUCAAUGCUCAUAAGAUAUGGUAAAAUUGAGACCUUGGUAAUCGAACCCUAACUUCAUAUUCCUUAGUCUUGGGGAGAAUAUUAGGGAAGAAUUUGAGGGAAAUUUUGAAAUUAAGUGAAUGAUUUAAAAUGGGUAGUUUUAAGACUUUAUUCGCUUAUAUAGGUCUUGAUAUAGGGUUUGAAACGACACAAUUUAGCUACAGAACACUUAGAGAAACAACUAAAAAUAACCCUAGCUUAAAAACCAACCGAGUCACCUAAAAUGAAAUAUUGGAUGGUUCGUACAAGGCCUUACUGUUGGUCUAGGGAAUGGUCUAAGAGACCCCACCCCCCGUAGAAUAUUAUAAAUGGUUGGGAUUGGUGUCGUAAAUGGGUUUUUCAACUAUAUAUUGGACGUUUAGGGAAUAAUCCAGGUGGUCUUGGGUCCUAACAAACCUAAAUGGCUAGCCCAGUUGCCUUAAGCGGACAGUAAUGCCCAAAAAAGGUCGUUUAGGGUGUCGUGAAGGUUUUCCGACUUAUGUUAGAUUUGUGGAAUUUUUUGUUAGCUCAAUUUAACCUUUGUAAAGCCCUAGGUGUUAUUGUCACCCUCUGAACGUGCCCAAGGGACCGUGAACAUGAAGAAAGGAAUAGUGUUGCAUCAGCAGCACUACAAUUGUUGCCCAGGAGUAAGGAUUCCCCAUACGGGAGCUCGAAAUUCAUCUGAAGUUGUGUCGACUUAAACAAACUAUUUUACCAAAUUAGAAAUGUCAAUGAAGACUCAAUGGAGUCAUCAAAACAAAAAAUAAUGUCAUAUAGUCAAAAUAAGUCAAUACUUACAAAGAAAUACCAAAUCAAACAACAAAACUCACAAACUCAUCCCGGCCACCUUGGAAUCUAAAUCAAAGGUUCCUCUAGACCAUACUUGGUAUCUCAGAGCAAACUGUGCUAAAAAAACAUUUUCAUCGAAGUUCUUUUACCUAGAAUAUCAACCAAAAUCAAACUUUGGUCAAAACUUCAAAGCUAAAACACCUAAUGGUACAAACUCAAAUUGACAGCCUCGAAACCCAAACCAAUCAUCACAAUAGACCAAAAUGACCCUUCCAAUGCUGAUAGAAUUGAAGGAAUCCUCAUUUGAUAUAUGAAUCUUCAGAUGUUGGUUAAAGUCAACUCUUUCACUUUGUUAGCCUCCAAUAGGGAAAAACCAACUUGAAGCUCUCCUGGCUACCUCAGUAAACGUUCUAAUCAAUCCAUCACCACAGACAAAAAGUUAUGGAAAGCGACAAAAUAAUAAAAGCAUGCAAAAGAUACAAAAAUGACAUGAAUGGCAUUACAGUUUCACAUAAAGAUCCGCACUUCACUUUAUGUAAUUUCUUUGCCUAACAACCUUAUUAAUAGAGUCAUUUUUACUUUCUCAUCUACUAAUCUUUUUUAGUUUUUGUUCUGCUCUUUCUCCUUAACUUGUAUUUUUCAUUCGAUAUAAUAUCAUUUUAUAGCCUCGUAACACUACCACAAAAAAUGAUUUUUAAUGACAAUUAAUUCUUAAUUGUUGCUACAUAUGUAUUUUUAACGGUAAUAACACUCUUUGUAUAUGUCCCUAAAGUAGUUAGAGAUAUUGGAUCUAAUGACAGUUAAAUCAUGCCGGUAAAGACUUUAGCACUGUUUAUUAAUAUGUUUAUUUAUUACCGUAAAAGUAGCUUUUGUUUUGUUCAUCAAAUAUUACGAAUACUAUUUUUCUCUUUAAAUAAAUUUUCAUUGCUUCCAACAAUUUUAAUUUUGCCAACAUCAUCAACAUUCAUCUGAUCUUCUUCUUUUGCUCCAUUUCUUGCUUUUUUUCUUUGUAUUUUUCCCCUCAAUACAAGUUGCCGAACACAUAUCACCAUUUCCUUGGUAAGUGAGUUUUUAAUUAAAAAAAGCAAGCUCCAUUUUUCGUAGCUUCCUUUAUUGAGAGUCAAUUUUGUUUAUCACAUACAAUUACAUAAUAAUUUAAAAAAGAUAGAUUUUAAAAUUGAAUUAUAUCAUACACUAUGUGUGUAACGACCCGCUAGGUUGUUUUGAGAACUAAGACUAGUUUGACUCCUUUUAAAAAUUUAAAGGGGUAUUUUUAAACUAUUCGAAACUAAGAAUAUUUAGUUGAUAAAAUUUUUAGUGAAGAAUUAAUAUAGUUAAUAGUUAGUGGGUCAUAUCCAUAAUUCAUUUAAUACCUUUCUACUUGACCCAUUAAUUGAUUUUGGUUAGUGGGGUUAGUUUAUUUAUUUUACUUAAUUAACAUUGACAGGGUAGAAAAAAAAGAGGUAGAAACUGAUUUUUUUGGGCAGCGUAGAUUACAGAACAAAGAGGAACGAAAUAAAAUAUUGAAGGUAAAAGUUUUUCCUUAACCGAUCUAUAUUCUGCAUAAGCAUGCAUUAGUGGUAAAAAUUGUUGGCGUGAAGAAUUUUUUGAUAUCGUAUUGUUUGUCGUAACUUGUUAUUAAAAGAGAUAUAACUUUAGUAAAAUUAUUAGAUUGAAUUGAAUGGAUGUUUAGUUAUUAAGAAUUCCUAAUGAUUGCCAUAUGUAGGAAUAUUUUAAAGUUGAAAUUUAUAUAUAGUCGUAGUUGCAGGAUUUGAAGAAAAAAAGGGGGAAUUGGCACGUUGCAGACAGAAUUGAUUUUUAGGAAGAAAAAGAAAAAAAAGGUCACGUUGGAGCAGUGGUUCGUCUUGUUUGUAAAUUAGAGGGGGUUGAUUCUUAUUUUAUACAUAUAUAAAAUUAAGAUAUUAGUUUGAUACAUUGAGAUAGGUAAUUAAUUAUUUGGUGUAUAUUAUAUAAUUUAACAUUGAAUUCAAGGGUAUUGGGAGAUGUAAAGUUAAGUUCUUGGCUUGAAAUUUAGCAAGUAUGAAAAAUUUGGCAUACCAAUAUAUAUCAAGAUUGGGAGCUUGGUUGGAAAUACGAGUGAGUUUAGCGUCUAUGAUAGACAUAUAAUAAUUUGAAUGUCUACAAAAAUUUGCUUACUUAUGAAUAUUGCAUAAUUGGUAGAUUGGGAACGUUCCGAAACUUUGCGAAAAGGGAAGGAACUAUCUUGAAGAUUCGUGGCACGAGGUUCGGCUCUUAAGGUAUGUUAAUACUUUUAUACUUUUCGAAGGACGUUUUCCUAAUUAAAGAUUAAAAAAUGAAAAUAGACAAAGGGGUAAGAGCGAAAGAUGGGGGGUCUCGUAUAAAUGGUGUGACGGGCAUUGGUACGAGUACCGGUGUUAUAAAACGGAAAAUUACUACUAUAGAAUGUGGAUUGUAAUUUGAGAAUGCCAAGCAUAUGGGCAUUAGGUGAUAUAUUAUUGACUUGAAAUCCUUGUGUGAUUGUGUUUUCUUUAUUACACCUGCAUAGUUGUGAUAAUCUAGGUGGUUAUGUAGUAUGUCGAUAUUUGACUGAUUCGGGUGCAUCAUUAUCCCCUUUAUCAAAAUAAUAUUGUGUACAUGCAUUGACAUGAGAUUGAGUAUAAGUUGGGCACGUGGAGAUCGUCCGUGCUGGGGAUGGUGAGAUGUUAAGAUUGUAAUUUGGGCACGUGGAGACCGUCUGUGUGAAAAUUUUUUGAUAUUAUGAUAGUGCGUCGAGAUCGUCCGCACAGACACGUGGAGAUCGUCCGUGUCGGUAUAUGGACCUCGCGAGUCCCCCAUGGGUCAUGAUCUCUCGAUGUAUUUCCGAGGAGUAUCAUGUAUAUACGGUUGAGUGAGUACUGGGUAUUCUGAAACGAUUCAUUACAUGAUAUCAUAUUGCAUUGCAUUUCAUCACAUCAUUUAUUUUGAUGAUUAUGUGUUUUGUUUUGUGUUGGAAAGUACUUGUUGUUUGAUUACCUUUAUUGAUGAACUUAAAUAGUGAGUGUAAUAUAUACAUACUUAUAUAAUUUAAGAAUUUUUUUUUAUAUAAACUCCCGUCAGUACUUCCUCAUUGUCGGUCAAUGAGACAUACUGAGUACAUGUGGUUUCGUACUCAUACUACACUUGUUGCACUCCUUGUGGUGCAGAUUCGAUUCCGAGUAGGAGCACAUCUCGAGGAGCAGUUUGAGUCCGAGUUUAGAGUGUCUUGGAGUUGUGGUGAGCUGCUUGGUUGUUCCAUGGCCCACAUCUCCGUCUAUCUUUUACUUAUUCUGUUAUUCAGUAUUCAGACAGGAUAUCCCUUAUGUUAGAUUUGUCUUUUUAGUUUCAGACUUGCAUCGUAUUUUAGAAGCUCUUGUACUUAUGACACCAAUUCUUGGGUAGUAUUUUUUUUUAGUUUUCCACAUUCGUACUUAUAAAGAACUCAGUGUUGGAGAUUUUACAAUUUGUUGUCUUUUCAAUUAUUAGUUAGUUAAAUUUGUUAAAAUAUGUUGGUUGGCUUACCUAUUGGUUGGGAACAUAGGUUCCAUCACGACUCGUGAUUUUUGAUCGUGACAAAUUUGGUAUCAGAGCCCUAGGUACAUCGGUCUCAAGAGUAGAAGAGCAAUGUUUAGUAGAGUCUUGCGGAUCGGUAUGAAGACGUCCAUACCUAUCUUCGAGAGGCUAUUGGACAUUUAGGAAAUAUUUUGUUCUUUAUUUCAUUAUCGUGCACACUUGACCUUGUAGAAAUUAUAAUCUUGAUAUCUCAUUCUCUAUCAGAUGGUGAGGAAUCGUACAUCGACAAGUGGUGGUCAUGAUCCUAUUCCUAUGCCUACUUCUGGGAACACUAUCCGAGGUAGAGGUAGGGGACGAGCUCUAGGUCGGAGUAGGGGUCGUAUUGUAGCACCUGUGGAUGGUCAAGUAACAGUAGCUACCCAGGGUCGUGAUAGGACCGUACCUCCUGAUGCAGAGGUUAUUCAUGGGGAGGUGCAAGAUCGUGUCGAGGGGGAUGGGCCAGCUCAGGCUCCACCCAGUACUAUUGUCCCCCAGUGCUUCAAGAUACCUUGGCUCGUAUGUUAGGAAUCCUAGAGAGGAUGACCCAGGUAGGAGUUUUGCCUGUCACUUCUGAUGGCUCACAGACCCGUGUUGGAGGUCAAACUCCAGAUACGAUAGUUGCUCUAGAUUUUCAGACUCUCAGGACUCAUCCAGCUGCCGUUGUAGCUCCUCGUUUGGAUAGUAUGGAGUUUCCAGAUAUGACAUCAUAUUUGGUGAACAGGCAAGCCUUCUAUGACUAUUGAUGAGCAAAAGAUGUUUGGGAGGUUCAGACUAAUGAAUCAUCUUACUUAUACUGGUGACUUAGCUGAGGAUGCAUAUGAAUUUAUAUUUAGUUGUCAUGAGAGGUUGCAUAAUCUUGGAUUAGUGGUCUCAUGGAGUUGACUACACAGUGUUUCAGAUGACUGGCUCUGCUAAGCAGUGGUGGAGGGAUUAUAUUAGUAGUAGGCCAUCUGGAUCCCAUCCACUAUCCUGGACUCAGUUUACUCAGGUAUUUCUAUCCAAAUUUUUUCCACACAGUGAGAGGGAGCGCAAGCGGGCCGAGUUUGAGGGUUUGCAGCAAAAUGGUAUGUCAGUUGCAGAGUAUGAGGGUAAAUUUCAUACCUUGGCUAGACAUGCUUCGAUGAUACUUCCCACAGAGGCUGAGAGAGUGAGAAGGUUUGUUAAAAGGCUGAUUAUUCUGAUCCGCCUAGGAGUUUCUCAGGUUGCUGCUUCUGGUGUUCCAGUCCAGAAAGUGGUAGAUGCUGCUAAGGAGUUGGAGAUGAUUCGGCGUGACGGAUUUGAGCAGCGAGAUGGCAAGAGGACUCGUUAUUCAGGUGAUUAUGGUGGUGCUCCGCCUUGGAGUCGGGGUUACUUGGGAAGAGGUUAUCACCCUCAGUCCAGCAGACCCAUUCAUGCUGCUAUACCAGCUUCUGAGGUUGGUUACGCUGGGCAUAACUCUUCGAGCUCGGUGCAUACUUUGCAGGGUUCAUCUUCAAGACCUGUAGUUCGUGGAGGGCAUCCUGGUCAUUCAGGUUCCUCUCAUCAGCCUGCGUCUCGUAGGAAUGCUUUGAGUGUGGUGAUAUAGGACACUUUGUGAGAGACUGCCCUAGGACCAGACGUGGUGGCUUACAUCAGGGUUCUCAGGCUUCGACUUACAGGGCUGCACGACCUCCAGCUAGGGGUGGUGCAUAAAAUGGUAGAGGUAGUUCUCAUUCAGGUAGAGGUGGUUCUCCUUCUGGUCGAGGUGGUGGUCGUGGAGGUUCAAAAUCUGAUGGAGGUCGUUCUCACUAUUAUGCUUUUCCGGGUAGGCCAGAGGCUGAGGCUUCAGAUGUUGUUAUUACAGGUAUUGUUCCGGUUUGUCAUCGACCAGCUACUGUAUUAUUUGAUCCAGGCUCUACUUAUUCUUCUGUGUACACAUAUUUUUCUCCUAGUCUUGAUAUAUUAUGUGAGUCCCUUGAUUUACCGAUACGUGUUUCUACUCUUGUCGGGAAUUCUGUAGUUGUAGAUCGUGUGUAUCGAAUAUGUAUUGUAACCUUGAUGGGGUAUGACACUCAUGAAGAUUUAAAAGUCUUAGAUAUGAUAGAUUUUGAUGUGAUUCUUGGUGUGGAUUGGUUAUCUUCUUACCACGCAAUUUUAAAUUGCCAUGCCAAGACAAUUACUUUAGCUAUGGUUGGAUUUCCUAUAGUAUAAUGGAGAGGUUCUCUUAGUCACCCUCCUAAGGAUGUGAUAUCAUUUCUUAAGGCUCGUCAAUUGGUACAGAGAGGAUGUUUAGCUUACUUGGCACUCAUUCGAGAUACUAGUGUUGAGACUCCUAUGCUUGAGUUUAUUCCAGUGGUGAGUGAAUUUUCAGAGGUAUUCCCGACCAAUUUUCUAGGUCUUCCACCAGAUCGUGAUAUCGAUUUUUAUAUUGAUGUGGAGCCAGGCACUCGGCCUAUUUCUAUUCCUCCUUAUCGUAUGGCACCAGCUGAAUUGAAAGAGUUGAAGGAGCAGUUGCAGGAUUUGUUGAGCAAAGGUUUUAUUAGACCAAGUGUAUCUCCUUAGGGUGCUCCAGUGUUAUUUGUGAAGAAGAAAGAUGGAUCUAUGUGUAUGUGUAUUGACUAUCGGCAGUUGAACAAGGUAACCAUCAGGAACAAGUAUCCGAUACCUCGUAUUGAUGAUUUAUUUGAUCAGUUGUAGGGUGCUUCAAUUUUCUCAAAAAUUGACUUGAGAUCUGGCUAUCAUCAGCUGAAGGUUAGGGUGGAGGAUAUCCCUAAAACGGCUUUUCGAACACGUUAUGGUCAUUACGAGUUUUUGAUGAUGUCUUCCGGAUUGACUAAUGCCCCAGCACCUUUUAUGGACUUGAUGAAUGGAGUGUUCAGACCGUAUUUAGAUUCCUUUGUUAUUAUCUUCAUAGAUGAUAUAUUAAUAUACUCACGCACUAAGGAGGAACAUGAGCAUCAUUUGAGGAUUGUUCUUGGGAUUCUAAAGGAGAAGAAGCUUUAUGCAAAGUUUUCAAAGUGUGAGUUUUGGCUUAGUUUGGUAGCAUUCUUGGGACAUGUAGUGUCCAAGGAGGGUAUUAUGGUGGAUCCUAAGAAGAUUGAGGCAGUUAGAGAUUGGGCCAGACCUGCUUCAGUUACUGAGAUUCGGAGUUUCUUGGUCCUUGCAGGUUAUUAUCGACGGUUUGUUGAGGGCUUCUCAUCCAUCGCAUCUCCAUUAACUAGAUUGACACAGAAGGAGGUGACUUUUCAAUGGUCUGAUGAAUGUGAGAUUAGUUUCCAAAAGCUCAAGACUUUAUUGACUACUGCUCCGAUUUUGACCCUACCCGUGGAGAGGCGGUUAGAGAAGGUUUUGUUGUAUAUAGUGAUGCUUCUCGAAUUGGUCUGGGUUGUGUAUUGAUGCAGAAGAGAAAGGUGAUAGCUUAUGCUUCGAGGCAGUUGAAAGUUCAUGAGAAGAACUACCCUAUUCAUGAUUUAGAGUUGGCGACUGUUGUGUUUGCAUUGAAGAUUUGGAGGCAUUAUCUUUUUGGUGUGCAUUGUGAGGUGUUCACGGAUCAUCGUAGUCUCCAGUAUAUAUUCAAUCAGAGAGAUCUUAAUUUGAGGCAGCGGAGAUGGUUGGAGUUGCUCAAAGACUACGAUAUGACUAUUCUUUAUCACCCAGGCAAGGCAAAUGUUGUAGCAGAUGCUUUGAGUCGGAAGGCGGUAAGUAUGGGUAGUCUAGCCAUGUUACAGGUUGGCGAGCGUCCUUAGCUAGGGAUGUCCAAUCCCUGGACAAUAGCUUUGUGAGACUUGAUAUUUCAGAAUCUGGUAAGGUGUUGGAUUAUAUGGAGGCUAGGUCAUCCUUGUUAGAGUAGAUUCAGGCUCAACAGUUUGAUGAUGGUGAUUUAUGUAAGAUUAGGGACAAGGUGUUAGAAGGAGAAGCUAAGGCUGCAAUUCUUGAUAGUGAGGGAGUUUUGAGGAUUAAGGGUCGUAUAUGUGUUCCUCGUACAGGUGAUUUGACUAGAUUGAUCAUGGAAGAGGCUCAUAGUUCGAGGUACUCUAUUCAUCCGGGGGCUACUAAGAUGUAUCGUGACUUGAAGCAACACUAUUGGUGGUGUCAUAUGAAGAGGGACAUAGUAGAUUUUGUAUCUCGGUGUUUUAAUUGUCAGCAAGUGAAGUAUGAACACCAAAAACCUGGAGGUAUGACUCAGAGGAUGCCCAUACCUGAGUGGAAGUGGGAGCGCAUUGCUAUGGACUUUGUGGUAGGGUUACCACGUACCUUGGGUAAGUUUGAUGCUAUAUGGGUCAUCGUGGAUCUACUGACUAAGUCUGCACACUUUGUACCAGUUCAGACUACCUAUAACUCAGAAAAGUUAGCCAAGAUCUAUAUUCAAGAGAUAGUUCGUUUGCAUGGGGUUCCUAUAUCUAUUAUUUCAGAUCGUGGCACCCAAUUUACAUCUCAUUUCUGGCGGUCUAUGCAGAAAGAAUUGGGCACUCGGGUGGAUCUAAGUACAGCCUUUCACCCUCAGACUAAUGGUCAGUCUGAGCGGACUAUUCAGGUUCUUGAGGACAUGUUGUGCGCGUGUUUGAUUGACUUUGGUGGUCAGUGAGAUCAAUUAUUGCCUUUAGCGGAGUUUGCUUACAAUAAUAGUUAUCACUCGAGCAUUAAGAUGGCCUCAUUUGAGGAUCUAUAUGGUAGGAGAUGUCGAUCUCCAAUUGGCUGGGUUGGUGCAUUUGAGGUUAGACCAUGGGGUACAGAUUUGUUGAGGGAGUCCUUGGACAAGGUCAAGUUGAUCCAAGAUAGACUUCUCAUGGCUCAGAGUAGGAAAAAGAAUUAUGCAGAUCGAAAGAUUCGUGAUUUAGAGUUUAUGGUUGGAGAAAGGGUUUUAUUGAAGGUUUCACCCAUGAAGGGUGUGAUGAGGUUUGGAAAGAAGGGCAAGUUGAGCCCAAGGUAUAUUGGUCCUUUCGAGAUUGUUGAGCGUAUUGGUGAGGUGGUGUAUCAGUUGGCUUUGCCACCUGGUUUGUCAGGUGUCCAUCCUGUAUUUCAUAUUUCAAUGCUUAAGAAGUAUCAUCAGGGUGGUGAUCAUGUGAUUCAAUGGGAUUCAGUGUUACUUGAUCAGAAUUUGACUUUUGAGGAAGAGCCGAUCACCAUUUUGGAUAGGAAAAUUCGGAAGCUAAGGUCCAAGGAGAUUGCUUCAGUAAAGGUUCAGUGGAAGAAUCGUUCAGUGGAGGAGGCUACAUGGGAGACAGAGUCGGACAUGAGGAGUAAAUAUCCUCAUCUUUUUAAGCGUUCAGGUUAGCUCUUUUCUUUUCCCGUUCGAGGACGAACUUUUGUUUAAAUGGUAGGUGAUGUAACGACCCGCUAGGUCUUUUUGAGAACUAGGACUAGUUUGACUCCUUUUGAAAAUUUAAAGGGGUAUUUUUAAACUAUUCGAAACUAAGAAUAUUUAGUUGAUAAAAUUUUUAGUGAAGAAUUAAUAUAGUUAAUAGUUAGUGGGUCAUAUCCAUAAUUCAUUUAAUACAUUUUUACUUGACCCAUUAAUUGAUUUAGGUUAGUGGGGUUAGUUUAUUUAUUUUACUUAAUUAACAUUAGAAGGGCAGAAAACAAGAGAGGUAGAAACUGAUUUUUUUGGGCAGCGUAGAUUACAGAACAAAGAGGAACAAAAUAAAAUAUUGAAGGUAAAAGUUUUUCCUUAACCGAUCUAUAUUCUGAAUAAGCAUGCAUUAGUGGUAAAAAUUGUUGGCGUGAAGAAUCUGUUGAUAUCGUAUUGUUUGUCGUAACUUGUUAUUAAAAGAGAUAUAACUUUAGUAAAAUUAUUAGAUUGAAUUGAAUGGAUGUUUAGUUAUUCAGAAUUCCUAAUGAUUUCCAUAUAUAGGAAUAUUUUAAAGUUUAAAUUUAUAUAUAGUCGUAGUUGCAGGAUUUGAAGAAAAAAAACGGAAUUGGCAUGUUGCAGGCAGAAUUGAUUUUUAGGAAGAAAAAAAAAGGUCACGUUGGAGCAGUGGUUCGUCUUGUUUGUAAAUUAGAGGGGGGUUGAUUCUUAUUUUAUACAUAUAUAAAAUUAAGAUAUUAGCUUGAUAUAUUGAGAUAGGUAAUUAAUUAUUUGGUGUAUAUUAUAUAAUUUAACAUUGAAUUCAAGGGUAUUAGGAGAUGUAAAGUUAAGUUCUUGGCUUGAAAUUUAGCAAGUAUGAAAAAUUUGGCAUACCAAUAUAUAUCAAGAUUGGGAGUUUGGUUGGAAAUAUGAGUGAGUUUAGCGUCUAUGAUAGACAUAUAAUAAUUUGAAUGUCUACAAAAAUUUGCUUACUUAUGAAUAUUGCAUUAUUGGUAUAUUGGGAAUGUUCCGAUACUUUGCGAAAAGGAAAGGAACUAUCUUGAAGAUUCGUGGCACGAGGUUCGGCUCUUAAGGUAUGUUAAGACUUUAAGACUUGUUGAAGGACGUUUUCCUAAUUAAAAAUUAAAAAAUGAAUAUAUACAAAGGGGUAAGGGCGAAAGAUGGGGGUCUCGUAUAAAUGGUGUGACGGGCAUUGGUAAGAGUGCCGGUGUUAUAAAACGGAAAAUUACUACUAUAGAAUGUGGAUUGUAAUUUGAGAAUGCCAAGCAUAUGGGCAUUAGGUGAUAUAUUAUUGACUUGAAAUCCUUGUGUGAUUGUGUUUUCUUUAUUACACCUGCAUAGUUGUGAUAAUCGAGGUGGUUAUGUAGUAUGUCGAUAUUUGACUGAUUCGGGUGCAUCAUCAUCCCCUUUAUCGAAAUAAUAUUGUGUACAUGCAUUGACAUGAGAUUGAGUAUAAGUUGGGCACGUGGAGAUCGUCCGUGCUGGGGAUGGUGAGAUGUUAAGAUUGUCAUUUGGGCACGUGGAGACCGUCUGUGUGAAAAAUUGUUUGAUAUUAUGAUAGUGCAUCGAGAUUGUCCGCACAGACACGUGGAGAUCAUCCGUGUCGGUAUAUGGACCUCGCGAGUCCCCCAUGGGUCAUGAGCUCUCGAUGUAUUUCCGAGGAGUAUCAUGUAUAUACGGUUGAGUGAGUACUGGGUAUUCUGAAACGAUUCAUUACAUGGUAUCAUAUUGCAUUGCAUUUCAUCACAUCAUUUAUUUUGAUGAUUAUGUGUUUUGUUUGGUGUUGGAAAGUACUUGAUGUUUGAUUACCUUUAUUGAUGAACUUAAAUAGUGAAUGUAAUAUAUAUAUAUACUUGUUAUAAAUACAUUGAAUUAAGUGGAUAGUCCAUAAGGUUGGUACAUGAACAACCAUUCAUAUUAACUAGGUUACAUGAACCUUUUUGGAUAAGAAUGUAUCUAUUUAUUAUGAUACUUAAUGUGGUGACCUUUGGAGUGAUUUCUCACUCUAUAAAUAGGGUUGUUCAUUCACUAUUGUAAUACAUACAUAUGAGACUUGAAUAUACUUGAAUAAGAAGAAAGUCUUCUCUUCCAUCUUACUUCUCUUGUUUUCGUCUCUUUAUAUUUAUAUUGUCAUGAGCUUGAUUUUAUAACACGUUAUCAGCACGAAUCUCUAGCCAAUUAAGAUUGAGUUUUAGUUUUUCUUUAACUCAUGUUUUGGUUGAUCUCGUUAUGAGAAUCAAGGUAUUAUAUGCAUAAAAUUAGGUAUGUAUUUUCUAGAAUAUGUUAUGAUUUAGAAUAAAAAUAAUAUUCAGUCACUAACAAUUAUCAAGAACCGAAGACAUAUACUACUAUUGGUUGAAUAUAACAUGCUAUACAAAACUUCUUAAAUAGAAGAAGGUAUAAAAUUUUAAUAGCAUGAGUUUGAAUGUUAUUUUGAUUGUUUUGAAAGACUGAAAGGGUGAGUCAUGUUGUACUUCGGUCUAUUAUACCGUUGGUUAAGGGUAAGACGAUAGAUUCAAGUUUCAUCGCACCAAAAGGGUUAGACAUCAGGUUAAAGUCCGGAUGCACCAUAAUGAAAAAUAUUUGAGGAUAAGACGAUAGAUUCAAGUUCUAUCGCACCAAAGGGUAAGACAUCAAUUAGAGUUUUGAUGCACCGUGAUUGGGUUCAAGUCCCAUAGAAUUAUGGCGUAAAACACCUUAUAUGGAUAAGACAUUGAGUUUGAGUCAAUGCACCAUAAUGAUGAUAUAAUGAUGAUUAAGGCUUUGAUGAAAAGUCUUGAAAUUCGUCCUAUUGAAUUUGCUUCAUUCCUUGAAAAGAAUGUGGUAGCAACUUGUAAUAACUCUGAAAUUUGCCUGUUAACUUGCUCCAUUCAAUCAUAUGAAUGUGGUAGCAGUGAAUGAUUAGUCUGAAAGAUGACAAAUGAUUAAUGAUAUGAAUAAGGGCAUGGAGGGACAUAAUUAUAAUAGUCAUCAUUGUGGUAAUGAUAAAAGGAAGAACACUAUGAGUUCUUCAAAUAGUCCUUCAAAAUGUGAAGGUAAUUUUUAUCAUCAAAAUGGUAUGAAAUGUCAUUAGACUUGUGAAUGUUGUCAACCCAAUAAUUUGACAAAUUUAUAAAUCCUCUAUCAUGAUACAAGAAGAUAAAGUGAUGGUACACUUAAUCUUUCAAAGUGAUGUUGAGGUGUGUCAUAGAAAUAUGAUGAAUUUUAAAGCCAUGACAAUGUGCUUAUAAUGUAAAUUUAUGAAGUACAUAUAAAUAAUUAGUCCAAUCCUUGAAGAGAAUGUGACUUGUAAUGAGUAUCGUGAAUGCUCGACCAUUCUAUAAGAGAAUGGGUCCAUAUGUGAUAAAAUCAUUAUAGGUUGGAUAUAUGUCACAAUUCACCUCUAUAGAAGGUUUGAGAAAAAAAAUGAUACAUGUCACUUCUCAUCUCUACGGGAGAUUUGAGAGGAAAUAAAUUUUAUUUGGCAGAAAUGACUAAUUGUACUGUACUUUUUAUACGUCACUAUGAUAUAAACUACCGAAAGGGCAAAAGAAAGAAAUAGUUCUUACCUACAAGGAUUGUGGUCAUUAUUGUGUGGAAAUACAAAUUUGUAAUUGGUUGUGUACCUAUGGUACAACAAAAGUAAAGCAAGAAAGACGUCUUGCUCGUAAUGAUUUUGCCAUGACAAUUAUAAUAUAAUUUCCUCCUUGAAGGAGAUGCCUACCAUAGGGAUGGUGUCAUGCAAUAUGUGAUAGUACACAAAAUUAAUUGCAAGCUCUAACGAGUUGUGCUAUUAUCAGAGGAAUAAUAUUGGGGUUGUAGUAAGUCUCAAAAGAAACUUUUUAAGUUUCGGAUGAAUGAAAAUAAAUAUUGAGACUAUAAAUCACUACAACCGAAGAGGGUUAUAAUGUUUAUGUAAAAGAUUACCCCACUUUUCCUCUUGUUUGUUCCAUACAAACAUGUACAUGAUGAUGAAAUCACAUGUAAAAGUAAAUUAUAAGUGUACUAAAAUAAAGAUCAGUUGGCAUGACUAGUUGACCAUUCUGAUUAAAUGUAAUGCGAACGUGAUUGAGAAUUCAGGUGAUUUAUAUGAUGAAGAAAUAAAGAUUCUUCAAGAAUUCUCUUGUGUUGUUUGUUCUCUUGAUAAAAUGAUCAUUGUACCAGCUAAGGUCGGGACUGUAAUCCCCUAAAAAAAUUUUGAAACAUAUAAAAGGGUGAAUAUGGGCUCAUUCACCUGUCAUGUGGAUCAUUUGCAACUAUAUGAUUGAUGCAUCUAUGUGAUGGUCACGUGUAUUUUGUUGUCAACUUACAAAUUGGUUUGUAAGGUUGUUUGCUCGAAUUGUUAAAAUUAAGAGCACAGUUCCAAACUAUGAAAUUAUAUUGAUCAUGCUGGUUGAUUUAGUAGAAAUUGUAUGCCUCCAAUUAUAGCUAAAUCAUGGUUAUGAGAACAAAACUCCCAAAUAAGAUUUGGUAUGAGAUAAUUUUAUUUAACAUGUAGCAACACAUGUAUGCAUCAAACCAACAAGGUUUUCCCAUUAAAAUUGGUUCAAGGUCAGGAACCAUAUAAUUUUCAUCUAAAAUGUUGAAUGUGCGGUUAUGAUUUUAAUUGCUCCACCACGCAUAAAGAUGAACUUCCAAAUAAGGUUGGAAUGAAUGUUAGAUUUUCUAACAUUAGGGGGAGAGAUGAUUGACAGCUGAAAAUUAUGUGUGAGGUUAAUUAUGAAUUAUCUAGAUCCUCGUUAAAUAAAUAUGUAAACUUAAAGUUCAAGGGAUAAUUCAGUUGCAUAAUGUUGCAAAUCAGUUGCCAGAUGAAUGCACUGACCCUAUGAUAUAAUUUAGCUGCAAAUGCUUCAAUGUGAAGUCCUUGAAGGACAGAGUCUAUGAUAUGCCGGAAGCGUAAUAGACCAAUCGAUUCCAAAUAUAAAGUUCCUUGAAGAUGGAAGGAGCAAAUGAUCAAUAUGGUCAUGAUAAUGAGGCAAGUGCUAUAAAAGAGCACAUUGACAUAACACUUCAUAAAAUCUUGAAAAAGGUUCAGGUACCUGAAAUAAUGAAAAAUGAAGAGAUCUCGAUAAGUUAUGUCUUGUUGGAAUCGAUAUCAAAUAACCGUCGACGGUAUCUUUGAUAUGAGGUAGCGCUCAAUGAUAUAAAUUGUGAUGAGGAUCUUGAAUUCAAAUCUGUCAUAUAGUAUGAACAGAUAAAUGGUUGGCCAAGUAAAAUGCACAAUUCAAGUAUAUUUUGUUUCACUUAGAAAAGUGACAUUUUGGACUGGUAGUCCAUAAAUCAAGGUAUAAUGUCAGUGGGGUACAAAUAAAUUAUUAUGCGAUAGUAUAACCGUAAGAUAUUAAAUACGGUUUGUGCCUUGAGGCAUAAAGGUUUAUCGCAAAAAUCCUAACAUUAGUGGAGAUGUUUUCUCCUUUGGUGGAUGAAAUGAGGUUUGUUUUGAUCUGGCAACAUACGAAAACUUGAAUGCAUGUAAAUGAAUAAUUGUAAUGUCUAGCUAGACAAUGAAGGUUAUUUGAAAAUCCUUGAAACAUUCGAGGUGUCUGAAGCAUAUAAGAGUUUGAAAGAAACUUUUCCAAUAAAGCUUCAAGAAUACUUAUAUGGAUUGAAAUAGUCAAGGAAAAAAAAGGGUACACAAGAAUUACCCUAAUAGUCCUUGUAUUUUUAUGAAAAGGUCUUGGUAAGAUAAAAUUUUGUCUAGACCUACAGAUUGUUAAUUUGACAAAUAAAAUAUUUGUCUAACAGUGCACAUACACUGGAAAAUUUUGAUGCAAUUUUAUGUGGAUAUAUCGCAUUCAUUGAGUACCCCAAUGAUUAUGAGAUCACUUGACAUAAAUGAUGAUUCAGUUUGAUCUCAAAAGAAGGAUGAAGAGUUUCUUUGUGAUGAAACUCUAUCUUGGUGCAAUCAGGGCACUAGUGCAUCUUACUAACAAUAUUUGACCAGAUAUUUGUUUUGCAGUACUGGCAAGAUUCAAUUUUUCCCCGAUAAAAGGACAUUGAAAUGGUGCUGAGCACAUGAUUGAAUAUCCUCGAAGGACCAUAGUUAUGGGUUUAUUCUAUUUCGAAGAAUCCAAGACAAAUUGAUUGGUUAUGCAGAUGCAGAAUAUUUAUCUGAUCCGCAUAAAGCUCUAUCUCAAGCACGCUAUGUGUUUGCAUGUGGAGGCACAAUAAUAUCCUGGCGAUCAAUGAAGCAAAUGUUGCUAUGCAGAAAUAAAAGUCCUCCAUGAAGCAAGUCGAAAGUGCGUCUGGUUGAGAUAAAUGACACACCAUAUUCAAGAAAUGUGUGGUUUUUCUUUGAAAAAGAAUAUACCAACCACAAUGUACGAAGAUUGGAGACAUCAUCACAAGAAAUUAAGUGAUGUUUUAAUCAGGGGGAGUAUAAUACGCGUUGCACUCUUUUUCCCUUGACCGAGGUUUUUUCCCACUGGGUUUUCCUGGCAAGGUUUUUAAUGAGGCAACAAAUAGUGCGUAUCAAAAGAUAUGUGUACUCUUUUUCCUUUACUAGAAUUUUUUUCCCACAGGGUUUUUCCUAGUAAGGUUUUAACGAGGCACAUUAUCUAUGGACAUCCAAGGGGGAGUAUUAUAAAUACAUUGAAUUAAGUGGAUAGUCCAUAAGGUUGGUACAUGAACAACCAUUCAUAUUCACUAGGUUACAUGAACCUUUUUGGAUAAGAAUGUAUCUAUUUAUUAUGAUACAUAAUAUGGUGACCUUUGGAGUGAUUUCUCACUCUAUAAAUAGGGUUAUUCAUUCACUAUUGUAAUACAUACAUAUGAGACUUGAAUAUACUUGAAUAAGAAGAAAGUCUUCUCUUCCAUCUUACUUCUCUUGUUUUCGUCUCUUUAUAUUUAUAUUGCCAUGAGCUUGAUUUUAUAACAAUACUUAUAUAAUUUAAGAAUUUGUUUUUUAUAUAAACUCUCGUCACUACUUCCUCGUUGUCGGUCAAUGAGACAUACUGAGUACAUGUGGUUUCGUACCCAUACUACACUUGUUGCACUCUUUGUGGUGCAGAUUCGAUUCCAAGUAGGAGCACAUCUCGAGGAGCAGUUUGAGUCCGAGUUUGGAGUGUCUGGAGUUGUGGUGAGCUGCUUGGCUGUUCCGUGGCCCACACCUCCCUCUAUCUUUUACUUAUUCGUUAUUCAGUAUUCAGACAGGAUAUCCCUUAUGUUAGAUUUGUCUUUUUUGUUUCAUACUUGCAUCGUAUUUUAGAAGCUCUUGUACUUAUGACACCAAUUCUUGGGUAGUAUUUUUUUUAGUUUUCUGCAUUCGUACUUAUAAAGAACUCAGUGUUGGAGAUUUGGCAAUUUGUUGUCUUUUCACUUAUUAGUUAGUUAAGUUUGUUAAAAUAUGUUGGUUGUCUUACCUAUUGGUUGGGAACAUAGGUGCCAUCACGACUCGUGAUUUUGGGUCGUGACAAUGUGAUUGUUAAUGUCACACAUAAUCACUAAAUUUUAUUGUUUAUAAAGGUGAUGUUGCAAAAUAAUCAUAUAUUGUAUACUUAAUAAAAUAGAAAUUAGUGAUAAAUAAUUUAUAUCAUCAAACAAAAAAAUAGCUCUACUUACAUUUAACGAAGGAUUGUAUGCAAACAAUUUAAAAGAUUAAUAGCAAAUUUUACAAUUGAUAUUUUUAAUGGUGUAUUAAUAAAAGUAAUCGACUUGCUCGUGAAGAUGUCAUAAGUGAAAGAAUCAAAACAAAUACUUACAUAGUGAAACUAUAUUCAAGGCCACUGCUUGAGCCAAGAGUUUAAAGAAUUCAAACCGGUGAAUGGACACUGAUGAUUAUUGCAUCAAUAUUUUUGUUUUCUUUGGAGGAAAGUGACAUCGCUUCUGAACAUGUACAGACCGUGAUAACUGCAUCAAUGCAUCUUAAAAGUAAGUGGAAAAAAAUAUGCACAAAAAUCCUCGGGAAUUUUUAAUUUCUCUUAUAUUUAAAUUCAAUUGUUAUUUUUCUACUCAUAUUGUUACUCUAUAGUUUAAUAAAGACUCUUGAAACUUUAAGAAACUUCACUUUGGCUUACCUCUUAACUUCUAAACUUAACUCUUAACUUCUUUGACUUUGAUCUUAACUUUACUUGAAUUGGAUUAUAGAUUCAAGGUAAGUUAAGACCAAAGUCAAGGAAGUUAAAGAGUUGAAUCUAGAAGUUAAGAAGCAAGUUAAAGCAAAAUUUCUUAAAAUUCAAGAGUGUUUAUUAAAUGUUUUAACUUCAUUUUAAGGCUCAAAUUUCAAGUUAAAGUAAAGAGUUGAAGAUCUUCCUUCAAAGUAAUAUAAGAGAACUAAGUAUUCCCUAAGAGUUGAGUUCAUUUCUCAAAAAUUAUAAGGGAACUAAGUAUUCCCUAAAAGUUUGUAAAUAUUUUCAACCCAAAGAAAGGAAGUUAUUUUAAAAGCAUGAGCUAAAGUAUAUUUUGGAGUAGUAUUGAGCACCGAUGGGGAUGAGAGUUCAUAUUAACUCAAGUCUCCAUGUAAAUCAUGUAGCCAUCAUGGGUAUUAACGGGUCAUACUUUUUAUAUGAUCACGUAAAUUAAGCUAGUAGAUCCACUAAUUUAAAGAAUUCUAUGCGACGGAAAAGUAUAGGACAAUUCUUGCAACGUGGGUAAGACGUUGUAUCACUACUUAGGCUCAUAAUGGCGAUUUUCUAUUAGAGAAUCUCCCAUAUAAAUUAUAUUAAUUUAUUAUAUAAGUAAAGUUGAGUUUGUUAUUCCAUCUUCUUUAAUGAACUAAGUUGUUUUUAAUGUUUUAUAAAGCUUUCUAUAUAUUGCAUGCAUAUUCUUAAUUGCUUUACAUUAGGUUGAGUAUCUAGAGUCGAAUAUCAUAUCUUCGAGUUGAGUAUAUAAUCUUUAGCUGAGUAUCUUAUUUUUGAAUACUUCUAAGUUGAGUAUGUUGAGUAUUGUAGAGUAUCUCGAGUAUUCCUUGAGUUUAGUAAGUUUGUAAAGAGGUAAGUAUGUUUUCCUUCUUUUUUUUAAUCAAGUUCAAGCUUAUGAUGCAGACACACGUAUACAAGAUCAUCAACAAAAGCUUUGUUGAUAUAUCGGAGACUCGAGUUAGCUAUGGUGAGACUCUUUGAUUUUGGAGGAUUUCAUUUACUUUUCAAUUUAGUUAGGAUGUCAUGAGUCUUAUCACGACUUCCAUCAUUGUCAGUUCAAAAAUUCAUAGAUAGUCAGUUUAGUUACGAAGUAUGUGUUAUUCAUUUAUUUUAUUAAAUGUAUUAAAGAUUUAAGUUGCCAAUUAUAUGGCGAGUUGAUAUUAAAUGUAUUAGAGAUUUAAUUUGCCUAUUAUAUGGCUAGUUGAUUACAUUAUUUUAUUCAAAGUUUUUCAUUUAAGUUAAAGAUUUGUGUUCCAGUUUCAUGAAUUUUGUUCAGCUUUAAGCUUUUGUAUGCUUAAGUUAGUCUUCUGCUAGUAGUCAGCCAGGAUGAGGAUUCACUUGGGACUAACGAUGUUCUUUGAGUGUCGGUCACGUCCAAGGUAUAGACUUGCGUCGUGACAAAAACAUUUUCAACUAUUUAGUUGAGAUUAACCAAAAUGUUUCAAAUUUUUAGUUGAUUAACUGAAACGUUCCGAUGCGACUCGUAUCCGGGCUACCCGUUUUAUUUAAAUUAUUUCCUAUUUUAAUCUGAAUUUCCUGUCGUUGGAAACGACUGUUUCGAAAGAUUUCAACUUUUAGGAACAAUCAUGACCAUUUAAAAGGUUGCAAACUUUCAUAAAUAGUCGUGCGAAUCUGAAAGGAUUACAACCUUUCGGAAUCAAUUUUUUUUGGCUAUAAGUAUCAAUCAUUCUUCAAAAUGUUUCCAUACGAAACUUUCUUAAAGUUUCUUCGUGUACUUUACUGUCAUUGAGUGGCUUGUUAGCACCAGUGUUUUGGGUAUCAAUACACUGGUUAUUGAGAUCAUUCUAUCAUUUGAGGAUAUAUUCCAAAUCAAACCUCGGAUACUAGAGGGGAAUAAUUUUUUUAAGGGGACACUGUGUAUUCAUUGGGCUUGAUCUUCUUCCUGUUUUUCAAGAUUCUGGUAUGUUUUACAAAUUUUAUCUUUUUGUGAAUAUGUUCUUUUGUUCUUCUACUCUUCACUGGUUAUUUAAACUUUGGUAACUUUGUGUUUCUGCAAAGUUUAUUUGAAUCAGUAAGAUUCUUUAAACACAGAUUGACGAUAAUUUUUUGUUCUAUUUUUUUUCAUAUUUUUUAGUAGUGUUCUCUUUAAUUGGUGAAUGUUUUUUAAGACUUUUGAGUACUUAAUAUUGAUAAUUAUGUCUAAAUAUUUAUACUAGUAGAAGUGAUAUAAAAUUUAGAUAUUGUUCUACUUCAAGGUAUAAAAUUAUAAUCAAGGUUGUCGUAGAAAAAAACAACUUCCCGCACAAGUGUCUGUCUAAAAAAAAAUUUUGAACAAUUUUUUUCUCAUUUUAUAAACAUGAGAAAAUAACUACAUAAAAAUAUAAUUUUUUCCAAAAUAACUUUUUGCAUACCAAAUACACAUAAAUGAUACAUGAUUAACCACUUCAAAAUUUUCAAAGAUGCAUAUGGAGAUGACUUGAGAUUUGCACUCCAGUAAGACCAGACAUGCACAUUCAUGAGUUCAACAAUUUCUUCAGGGUAACAUCAUACUUGUUCCAUACAAAUAAAAAAUUUAUUUAAUAACUAUAAUAUCAGGUUCUUGAAUACGAUAAUUUUACAUAGAAAUUGUUAGGGGCACAUACCUGAUGAGAAAGAUACUAUCACAUAGAAAAGCUGAAGCGUUAGUCCUAAAUUAAUUUCUACCUCCUUACCCUAACUUUAUGUUACCACAACCGUCAGUGAUGGAAUUAUUGUAGUGAAUAUGUGGUUAACCCUAAUGGGUGGAUCGAGUACCAAUUUAUAGAGGUUAUGAUUUAAUCUUGUACGUCCAUCAAGUAACCAAUGUACGGACAAGAUCUAUUCCUUAUUAUAUACUAUUUAUGGUAUUACUUGGGUUACAAGUAAACUUGGGCAAUAAUAAGAAAUAAUUAAUAAUAAGUAAUAAUAAUUCUUACAUUCUCCCACUUGGCUCAAUAACCAUAUAUCAUCAAUAUUUAAUAAAUAUUAGUUGCGCAUACAAUAGAUCUCUUUUAUAGUGUCCAUCAUACAUACCACAGUAUAACAAACUACUAAUGUGAGUUAUGGCAGUUGUACAUAAAUUUUAAGUUACAUACUUCCUUCCAUAUACUACUACAUUAGCAACUUAUCAUACUAGAUUCAUAAGUUAUAAAAACAUAUAUUCUUAUCUUGUGAUAUCUCAAACAAUAAUGUAUACACCAUCAUGAAAAACAAGUUGUUCAUUAAUGUAUAUCAGAAACACAUAAUUUGAGCUCAGAGUGUAAAACAUCAUAAAUGUAUCAAUCAUACGUACAGCCAAAAUAAUUCUUUGAACAUGUUUUUUAAAUGUCUUUGGUUGUAAGCUUUUGUUAACAGAUGUGCAGUUAUGAGAUCAGUUUUAAUAUUCUUAAGUAACACUCUUUGUUUUUUCAAAUUUCUUCUUUGACAGUAAAGUACUUUAAUUCCAUAUGUUUGACAUAUUUGGAGUACUUAUCAUUCUUAGAGAAGAAUACUGCUACAAUAUUAUCACAAUAAAUUUUUCAGCGACUUGGUAAUGGUGUCGACAACCCCAAGUCUUGAAAUAAAGUUUCGCAGCCAUAAUGUAUGAAGUAUGGCUUCAUAACGUGCCAUAAACUUUGUUUGCAGUUUUACACUGAUCCAUUCCAAGAUUACUUUAACAUCUUUCUAACAUUCUGAACACAAAGCUAAUAUAUGGUCAUGUACAAGUUUGAACAUUCAACAAUAGAAAUUUAAGGAAUUGAAUACCAUAUAUUUUUGGUAUACGUCAUUCUUGGGUCAUUGCGUGAGAUUAAAUUUGCUCCCUUUUUUGAAUAGGAACUAUUCCUGCUGAACAAUUGUUCAUAUUAAAUCUCUUUAGAACUCUUUCGAUAUAGCCCUUUUGAGACAGUCCAAUAAUCCUUGUGAUCUAUCAGCUUUUCUCACAAUCAUCUAACUAUUGGAACUUGACCAUCUUCUGAGUCAACCUAGUCAAUGGUGAGGCUAUGGAAGAGAAUCCUUCCAUGAACCUUCUAUAAUAACCCGCUAGACCUAAGAAACUCCUGAUAUCUGCAGCAAAGGUAGGUCUGGGCCAUUUUUUCACUGCUUUUAUCUUCUGUGAAUCUACUCGGAUUCCUUUCACUAGAUACAAUGUGACCAAGGAACGCAACAGAUUGCAACCAGAGCUCGCAUUUGCAGAACUUAGCAAAUAUCUGGCGAUCCUUGAGAGUUUGUAAGACAAUUCUCAAGUGACUUGCAUGCUCUUCCUCACUCCUAAAGCAAAUUGGGAUAUCAUCAAUAAAGACGAUAACGAACAAGUCCAAGUACUGUUUGAACACUCUGUUUAUUAAAUCCAUAAAAGCUGCAAGAGCAUUAGUUAGUUCAAACGACAACUACAAAUUCAUAAUGACUAUAUUGACUUUUGAAGGCUAUUUUCGAAAUGUCACUAUCUUUAACUCUAGGCUGAUGAUUGCCCGAUUUGAGGUCUAUCUUUGAGAAAUGGCUAGCACCCUGAUGUUAUUCAAACAAGUCAUCUAUCCUAGGGAUGGGAUACUUAUUCUUGAUUGUGACCUUGUUCAACUAUAUAUAGUCAAUGCACAUUCUGAGAGAACUAUCUUUCUUCUUUACGAACAACACUGGUGUACCCCAUAGUGAAAUACUAGGUCUAAUGAAGCCCUUAUCUAGAAGGUCUUUCAACUGCUCUUUCAAUUCCUUAAGCUCUACUAGAGCCAUUUUGUAUGGAGGAAUAGAAAUAUGCUGGGUAUCUGGAAGAAGAUCAAUUCCAAAGUCGAUUUCCCUUUUGGGAAGGACUCCGAGAAGAUCUUCUGGAAACACUUCUAGAAACUCACAAACUACUGAAACUAACACAAGAGUUGGGGUUUGAAGGCUAGAAUCCUUAACCCGAACUAGAUGAUAGAGAUAACCCUUAGAGAUCAUCUUUCUGGUCUUAAGGUAAGAAAUAAAUCGACACAUAGACGCUAAGCUACUACCCUUUCAUUCUAAGAUUGAUUAGUCUGGAAACUGAAAACGAACAAUCUUAGUUCUACAAUCGACUAAGGCAUAACAUGAAUUAAUCAAUCCGUGCCUAGAAUGACAUCAAAGUCUACCAUUUCUAACUCUACUAGAUCUGCUGAGGUGACUUUCUGAGAGACUGUGACAGGGAAAUUUCUGUAUACCCACCUAGCUAUAACAGGGUUACCAACUGGAGUAGAGACUGAGAAAAAUUCUGAGAGAGUUUCUGGACUAACACUGAAUUGGAAUGUAAUACUGAGUUACGAAAGACAUAGUCAUGUCUGUUAUCUUUCCACUAAGUGAACCAUAUGUGAGUCACAUCCUUGAGUUUGUAGGAUUCCAAUCUCGCCUAUCACUACCAGUUAUUGACAUCACACCAAAUAUUUUCUUAACCUCAUCGAUCAAAUUAGGUGGGUCCUUACCAACUUGAGACCCUAAAAACUUAGGCGGCUUCAUCCUAAAAAAAUCACAAACUCUGUCUGCCACUAAUCAGUCAUUUAUUUUAAUAGGAAUUAGAACAUGCUGAUUGUUCUGGUUGGUUAUACUCUGAGCCAAAAGCUGAAUUGGCAUUCUGAAACUUUGCUUAUGAACUUCCUUAUCUAGUACUAGAGGAACUGUGUUAGCAUUGUGUGCAUUAGCAUACCAUGCCUAAGCUCUACAAGAAGGCAUGAUCUUAAGAGCAAAACGUCAAGUUAGAGUGGAAUUUGAUCAUACCUUACGCACGAUAAGAGUAACAAGAAAGUGAAUUUUUUCCUAAAACACUUCAUAGACUCCCUCUCAUUAGAUGUGGUGCACUUCACACCCAUGAAAAGGAUUCUACUUAUUGCGGCUUUUUCAGACAUCCUAGGACUCUUGAACCUAGUGCUCUAAUGCCAAGUUUUGUCAAGCCCCGAGCUACCCCUGAGACGGGACACGGAACCUAGGACCACAAGUGAUCCCAAGCUAACCCUGCUGGCAUGAUCAUGAGCAUACUAAAGAUAAUAAACUUAUGUGGAAGCUAAAUCAUAUCUUAUAAUAAAAAUAUGUGGGUUACACAUACGCUAAAACUGAUAUAUAUAUAUAUAUAUAUAUAUAUAUAUAUAUAUAUAUGAAAACUGAUAAGCUUAAUACAAUGAAGUUACUAACUCAACACUAAGCUGAAACUAACUAUGUCUGAAAUAAGCCUCUAAACAGGACUAGAAAUACUAGAACAAGCCCCAUCUAAAUUUAGCAAAAAUUGAAACGAAAUGACUAAAGACUGAAAUGAAACUCAUAAUUGUUGUCCUCAGAGAAUGAGGACUCACCACUGAAUCUGUCGAACUGAAGAUCGGAAAUUGAUCUAUGCGUGAUCUGAAUGUUGAGAACCUGAAUAUACAUCACGAGAAGAUGUAGUGCACGUAUGCGUCAGUACUUGAAAGGUAUUGAGCAUAUAGGAUAGAAUAAAACUAGAAAAAAAAAACAUAACUGAACAAGCACAAAGCAAGUAUAAUAAUCUGAACAUGAUAUACUUAAUUUCUGAGCUAACUGAAUGCAAUGACCAAUUUAUAGCAUGCUGAAACUGAAUACUGAAUAUACUGAUAAAUGGUCAAUGUAGAGAGUCUGAGUGAACCGUGGGAGCUACUAAUAACCGAUAAUAAAACCACAUGAGCUAAAUGUGGAGUCGGAUGUAUAUGCCCCAUCGAGAGGACCCAAUAUACCCUGCCAAAGGUAUAAAGGCAUGCUGGCGUGAUCACUAAACUGAUUGUCCAUAGAAGGGACUUACAACCUACUUGGCUAGUAGUUUUGGAAGUAAUUGGGUAUGUUGAACCCUAGUUCAACUCAGUGUUAUGCUACUCCCAUGAAUUUUGUAAAUUAACUGAUUAUGUCUGAGUAUUUGUAAAUACUGGAUAGCUCGAAACUAAACAUGCAAACUGAGAAUGCAACAAUUAAUCUGGUAAUUAUGCAUUUAUAACUGAGGCAUAUAUAUCUGAAGUGUUUGAAAUAUCUAACCUAGCAUGUGUAAUUCAAUAACUAAAGAAAUAUAAAGCUAGGGUUCUAAAAUUUAUGCGAUAAUCUGAGUAAUAACAUGAUAAUCAGAUUUGGAACAUAUAUUUAGUAAAUUCAUGAAGUUCUAUCAAAGUUCUAGAAAUUCUAGGUUUAAUCAUGACAAGAGAAUCAAGAAUCUGACUGAAAACUAGGGAUCAAAUGGGUGAAAGGAAUCCAAUAGUGAAAUCUCACAUAUCUGGUGAUGAAAUCCAUGGAAAAAUACUUAGGUUUUGGGACUGGAACUGUUGGAACUUGUGGCGUUCUUGAACUAGGGCUUUUGAAUUUUUUUCUCCUCUCUUGCUUCUAAUUUUCCAAGUUUUGAUUUAAUGAUUUGACUUAGCUAUGUUUUAGUUCUGUUUCUAGGCUUAAACUGACUAAAAUCUAAUGAUUUAGGGUCAAAACGACGUAUCUUAGAGUUUAAAAAAAGUGGGAAAGGUCCAAAAGACCCUUGGGAAAGUUGUUGUCGGGCAAAUCGAUGGCCAAGACUGACGGUCCGUCGAUUGACCGACGCCCCGUCGGUUGGUCCGUCUGUUGGGCCUGUUCGACAGGCCUUUACUAAAACAGGCAUAACUUUUUACUCAGAUGUCUGAUUUUAGCAAGGUCGGAGGCUAUGGAAAGAUAUUUCAAUUAUCUAUUUGUGGGUACAUCAUGGAAUACCUAAUUCCAUUUUUUCUAAGAGUUAUUACCAUUUAAAGUUGACCCAAUUGUAUUUUCCCUUAACUGUCUGCUAAUUUCUCACAUACGGUCAGACCUAUGGACCAUGCUGGUCAUCCAUAGCUCUUGUCAGAGAGUGGGUGAAGGGAGUCUGGAUCGAAGGUUAUGGACUACGGACCGUAGUCUGACCUAUGGACCAUAAGUCUAUCCGUCGACCAACACUUAACCAAUUUUCCUGGGCUGAGAUUUUCGGGAGUUUCUGAUCACAUCGACAAUUGUGCAGGACGGACCUUGCGUCAAGAUACAUUCCAUCGAUGCGGUUGUUGGUUCCACCUGCAGAAUUUUCUAUAAAGCUGGUUUUGGGCCUGUUUUGGAUACGGGGUGUUACAAUAACUAUGUGCUUAAGACCUCCGAGAGGUAAAGUACAUCAUGUUAGCUCUAAGGGGUGCUCCCCGAAUGUGACAUUAAUAAUAAAUAAUAAUAAUUCUUACAAUAGAGCCCCAAAAAACAAUCUGGGAACUAUGUACGAAGUCAUAAAAUUGACUCUGUCAUGAGUUCUCGAAUUGACCAUACCGAAAUGUGCCACACAAUUCCCCGAUGCAACCCACUAAGAAUCACUCAACUCCGUCAAGUAAAGCUCUAAAAAUUGUCAAAAUAUCAAUUCUUUAUUUGAAGAAUACAUGUUUAAAAUGAACUUCUAAAAAUUAUAAAAGCCGGUUGAUUAUACCUUCAUGAAUGUCGUGAUCAUCCAUGUUGACCCUUUGCAAAUGCAACGAGAUGACGACAAACUCUAAGGCUAGGAACAACAACCCUCUGUGAUCGUCGAGAGACUCACACAAACACGGAUGUCUCAGGAGGCUAAUGUCAUGACCCAAAGUAUACCCUAUGUGUAACAUGAUAUAUAGAAUCCUUAGAGACCCAAGACAAACCACUUAACAUACAUCAUACAAUUAAUGGAAAUAAAUAUUUUAAGAAACAAUCUUUUAUCAUAAAAUAUUUUCAAGAAAACGAAAGUCUAACAUAAAUCUCAACAAUUCAUUUAUUACAUCAAAAGAAGUGAUUGGAGGUAGCCCAUACAUCACAUACAAUGUCUGAAAAUUGAAAUAAAGAAAGUGAUAAAAGUGUUUUGAUCCUCAAAACAUGAUGACUCACCAAUCCUUGAGUACAAAAAGAUCAACUAGCCACGAGUGUGAGAGGUAGGAGCGUCAGGCCCUACAUUUGUGAAGCAAUGUAGAUAAAAGUAUGCAUUAGUACAUGUAAUAUACUAAGUAUGAUAGCAAUGCAUAAGAGUUCUGAAAUCAUCCUAAAAAGCAUGUUACAUGACAUGUAAUGACCAAGCUAAGUCAUAAAAUUAAGAGUUAGAAAAUGUAAGUGAUAAUCACGGUCAAUGCAAGAUUAACUCUUUUGAAACACUUAUGAGAUACUAGAUAUAAUAUUAGUUCAUUAUUAUGGAAGUUUACCAUGUAAUCGACAUAGACCAUGUGAGCUAUAUCAUGGAAUCCAGUGUCUAUGUCAUAUCAAAAAGAGAUGUCAUUAUUUUCCAAGGUAAGAACCAUCAAUCUGAGCUAAAGUGGAUCCACUAGCUAGUGUAUAUCUGAGACCAAUCCUAUGGUGGCACAUGGUUUAUGGGAAUGGGUAAUCGACAUAAGUUCACUCAGUGCUAAGUAAAAUUCCACAGAAUAGUCAUUAAUCAAAGUCAUAUUAUUAUCAAUAGAAAGGUACCAUUUACGAAGCCAUUCCAACCUAGAGUUCAUUUAGAAUAGCUCCUUAACUUGAUUUAUCUUAGGUGAGAAAACUUUUCAACCUUGUAAAUCCUUUAUGUGAGAAAUCCUUUAAACAAUCAUAUUCGUAUUAGAGUGUGAGUAAACCUUUCACAAACAACAUUGACACUUUAAUCUCAACGCAUCCUCAAAUCAUUUACAUCAACUUUAUAAACAUAUAUGUAUCAUCUUCAUAAUUUCAUCUUUCACAAUUCAUCCGUUUCAUCAUGUGUUCAUCGGCAAAAAUCAUGGAUCAUGCAUAGGUUAAUAUAAAAUCAACUUAAAAUCAUUUAAUUACUUCAAUUCGUGCAUAAAAAUAUAGAAAACAAUCAAUUGAAUCAUAAUUAAAAAGAACAAUGAAGAUUGAAUAAAACCCUAACUUUGAAUUGAGAAUCUAACUAAUAAAACCCUAACUUUGAAUUGAGAAUCUAAAUUGUAAAAUAUGAGAUUAUAGGACACCAUAGGUGAAUACUGACAUACCUUAGAGAUCAAUGCCCAAAAGAUAUGGUAAAAUUGAGACCUUGGUAAUUGGAACCCUAACUCAUCUUCCAUAGUCUUUGAGAGAAUUUUGGGGACGAAUUUGGAGGGAAAUUUUGAAAUUAAGUGAAUGAUUUAGAAUGGUAGUUUUAAGACUUAAUACACUUUAUAGGUCUUGAAAUAGUAUUUGAAACGACGUAGUGUAGGUACAAAACACUUAGACAAACAACUAAAAUUACCCUGGCUUAAAAACCGACGGAGUCACAUAAAAAGAAAGGUUGGAUAGUCUGUACAAGACCUCACUGGUCGUAUAGGGAAUGGUCCAAGAGAUCCUACUUCCUGGAAGCCUAUAAAUGGUUGGGCAUGGUAUUGUAAAUGGGUCUUCCACCUAUAUAUUGGACGUUUAGGGAAUCGUCCAGGUGUCCUUAGGUCCUAACAACCCUAAACGGCUAGACCACUUGCAUUAAGCCGACAUUGGUGCCCUAAAUAGGCCAUUUAGGGUCUCGUGAAGGGUUUCCAAAUUUUAGGUUUGUGGACUUUCUCAUUAGCUCACUUUAACCUUUGUAAAACCUGAGGUAUUACAGUCACCCUCUAUGUAUGCAGGUUUCCUGCACGAAUGCAGAGACCAUGAAAUUUGCUCUUCGAGAACGUGAUCAAGGGACUGUGAACGUGAAGAAGGGAAUGUUGUUGCAUCAGCAGCACUGCAUCAAUUCUUUCCCAAGAGUAUGAAUUCCCUUGACAGGACCUCGAAAUUAUCCGGAGCCGUGUCAACGCAAAAAACUAUGUUACCAAAUUAUAAAUGUCAAUCAAGACUCAAUGGAGUCACCAAAACAAACAAUGAAUGUUGUCUAGUCAAAAUAAGUCAACACUUACAAAGAAAUUCCAAAUCAAACGACAAAAGUCACAAACUCAUCCCAAGCACCUUGGAAUCUAAAUCAAAGGUCCUUUUAGACCAAACUUGGUAUCUCAGAGCGAACUGAAAAUUUUCAUCGUGAGUUCUUUUACCAAGAAUAUUAACCAAAGUCAAACUUUGGUCAAAACUUCAAAGCUAAAAUAUCUAAUGACACAAACUCAAAAUGACUACCUCAAAACCCAAACCAAUCAUCCCACUAGACCAAAAUAACCCUUUUAAUGCUGAUAGAAUUGAAGGUGCCCUCAUCUAACAUAUGAAUCUUUAGAUGUUGGCUAAAGUCAACUCUUUCACUUUGUUAGCCUCCAAUAGGGAAAAACUAACUCGAAACUCUCCCCGCUACCUUAGUAAACUUUCUAAUCAACCCAUCACCACGGAGAAAAAGUUAUGGAAAGGGACAAAAUAAUUAAAGCAUGCAAAAAAUACAAAAAUGACCUCGAAUGUCAUUACAGUUUCACAUAAAGAUCCGCAUUUCACUUUUAUGUUAUUUAUUUGCCAAACAACCUAACUAAAAGAGUCAUUUUUACUUUCUCAUCCACUAAUCUUCUUUUUAUUUUUCGUUGUGCUCUUUCUCCUCAACUUGCAUUUUUCAUUUGAUAUAGUAUCAUUUUAUAGCCUCGUAGCACUACCACAAAAAAUGAUCUUUAGUGGCAAUUAAUUCUUAAUAGUCGCUAAAUAUAUAUUUUUAACGGUAAUUAACACUUUUUGUAUAUGUCCCUAAAGCCUUUAGCAACAUUGGAUCUAAUGACACUUACUAAUGUCGAUAAAGACUUUAGAACUUUUUAUUAAUAUAUUUAUUUAUUGCCGCUAAAAAUAGCUUUUGUUAUAGUGUAAAUAUUUUUGUUUUGUUCAUCAAUAUUACACAUACUAUUUUCUCUCCAAAUAAAUUUUCAUUACCUCCAACAAUUUUAAUUUUGCCAACAUUCAUCUAAUCUUCUUCAUUUGCUCCAUUUCUUGCUUUCUUUCUUUGUAAAAAAUUUUCUCCUCAAUAUAAGUUGCCGAAGACAUAUCACAAUUGGCUUGAUAAGUGGACUUUUAAUAAAAAGCAAGUUCCCUCUUCCAAAGAUUUCUUUACUGAGAAUCCAUUCUCUUCGUCACAUACAACUGCAUAAUAAUUUCAAGAAGAUAGAAAUUAGAAUUGAAUUAUAUUAUACACUAUGUGAUAGUUAAUGUCACACAUAAUCACUAAAUUUUAUUCAUUAUAAAAGUAAUGUUACAAAAUAAUCAUAUAUUCUAUACUUAAUAAUAUAGAAAUUAGUGAUAAAUAAUUUAUAUCACCAAACAAAAAAAUAGUGUUCCUUACAUUCAACGAUGUAUUGUAUCCAAACAAUUAACAUAUUAAUAGCAAAUUUUACAGUUGAUUUUCUUAAUGAUGUAUUAAUAAAAGUAACCCACUUUGCUUGUGAUAGAUGUCAUAAGUGAAAUAGUCUAAACAAAUACUUAUAGUGAAACUAUAUUCAAUGCCACAGCUUGAGCCAAGAGUUUAAAAGUAUCCAAAUCCGGUGAAUGGAUAUUGAUGAUUAUCGCAUCGAUAUUUUUAUUUUUUUUGGAGAGCAUCGACAUUGCCUCUAAAAAUGUAUCAACCGUGAUAAUUGCAUUAAUGCACCUUAAAAGUAAGUGAAAAAAAUAUGCACAAAAUUACCUAGAGAAUUUUUAAUUUCUCAAAUAUAAAUUCAAUUGUAAUUUGUCUAGUUAUAUUGUUACUCUUUAGUUUACGCAAUUGUAUGUUUGAAUAAGUUAUAUUGUUAUCAAUGUGAGGAAUCAUAGACAAGUUUGCCUAUAAAGCUACUUACAGUUGUAUAAAGGAUAAGUAAUUGAAUAUAUUUGUGUCAGUUGGAGAUGUAAAAUAAUGUUCUGAUAACAAAAGUGUUAUCAUCAUGAUAUUUUAUGUUUGCAAAUUAUUUUAUAGCAUGACCGUACUUUUUAGUAUGUUAAAAAUUGUCUAUUGUCUUAACAAAUUAAAGUAGAGAAAGAAAUUGAAUAAUUAUUAUAAUGGAAUCAAAAUAAAAACAGUAUUGGACAAGAAAAUCAUUAAACAAGAUUCAAAUUUGUUCUUUCAAAUUAACAUACGCGCAUACGCACACGCACAAGGUAUCUCAUUGGUUGAUAAAAGUUAAAACCAAACUAAUUAAAAAUAUUGAGAACAAUGCUAUGUUGAAAAAAAAAAUUAGUCGAUCGAUUGUAUUACAUAAGUUAAUUUCUAAAAUAUGUGAAAAUUAAAGGAUGAAAAAGAAAGCGAGAUGGAGAAGAAAAAUAUGUACCUUAAUCCACUAAAUUUAUAUUACCUUAUCGUACCGCAUUAAGCAUUUUUUCCUAAUUUUACCCUACUCCAUUGAACAUUCUUAAAAUUUCUUGUACUUUUUUAUACUUUUAUUUUAUAAUGUUUUACUUUAUUUUGCAUUUUCAAAUUUUUUAAAUUAAUAUCUAUUCAAACACAUAUUUACUAGAAAAAUUAGCAAGAUUCUCUAAAAGUGUGCAAGUAUAAUUUUUUCAAUAUUAUAAUGUAUAUUCAGAAGGUAAAUAAAUGACAUCUUCAAAAUUUUUAGUUCAGGUAGUUUACUUUACUAGCUUAAUCAUCAUUUGUUGAAAAAAAUGAAGAAUCAAUCAAAUAAGUUUAGUUUCCAUCUCUCCAAAAUAGAAUUAAAAAAAUAGAAAAGAAAUUUCAUAAAUUCCGUUUAAUAUAUAUUAUUAAAAGGAUAUUACGAUUUUUAGUUUCUUCACUCAAUUGCAUCUAAUUUAUCUUUAUAUAUAAUUCAUCAUUUUAAAAGAGUUGUACAUAAAAUUAUGUUGAAAUAAAAUGACUAAUAGAUAUAAGAAGAACAAAAAAAUUGUCUAACAAAUUUAAACAAAAACUAGAAAAAAAAUGACAUAAAAGAGAAAAAAUUAUAAAAAAGAGAGGAUGAUCCAAGCUCAAAGGUUGAGCCCAAUUCCAUGCAUUAAAAAGGAAUAAAAAAAAAAGAGGAGGAAUUGUUGCACAUGAGAUUCGAUCCCACAAUGCAAAAGUCAUUGUUGAACCCUUUAUCAAUUGAGUUAAAACUUCCCAGUUUAUCUUUUAGAAAUUCAUUUUAAUAUAUAUAUAUACAUAUAUAUAUAUACAUAAAAUCAGAAUUUGAUCCUAUUUAUAUAAUGUAAAUUUUCGAUCGCAAGGGUUCGAAUAAACCUCCUAGACACAACCUAGGUCUGGCCCUAUAUAUAUAUAUAUUAUAUAUAUAUAUAUAUAUACUUAAAAGUAAAAAGUAGGCGCUAUCAAAGAGAUGAAAUAACAAGUUAUAUUAAGAUUUUUAAAAAAAAAAAUUAUUGAGUUAAAAGAAAACUCCUUGAAAUUAGGAGAGAAAUUUUUAAUUAAAAAAAUAAGGAAAUGCUUUGUUUAAUGAAAAUCGAGCCUACCCACAUUUUUUGUCUAUAUCAAAUAAAAAUUUAUUUCAAGGUGAAUAAUAAUGAUAGUCAGAUUUGUUCUUAUUUCGCUCUUUCUCAUCCAUUCCACUACCCUAAUUUGAGUCGGCUCCACCAUUCAAAUAAUUUUUCAUAAAAUAAUAGAAAGAUUAUUAAAAUUCAACGAACUACAUCUUCAAAGAUUUUUUUGAUAGCUUCAAUUGAUUUUCUCGUCUACCCUUUUUGUCACUCGGCCAAUUGAAAAAGAAUAUUUUUUUUCAUUAUUCUACAAAAAAAAAAGUCAAAUGUAAUAAACAUAUGCAAGUUUGAUUAAAUAGUUGAAAUUAACAUAAAAUGAUGCCCCUUCAAGAACACUUGAUAAAAUUGAAACAACAUAAAUAGUAAUAUAAAAUUAUCGACCCCCCUUUGAAUAAACCUAAACAUAUCGCUAUGGAGAAACCUAAUUGAAUGUAUGACAUAUACUUUAUAGUAAGAACAAAAAUAAAGAAUCUAAUUUGAGUUUUCUAUUAACACGCAAAAAUAUUUAAUAACUAGUGAAAUUACACAAACAAGUAUAGGAUGGAGUUAUGAUCAGAGGGAAAAAAGAAAUUCAAUUUUCACUAGACAAAAAACGAAUCUAUUAAGAGGUAACAAGAAUCAUAGAGAUUAAAUCUAUUUUGAAAAGAAAAUCACACAAAAAUUUAUUAUAUAAGAAAACCAAGAAUUAUAAAUUUUAUGUAUAAAUUUGUAGAAACUUUACAUUUAUAGUCACAAGACUUCAACAAAUCAUUUCAGUUGCAUUCUCUUUGACAUGAUCAACUAACAUCACACAAACUUCAUCCAUUAUAUCAUAACAAGUAGUUGUCAUUGAGCUAUUUCCUUCAACAAUUUGAGAAGAUGAGAUACAAAAAAUUGAUUUUCUUUAUAGAAGAUGAAAUUUAACAGUGAAACAUUUCACUUUUUUGACGGCGUUAUAUAAUAUUUACAGUGGACAAUAGUAUGUUUAAAUAGUAAUUUUAAUCCGUGUAUUAUACAAUUAUUUCAUUUUGGUCCCUACAUAAUUUGAUUAAGCGUAAUUAACCUUCAAUUAAUAUGAAUGUUUGAUUUUCAUCCUUCAAACUAAUAAAAAUUAAAAAUUUAACAGUCACUUAUAUUAAAAAUAUAAGGACUUCAUUCAACCAACAAUAUUGAAAAAAUAUAUAAUUCAUUUUAAAAUUCUAAUCCAGGACUUCGAAGCAAGAAGAUGACGACGAAAAUUGACAAAUAAUAGUGGGACAAAUGUAAUUGUUGUGUGUUAGCUUGGAUAAUGAAUACAGUGUCUAAGGAAUUAUUAAGUGGCAUUGUAUAUGCUAAUGAUGCAGCAACAGUAUGGAAUGCUCUCAAGGAGAGAUUUGACAAAGUUGAUGGAUCGAGGAUCUACCAGCUACAUAGAGAGAUCUGUACAAUACAUCAAGGUAAUUUGACUGUUUCUGGUUAUUUUACAAAAUUGAGGCUACUAUGGGAUGAAUUUGAUGCUUUUGUACCUCCACCUUCAUGUAAUUGUGAUAAGUCAAGGAUUUAUGUGGAUCAACAAGUCUAUCUAAGUCUGUUUGCAUUUUUGAUGGGGUUGAAUGAUGUGUUUGGUCAAGCUCGUAGUCAGAUCUUGAUGAUGAACCCAUUGCCAAAUGUUAGUAAGGCCUAUGCUAUGAUAGUGGCAGAUGAAGGUCAAAGGAUGACUGCAGGUACACAAUCAAGGAGGGAAACAAUGGAGCCUACUGCACUUUAUGCAGGAAAAGGAAAUUUCCAGAGGAAUAAUGAUACAGGAAGAGGAAACAUGCAGAGAAACAACAUGAGAUCAUCACAGUUGAAGAAAAAGAAUUGGGAUCAAAUCUGUGAUUAUUGCAAGCUGCAGGGUCAUGUUAAACUUGAUUGUUUCAAGUUGAAUGGUUAUCCACCUGACUGGAAGUUUAACAAGAAACCUGAAAAUUUUAAUUCAGGAUAUGAGCAAAAUGGAAUAGGACAGACACAAGGCAUGAAAGCAAAUCAAGUGAGAGUUGAUCAAGGAAUUAUACAAGAUGAUUUUGCACCAAUCUGCAGAAAAGAAGAAGGUCAAGGAGUGAGAUCACAAGAGGUUUCAGCACUGGCAGCUCAACCUACUUUCACUCAAGGACAAUACCAGAAAAUUCUGCAUAUGCUUGAUAAAGAAGAAGUGGGAUCUUCAUGAUCCAAUAUAGCAGCAAAUAUGGCAGGUAUAACAGGAAAAAUUGAUAGAGCAUUAUCUGUAAAUUCUACUAUGAAAGAGGGAUGGAUAAUUGAUUCAGGAGAAACUUGUCAUAUGACUCAUAAUCUGCAUAGAUUGCAUUCUGUUUGCAACUUUCCUGAUCAUUUAAAUAGAAGUGUUCACUUACCAAAUGGAGAAACUGUGUCUGUUACACAUUCAGGAAGUUAUAAAACAUUAGGAGGAGAUUUGUUGAAGAAUGUUUUGGUGGUUCCUACGUUCAAAUUUGAUUUGCUCUCAGUAUCACAGUUAACAAAACAGCUACAUUGCUCAGUUAAUUUCUUUCCUGAGUUUGUUGUUUUUCAGGACCUCUUCCAUGGAAAGGUGAAGGGGAUUGGUAAGGAAGUGGAUGGACUAUACUAUCUCUCUAAUCAAAAACUACAUGGAGAAGAGAAGAAUAAUGAGAUGAUUAUGAUGACACACAAUAAUGAGAAUUUGAACAAUGCUUUGUUACGGCAUAACAGGUUAGGGCAUCCAUUAGCCAGGGUGUUACAAGAGUUGUCUUUGAAUUCUUCAAAUUCAAAUAAUAUCUGUAAGAAAUGUUCUAUAUGUCCACUUGCAAAGAAGACUCGACUAUCUUUUCCUUUGAGUCUUUCAAAAACUAGUAGUAUCUAUGAAUUGAUUCAUUUAGAUGUUUGGGGACCUUAUCAUGUGGCAACACAUAAUGGUUACAGAUUUUUCUUGACUAUUGUUGAUGAUAAAUCCAGAAUGAUAUGGGUAUAUUUGAUGAAAUUGAAAAGUGAUGUGUUUCAUAUUUUACAAUCCUUUUGUGUUCUUGUUAAGAAUCAAUUUAACAAGCACAUUAAAAGAAUAAGGUCUGAUAAUGGAGGAGAGUUCUUUAACAAAGAAUGUAAUGAUUUUCUUAUUACUCAUGGGAUUAUUCAUGAAAGUAGUUGUACAUAUACUCCACAACAGAAUGGAGUUGCUGAAAGAAAAUACAGACAUAUACUUGAAGUAUCUAGAGCACUCAAGUUUAAUGGUCAUAUACCUAUAAGAUUUUGGGGUGAAUGUAUUCUUACAGCUGUGUAUUUAAUCAAUAGACUACCUACAAUAACAUUGGAAGGGAAGACACCUUAUGAGGUGUUUCACAAUGCCAAGGCAGAAUUUGAUCAUUUGAGAGUAUUUGGAUGUUUAGGAUAUGUUACCAGAUUGCCUAAAGGAGACAAAUUUUCACCAAGAGCUGAUGCUUGUAUAUUUCUUGGUUAUCCUGCUACUCAAAAAGGCUAUCUUAUGUACAACUUGAUCAGCAGGAGAUUUGUAGUAAGCAGGGAUGUAGUUUUUAAGGAAGAUAUAUUUCCAUUAUCAAAAAAUGGUUACUAGAUAGCUGCCUUUAUUUCCUAAUUCUUCAUUGGAUACAUAUCAGGAUGAUGAUCAUAAGGAGUUGAAUGACAAGAUGAAUGACAUGGAAACAAUUGUCCCACAGGAACAAACAUUUCCUGAGAUUAACAUGCAUAAUGACAGUGCAUGGAAUGAAGGCAAUGAAGAUGUUGGAAACACAGAUAUGAUAAAUGAAGGUGCAGAGAACAAUGUUGAUAUUUUAGUACCUGAUGUCAUUACUGAAAAACCAAGACAAUCUCUUAGGAAUUCAAAACCUCCCAUAUGGAUGAAAGAUUAUAUUACACAAGUUUCAGAUACUAAUCAGCCUUAUCACUAAGGAAAUACAUGUCUUAUAAAGACAUUUCUCCUAGUUAUGCAGUAUAUCUAUCCAAGUUUUCUGUUGAAAAUGAGCCUAGAAGUUAUGAAGAGGCUAUUAAAGAUAAAAGGUGGGUUGAUGAAAUGAAGCUAGAGAUACAAGCUUUAGAAGAAAAUGGUACUUGGGAAGUAGUUAAACUGCCAGCAGGAAAGUCUGCAAUUGGAUGUAAAUGGGUUUUUAAGAUCAAAUAUCAAGCUGAUGGGAAGAUUGAAAGGUUCAAGGCUAGGUUGGUGGCAAAGGGAUACAACCAAACUGAAGGUAUUAAUUAUCAAGAGACAUUUUCACCAGUGGUAAAAAUGGUGACUGUUAGAGCUAUAGUGGCUUUGGCUGCUGCUAAGCAUUGGAUCAUUCAUCAAAUGGAUGUAUUUAAUGCUUUCUUACAAGGAGAUUUGUUUGAUGAAGUAUACAUUAAAUUACCUAAAGGAUUCAAGAUGAAGGAAGAAAACAUGGCCUGCAAGUUAGUUAAAUCUCUUUAUGGUCUUAAACAAGCAUCUAGACAAUGGAAUGCAAAAUUGACUAAUGCUUUGUGCAGUUCAUGGUAUAUACAAAGUCACUUGGAUUAUUCUUUAUUCACCAAGAGAAGAGAUGAUGGAAUUGUCAUUGUUUUGGUUUAUGUAGAUGAUAUUUUGGUAACAGGAAAUUAUGUCAAUUUGAUAGAAGAAACCAAACAUGUGUUGCAUAGUUAUUUCAAGAUUAAAGACUUAGGAGAAUUGAAAUAUUUUUCGGGAAUUGAAUUUUUGAGAUCCAACAAAGGAAUAGUUAUGAAUCAGAGGAAGUAUGCUCUAGAAAUGAUUUCUGAGGUGGGGUUAGCUGCUGCAAAACCAGUAAUGACACCACUAGAAUGCAACAUGAAGUUAACUAGUGUGGAAUUUGAUGAAGGCAGUGUCACUACUGAUGACUUAUUUCUAGAUAUUAACAAAUACCAAAGGCUUGUUGGGAAGCUGUUGUACUUAACUAAUACAAGGCAAGAUAUAGCAUUUGCAGUACAAUCUUUGAGUCAGUUUAUGCAGAAUCCAAAAAGGUCACAUUUGGAGGCAGCAUUGAGGGUGAUUAGAUACAUCAAAGUUUAACCAGGAAAAGGGUUGCUGAUGAGUGCAGAUACAAAAUCUCAACUUACAGGAUUCUGUGAUGCAGAUUGGGCUGCAUGUCCAAAUACUAGAAGAUCUGUGACUGGUUUUGUAUUGAAGUUUGGUGAUUCUUUAAUAUCUUGGAAGUCAAAAAAGCAAAACACAGUGUCUAGAAGUUCUGCUGAAGCAGAAUAUAGAAGUUUAGCUACCUUGACUGCUGAGAUCGUUUGGGUAAACAAUUUGUUUCAUGAAUUGGAAGUAAAACUAACAGGACCAGCUACCAUUUUUUGUGAUAGCAAGGCAGCCAUACAGAUUGCUGCUAAUCCUGUAUUUCACGAACGGACUAAACAUAUUGAGAUAGAUUGUCACUUCAUCAGAGAAAAGGUGCAGCAAGGAUUAAUCAGACCUACAUACAUACAUACAAAAGAUCAACAAGCAGAUGUACUGACCAAGGCUCUAGGCAGGAUUCAACAUGAGAUCUUAAUUAGCAAGCUAGGAUUCUUGAACUUGUUCAAUACAUCCAGCUUGAGGAGGAGUAUUGGAGUUGGUUAAUUUUAUUGUUAGAUUGUUUAGUUAGUUAAUUAAACUUAAGCUAAUUGCUUACUAAUAGUUAAUUUGUAAAUUAGUUAGUUAGUUAGAAAGUUGUUAGCAAGUAGUUAGUUAGUUAGCAAGUAGUUAGUUAGUUACUAUUUCAGCUGAAUAUAAAUACUAGUGUAAAUGUAAUCUAGUUAGUUAAUUCACUCAAUAAGAAUUGUUCUAAUUCUUUCACGUUUGUUGUAUGAGUUUGAAUACAAAUGAGAUUUGCAAAUUUAAUGCUCUUCUAUGUGACUUUAAAUAAGGGGCCUUAGAUAUGGUAAGUUGAAGAUAAUCAAACUAUUAAAGCUAAGAAGUUGAAGAGAACGAAAUUAUUAAAGCUAAGAAGAUGAAGAGAAUCAAAUAAUUAAAGAUAUUUUGACUAUAAAAAAAAACUCAUCAAAUCCAUACUUAAUUGUUGGGAGUAUCCUUGUUUUCAUCAAUUAUAAUUGAAGGCAAUUGAAGCAUCGUGCCAACAAACAAGAGUCUAUAGGCUUGAUUAUAAUUGUAAGCAUUAAUGUAGAAUAUAUAGUUGAUCUGUAACUAUUUUUAUUUUCUUAAAAGAAGGGUAAAUUAUUUUCUUAAAAAAGAAUAAUAUGAUAAUUUAAUUUUUAACUUGAGUUCUGUGCACUUUUAAUAACUGACAAAAAAAUAUCAUAAACAUAAUUUUUACAUAAUUAAAAUAACAUUUUAUUUUUAGAAGAAAAUUUUGAAUCAUAUAUUUCCAUGUCAUAUUGAAAUAAGCUUUUAUAACGAAUAUUUAAAGUAUAAUUUUGGAUGUUAUAAAAAUUCCACAUAAACGCAAUAUUAAAUACUUAAACUCGUAAAAAAUAGCUGUAAAUUAACGUUAAAUGAUGCAUUUUUUUCUUUAAGGAUACGAACCAUUAUUUUGUAUUUAUCAAUAAACUAUUGGAUUUUUUGUAAUCAUCAUACACUAAGAAAUUCAUCAAUCACCUAAUAUCAUUCACCAGUAUUCCUAAUUUGAAUUUAUUUGACUAAUUUAAUUCGGGAUAUUCAUCUACUAUUGAUGUAUAAUUAAUUAGAUAAUUCAUAAUAUUUUAAUUUAGUUUAGGAGUAAAAUGAUAAUUCAACUUUAUACUUUGGAGCUUCUCAUUCUUAAUAAUAUAUCGAUAUGAUGAUGGUUAUACAUUGUUUUAUCAAUCAUAAUUUUUAAAAAUUCUUCCAUUGUGAGAAUAAUGAUUAUGAUUAAAAGCAAUAUCAAUGCGCUCAUUUAUCAAGAAAUAAAGAUUUACAUUAUUAAUGGGCUUAAGGACUUAAAUAAUACCAUACUGUAAUUAAAAUAUAUUUGUAUUUAAUUAAAGAAUUAAUCAAAUUUUAAUUUAAUAAAAGGGCAAAAUGGUAAUUCAAUUUUUCACUUUGGUCAUGAUAUGAUUAUGACUUUGUAUCUUUUCAUUCCUUUACUUGUUGCUCAAUUCCAACAAUGUCCCCACUAAUUUUCAACUUCCUAUUCUUCUUACUGUUAUGGCUCUCAAACUGUUGUGCACAAGGAAAUGAGAGUGAUCAUUUGGCCCUGAUUUCCUUUAAAAAUGCAGUAAUAUCAGAUCCACUUAACAUCACAGCUUGUUGGAAUGAAUCUACUCAUUUUCUGCAGCUGGAUCGGCAUAACAUGUGGCAACAAACACCGUCGAGUCAUUAUGAUUGUCUUGAACUCUAGUGAAUUGGUUGGUCCAUUGUCACCAGCAGUUGGUAAUCUUAGUUUCCUCAGGGUACUCUGGCUCAGCAGAAACAGUUUCACUGGCCAAAUCCCUGGAGAGAUAGGAAAGCUAUCGAGAUUACGGAGGUUGAACAUAGCAAACAAUUCAUUUUCUGGUGAAAUACCAACAAACAUAUCGCGGUGCUCCAAUCUCAAUUAUAUUCAUUUAGGUAAUAAGUAUUCCAACAGAGUUGAGUUCAUUGAAUAAACUUGAGAAUUUGCUACUUCACAAGUUCCAGCUUAUCUAGGUAAUCAUUGUUCACUCUUGGCAAUUACAUUAGGUGAUAAUCAAUUACAUGGAAAGAUACCUGAUAUUUUUGGUGGACUAAGAAAUUUGGUGUUUCUUGAUUUUGCUUUGAAUUAUCUGUCUGGUGAGAUUCCUAUGUCUGAUUUUCAACUUGUCGUCGUUGCACACACUUUAGAUAACUUUUAAUAAACUUGAAGGGGGUCUUCCAUCAGAUAUGGGGUUCAAUCUUCCAAGUUUAAAGUUCAUUCACAUUGUGGGAAAUCAACUGACAGGAAAGUUUCCUACUUCAGUACUGAAUUCCACAUGACGGGAAUAAUUUUACUGGACAAGUACCUGCCUUUGGAAACCAAAAGAAGCUUGGACUUGCUGAAAAUCAUUUUGGAAAUGGGAUGUUGGAUGAUAUGAAGUUUAUGUACUCCCUACAAAAUUGUACUAGUUUAGAGCAGCUAAUAUUGGAAAAACAACAAUCUUGGAGGAGUAUAUAGGCAACAUGUCCAAUCUUUUGCGGCUUUCUGUAGGCGGAAAUAUUCCCAUAGAGAUUUUACAGCUUGAAAACCUGCAAGUACUUGGUCUUGAGAAAAAUAAUUUUACUGGUAUGACUCCUGAGUCUAUUGGACAACAAAGGAAACUUAGAAGGUUAUACUUUGACCACAACAGAUUUUCAGGUGAGAUUCCACAUUCUCUUGGAAACUUGACGAGGUUGAUUGAACUAGAUUUGGGAUCAAACAAGUUGCAAGGUACUGUGCCUUCAAGUCUUGGAAGCUGCAAGUUCUUAUCACGUUUGUAUCUGAAUGGAAAUCAACUUAGUGGUCUUAUACCGAAAGAACUGUUUGAGCUCUCCCUUAUAGAGUUUGAUCUCUCAAACAACCACUUGACAGGGCAUUUUCCUGUAGGGAUUGGCUCUGGAAACUUGACUAGAUUGAUAAACUUGAUCUACAUGAACCAUUCAUAUAAGAAUUUAUCAGGUGACUAGUUUGAGGGAGUUAUACCUUGGUAACAAUGACCUUCAGGGAGUUAUUCCUGCAUCUUUGAGUUCUUUGAGAAGUCUUGAAUAUAUGGAUCUUUCUCAUAACCACUUUGUAGGGAGGAUCCCAAAGUUUCUGGAUGAACUUGUCACCUUGCAGUUCUUAAGUUUGUCUUAUAAUGAUUUGGAGGAUGAGGUACCUUAGAAGCUUUCAGAAACAUGAGUGUUGUUUCACUUGUUGGGAACAGUGAGCUAUGUGGUGGUAUUCCAGAGUUCAAAAUGCCAAAGUGCAGCAACAAAGUAGCGUCAAAAAGACACAGGUUAUCUCAUAGAUUGAUAAUAGUAAUGCUGGUUAUUGGAGGAUUAUUGGCAGCAACAACAGUGGCCCUUUUUAUUUUCUUGUGUGCUAGAAGAAAAAAGAGGUCCACUUCAUCAGAGAAUUCAUCGUUGGAUGUGAUCCCAAGAGUGACUUAUAAUAGUCUUCACAAAGAAACUAAUGGCUUCUCUAUGUCAAACAUGAUUGGUUCGGGUGCACUUAGCUUCGUAUACAGAGGCAUUCUUGAGGAAAAUGGAAAAUUUGUUUUUAUAAAAGUGCUCAAACUCCAAGUUACGGGAGCUUCUAAGAGCUUUCUUACUGAAUGUGAAGCACUAAGACAUAUCAAGCAUAGAAACCUGGUAAAACUCUUAACAUCAUGUUCAAGUAUCGAUUACCAAGGUAAUGACUUCAAGGCUCUCGUUUAUGAGUACAUGGCCAAUGGUAAUUUGGCAAAUUGGUUGCACAAUAGAAGUACAGAAGGUGAAGAAAAUCAUGAGCCUAAAACUUGGAACAUACUACAGAGACUCAAUGUAAUAAUUGAUGUGGCUUCUGCAUUAGAUUACCUUCAUCAUCAAUCUGGAACUCCAUUGACACACUGCGAUAUCAAACCAAAUAAUGUGCUUUUGGAUGAAGAUUUUGUGGCUCAUUUAGGUGACUUUGGACUAGCAAGGUUUCUGCCUGAUGCUGCAAAGCUGCUCUCCUUAAGCCAAUCAGCCAGCUCUCUCAAUAUAAGAGGAACUAUUGGAUAUGUUCCACCUGGUAAUUAACUCUCCUCCCUUUCUAAACAUCACUUUAUAUUUAUGAAGGUCCUAUUACUUAUCAAGUUUGUCAUUGUUGCGGAAUCCGAAUAUAUAGAGAGUGAUGGAAUCACAACUGCUAUAUCUAAAUGUAGCUAAUAAAUAGUAAAUGAGACAACAAUAGAAAGAACGCCAGAAAUUAACGAGGUUCGGCAAACUUUUGUUUUCUUUUGCCUAGUCCUCGGACACAACCAACCAAUAUUUAUUUCACUCCAAAAGAGUACAAGUGAAAUACUACAAGAGAGAAAGAAGAACAAAUGUCUUAGGAGAUGAGAAGGCAAGUUAGGGUGUUUUACAAAUGAAUUAGGAGCUACCUAUUUAUAGGAGUGAAUUCUUCCUAUUGAUGUCAUCCAUGACAUCACAAUAUGUCAAAAUGUCAAGAUUUACCUUGUGACAUCAAUUUAUGGUUCAGCUAAAUUUCACCUACAAAAGGUGCUAUCUUGACUUUUCUACCAAUGAAGAAUUAUCCUCCUAACUACCAUAUCUUCUCAUUAAUCCAUUUUGAAUCUUGUCAAACUUAACAAAUCUCCACCUUGGCAAGAUUCUCCAUUUUCAACUUCCUCUCAACAACAAUUUUGAUUGUGUCUUCAACCUUAAUCUUCAAUGUUCAACAAUGUUGAUCAAGUUCAAACAAUGUUGAAACUUGACCGCAGACACAACUUUUGUCAACAUAUCGGCAGGAUUAUCUAUAGUAUGAAUUUUUUGCAUUAUGACUCCACCAUUUUCUAUGAUUUCUCGUAUGAAAUGAUAUCGGACGUCAAUGUGCUUCGUCCUUGCAUGAUAAACUUGGUUCUUUGCUAAUUGAAUAGCACUCUGACUAUCACAAAAUAUUGUGAUUUCUUCUUGUUCAAUACCAAGCUCUCUAAGCAAUCCUUGAAGCCAAAUUGCUUCCUUCACAGUCUCUGUAAUUGCCAUGUACUCUGCCUCAGUGGUAGACAAAGCAACUGUUGACUGCAAAGUAGACUUCCAACUAACUUGUACAUUUGCAAAUAGUGAAAACAUAACCAGUAGUUGAUCUUUGUUUGUCCAAAUCACUUGAAUAAUCUGAGUCACAAUAUCCAACAAGAUAUUGACUAUCUUUCUGCUCGAAAAUCAAACCAACAUCUACAGUAUUAUGAAUAUACCGUAGAAUCCAUUUUACAGCCUGCCAAUGAUCCUUUCCAGGAUUGUGCAUGUACCUGCUUACAACUCCAACAGCGUGUGAAAUAUUUGGCCUUAUGCAAACCAUUGCAUACAUCAAGCUACCAAUAGCAUUAGUGUAUGGUACUCUUGACAUAUAUUCUCGUUCAACUUCAUUAUUACGUGACAUAUCAUCACUAAACUUAAAAUGAGGAUCAAGCGGAGUGCUAACCGACUUCGUUUUAUAAUUCAUACCGAAUCACUUUAGUACUCUCCUCAAAUAUUCCUUUUGAGAUAAAUAGAGUUUCUUUGAAUGUCUAUCUCUUUUUAUCUCCAUGCCAAGAAUCUUCUUUGCCUCACCCAAAUCCUUCAUCUUAAACUCCUUUCUUAGUUGAAUCUUUAGCUUCUCAAUUUCCUCUUGACUCUUAGAAGCUAUCAACAUAUCAUCAACAUAUAGGAGAAGGUAUAUAAAGGAAUUAUCUUCAAGCUUGCGCAAAUACACACAAUGAUCGUAUUUGCUUCUUAUGUACCUUUGCUGCAACAUAAACUUGUCAAAUCGUUUGUACCAUUGUCUAGAAGAUAAUUUCAAUCCGUACAAUGAUUUUUCAAGUUUGCACACCAUAUUUUCUUUUCCAUCAACUUUGAAUCCUUCUGGUUGAGUCAUGUAGAUUUCCUUUUCCAAGUCUCCAUGUAAAAAUGCAGUUUUUACAUCCAACUGAACUAGUUCCAAAUUUAACUGUGCUACCAAAGCCAACAAAACUCUAAUGGAGGAGUGUUUCACAACUGGAGAAAACACCUCAUUAUGAUCAAUUCCCUCCUUUUGAGCAUAUCCUUUGGAAACCAAUCUUGCUUCGUAGCGAACAUCUUCUUGGUUAGGAAAUCCUUCUUUCUUUGCAAAUACCCAUUUGCACCCAAUUGCUUUCUUGCCCUCUGGGACAUUGACCAAUCUCCAUGUAUGAUUCUGAUAAAGGGACUGUAUUUCUUCAUCCAUGGAAAUCCUCCACUUAUCUUCUUCUGAACUUUGGACUGCGUCUUUAUAAGUGGUAGGAAUGUCAUCAGCUGCAAUUGAGUCCGCACAAGCCACCAUAUCUAUGAGUCGAUCAUGUUUUCUUAUUGUCCUUUUUGGCUUGCCGGUUGCUAUUGAUUCAAGUUGUGGUUGAGGUUCUUGAGAUAAAACCUCCUCUUCGACUGGCUCUCCUUUAAGAGGAAAAUUUUUUGUUGUUUCCUCGUUUGAUCCCUGUGUUGGGAAAAUUAUCUUUCCCUCAAACUCCACCUACUUUGAAGCACCAUCAAUUUGUUUGGCUUCUUCAAGUGUUACCUUAUUUGUUAAGGUAGAUUCAUCAAAGGUAACAUCCCUGCUGAAAAUAACUUUUCUUGUCUCUGGACACCAUAAAUGGUAUCCUUUGACUCCAGAAGUAAUUCCCAUGAAUAAAGCUUUCUUUGCUCUUGGGUCCAAUUUUGACUCUCUUACAUGAUAAUAUGCAAUUGAGUCAAAUACAUAUAAAGAACCAUAAUCUUCAGCAGGUUUUACAUACCAUUUUUCAAAUGGUGUCUUCCCACCAAUACAAGCAGAUGGUAGACGAUUAAUGAGGUAGCACGCAUAUGUUAUUGCCUCAGCCCGAAAUUCUUUUCCCAAGCCAGCAUUGGAGAACAUACACUGAACUUUCUCCAGCAAAGUUCGGUUCAUGCGUUCUGCCACUCCAUUCUGUUGUGGUGUUAUUUUGACGGUGAAAUGUCUAAUGAUGCCAUUUUCCUCACAAAUUUUCUGAAAAAGAUCAUUUUUGUAUUCGCCACCAUUGUCUGUGCGAAGACAUUUGAUCUUUCUGCCACUUUGAGUUUCUAUCAUCGCUUUCCAUUUGAGAAAAAAUCUCAAUACUUCAUCUUUUGUUUUCAUCGUAUACACCCAUAAUCUUCGAGAAAAGUCAUCAACAAAGGUUACAAAAUAGUGUUUCCAACCUAAUGAAGGUGUUUUGGAAGCACCCCAAACAUCCGAAUAAACAUAAUCCAAAAUACCUUUAGUAUUAUGGAUAGUUGUUCCAAAUUUAACCUGUUGAAUGCCUUGAAUCGGACCCGUUACAACAGAAAGAACGGGGGUCAGUUUGGGCCCUUAAUUAUCUGUCAAUUCUGUAUUUUGGGCCUAAGCCUGUUAGGGCGUAGUUUAGCACUAUAUAUAGACGCUAUGGCAAACCCUAUUCUGUAAUUCUGUUUUUUGCCUCUCCAUAAUAAAACUGCUCCCCCUCUUCCCCGUGGACGUAGCCAAUUUAUUGGUGAACCACGUAAAUCUGCUGUCGUGUUUUUCGCAUUUAUAUUUUCUCGUAUUAUCUCGAAUUCCGCAUAACAAAUUGGUAUCAGAGCCUCUCGGUUAAUCGGUGUUCUUGGAGAAUUCGAGAUGUCUGCUUUGAACGUGAAAAUCGACAAAUUCACAGGGAGGAACAAUUUCAGUUUAUGGCAGAUCAAGAUACGGGCUUUGUUGAAACAGCAAGGCUUCUGGGCGCUGUUGUCGAAAGACAAGAACGCCGUCGUUACUCCUGAGAUGGCGAUUUUGGAGGAAAAGGCGCACUCGACGAUCAUGCUGUGUCUCGCGGAUGACGUCAUCACAGAGGUCUCGGAUGAAGAGACUGCUGCUGGUCUAUGGUUAAAGCUGGAGAGUUUGUACAUGACAAAAUCUCUAACCAACAAGAUGCUUCUGAAACAACAUCUAUUCGGUUUACGAAUGGCUGAAGGUACACAACUCAGGGAACAUUUAGAGCAAUUGAAUACUUUGUUAUUAGAAUUACGUAAUAUCGAUGUGAAGAUCGAGGAUGAAGAUGCUGCCUUGAUUCUGUUAGUAUCUCUCCCAAUAUCGUUUGAGAAUUUUGUUCAAUUGUUCAUUGUUGGGAAAGAUACUGUGUCGCUAGAAGAAGUCAGAUCGGCCCUUCAUAGUAGGGAAUUACGGCAUAAGGCUAACGGCACAAGUACGGACAUACAGCCUUCCGGUCUGUUCACCAGUAGCGGAAAGGGAAGGAAAAACAGCGGAAAGAAAAAUAAGCCGAUGUCGAAGGGUGCAAAGCCAGAUGAUGUUUGUAAUUACUGCAAGGAGAAGGGACAUUGGAAAUUUGAUUGUCCGAAGAAGAAGAAGCAAUCGGAAAAACAAUCAGUUUCUGCUGUUGUUGCUGAAGAAGACACCAAUUCUGAAGAAGACAUUGCCCUAGUUGCGGAUCAGCACACUCAUCAUUCAGAUGUGUGGGUUCUCGAUUCUGGGGCAUCCUAUCACAUCUGUCCUAGGAGAGAGUGGUUCACGACUUAUGAGCAGGUAGACGGAGGCAGCAUCUCGAUGGCCAACAGUUCUAUCUUCAAGGUGGUUGGGACAGGCUCGAUCAAGAUAAGGACACAUGACGGUAGCUUCUGCACAUUGAACGAGGUCAGACACGUUCCAUUGAUGACGAAAAAUCUGAUAUCUCUCAGUCUUUUAGACAGCAAGGGAUUCAGCUAGUCGGGAAAAGAUGGAGUCUUGCGGGUCUGGAAGGGUUCAAAUCUGAUUCUGAAAGGUGUCAUGCAUGGUACUUUGUAUUUUCUACAAGGUUCCACAGUUACAAGUUCAGCCCAUGUUGCAUCGUUAGAAGUUCACCAGGAGGAUAUGACUAAGUUAUGGCACAUGAGACUUGGUCAUAUGGGUGAAAGAGGGAUGCAAAUUCUGUCAAAGGAGGAUCUUCUUGCUGGUCAUAAGGUUAAGAGCCUAGAGUUUUGUGAACAUUGUGUCUUUGGAAAACUACAUCGCAACAAGUUUCCAAAGGCCAUUCACAGAACAAAAGGCACACUUGAUUAUAUCCAUUCUGAUUGCUAGGGUCCAUGCCGUGUUGAGUCUUUGGGAGGCUGCAGAUUUUUUGUGUCCAUUAUUGAUGACUACUCAAGGAUGACUUGGGUGUACAUGAUGAAGCAUAAAAGUGAAGCUUUCCAGAAUUUCAAGGAGUGGAAAAUUUUGAUGGAAAAUCAAACAGGGAAGAAGAUCAAGAGGUUGUGAACUUAUAAUGGGCUGGAAUUCUGCUGGUCUGAAUUUGAUCAAUUCUGUAAAGAUGAAGGGAUUGCUCAACAUCGUACAGUCAGAAAUACACCACAGCAGAACGGUGUAGCUAAGCGGAUGAAUCAAACACUUCUGGAGAGAGCAAGGUGCAUGCUUUCUAAUGCUGGGCUAGAUAGAAGAUUCUGGGCAGAAGCAGUUAGUACAGCUUGCUACUUGGUUAACCGCGGACCACAUACAGGCAUACAGUGCAAGACACCUAUGGAGAUGUGGUCAGGAAAAACUGCUGAUUAUUCAAAUCUGAAAGCUUUUGGUUGUACGGCUUACUAUCACGUCAGUGAAGGUAAGUUAGAACCAAGAGCUAAAAAGGGAGUAGUUGUGGCUACGGAGAUGGAGUGAAAGGUUUCAGAAUCUGGUCUCCAGCAGAAAAGAAGGUUAUUAUGAGCAGGAACGUUGUCUUUGAUGAAAUUUCUCUGCUUAGAACCAUUGUGAAGCCUACAACUACGUCAGAAACUGGGAGCCUUGAUAAACAGGUGGAGUUUCAAGUCAUUCAGAACGAGAGCGAUUUGAAAGAACCUGAAGAGGAGGAUCAAGAGCCACAGACAGAAACUGAUAUUCCAGAAUCUAUGCCAUCAGAUAUCCAUCAGAGUAUAGCUCAAGAUCGGCCAAAGAGGAUUGGAGUUCGGCCACCUACGAGGUAUGGUUUUGAGGACAUGGUGGGUUAUGCACUGCAGGUUGCUGAAGAGGUAGAUACAUCUGAGCCGUCUACUUACAAAGAAGCCAUUUUAAGUCCUGAUUCUGAAAAAUGGUUUGCUGCUAUGGGAGAUAAGAUGGAAUCCCUACAUAAGAAUCAGACAUGGGAUCUGGUCAUACAGCCUUCGGGGAGAAAGAUUAUUACUUGCAAAUGGGUUUUCAAGAAGAAGGAAGGGAUAUCACCAGCAGAAGGAGUCAAGUAUAAAGCCAGGGUUGUUGCCAGAGAUUUCAACCAAAGAGAGGGAGUGGACUACAAUGAGAUCUUCUCACCAGUGGUCAGACAUACUUCCAUCCGAGUGUUACUAGCGAUAGUUACACAUCAGAAUCUGGAGCUUGAACAACUUGAUGUGAAGACAGCGUUUCUACAUGGAGAGUUGGAGGAAGAGAUAUACAUGACUCAGCUGGAUGGUUUCCAAGUUCCAGGGAAGGAAAAUCACGUCUGCAAGUUGAAUAAGUCCUUAUAUGGACUUAAGCAAUCUCCAAGGCAGAGGUACAAAAGGUUUGACAGCUAUAUGGUGAAGUUGGGCUAUACUCGGAGCUCAUAUGAUUGUUGUGUCUACUACAAUAGGCUCAAGGAUGAUUCAUUCAUCUAUCUGGUGCUUUAUGUAGAUGAUAUGCUGAUAGCUUCAAAGAAGAAGUAUGACAUUCAGAAGCUGAAGAGUUUAUUUAGUGCUGAGUUUGAGAUGAAGGAUCUGGGAGCCGCUCGGAAGAUUAUAGGGAUGGAGAUCAUUAGAGACAGAGAGAGAAGGAAACUUUUCUUGUCACAGAGAAGCUACAUUCAGAAGGUCUUGGCGAGGUUUGGCAUGUCUUCAUCUAAGCCUAUUGAUACCCCCAGUGCUGACAAUAUCCAUCUCACUGCCAUGUUUGCUCCACAAUCAGAAGAAGAGAAGGAGUAUAUGUCACGAGUCCCAUAUGCCAGUGCCGUAGGAAGUUUGAUGUAUGCUAUGGUCUGUACAAGGCCAGAUUUAGCACAUCCAGUCAGUGUAGUGAGAAGAUUCAUGGGAAAACCAGGGAGAGAACAUUGGCAGGCUGUGAAGAGAUUUUCCGGUACCUUAGAGGUACAUCUGACGUUGGUCUCAUUUAUGGAGGUGAUAAUCAGUGCUUGGUUACUGGCUAUUCUGAUUCUGACUAUGCUGGAGAUGUUGACACAAGAAGAUCGAUGAUUGGCUAUGUGUUUACCCUUGGAGGAUCUGUCGUCAGUUGGAAGGCAACUUUGCAACCUACAUUGACAGAGGCUGCAAAAGAAGGGAUUUGGCUGAAAGGGCUGGUUAGUGAUCUUGGUCUGCAUCAUGAUCAAGCUUCGGUGUAUUGUGACAGUUUGAGCGCAAUUUGUCUAGCCAAGGAUCAAGUCCAUCAUGAGAGAACCAAGCAUAUUGACGUGAGGUAUCAUUUUCUGAGAAGUGAGAAGAGAAUCAAGGUGAAGAAAGUAGGAACUGCUGAUAAUCCUGCUAAUAUGUUCACAAAGUCGGUUCCACAGAGCAAGUUUCAACAUUGUUUGGACUUUCUCAACAUCAGAAGCUGUUAAUUGCCCUGCGAGGCAAUUUUGAGGAAGAGGGGGAGGCCUGGCACUAUCAUAGUGCGUCUGAAGAAUCUGUUUGGAGAAUUCAAGUCAAGGUGGAGAUUUGUUGAAUGCCUUGAAUCGGACCCGUUACAACAGAAAGAACGGGGGACAGUUUGGGCCCUUAAUUAUCUGUCAAUUCUGUAUUUUGGGCCCAAGCCUGUUAGGGCGUAGUUUAGCACUAUAUAUAGACGCUAUGACAAACCCUAUUCUGUAAUUCUGUUUUUGCCUCUCCAUAAUAAAACUGCUCCCCCUCUUCCCCGUGGACGUAGCCAAUUUAUUGGUGAACCACGUAAAUCUGUUGUCUUAUUUUUCGCGUUUAUAUUUUCUCGUAUUAUCUCGAAUUCCGCAUAACAUAACCCCUGUUUGCUUUCCCUUGAUACAAUGCUCACAAAAGUCCAAGUUGCAAGUUUUUACUCCUUUUAGCAAUCCUUGAUCUGAUAAAGUUUUCAAGGAUUUCCCUCCAGCAUGUCCCAAGCGCAUAUGCCACAACUUGGUCAUUUCUGCCUCCUUCUCAUCAUUGGAUGUUGUUGCCGCUGUCCCAAUAACUGUACUACCUUGAUAGUGGUACAUGUUAUUAUUUCUUCGAAUUGCCUUCAUUUCCACCAGUGCACCAAAGCAUAUUCUCAUCACGCCAUUAUCUGCAAUGACUUUGAAUCCCCUUGAUUCUAGGGCUCCUACAGAAAUGAGAUUUUUCUUCAAAUUUGGUACAUAUCGAACAUCUGUUAAUGUUCUACUUAAUCCAUCAUGGUUCCUUAAUCGGAUUGAACCAACACCAUAUGUGGUAAGAGGAUUAUUGUUUGCAGUGUGAAUAACUCCACAUUCUCCUUCUUGUAAAUCAAUAUACAAGUCCCGAUUGGGACACAUAUGAUAACUACAAGCUGAAUCCAUCAACCAUACAUCAGAUGAUUUGAUGGAUCUGUUGUAACUAGUAAGUAAUCGAAAUCAUCACAAUCAGCCACAUUUGAAUCCAUGACAGCUUCCCAUUAUUUGGUUUGGCUUUGCUAUUCAACUUUGGGCAGUCUUUCUUCCAAUGCCCUUUUUCUCGGCAAAAGGCACAUUCAUCUAUGCUGAGUCUCGAUCUUGACUUGGAUCUCCCUUUCUUCGUUCUCAUAUGAUUUUGAGAACGACCUCUCGCAACUAGUGCUUCUGCUUCUCUGCCUUUUCGUUUUUCUCUCUUUCUUUGUUCAUAAAUGUAUAAGCCAGAACAAACUUCUUUGAGAGAUUCUUCAUCAUUCCCAUGUAGUAGAGUCAUUUCAAGAUGCUCGAACUCAUCGGGAAGUGAACUUAACAACAUUAAGGCCAUACCUCCAUCCAUAAAAGUCACGUCCAUAUUCCGCAAAUCUGUCGCCAACUUAUUAAAGCUGGUGAUAUGAUCAUUCAUUGUGCUACCAGGAAUAUAAGUGAAGUGUAACAGUCUUCUUUUCAUGUAAAGUUUAUUUUGACUAUUUUUCUUCAAGAAUUUCUCCUCCAAUGAAUUCCAUAAUUUAUUUGCAGAUGUUUCCUUCAUGUAUGGAUACUUUUGUUCUCUUGCAAGGUAAGAUCUAAUGGUACCGCAAGCAACACGGUUGAUAAUCUUCCAAUCUUCUUCUCCUACACCGUCUGGUUUCUUUUCUUCAAUGGCAAUAUCUAGCCCUGGUUGAAAAAGAACAUCAAGGACCUCGCCUUGCCACAUUCCGAAAUGUCCUGACCCGUCAAAAAUUUCAACUGCAAAUUUCGCAUUUGACACAAUUCUUGUUAUAAGCGAAGAUGUCAAUGAUGACGUAUUAUUGACACUUGAUGUGGACUCAUCAUUUUUCUUGUCUCCCAUUUUACUACAAAUACUAUUUACUAGCUAACAAUGCAAAGAUCAAAGUAAAUCUUUUUCUGAUGUAGAAGUUCAGACUGUGCUGCAACCACAGAGCAUACUCAGAUAAUACCUUGGCUUUGAUACCAAUUGUUGUGAAAGCCGAAUAUAUAGAGAGUGAUGGAAUCACAACUGCUAUAUCUAAAUGUAGCUAAUAAAUAGUAAAUGAGACAACAACAGAAAGAACGCCAGAAAUUAACGAGGUUCGACAAACUUUUAUUUUCUUUUGCCUAGUCCUCGGACACAACCAACCAAUAUUUAUUUCACUCCAAAAGAGUACAAGUGAAAUACUACAAGAGAGAAAGAAGAACAAAUGUUUUAGGAGAUGAGAAAGCAUGUUAGGGUGUUUUACAAAUGAAUUAGGAGCUACCUAUUUAUAGGAGUGAAUUCUUCCUAUUGAUGUCAUCCAUGACAUGACAAUAUGUCAAAAUGUCAAGAUUUACCUUGUGAAAUCAAUUUAUGGUUCACCUAAAUUUCACCUACAAAAGGUGCUAUCUUGACUUUUCUACCAAUGAAGAAUUAUCCUCCUAACUACCAUAUCUUCUCAUUAAUCCAUUUUGAAUCUUGUCAAACUUAACAGUCAAUUCAUGUAUGUGCAAAAUAUGCUACAGGUAAUACGUUUUCGACCUAUGGACAUGUGUAUAGUUAUGGAAUUCUACUAAUGGGAACAUUUACUGGAAGAAGUCCAACUGAUGAGAUUUUCAAGGAUGGUCUAAACCUUCAUGAUUUUGUUAAGAGAGCCAUACCUGAGCAUGUGAAAGAUGUGUCUGAUCCUAAUCUUGUCUAUGAUGAAAUGGGCAGACUGAUCAGCAACAAUAAAACAAUUGAGUGCCUCACAUUGAUUUUUCGAGUUGGGAUUGCUUGUUCAGUGGAAUCUGCAAAAGAUCGCAUGGACAUUGCCAAUGUUGUUAAUGAACUGAACGUAAUCAAAGAUGCCUUCCUGAGGAACUAGCAAUAUUGGCAAUGAAGUUCUUGAGUUUCAUAAUAAAGAUACUACUUGUAUAAGUUAUAUUCUCACUAUCCACUUAUCCCUUCCCUUUUCUUGCUUCUCCUUGUGUAAUGGAAAAAAAUUGAAAAUAAUCACCUGUUUUGGUUUACUUUGUUUCAUGUUUUAUACUAGAUUUACUGUAUAUACUGAUGUCAUUUACUAAUAAAGAAAUAGACAAAACUGUGAAAAAUUAUAAGCUCAACCAGAAAUAUGCAUUCCAUUUAACAAAAUGAACUUGUACAGACAGAGUUGGAUACAAUUUUAGAUGGCAUAUCCAUAAUGAGAAAACUCAAACUAUACUGAAGUUUGGAAUUUAAACUAUAUGGUAAGAGGGAAAAGGAGAAUACUACAUAGGAUGUUUCUCAUUUUUCUCACAUUUGCUUGAAGACUACAUCUUCAAGGUUCAACAUCAACAAGCAUCUUUACUACUUCUUUCAUGCUGGGGCGUAAAUUAGGAAGCUUAGUCGUACAUAGGGCAGAAAUCCUCAGAACUUUGAUCAUGUCAUCUUGGACAAGCUCGGAAACCACCUUUUGAUCAAGAAUAUUCAGAACACUUCCUUUGUCAUUAAGAUGAGUUGAUGCCCAAUAAACCAAGUCUUUGCCUUCUCCAUAGGCUUCCUCGAUUGGUUUCCUUCCGGUUACUAAUUCUAAUAGAACAACUCCAAAGCUGUAUACAUCGCUCUUUUCUGUCACUCUGGAAGUAUAUGCUAGCUCUGUCAAUAAAACAAAUUUAAAUGUGAUGUUAGGAAACUAGCAACAGUGAAAAUAGAAAGAAGUGGAAACAUAGUAUUUGGUUUUUCCUCUUCGAAACAUACCAGGAGCUAAAUAGCCAUGAGUGCCUGCAAAGCAGCUGAACUCGGAGCCUCUAGAGGAAAUUUCUGAAACUUUUGCAACACCGAAAUCAGAAACUUUCGCUUCAUACUCCUCAUCAAGUAGAAUGUUUGUUGACUUGAUAUCUCUAUGAAUAAUAGGAGGGACACAAUCAUGGUGUAAAUAAGCGAUUCCCUUUGCAGUUCCAACUGCAAUUUUAUACCUCUGGUACCAAUCUAAUUCUGUCUUCCCAUCCUUGACUUCCCGGUGUAAUGCCUCGAACAAAUUACCAUUUGGCAAGUACUCGAAAACCAACAUCUUCGAACGUUCUCUCAUUAGACUGGCAUACAGUUUAACUAUAUUUCUAUGCCUGAUCUUUCCUAGAAUGUCUAUUUCCCUUGUCAAAACUUUCACCUCAUUUCCUUUCCAAAGCUGCUUUACUGCCACUGUGCCACAACCUUUCUUCAAAUCUAACCGAUAAACUUUUCCUGUGCCUCCACUUCCUAUCAGCUUGUCCUCACCAACGUCACAUAUUUCAUCUACAUCAAGUUCCACAUGUUGGAAGCUCUCAAGCUUCCAUUUUGGAUUCAUUCCAUUUGCAUGUCCCAGACACUUUUCGGAAUCAGCUUCAGCGUUGCACUUGUACUUCCAGUAACUCACAAGCAUGAAAACACACAUUAGAACAGCCAAAGAAAGUAAUACAACGCAAAACACAACUAGUUUGCUCUUCAUGAACACUUCCUGAGCAGCCUUAGCACUACAAGCACCCAUGCCUGAGUUCGUUCGGAUAUUCCUGAUGCUUUGAUCAACACAAAGCCCCUUGUUUCCUACAAAUGCUUUUUCUCCUCCCACCGUUAAAAGAUCUGUAGGAACUCUUCCAGUUAGCUGAUUGUUAGAGAGAUCCAAUGAAGAUAACUUCAGGUUAUCCAAGCUUGGUGGAAUUGAGCCACUAAGUUUGUUACUCGAAAGAUUCAGAGAGUUCAACGAGGCCAUCAUUGACAAUGAAUUUGGUAUGUUGCCUGUGAGAAGAUUUGAAGCAAGAUUCAAGUUUGCCAACCUGGGAAACUCACCCAACUCCGAUGGUAUCGACCCGGAAAGUGAGUUUUUCUCUAAAUACAAAGAUGAAAUUUGCUUCAACGUGCCAAGUUCAGAUGGUAUUAUGCCAGAGAAAUCAUUGUUAUCCAAAUAUAGCCUUUCCAACUGUGUGAGCUUUCCAAGUUCUUUUGGAAGAUCACCUGAAAAUUUGUUGUUUGAUAAUACCAACUGAUUCAACUUAGUCGCAGCGUCGAUUCCACGAGAUACAGUUCCAGUGAAGUUGUUAUUGCUGAAAUCUAUCAUUGUGACUUCUGGAAGCUCCCAUAAACCCUCAGCAAUUCUCCCAGAAAGUUGAUUCUGACUCACCCUCAAUCUCAUUAAAGUCUUGCAAGAAGCAUAAUUAUCUGGAAACUCCCCUGUGAAACUGUUUUCAACAGCUAGCAAAUUUUGCAAGUUGUUGUUUUGACAUAAGUAUUUUGGAAAUGCACCACUAAAAUUGUUUUCAGAUAUGUCUAUACUAUUCAGUGGCGAAAACCGGCCAAGAUUAGCUGGAAUUUCUCCAGUAAAACUGUUGCUAUACACAGCAAAGCCAUUAAGAUGCUGCAUAUCACCAAAGCCUGGAGGGAUUUGUCCAGAGAAAUUGUUCUUGAAUAUUUGAAAAACCGUUAAGUUCUUCAGGUUGUCAAUCCCCUUAGGCAAAGUCCCAUGCAGCUGGUUUCUAGAAACAUCAAUUUCCUGCAGAUGUAUAAGAUCAACAAGUUCUACUGGCAAUUCCCCGGUCAAAUUAUUUUGAUAAAGUUCAAUCUUGAAGAGAUUUCGCAGCUUGUUUAUCGACUUUGGGAAAUUCCCUGACAUAUGGUUUAUCGAAAUAUCUAAUGUACCUAGUGCCUCCAUUUCGAAAAUAGAUUCAGGGAUUUGUCCUGUCAAAUUUGACCCUGCUAAGAAAAGCCAAUAAACUUUCUUCAACUUCCCAAAUAAAUCAGGAAGUUUACCUUCAUCAUACUCAUUUCCACCAAGGCCUAAUGCAACCAAACUAGUCAACUUUCCAAACCAAGCUGGAAACUGUCCAGAAAAACAGUUAUUUGACAAGUCUAACACCUCCAACUUAGCCAAUCUCGAUAAAUCAGGUAUCGUACCAUUCAUGUUAUUGUCAGUAACAUUCAAUACUUUGAGAUUGGCGCAAUCCGCCAAUUCACUUGGAAGAUUUCCAGACAGUUGAUUUGAAGGAAGCACUAGUGAAGUAAGGCUUUGAAGGACAGAUAUUGAAGGGGAAAUAACUCCAGAAAGUGACUUAUUGUCAAGUGAAAUCUCAGUGACCAAGCCAGUGUGUUUGUCACAUUGAAUACCAUAGAAUUUACAAGGGGAUUUUGAAUAUUUCCAAGAUUCCAAGACAUUCAAAGGGUCAACAAGCUGCUUUUUAAAUUCAAGAAGUGCUUCUGUCUCAACUGACAAUGAAUUAGAUGGGUGGCAAAAGAAAACAAGUGACUUCAAGAAAAUAACAAGAACUUGGAGGGAAUGAAGAGUUUGGAUUCUAGACAUGAUUGAAUAUGGGAAAGGGCUAAACAGUCAUUUCACAAGGGGAUGACAAACUCCAUAAUGAGUAACUGAUCAAAGAAGAGAAGUAGCAAUCAGUAACCAAACAAGAAUAUACAUAUAACAAACCCCUUUUACUUUAAAGCAAUGUAUACCUAAUCAAAUGUUUGUUGUAUUAUAAGAAAUUUAAAAAUAUCACUUAAAGAAUAAGAUAACUUAGGAAUUCAGUAAACCACAUAUGGAUGAUGUUAAACAGAUAUACACAAACACAUACAGGAUUUGUUUAACAUGUCAAUUUGUAUUUAGUUGAGGAUUUACUAUAUUGCAAAUCAAUUUACAUCUUUCUUUGAAGUGACUUAAGUAUUGCAAUGUUUUACUUGACUUUAUAGUCGCUUUGUUUUUUCAUCUUUUCUACGAUUAAACUUUUCAUAUCUAAAGCGAUCCGACUAGAGUGGGACACAAAAUAGCACAAAAAAAGAUCAAAAUCUUGAAGUUUUAACAGUGGCCUAUUGGUUAACGAAGUAGGUGAAAAUUACGAGACAAGUUAAAAUUUAGUAAAAACAAAAAAAACCACUAGAUUAUUACUUUUCAUCUGCACUAAUCUUUAUUAAAUAAAGUUACCUGAUAUUUAUUAUUGAUGAAAAAUAACAAAUAUCUAAUAGAAUUAAUCAAGAUGAACUCAAACUAACCCAUACACUUAUUAUUGAAUGAACAAAUUGGGAGAUUCUAAUAUGACAAAUCAUUAAAAAAAAAAAGGAAAGGAAAUGAGUAUGGCAUAUAUAUACAGUAAGAGAAAAAGAGAAAGUGGUGACAGACAAAAAAAAACAUAUAACUUUCAUAAUUGAGUCCUAACAACCAAAAUCAUAUAUUUUUGUGUCUAAAAUAAUUUAAAUCUAAUUAAAUUUAACAGAAACAGAGACAUUAAGUACAACAAAAAGUAGAAUGCAUCUUUGGUAUUAAAAAACAUGUUAUAUAACUCAAGAAUUCCUAAUAUUACAAAAAUAAUGAAGAAAGAGUUAAGAAGAAACACAAUUACUUACCUAGUAACAAUGUGUUCUUUAAUUAGUAUCAUGUUUGAGCUGCAGAAUUCAGAAAUCUAAUGAGAAGAAAAAAGAUUUGUUAAUAGGAAAAGAGUGUUUUUGUGGAGUGAAAGGAAAAUGAAGAAAGAGGGAUGCUUCAUUCAUUAUUUUUUUUAUAAUAAUUAAUACAAGAAAUAGUACCUGUGUUUUAUGGACUAAAAAGAAUAAGAAGCUGACAAAAUUUGGGUAAUAAAAGAGAGUUGUAUAAGCACCAGACACUUUGAUUGAGACCCAUCUUUUCUCUCUAUCUCAUCUAUGUAUUAUAUACUUAUCUUAUGAUAUAAUAAUUUAUGUGAUAUAGUUUGAUCAGAUAUUAAAUAUUUUAAAAUUUACUAUUUAAAACAAGUUGAUAUUGAUGAAUGAUGGAGUUAAAAUAUCAAUUAAAGCGUGUUAAAAUACAAAUAAGAAAAAAUCUGGUAAAAGUUGAGGUUUUGAGUGUCAUAUAUAUAUAUAUACAUAAAAAUUAAUUAAACAAUGUGUGAUAUGAUUGGAACUAAUUACAUAUUAUUUUCAUUUAUAUUUAUGGGUACAACACAAGUAAUUAAUGGUAUACUAAUAUUCAUUAAAUUAUAGGCAUGUCUGCCUAUAAAAUAUAGUCUUAUACUAUUAAUUAUAUUUAAUCUCUGAAUAUAGUAGGUUGCUUGAAUAUUGUGGCUUAAUUCACACCUACUUUAUGGAAAGAACAUUUACUUGUAUUUAGAAAGGUUCCUAUGAUGGUUGGUUUAAAUGGUAAAUCCUAGUAGCAGGAGUUAGAAUAUGAGUUUGGUAAUGUUUAAAAAGUAAUAAUAUUUGAAGUUAAAUUUAAAAUGAAUAUAUAUAGAAAUUGAUGUAGUGUAUUCACAUUUCACUUGAAAAAAUCAUUAGAAUUUGAUGAAGGUAUUUAUUUAUCUCUUGAAAAAUGAUUUAAAAAAGUUCGAGUCAAUUUCCUAAAUGGUCAUCCAAAUUAAGAGAAUUGCCUUCAAAUAUCAUCUAUGUUUCAUUUAAGACUAAAAUAUCACUCAACUAUCACUAUUUUCCUCCAAAUAUACUUGACACUUCAAAAUCAUCACUCUCUCCUAGUUGGCAUGACAUGUCAUCAAAAAAAUUUUAAUAAUAAACUAAGUUAAUUCAUUGAACCCGUUUAAUUAAACUAAUGAUCAUAUUAUUUAUUAAAUUUUUUAUUAGUUUAUUAAGAAUAAAUUUUCAUACUUAAAAUCUUUAUCAUAAUUAAACUUUUAUUUUAUUAUGUUAUGAAGAAUACAUUUUAAAAAUGUACUAUAAUUUUAUCAAUUUUGAAUACUUGUAAACACUUACAUUCAAAAAAAAUAUUAAUGUACCAAUCACUCAUUAACGCUAAUUUACAUCAAUUAAUCAUAAGUUAUAUAAUAAAUCAAUAAUAUUAAAGGUCGAUUAAUUAUUAAAAAAAUAAUUAUUUGGGUGCUUUUAAAUCCAUAUAUACUUACAAUAUCAUUUUUAAAAAAUAAAAUAGUAAGUGAAUAAUAUUAUAUUUUUUAUCCAUUAAAAAUACUAAAUAUCUCAAACGUCUUCUUAAAUUUUAGUUCAUGCCCAGUUAUUAAAUCAUCAUUUUGAAAAUUAAACUUUUUUCAAUUCAUCAAAUUUAUGUCUCUACAAAAUAAAUAUAUAUAUUACAUGAGAAUUUAUGAAGAUUAUAAGGAAAAAAAAUUAAAAAGUCUAGUAACUUUAUAUAUUGUCACCAAACAAAAUUCAAUGAAAAAAUCUUUGUGUGCACUUAUUACCUGGUAAUUUUAAAAUUCCUAAAUAAAUUAGUUGAACAUUUUAAGCAAUUUUUUUUAUAAAAGUAUUUAGAUAAAUUUGCAUGGUUGACAAAAAAAAUGGUAAGAAAGAGAAAAUUAUUAUUUAUCUUUUUUUAAUUUUAUUUUUUAUUUUUAUUCUUUCAUUUUAUAUUAUAUUAUAUUAUAACUUUACAUAAAAUUAAACAUCAAUAAAUAAACUAAUAAUUAAUUGAAUUUCCUUACAUAAUUCAAUAAUAUAUAUAUAUAUAUAUAUAUAUAUAUAUAUAUAUAUAUAUAUAUAUAUAUAUAUAUAUAUAUAUAUAUAUAUAUAUUAUAUGAGAUUCAUAUACUGAUAAACAAAGAUUAAAAUUUUAUUUCUAUAAAUAUUAUUUACUUACUAUUUUCUUUUUUAAAACGACAUUGUAAGUAUAUAUGGAUUUCAAAGCACCCAAAUAAUUAUUUUUUAAUAAUUAAUCGACCUUUAAUAUUAUUGAUUCAUUAUACAAUUUAUGAUUAAUUAAAAUAAAUUAGCGUUCAUGAGUGAUUUGUAAACCAAUAUUUUUUUUUGUGAAUGUGUGUAUUUAUAAGUAUUCAAAAUUGAUGAGAUUAUCGUACGUUUUAAAAACGUAUUCUGCAUCACAUAAAAAAAUAAAAAGUUUAAUUAUGGUAAAAGAUAUUAAGUAUGAAAAUUUAUUCUUAAUAAAUUAUAAAAAAAAUGAUAUGAUCAUUAUUUUAGUUAAAUGACUUUAAUGAAUUAAAUUAGUCUAUUAUUAAAAAAAGAUUUUAAUUACAUGUUAUGCCAACUAGGAGAGAGUGAUGUUUUUAAAAUGUCAAGUAUAUGUGAAGAAAAAUAGUGAUAGUUAGGUAAUAUUUUGAUCCUAAAUGAAAUAUAAAUGAUAUUUUAAGGCAAUUCCCUCAACUUGAAUGACCAUUUAGAAAAUUCACUCAAGCAGUUCUUCAAUCCUGAAAAACUCAAAUAUUACACUAAUAAUUAGGGAGAAAAAUUCAUUACAAUAAAUUUUGUCAUUGAUAUCAAAAAAUCAAAAUUAUGUUGGUAUUCAAACAUGAAAAAUACAUUCUAAACAAUAAGAUAAUGAAAAAACAAACUACAUUAUAUAUGAGCAUAGUAAUUUAAUUAAUUAGGAAAAACGACGUGGAUAAAUAAAUAUAUACUAAUUAAUUAGCUUAUAUAACUAUUGUUUGAAUUAUUUACCACUUAUAUCUUCUUUUUAGUUAUAAUAAUGUGCACCUCUCUCCUCUCUCCUCUCUCCUCUCUCCUCUCUCUUGUCUAUGUACUCUUUUAUACAUACGAAUUAUAAAUAUACAUAUACAAUUAUAUGAUAGAUUUACAAAUACAAUCCAUUUCUCUUCAUUCUUUGCCCACUACCGCUUGCCUCUCUCCUUCCUUUCGUAAUCUCGCUCGUCAAAUAUACAAAUACAUAUGUUUAUCAAUUAGAUAUAUACAAUUAUCUGGCAGAUACAUAUAUAAUUUGAAGGAUAUCCAAACAUAAUUCACCUCUCUCUCUUUUUCCUCUCUCGCUCGCCUCUCUCCCCCCUCUUCCAAUCUUGCUCGCCUGUCCUCCUUCUAAGCUCUAACGUAUAAUCACAAAUUUUAAUUAACAAAUUAUAUCUAUGGAGUCUAAUUGAGUUGUUUUUAGUGGUUAUUUACGAAAAUUCAUCUAUUAUUAUGUUCGUUGUCAUGACUUUUCAAGAAACGUUUUUAUUAUAAAACGAUAAUAUAAAUGUAUGGAUAUUGAUACUUUUUUUUACUAUUUUAAAUAAUUAUUAGAACUUUAAGAUGUAAAUCAUAUUUUUAAAAAAAAUCAAAUAUUUCUCUCAAAAUCUAUUAUCAAACACAUGAUAAAACAUUACUUAAAAUAACUUGUCAAAUAUAUUUAAAAGUGUAUGACCAAGUGCUUGCGUAGUGUAUGGUAAAAAUAUUUAAAAAUAUAUGACAAAAAUUAAAUAUUUCUCUCAAAAUCUACUAUCAAACACAUGAUAAAACAUUACUUAAAAUAACUUGUUAAAAAUAAUUUUAAAUGUAUGACCAAAGUGCUUGCGUAGUGUAUUCCCAGCUAGGUGGAAUAAAAUUAAAUACAUUUUGGAAUGUAAAAGGUGGAUAUUUAUUGUAUACUGGAAACAAGACGUGUACUGAAAACAACAUGCACUCAAAAAGGAACAGACGUUGGAAAAGAAAUGAAAGACGAAAUAAAAUGUGUCAUGUGAGAUAAUGUUCAACUCAAAAAGUGUGGCCAAUUUGUUGGUACAACUCUAAUCAAAAUAAUGACAUUUUACGUCUCAAAUUAGGAAAAAAUCCUUUUGGCCUCAAAUUAAUAUAGUUUAAAAAAGUUUGGCAAUUUGUCUUUUGUUUAUUUGAAUUAUUAACACGCAAAAUUAAUAGAUGUAUAAUCUAUGUUUUCUAUAGUUUUACAUAAAAACUUAAGGGAGAAAAAAGAAAGAUAAUAUCACACAUUAUUUAUAGAUUUGUAUUUAUAUUGUUUGAUGUUUCUGCAGACAUAAUAUAUCAUACAAAGGUUUAAAUUAUUUUAUCUUUAAAUAAAUAUAUAAGUAACUAUAGAAAAUUUAGAAAAAGAAGAAUCAAGAAAAGAUAUAAAGUUACCCACAGGCCACAAUCUUGACAGUAUAAUAGCUUUUAUUUAUUUGUUGAGUAUUCAAUACUUUUAUGAGGUAAUAGAAUGUUUGCAUUUUUAUAGUAUCUUUUUAAAAAUUCGAAAGAACUUCAAGUGUCACUUUAUAUCUUUUUUUCUUAUUUAUUUAGUGAUUAUAAUUCAUCUUUUGUUAUUUUUUAUGUCUACGUAUAUAUUUUAAUCCUUUUUAAAUAUAAAUUUGUGAAAAACUUCUCAUUUAGUCAAUUAAAUGAAAAUGCAAAAUAUAUAUGCAAUACACAUAUAUUAAACUAAUCUAAUUUUUUUAGAAGAAGAGGUUAAACUAUUAAAAGAAAAUACAAGAAAUAUCCAAUAGAUUGGAAUAGAAAAUUUUAUUUAAAAUUUGUCACAAGUAUCCCUUUCUUAAUUUUUCCAUUUCGAACUUCUAUCAGAUACUUUCACAACUCUAUUUCAUAUGGUACCAUUUUCUGUCCGGAGCCUAAAGGGUAAAAAAUGUUAACAAAAAUUCUAAAACGAUAUAUGAAAUUUCUUUUUAACCAAAAGGGUAAAAUCGCUAACGAAGUAGCGAUUUUGUCCACUAAAAAAAGUAAAAUCGCUGCUAUAGCAGCGAUUUGUUAAAUUUAUUUUUUUUUAAAAAAAAAUUAUAACAAAAUCGCUCCCUCCAGAGCGAUUUUCAAAAUAAAAUUUUUUUUUUAAAUAUUUUUUUGAUAUGUCGCUGCUUAGGCAGCGACUUGUGUAUAAUUUUUUUUAAUUAAUAUUUUUUGUUUUUUUUUUUUAUAAAAAAAGUUUAAAUCAAUUUUUUAAAUCAAAUAGCUGCCAAGGUAAUGAUUUUUAAUUAUUUUUUAAAAUAAAUAAAUAAAUAAAUCGCUGCCAAGGCAGCGAUUUUAAAUCAAAUUUUUUUUAGUGAUUUAAUUUUUAAAAAUUAAAAAAGAAAUAAUUAAAAAUUGCAGCAAUGUAUAAAAAAUUAAGGUAGUGUUGCUGCAUAAGCAGCGACUUACUUAAAAAGGUAUAAAAAAAAUUUGAAAAUUGAAAAUCGCUCCCUCGGGAGCGAUUUUGUUUUAAUAUUUUUUUUAAAAAAAAAUCAAAUUUAGCAAAAUCGCUGCUAUAGCAGCGAUUUUGCUUUUUCCAAUGGACAAAAUCGCUACUUCGCGAGCGAUUUUGCCCUUUUGGUUAAAAAGAAAUUUCAUAUACCGUUUUAGAAUUUUUGUUAACAUUUUUUACCCUUUAGGCUUCGGACUCCCAUUUUCUUAUUCAUACAUUAAAUAAUAAAAGAAAAUUAAUUUUAAGUUGUUUAUUUUAAAGUUAAGAUUAAUUCAUUGCUUUAAACUUACAUUUCAGUAUGUUAAUAUCUUCUUGUAUUCUCAAGCGUUUAUAAAUCAAGUAUCUAUAAAAUUUAUUGAUAUUUUAUAUAAUUAUCUUAACGGAAAAGGGCUUAAGAUACCUUUGAAGCAUUGAAAAUUAUAGAAAAAUAUCCUUCAUCCACCUAUUGGCUUCAAAAUACUCUUUUCAUCCACAUAUUGGUUCCAAAAUGUCCUAGUCAUCCACUUUUGGGUUCAAAAUUGACAACUUAUUUUAACAAUUUUAAAUUUAAACUAUUUAAAUAUUUUUUUAAAUACUUGGCACUCAACUAUUUGUUAUAUUUUAAUUUAUUAAUAUCAUUUAUAAAUAAACUCACUAUCCACACAAUUAAUAAACAAAUUCUAAUAUAAAAAUAUCUCUAAACACUAGUAAAACACGACAAAAAUACAAAUUUCUGAAAAUUACAUUCAAAAUUAUUCAAGUCCGAAGUGAAGCCCCAAUUAAAUUUAGGUUGAGCCGCUUAUUUAGAAGGUCACUUUCAAUAUGAAUCUCUUUUAAGCUUGAAUUUGAAUUUAUGAAUAAAUGUAAAGAAGUAGUAUAUCUCGAAUAAUUCAUACACUUUUUUAAAAUAUAAUUUUAAAGAUUUAUCAUUUGUUAAAUAUAAAAAUUUUAAUAUAUUAUUUUCUUAAGAAAGUUAUCUAUUAAGUAACAUCAUAUAAGUAAUAAUUAACAUAAACAUAGUCAGACUUUUAAGUUUAUCGGUAAUUUUUAUUUAAAAACUUCAAUUAUAAUAUGUUUUGAAUGAGGACUCGAACGUAAAUAUGCAUUUUCGUCUCAAAUUUUUAGAAACACUCAUUGACAGUAGUUUUAUUGUUGCAUUAGUAAUGGGGGCGUUUUUUAAUCCAUGGGAUUUUAUUAGUAAUGGGUGGGUAGUGGAUUUGUUUAUAAAUAGUUGAGCGCCACAUAUUUUAAAAAUCUAUUUGAAUAGUUUAAAUUUAAAAUCGUUAUAUAAGAGAUCAAUUUUAAAUUCAAAGGUCGAUGACAAGGAUAUUUUAGAGUCAAUAGAUGGUUAAGAAGGAUAUUUUGGGGCAAAUACGUGGACGAAGGAUAGUUUUAUAUCAUUUCUAAUACUUUAAGGAUAUUUUAAGCCUUUUUUCGUUAUCUGAAUUUUUAAUAAAUAAAAUACAAACAUGAAACUGUCGUGAUAAAUUUGAUACUAAAAAUCUUGUAUUUUUUGUUUUGCUAUACUGCAAAUAAAAUUAAAUUCCAUCAAAUAAAUUAAAAUGAAUGAGAUAAAUAUGCUAGUGAUUGCAAUAGUUGUACAUUUUGGAGGGGGACAACAUAAUGCUAUGUGGACCAAAUAUAAAAGACCAAGCUCUGAAGGGUUGACUUUGGUCAACUCAAAUUAUUGAUGCGAAUACUUUUGUUGUGUUAUAAAAUAACCAUCCAAUGGAAUUGACAAGACAUGCUCCACUUGAGUAGAAAUUUAUGUCACAUUUCAUUUACCCAAUUAAAUUUCUUGUCAAUCAAAUCUCACAAAGUAUACUAUUCAAUAAUUUUUGGUCCUUGAAUGGGGAUAGUAAAAUGAAAGAGAAAACAAUUAAGACGAAAUAUUGUCAAUAUUCAAAUGAUAUGGAUGCUUCUUAUACGGGGGCCGUCUCAAUUAUAAGGCCAUUAAAACAAUUACUUGAGAUCAAAAUUUUUAUAAGGCUUCCAAUUUUUUGUAUAUAUAUAUUGAUAAAUUUAAGAUUUUCUUUUCAUAGAAAAUAAUAGUAAUUAUUUAUUUUAUUUUUAUGUAGAGAUCACUGUAAUAAUUGGGAAAUGAGAUUUUAAUAGAAUUUGAAAGAAAAAAAUGGAAUGAACAUAUAAUAGCAAAUGUUUACGUUAUUUAAGAUGGAGGUCGUUGUAACAACUGACAAAUGAAAUAGAGUAGUGUUUAGUAAAUUGUUACAUCCUUUUUUACGUUAUUGUCUAUUUUAUUGACUUAUUUAUAUAUUAGCGAUUAUCAUGAACUAACAUUACUAUUCAUAUAUUUAUCUUUUUGCAGCCUUUUCUAUCUUUAUUAUCUUAAUAUUAAAUAUUUUAAAGUCUAUCGAACGAUCAAGUCUUCAGCAUAAUGUAAAUUAAAAUAUGUUGGUGUGUUUAUAUAAAAAAUAAAAUAUAUUUUUUUGUGUAUUCUCUAAAUUUCAAGUGCUGCAGCAAAUCAAUAUUAUCUUAUAUCGUUAUAUCUACUUAUCAAACUUAAGACAACUAUUUUAGUAUCAUUAUAUAGACUUUUUAAAGUUUUUAGUAGAAUUUUAUUAUUCUAGCAUUAUAUUAUAUUUUUUAUUAAAAAAUUUUAUUGUUAUAUUUUUACUUUUUAAGAUAUGCACAUAUUCUAUUUUUUUCUUUUUGAUGCUUCACUUAUAAAAUUAUAUAGAGUACGAUUUGAUUUUUAUAGGCUCUCAAAUUGAUUGAGACGACCAUGUUCUUAUGCAGAAAUUAAUUGAUGUUUUUUUUUUAAAUGACUUAUUUUAUGAUAGAAAAAUAAUUGCACUGAGAAAGUACUUUUUGAUAUUUGGUUAGUAAAUAAAAAAUAUCUUUCACAUUACUUUACUCUACUCUAUAUAAUAAGCGGCAAUUUGAGGGGUCAAGCAGAUUGCUUAGUCAUUCCCCAGCUCCUCAUAUAUUGUUACUCUCCGAUUAUCUCAUCAAUUAUAUUUAGUAGUUUUAUGUCAAUUUAACUAUUUAUCUUACUUACGUUUGAGUAUGUCAUAUAUUUAAAUUAGGAAAAUAAUUACUUUAUAAAUUAUAAUGAAUAAUAUAAAAUUAAAAAAUUAUUAUUAUGAAAAUCUUACAUGUAUCACAUAAAUUGAAGUUAGAUGAAAUAAUAUAUUAUUUUAAAUUAGAUUACAAAAAUACAGUAAAUUACAAUAAUUAAAAUAACUCAUAUAAAUUGAGCUAGAUGAAAUAAUAUAUUAUUUUAAAUUAGGUUACAAAAAUACAGUAAAUUACAAUAGUUAAUAACUUAAUCUAUUUAAAAAUGAGUAGAUAGUCACAUAAAUUAAGACAAAUAGAAUAACAUUUAUUGUGCUACUAGGAUCGAUAUGAAAAUUCUCAAAUUUUUCUUUCUACUUCAAUUUCUUCUAUUCAUUUAACACUUUCUCCGUUUAAAAUUAGUUAUCUUACUAUCUUUUUAAGCAUGUUAUGUAUUUACAAUUUAUGAAAAUAUAGUAUUAUAAAUCACAAUAGUAAACAACUUAAAUAUUUAAAAACAUAUAUGAAAAACUUAGUUAGACUCUCAAAAUUUCAUACGUGUUCACAUAAAAAUUAAACAAAAAGUAACAUAUAUUAUUUGAUAUUUACAUCGAAAUAAAAAGUAUAAUAAAUUAAAAUAAUAAUUAACAAUUAAAAUAUUAAAUUGAGACAAAUAAAAUAGAUAUAAUUUAUCUACAUGUCUUUAUAGACGUGUAAGAUAUUCAAAUGGCAUUAAAGGACAUUUUGUCUUAAAUUAUUGAAAUGAAUUUUCAGUAAUUUAUAUAUUUAGAAAAUAUUACAUAAAAAAUAUUACUCUCUCCCUCUAUUUACUUGUCCAUAUUUUCUUUUUUAUAUCUGUCACUAUUUACUUAUUUAUUUUAACAAAUAAAAAAAGGACACCAAUUUUUUUUCUAAUAUACCCUUAUUUAAUUCUAGAAAAUUUCUAGUACUACUCAGUUGUAAUGUAUGCUUUUUGAAAUCAGAAAAUACAUUUAUUAUACUAGGGGAGUUGCAUAAUAUUUUGAGUUAAGGGUAAAAUUGUAACUAACUUAUGAUAAUUAUUGAUGUCUUAAUAUAUGUGUCACUUUUAAAGUAAACAACUAAAUAAGGACAGCGAAAAUAUAUAUAUUCUAUUAUUAUCGUAGAUUCUUCACUUUCAUUACAUCAAUGUGGAUUGCCUCGUGAAACAACAAAUUAAAAAUUUAAAAUAUUCUUAAAAUUGUAUAAAAAAUUUUUAACUCUUCAAAUUCAAUCCAUAGUACUACAUAAAUUGAGAUAAAAGAGAAAAGACAUUUCCAUUAAAAAGGUUUUCUCAAUAAUUAUAUAUUUGUAAAUUGCGACUAAAACACUAUAAAUUGCAAUAUUUAACGACUUAAAAUAACAAAAGAAAUUAAAAUAUCAUAGUCAAAGAAUUUUUUUUAUUAAUUCUGAAUUCGACAUAAAUUGAGACAUAAACUAUAAAUAUAUUGAGUUACCAGUUACGAUCCAAAGUUCCUGAAUUACUCUUAGUUUCUUUAGAAUUGAAAAAAGUAGCACAUCUAAUCUAAAUUUUUAUGAAUUCUUUUAGUAUUAAAGGUUAAUACUAUCUAUAAUAUGUGUUGGUUAAUGCAAUGAUAUGAAUUAAUAUUUGAAAUAAUCAUAAAAGAUAAAUUCUCCUGAAUUGUGGGAAUAGUCAUUUCUUUUAUUCUGAAAAAAAGAAAAUAUUUUUCUACAACCAAACACGAAAAAUUCAUUUUUUAUUCGAUGAAAAUGUUUUUUUGAAAAAAAAACUAUUUUUCCUUCUGAAAAAUUUAAAAAUACUGUGUCAUACCAAAACAUAGAUGAAGAGUGUGAUGCGAUUUACAGCGUAGGAUAAAAAUGAAGUUAUUAGAAUUAGGUGAAAAAGAUAUUAUGAAUAUGAGAUGUCAUUUAUAAUUUGUUUUUUUUUACUUAUUUUUUUUACAAAAUCAUGUAAAAGAAAUUUACUUUUCUAAACAAAAUAUUAUUUUUUCUUGGAUUCAAUGAAACAAAAUAUAAAUAUUGAUUAGCUGUCUAUACAUGUCCACGAAGAUGAAAAAAAUAAUAAUUUGAUUUUGGCAUAUGUGUUUGAUUAAAUAGAUUUGAUAUUUAUCUUUAUUGCUACUAAAUGGUGCUCUUCAAAUUUUGUAAUGUUAUCCAUACUUCACUUUCGUUGAUUUUGAAAAAGUUAUUAUCUAUUCAAAGAAAACGAGACACCAUUAAUAGUAAGUGGCAUCUGAUUCAAAAAAUAGACUAUGAACCCUUUUUCUUUUUUGGGAAAAAAUUGUUUUUUCUCAAGGAAAUUAAAAAAAGUGUCAAGUCUCAAUGUAACAAAAAUAAAGAAAAAGAGAAAAAUCUCAAUAAAACAACUACAAAUUUCUUUCCUUUUAUAAAUUAUAAAUUAUCUCAACAUAUGCAUCAAACUUUUUCAAUCUAAAUCACAAAACAAAAAUCAAUUUGGUCAUACUAUUUAAAGCAUAUUCUAAAGAUAUUGUUUAUAAACAUGUGCAUACAUUCAAUAAAUCGAUUUUGAUCGGAUGAAUUCAUUUUCUUGUAUAUAUAUAAGGAAAUUUAUUAGGUGUUUGAGUUGUUAAAUAGAUAGGGUUAAAAGAGGAUUUAAUUUGAUAACGAAAUUUGAUAACUAACUUAAUUUUCUUGUUUUAAUCCUAGUUUGGUUGCUAACUCCAUUGUUUUUGCUUGGUGUUAUUCAAUGUCUUUAUGAAAAAGGCUAAAAAGAAUCAUUUAGAUAUAUAUAGAUAUAGAAUAAUAUAAAACGGCAGCUAGAAUAUGUAUGUCUUUGUUAGUUGACUAAUAAUAAUAAAAAUAUUAAUAUGUAUAUGUUCUUAUUCUCAUAUUCGUAAUGUUUAUCUUGGCAUUGGUCAUGUCAUGUUAAAAUUAGGACUUUUUAUUUAGAAGUUUUCUAUCCCUGUUGUUCGUAGUUGGACUGCAAAGUCCAUUUAAGAUUGACACUUCUAAUGAAAAAUUUCUUUUAUUCAAAACUUAAAUUUGAAAUAUCUCAUUAAAAGUGAAAUACUUUAUCAUUACAUUAUAAAAGUAAAAUACUUUAACAUUACACUAUAAUCCAUCUUAAUGGUUAAAAAGACUUCUAACAUGCAAGUGAUGAAGUAAAAUGAUAUAGUGUUAAGUUCACCACAAUAUUUAAAUUAUUCUUGCUACUAUCUUAAAUUAUUUAGUUCAAGUAUGCAUCGACUUUUGAAAUAAUAUAUGAAAAUAUAUACUCCCUCUAUCUCAGUUAAUACGAAACCUUUUAUGGUAUCAGAGUCAAACAGUUUAAGUUGGAUCAAAAUGUUGCGCACGGAAUUUUCAAUUUUUUUGAAAUGAAAUUUAUAUAUUUGUAAACUACGUAAAAAAUUAUGAGUUACAAUAAUCGAUAAUUUAAAAUGUUAUAAAAAAUUUACGAUUAAAAAUAGGCUAGUUUAACUCUUGAAAUCCAUGUGACAUAUAAAAUGAAACGAAGGUAAUAGUAAUUUCUCUGCAUGUAGUAAACAACACAUGUAUGCCAUUUUGUAUAAAAAAUACAUAUUUUGAUGUAAAUCAUACAAUAAUGUGUGUAUAUAUAUAUAUAUAUAUAUAUAUAUAUGGUAUUAUUUUGGUGGAUGAGACUAUACAAAGUAGUUUUCUCCUCUUUUUUUUACAAAAAUUUAUAUACAUAUAUUUUUUCCAGUCAAAGACAUUAGCUAAACUAACAAGAUUAACUAAUUAUCGAUCCUACAGUCAUAUUACAGGAAGAAGGGGAAAAUAUCAAUUAUAUUGUUGCUUAAUUAACUAAUUCUUAUUUUAUAAUAUAAAUCAAAUGUGUUAUUUAUACUUCUCUGCAUCCAAUCAUGUGUUUAUUUGAAUAAUCCAGUACAUAACAAGUUAUUAAUAUGUGGUCAAACAAUAAUUAGCUACCUAUUUAUUUAUGUGGUUUUAUCAAUAAGUCGUGGAAUAUAUUAUUAAUGAUAACAAUAUUUAUUUUCAACCUAUCACAUGUCUAUUUUCUGAAUAUUGAUGGAAGCUAUAGUUGGAAGGGAUAAGAAAAUGAUACUUUGACUAGGCCCACUUAUAGCAAGUUAACAAUGCUGCAUUGAAAAUUGUGAAAAUGAUUAAUAUAAUCGUAGCUUUGUCUUAUAACUUUAACAGCACAUCAAAAAUAUUUUUUACGAACAAUUAAUUAAUAAUAAUAAUUUAAUUAUUAUUUAAAAUAUAUUUUUAGUGAUAUUAGUAUUUUAUAAAAAUAUUUUUUAUAAUUUAUAAUAAUAUUUAAAUUUAAUAACAAUGGGCAAAGUGUAAUUGAGGAGUGGUUGUGAGAGCAAUUGGAUAUGCGGUCAUUUUCCCAAUAAGUAGAGAAUUUAACUAUGGAAUAACAACUUAUUAUAACUCAUCCAACAUUUUAAUGUGAUGUAUUUUUGAUUUGUAACCACGAGUAGGACUACAUUUGCACAAUUAGUAUUGGGAAAAAAUAGCUUAUACAUGUGGCAAAACUCGGGGCAAACACGUACAAGAAAUGGCAAAGAAUAUCCACAAUGAUUCGUUUGAUAGAGUGGCUAGAUCGAGGACUACUUCAGCUGAUCUAUUGGAAUCGUAAUUGAAACUUGAAAUCUAAAAUCAAUAACUCGUAUUUCUAUAAAAGUGAACAAAUAUGUUUCUCUACAAUUACAAAUCACAUUAGCUAGUUAACAUACAUAUAUUAUGGUAUCUCCACGUGGAGAAUUUUUAUUAGAUGUAUUAGUAUCUUUGUUGUCUAAGAGCCUGUUUGGCUCAGCUUAAAAGAUGGUCAAACUGACUUAAAAGCUAGUUUUUGACUUAUUUAACUGUUUGACAAUACUCAAAAUAGCUUAUUUUAAGUAAAAAAAAAAACUUAUUUUAAGCUAAAAGUUAAAAGCUGGGGUAGGAGUGUUUUUUUUUUUAGCUUAUAAGCUGUUUUAAGUUGACCACACUUUUAUGUUUUUUCCCUUAAUAUUUUUAUACAAUCUCCAAAUUACCCAUAUAACCCUAACAUCUCUUUCUUCUAUUUUCCCCUUUUCACGUUUGGCAUAACAACUUCAGCAUUUUUAUCCAAACGCAUAACUGCUUAUUUUAAAUAAGUUUCAGCACUUUCAAAAGUAUUUUUUUAAAGCUGCUUUUAUUAAGCCCAUCCAAACGGGCCCUAAGAAUAGAAGUAUACUCUAGUAAAGGCUUGAAUUUGGAAUAGUACAAAAGCAAUGUAUUGAUUAGUUCGAUUUUAACAUCUCCAAAUCCAAUUCAAGCAACAAGGCUUUAUAUUUUCACCCGAUAUCAUUAACUUUCAUUAUUUAUUUCAUUUUUACAAAUAUUUAAUCACUAAUAUAUCUAACCAACUAUUUAUAUUUCAGUAAGUAAUGUAAUGAACAGCGUGCGCAAGGACAGUUCUAUAUUGAUUUAACUCACUACCAUAUAUUUUCAACGGACAAGGGUCUAAAAUAUCCUUAAAGUAUUGAAAACGGUACAAAAAUACCCUUCAUCCACCUAUUGGCUCCAAAAUGUCAUUUUCAUCCACCUAUUGGCUCCAAAAUACCUUUGUCAUCCACCUUUGUGUUCAAAAUUGACCACUUUUUAAUUGUUUUAAAAUUAAACUCUUUAAAUAUUUUUUAAAAUACUUGGCGUUCAAUUAUUGAUUAUAAUUAUAAUUUAUUAAUAUAAUUUAUAAACUAAACCACUACACACUCAUUACUAACUAAACCUCACCCAAUUAAUAAUCCAAUUAUAAUAUCAAAAUCGUCAUAAACACUAUUAAAACACGAUGAAAUUGUAGAUUUCUGAAAAUGACAUUCAAAAUUAUUCGAGUCCGAAUCGGAGCCCCAAUUAAAUUUAGGUUGAGCCACUUAUUUAGGAGGAAACUUUCUUUCAAAAUAGAAUUAGAAAUUUAUGAUUAAAGGUAAAGAAAUAAUACAUCCCGAAUUGAUUCAUGCACUUUUUUAAAAGAUAAUUUUAUAAAUAUUUAUGAUUUGUUUUAAAACUUUAAUAUAUUAUUUUGAAAAAAAGUUACCUAUGAAGUAACAUCACAUAAUUGAGCUGUAAGAAUAAUUAAGAUAAACAUAGUUAGACUUUUAAGUUUAUUGGUGAUUUUUAUUUAGCCACUUAAAUGUAUGAUAAUUUACUUCUAUAAUUUUUAAAAAUACUCAAUUGGCAGUAGCUUGCAUUAAUAAUGUGACGGGUUGAUUAAUUUAGAGGGAUUUAUUUAUUAAUGGGGUGGGUAGUGGAUUGAUUUAUAAAUUAUACUAAUAAGUUAAAUUAUAACAUAUAGUUGAGCACCACGUAUUUUAAAAAAUAUUUAAAUAGUUUAAAUAUAAAACCGUUAAAUAAGUGGUCAAUUUUGAACCAAAAGGUGGAUGACAAGGGUAUUUUGGACCCAAUAGGUGGGUGAGAAGGGUAUUUUGAAGCCAAUAGGUGGAUGAAGGGUAAUUUUGUACCAUUUCCAAUACUUUGAGGGUAUUUUAGGCCCUUUUCCGUAUUUUCAAUAAUUAGCUUGAAUCGAUUUGUUUUCGGUAAUUACUCAUCACUAUUGUAAACAAAAAAGGAUGAUAACUGCUAAGUUACACAAAUUUAAUUGUUUAAUGAAAUCAAUUAUAGAAUAAUGAAUAUAUUGCUUAUGUUAGUUGUCAUCGUAGGAUAUUAUAAAAUGAAUGUAUGUUCAUUCUAUAUUUAUCGUAACUUUUCGAUAUUUAAUAGUGUCAAAAUAUACCGACUUUGAUAAGUGUUAGAUAAUAUUUUUAAAACUAGAUAGAGCAUGGCCGUGCAAAGCACGGUCCAACAUUAAAGGAUCAUUAUUUCAAAAAAAUUAGUGCAUUAUAUAAAAGAUCUGAUUUUCACAUUAGUGAAUUAUAAGUGGUAUAAUAUCAUUGCAAUAAAGAAGCCGAUCAUAUUUACAUAUAUGUCAGGAAGCAAAAGUAUCCCCUUUGUACAUUACACGAAUCUCUAAUGUUUUACUUGUCACCAUAUAUAAUGAGUAAAUAUUUUGUUCUAAUUUAUAUAUAAUGAAUACUCACCAAUUAGCCAAAGGUGUUGUUAUUUGGUUCAACUUUCAUACAUUAAUUUUUUCAACAAUCUCCAUAGGCCUGUGUCACCUCGCCCUUUUCUUUCGAUGUACUUGUCUUGUCCAUGCAAAUAUCCAUGGAAUUGCACGGAGUUGACAAAUUCCACCUGAACUCUUUCUCCAACAUUUCUCCUUGUUGGAAGGCUACCAAUGUUGAGAUAUCCUAGCUCAGCCUGAGGUGUUGCUCCGUAGAAGUAAGGAACUCAGGGUUUUCAUAUACUGUGCUUCUAUAACUCCUGCAACUCAAAUUUGAUAUGUCAUCCAUCAGAUUACGCCAUUUUUGUUCCCUUGGAGGCUGUGGGGACGUAAAGCAGCAAGAAGAACAGCUGUAGUGUAUAUCUCUAGCUGCCGAACAGCCAUUUGGGGUAAUUCGAAUUUCGCCUGCACCAUUUCUCCUUGUUCCGUAUAUCUAAGAGAACCCUGAUAAUUUCAGUAAUAAAUUAAAAAAACUUCUUAGUGCAUUGCAGGGAGGUGAUGUUAAGGCUUUUCUGAUAGCAAAGAAGAGCAAAAACUUAGUUUAAGAAUCAGCAAACUUAUGUCCACAGGUUGUGCCAUAUUUUUUAUUAUCUAGUCAAAUUUUGUUAUGCAUGAUAAGUUAGAGAGCAUAUUGUGAGUGGUCAGCUAGGAAGUUAAAAAGACUUAGACAAAGAGGAAGCAACAAAGGUAGGAAGAAAAUUUGUGGCAAUUCAAUGAAUUCUAAAAUAGGGUGAUGAACACAUACACGUCUGUCUUUCGCUCCCGGAUAAUUAUGGAAAUAUAUGAUAUCUUUAGUAAAACCAAUUCCUAUCCAACUAUACUCCCCUUGUCUUGACAUUAACAUGGAGUAACCAGUUAUUACCACAUGGUGACUGGAACUAUAUGGUUAUGAACAACCUGAUCUUAAUCAACGCACCCAUGAUAUAAUUAAAACAAUUCUUCAGGUACAUAGCAUGUAUUAGGAACUUCAAGACAGUUUAACUGGAAACUAACCAUAACAGAUCCAGGUGGCUGGGAUUGAAUUGCAAGGUAUGUAGGACCACAACCACGGCCAAUGCUUCCACCGCGUCCAUGGAAUAGAGUUAUUUUUAUUUCAUAUUCAUUACAUGCAGCUACAACAUCUUUUUGAGCUUUGUAAAGCUCCUAUGCAGCAGUGAAACGACCAACAUCUUUUCCAGAAUCAAAAUAACCAACCAUAACUUGUGCACACCAACCAUGAUCUAAGCCCAAAAGUGAAACUUUUUUAAAUAGCCUAAUGCAUCAUGUCAUAAAUACCUCCUGAUGCCCAUUGUGGUUCUUUAUGACGUGGUUCCUAUACCAAUCAAUUGAUAGUAAUCUUCUAAUCACUGAGCCAGCUUCUCUCAAGUCUUUGACGGUCUCAAACAGAGGAACCACAUCUGUAUACAUAAAUAUUUAGCAUUAAAGAUUAAUCCUACAAUGUAAGAAAGAAAGGAAGAGCAUAAAGAAUAUAUCCAAUCAUCUAAAGGGGAAAAGAGAUUGCCCCGUAGGCAUGUGAACUUGUUUGAAUGCAGAUAAAUAAUAAGAAUUGAAAAAUUACCACCUUCCGUGAGAUGGAAAUUUUACAAGUACCAGCAUAAGAUGAAAACUGAAAAGACAAUUCAUUGGCUUAACAUUAGCCCUACUGCAUGAAUAUAGAUCAUAUUAAUUCUGAAAAUUUAGUGCACAACCAGACAUCCAAACGCAUAUAAGUUUUUGCGCAAGUUCAUGAAGAAAGUUCUACAUUCUGUGCAAGAAAAUGAAAAGACUGCCAACAAUGUUAAGAAGACAUAUCUGAGUGGUCCUUACACCAGUCAAAAGGGAAGCAUUAUUAACUACAUAAACAUGGAAAAGUUCAGCUAAGAAGUCUAAGCCGCACCUCACUUUGAUGUGCGACUACAGAUUGUAUAGGCUUGGUCACUGAUAGAGUUCGCAGAUCCCAUACGUGCAGAUACUGAUCAUCCCCAACAGAGCCAAAUAAAUACUCAUGCCUCAGAUGCCAAGCUACAUCCUCAACAACACCUUCAUGAACCUACACAUUUAAAAUAUUAGAAUAAACCAAGAAAAGCUAACAAAAGCUUAAUGAGAAAAUAAUACGAGAGACAAGAUUCUUGUCCAUGCUAGGUAGACUGAAGCUUCAGACAACAAAUAGUAGAUAAGAUGAUACCAAAAAUAUCCUCGAGACAGAAGUUGGGACACUAUUGAAGUUACAGUUUAACUUUGUAACAUGAUAUUAAUAAAGAGAACUCAUGCUAUUCUUCUUCGCUUGAUCUUUUUUUACUUCGAGGUGCCUGGGGGUGUUUGCUGGAAGGGAAAGCAUACAAGUUCUUCCCCAAUUAUCAAUCAUGGUUAUUUGCACAAGAUAAAACUACAGAACUGGUAAGAAGAAAAAGUUAAUUUAGUAGUGACCAAAUCCUCCGAGUCCAGUAAAUGUGAAGCUUUAGCCAAAUUGUCCUCUCGUUUAUGUAAGACAUCAUUUUUCUUCCCCAUUUUACAGGAACAAACUUGCAAAAGAAAAGAUAUUUGAUGUUAUUUUUCAGUUCUAGAGAUUUGUAUAAUGUACAAAGCGGGUGAUUUUGCUUUCUGACAUAUAUAUAAAAUAUGAUCGGCUUCUUUAUUGUAAUGAUAUUAUUUCACUUAUAAUUCACUAAUGCGAAAAUCAGAUUUUUUAUAUAAUGCGCUAAUUUUUCUGAAAUAAUGAUCCUUUAAUGUUGGGCCGUGCUUUGCACGGCCAUGCUCUAUCUAGUAGUAAUAUAAGAAACAAAUAACAAUAUUAAACCAAUGUGCAACAAAUUGAUAAUCUAUGCAGUGUAACAUGGCAGUAUCUAUCCUGUGCAGACUCAUGAAAAAAAAACACGAGGCAAACCUUAAAUAUCUGCAUAGCCUCUAUAGCCUUAUUUUUGGGAGUGGCAUUAAUGUCCCAUAAACAUAUAUCUGAGUCAUCUGAACCACUCAAUAGAUGACCCUGCUUAAAUUGACUCCAAGACAAACCAUAGCCCUCUGUACUGUGGCCUCUUAACCUUAAAUCUGGAUUGCAUGCACCAUCUAGAGGAGGCUUAGAUGGAUGUUUACUGUAGUCAAAAACACAUACUUCAGCACUAACUGUCUUAGUUGCAAUGAUAAAUGGGUUUUGGGGCAUAUAUCGAGCCCGAUUAACCUCUCCAUCGUGAUUUAUUUGCUGGAAUUUGUUUCGACUUUUUUCCCCUUUAAUAGCACCAAAAAUCCAUAUGAACAGAAAGAAGGCCAAAUUAAUUACUGCAUGUGACAACAAAACAUUGAAACGCAACAUUGGCAAAUGAAAAAAUGAAACAACAAAACUUCUCCUAAGCAAAAGCAAAAUAGAACAUCAACAACAAACUCAAAUUAAAAAAAAAUUACAAGUAUGAAGAGACCCAGAUCGAAUUAAUGAACAAAACAAUGUGAAAAUAACAACACACCAGCCAAAAAGAGAUGGGAGAAAUCAAAAACUGACAUUUGUUAAUAUAAAAAAGUGGAAAAAUCAAAACAUCACAGCAGACUUGGUCAAGCAGAAAUAAUAUAAAUAGCGAGCCAGUACUAUAUUUAUAGAUUGGAAAGAAGGGACUCUCCAAAGAGAGUCCCGAGCGGAAUGAAGUAUCAUCUCCAGAUUAUAGUUGGGAUGUAUACAGUGCUGGCUUUUUCGUUUUGGUGGCUGUUGUCCUGUCUAAGUAUCUAAUUGUUGAGCAUCUAGCUACAUACAAGCAGCCAGAGGUUUUUGCUUACACCUGCUCAAUCUUCUUGAAGUUAUUUUUUAUUUGCAUAUAUCAUUUGAUCCUAUGGGCUGCUGAUCUUUUCUUUUUGGAUCAGUUUGUGGUGCUUAAUGAAUACGUGCUUGUAUUGUUAUUUUUGUCUCCUACGUUCAUUACAUACACAUCUUCGUCUCUCAUUAAAGCAACCAACAAACAAGACCCCAUAAGUGCUAGCUUCGGAUAUCGAUCAAGAACUCUAUCUGUCAUAUCCAGGUACGCUAACUCAGUAACUUCAAGAGCCCUGGACAUUGCCCUCAAAACCAAAUCAUGAUCAACUGGACCCGUCUUUAGUCUCUUCUCAUUUUUACUAGUCCUUUCCUCCUCAACUCUAUUUUCCUCCUCUUCAACUUUCUCCUUAGCUUCCAAUCCAAAUUUCCAUGGGAACAAUUUCUUACUCUCUUUUUGCUUACUUAACAAACCGUGUUUCAAUUUUGACAACAGCAAUGACCUCCUAUUCACUGCUGAACCAGCAUUAUUUACACUUGAUGCAUCGUCUAAUAGGAUCUUCUUGAUUCACAUACUACAUGUAUGCAUUUAGUGAGAUGAGAAGAUAUUUAAAACGUAUUGAUUCGUUGUGGAGUUGUAGAGUUAAUAUCUUCAACGAUCACUGAACUAUGAGUGAUUCCUUGAGCAUAUUUAUCAUCUUUGCAAACUUACUCAAAUACUAUCAAGAUGCCAAUAUUCCAUAAAACCUUAUCCCCCUAAAUAUUUCUAAAUCAACAAACAUAACGAAUAUCAUCAAAGUAAGAUGAUUAACCUUGGUGGAUAAAAUCAUAGCAAUUAUGGGAACAAUGACUUUCAUUUGGAGGUUAAACAAAUGAAAACAAACAGCAUAAACAAGGGAUCCUACAUGGUAACCACUACCAUAGCUCUUUCUUUGUGCGAAAGCCUAAACAUGUAACGACAUAAAUUAGUGUCGAAACAUUCCAGCUAUAUGGUAUAACUAUAACAUAGCAAUGAGUCAACUAUUCCUUAUAAUUAAAAGAAAUCUAUAUUUUUUUUGUGAAGACGCCAAAUUUAUGAGCAAAACAUAAAGUAUUAUAUCCUUAAAAUUCUACAGUUGCUUUUAUAGAAUAUUAUGUGUUCACAAUUAUUGAUAUGGAUGCAAUUUGUCUAGCAAAUCAUAUGUGAAAUACUAACCAAGUUGUGAGGUGUGAUUAAUAACAAGAAGAGAGCUUGAAAGUUAUUCACUCAACAAAGACGACAUCAAACAUCAUAGUUUUGAGAAUAUGAUAUAUGAACAAAGCAAGAUUUUGACGGUGAUUAAUCACUAAUUUUAUCCCUCAGAAUAAGAAUAAAGAAAAAUUAAUAUACUAUUAUAAAAAAUUCAUAAGAAUACAAUGAAUGGAUAUGAUCAUACACACAUAUGUAACUGAAGGUCGAUGACAGAACUACCAACUAAACAAGAGAUCUCAACUCAUGAAAAGAUACAAUUAAAUUAUUAAUAAUUAAAACAUAAGACACAUACAUACAAAGAAUCAACCUCAUAUACUUCACACCAAUUACCUGGUGCCAGUAGCACAAAAGAAUCGAACAAGAUGAAAAGUUAUGUUUUGACUCUGAAAGCAUAAAAUUUUGCUACAAAAUUAAUCAAUGGAGAUAACAAAAUAUUUAGAAUCAGCUAUAUAAGAUAGCUAAGUUUUACAAAACUCGAAACAUAAGAACAACAAAUUAGUUCACCCUUAAAAGACAGGGGAUUUCAUAGUUUAACGAAAUUAUAGAAGAAUCUAAUGUACACAAAAAUUGAAAUGAAGGUCGUACGAAAGCAUUAACGGACAUGCCUUUUGCUCAAUUUUGGUAUAAGUAGCUGCAGAUCUUGAACGUCACACUGGAAGUGAAAAUAAUUUCAAAAUGAAGGAGGUGAAGAAAAUUCAACAAUAUAAGACUAAAUGAAGAAAACAGAAAGUUAAUUUCAAUGAAAAACCCAUAUAUGAACUAUAAUUUAAAAGAAUUAUGAAGAAAGAAGACCAACUGAACUGAAGGAAUCCAGAAAAAAUUGAUUCUGACGGAAAAUUCAUUUUGUUCAAAAGAAUUAUUAUGAAAUAAGACCAAAUUAGUUACUGCAUGAGAGAAAAUAAAACGAAAAUCUGAGUAUCCCGAAGUUAUUUUCUGAUGAAAACACAAGAACAAAACAAAAACUAAAGGCACAAUGAUUGAAACUAUUGAAAGCAGUUGAAAAAUUGAACAUGAACAAUAAACCCCAUAUGGAAUAAGAAGUGGUCAACGAAAGAUAAAAUUGGGGACAUUUUUAAUGUACUUUCAAUUUUGAAGAAAACAAAGAAACAAUAUGAAGAAAAUUACCUUGAAGGCUGGAACAAUGUUGGAGAAAGGAGAAGUUUUUGGAGUUGAAGCCUUGAAGGGUAAAGAGUGAUGUGCAUUGAAAAUGAAAAAGGCAUUCUAAAGAUUACCUGGAAAGAAGACACGUAGUUAUCUUUUAGAAUAAAAAGACAAAAAUAUCCUCAGAUGUGAUGAACCAGGCAUAUUGAACAAGCCAUUUCUAAUAUAGUAGAAUUAAAAAUUCAGCUAAACCAUAUGAAAAAAUGAGGAAAAAUUAAGAUGAUUGAGGCAAUUUCUUAUAAGUCUAAUUAUAGUAUUACAUUGUACAAUAAUAAAAAAUUUGCUAUGAUACAAUUUUUAAAAAAGGCAUAAUAUAUAUAUAUUGGAUUUUAAACUUGGCUUUAAAUUUUAACUUUGACCUCAAAUUUUUAUAGUGCACAAAUAGACACUUUAACUAUCCCAUUUUUCAAUAAAUAAACACGUGAUUUCUAUCUGGCAAAAUGCGUGAAAUGCACGCAUUCUGCGUGAGUGAGGGAUAAUUUUCGAGGCCACAAAGGUAAAAAAAUAUUGAAAUGACAAUUCUAUCAUUAAUGAGUCUCUUUUAUAUUAAUUAAAAUUAAUUUUAAUUUUUUUGUAAUUUCAAAAUGACAUGUAAGAUAUUUUUUUUUAAAAAAAGACAUGUAAAAUGUUUAGUUAGUUGGCAGCCGCUGAUUGGCUCACUAAUACACGUGAGAGCGUUUGCAUUUUGACGUACUUUGGCUCAAAAAAUUUACGCUUAUUUAUUUAUUGAAAGAUAGGAUAGUUAAAGUGCUUAUUUGUGCACUAUAAAAGUUUGAUGUCAAAGUUAAAAUUUGAAGUCAAGUUUAUAGUUUAAUAUAUGUAUCAUGCCUUUUGAAAAUAAUUGAUCGAGUGAAACUAUUAACCCUAAUUUAAAGUACGUGCGAAAGUAUAAGCUCCUUUUGUGGUGAGGUGACAUGCAAAAUUCAUGUGAGGAAAAAAGAAGAAGAGGAAACCUUCUCACUAUACCGACAAGAUUUUAAGCUAAAAACUAGUAGUAGCAAUUAAUUAUACUAGGAAAAGGUCCGUAUGGAAAAUAAAUUUUGGACACAUAAUGCUUCAAUAAUAGGAUGAGCCUAUAGAGACAUUUGUACCAGUUGUUUCCUUGGUGUCAUGUGCUUGCGUUUGUUACCACUUAUCCAAAGAGUCAUUUUCAAUUGUAAUGAAAUCUUUGACAUUUUUCAAAUAACAAGUAUGGGGCUAGAUUUAAUACUCAAUAAUGCACUAUUGAAGAUUGUAUGCUUGUCUCGUCUCUUUUGCUUUAUAGCCUUUGUCACGAAAUUAGAGUCUUACUAAAAUUUCGUGCGGCACUGGACAAUUUACUCACGAAUCUUUCGCGAUCUUGUAAGCUCAAAUAAGCCUUUAAGACUCAGAUCGCUAAGAGAAUGAAAUGAAGAUUUAGAAAGAUUUGAGAACUUUAGAAGAAGGCUUUUUUAUCAUUUGGAAGAUUGAUUACAACUUGUUGGAUGCUUGUUUUCAAGCUUGGAUGGAUUUUACGAAUGAGAUCCACCCUAUUUAUAGUACUUCCUAGGGGGCUAAAAUGUAAUUUAAAAUUACUUGCUAGUUUCUAAGUUAUUUACACUUUGGCCCCCUCUCUAGAAAUCUCUACAUUUUCUACGAAUUUCUAAGUAUUUCCAAGAAAAUAUCUAAGGCUCUAGAGAUUUUAAGGAAAGACUAGGGGAUUCUAAAUUCCUCCACUGACCUCCCUAUAAUUCUAGACUAUUCUCCCUUCAUUCGGUGCCAAAUUUAAACUGUGAAGUGGAGGAACAUGACACUCUCCACCACCUAUUGAUGUGACGAUCGCGUCACAUAGUCACUGCAUCAGCGAUCGAGUUUUGCCUUCUCGUAUGUGCGACCAAUAGUCUAUUGAAAUGAUCAAUGCCCUUGUGUAACUCCUUCAAUUUCUUCUUUAUCUCUUCUAACUCGGCCUCACGAUCUACCUCCUUCCUAGUUUACAAGCGCCUCGACGACUUCUAUGGCAUCACGACGUUGUUCCCUCUUGGAAUCUUCUUCGUGCAUGGUGGUAAGGACUUCUUAGCAUCAUUGUCUUCUUUCAAACUUGGAAUGGUGGAUACAAAUGCCGACUUCUCCUUCUUAGGAUUUGUCUUGAGCUGCAUGGCCGUUAGUCGGACCUGCCCUUUUGUCUUCAGUGAGCUUAACCAUGGGAACAAUACAUGUUGCUUCUUUCUCGAUGACCAUAAGUCGUUUGAGGUAAGGAUCGAUCACAGCGUGACACUGAUGGAAGAAUUCUUGCCCAAGAAUUAUAUCAAAGAGGUUUAAAGAAGCGAUAGUAAAAUUGUCUUACCUUGCCACUCUCCUAGUAUGAUGCUUACUCCAUGUGUGACUCUGCUCAUAUAAGUCGGUGAUGCAUUGACCGUCCUGAGUUGGCCGCUACUUGGCCUGUAAUGCAGUCCCAACCUUGACACUGCCAUCUUGGUCAUGAUGUUGGCUUCUGCACUCGUGUUGAUCAUAGCACGAGCAGAUUUUUCAUUGAUCGUGAUGUCGACAUACUGUGCGCCAUAUUCUUUCGGCUUUCCUGGCUGCUUCGUGAUGGCUUCUCAUAGUCCUAUCUAGCCUGAUUGCGUCGUCUCCGCGCCUUGUUCUUGCUCAUGUGCAUCCUUUUUUUCCUCUCUCGCAUGAUAGCAUGAAUGCUCUUCAGUUCAAGGCACCUCGCAUAGCCAUGCAGCCCACCACAUAUGUAGCAACCACCUCUUUUGGCAACCUUUGUCUUUCCCUUUGCGUCGCCAUGACGUCCAAACUUCUUGCCAUCGGACUUAGUCAUGCUUCUUAGGAUGUUGCUAUUGCUCUUCGCCUUUGUCGCAAUCUCCCCCACCAUGGUCAUGACUACCUCUCAUCUCUUCUCCUCUGGAUCUGUCAGGCUUCUCGUGCCUGAAGUCUGUCAGAGCUUUGACCUGCGUGAUGGCUUCGUCAAUAGUCCUGACCUGUCAGCAUUCCAACUCCGUCCUGGCCCAAUUUUGCAGCCCAUCCAUGAAGUAGAACAACAUAUCUUCAUCCGUGAGGUUAGGAAUUUGAAGCGUGAGGGUAGUGAAUUCCUUCAUGUAUGCGCGUAUGCUUCCCAUUUGCUCCAACUCUCUAAACUUGCACUUCGCCUCAUAGAUGACAUUGUUAGGGAAGAACGCCUUCUUGAACUCUACCUGGAAUUGCUCCCAACUGUCAAUGUUGCAAAGUCCCUUUCGUAUUUCCGACUCUUCACACCUCCACCACAACAUAGCCAUCUCUGAAAGAUACAACACAACGAUGUUGAUCUUGUUCUCGUCGCUCUUCACUCGUUUACACUUGAUGUAAUUCUCCAAGUGUCAUAAGAAAUUCUCCACCUCUUGCGCGUCACAGACACCUUUGAACAUAGGUGGCUUGGGAGCCUCGACUAUGGCCUCUCUAUCUCAGUCAAGGGACGAUAAUCCUCCAACUUCCAUGCCUUCCUUGUGUGCUUUCAUAUCCGCCUUUAUAGUCUCAAUCGUGUUCAACGCCUCCAUGAGCCAACACUACAAGGAAGUGAUAGCCUCCUUCAUCUCGAACUCAGCACACUGGCGUCCCUUCAACUCUUUGCAUAGGUUUUCGUCUCCUCAAGGGUAAAGUUAUAGAGAGUCUUGAACUUGCCAUCGUCCACAUUAAGGGUGGCAAACGGACCGGUUUUUGGCCGGUCCAGUUCGGUUCCCGUAUCGGCCCGUCCGGUACCGGUUGAACUGGUAAGGAAUCGGUCUUUUGGUAUACCGGACCGGUACCGGUUGAACUGAUACCACUUUUUCACAGACUUAGUGUCUUACUAAAGCUCCGUGCUACACUUGACAACUUACUCACGAAUCUUUCAUGAUUUUGUAAGCUCAAGUAAGCUUUUAAGACUAAGAUCGCCAAGAGAAUGAAAGGAAGACUUAAAAAGAUUUGAGAACUUUGGAAGAAGACUUUUUAUUAUUUGGAAGAGUGCUUACAACUUGUUGGAUGCUUGUUUUCACGCUUGGAUGAAUUUUACAAAUGAGAGCUUUCCUAUUUAUACUACUUCCUAGGAGGCUAAAGUUGUAAUUUAAAAUUACUCACAAGUCCCUAAGUUAUUUAUACUUUGAUCCUCUCUCUAGAAAUCUCUACACAUUCUAGGAAUUUCUAAAAAUUUUCAAAAAAAAUUCUAAGGUUCUAGAGAAUUCUAAGGAGAGGUCUAGGGAAUUCUAGAGUCAUCCACUAACCUCCCUACAACACUAGACUCUUCCCCCUUCAUCCGGUGCCAAAUUUAAAUUGUGAAGUGGUGGGACAUAAUACUUUGCUCUCUCACACUCAUAUUCAUUAAUUAAUAAGUCAUAACAAUUAGCAACCUCGAUUCAUUUAACAAUUUAUUUUUCGAAUACAUAACUUUCUACAAUAACGAGAACUAAAGUUACCAUAUUGCCUAUGCAUUAUAAUUUCAUAUUAGACUUAAUACUAUAAUGAAUAAGAUCAUAGAAUAUUGACCUACUAAACCUUUAGAUAUUAGAAUUAUUAAUAUUGGGUGUAGAAAUCUCAAUGUCUAGGAUUAGAGAAAUUAAGGAUUGUAUAGAUGAUAAAAAUUGUUCUGUACAUACUCCUUAUAUAGGUAAAAAAUUGUAGAGUCCUAAGUUAAAUAUACUUAGAGCCAGUUUGGAUGGGCUUAAAAACUGGUCAAACUGACUUAAAAGUCAGUUUUUGACUUUUUAGAGUGUUUGACGAAUAUUAAAGUAACUUAUUUUAAAUAAAAAAUAACUUAUUUUAAGCCAAAAGUUAAAAGUUAGGUGAGGGGUGCUUUUUUUUUUCCAACUUAAAAAUCAUUUUAUGUUGACUGUCUAUAUUACCUUUUUACCCUUAAUUCUUUUAUUUUUAAUAUUGUUAUUAUUAUUAUUUAUUAUUAUUAUUUUCAUUUUUAUUUUAUUAUUAUUAUUAUUAUUAUUAUAAUAAUAAUAAUAAUAAGUACUAGUAUUAUUAAUAUUUUAUUAUUUUUUAUUAUUUUCUAUUUUAUUUAUCUUUUUUAUUAUUAUUAUAUUAUUAUUAUUAUUUAUAUAUUAUUAUUAUUAUUAUUGUUAUUGUUAUUGUUAUUGUUAUUGUUAUUUUCAUAUUAUAUUAUUAUUGUUAUUUAUUAUUAUUAUAUGUCAUUAUUAUUAAUAUUUUAUAUAUUAUUAUUAUUUAAUAUUAUUAAUAUUUUAUAUAUUAUUAUUAUUUAUUUUAUUAUUUAUUAUUAUUAUAUAUUAUAUAUUAUUAUUAUUAUUAUUAUAAAUUAUUAUUAUUAUGUUAUUAUUAUUAUUAUUAUUAUUAAUAUUUUCAUGUUGUUAUAUUAUUUUUAUUAUUAUUUAUAAUUAUUAUUUAUUUUUCAUUAUUUUAUUAUUAUUAUUAUUUAUUUUAGUAUUAUUACUAUUAUUAUUAUAUAUUAUUACAUAUUAUUAUAUAUUAUUAUUAUUAUUAUUAUUUUAUUAUUUUACUAUUAUUAUUAUUAUUUAUUUUGUUAAUUCUUUUUAUUAUAUAUUAUUAUUAUUAUUAUAUUAUAAUAAUAAUAAUUAUUAUUAUUAUUACUAUUAUUUUCAUGUUAUUAUUAUUAUUAUUUUGAUAUUAUUUUAUUAUUAUUAUAUAUUAUUAUCAUUAUUAUUUAUUAUUAUUAUUAUUAUAUUAUUAUUAUUAUUAGUAAUAAUAUUUUAUUAUUAUUAUUAUUAUUAUUUAUUUUAUUAUUAUUUAUUGUUAUUAUUAUUAUAUAUUAUCAUUAUAAUAAUAAUAAUAAUAAUAAUAAUACUAAUAAUAAUAAUUAUAUUAUUAUUAUUAUUACCAUAUUAUUAUUGUUAUAAUUAAUAUUUAUAAAUAAUUUUUGAUAUCAAAGAAAUCUGUAAAUGACAGCAAAAUAUAAUUACUUAUAGAUGUAAAAUAUAAAUUAAUUUUGUUUCAUUUUUUUAAGUAUAAAAACCUUAAAUUAAUCAACUUUUAUCAUGUUAAUAAAAUUUAAGGAUAUUUCAGGCAUUUUGAUUAAAAAAAGUGUUUACCAACACUUAUUUUCCAAAAACAUCAACAUUUUUUUAACUUGAGCACUUUUAUCCAAAUACGUAACAACUUAUUUUAAGAAUAAGUUCCAGCACUUUCAAAAAUACUUUUUAAAAGUUACUUUUUUAAGCUUAUCCAAACGGGCUCUUAGAGUCCUACUACAAUAUUUAUUACUACUAUAAUUAUAAUAAUGCAAUUAUAAGUAAUCUAAUCCUAGUCGUAAUAUAAUCUUAAUCGGCUUCAGCUAGAAGUAGCAGCCUAGUCGAUAUAAGUAGUCUAAUACUAGUGUGACUCUAAAUUGGCAUCAGUUUUGUAAACAUGUGUGUUGUAAAUACGUCAAUCAUCUUUGUUGCACAUGUUCCUUUGAUAUGUUUCAAUCAUCAACUUCCUUCAUCAUCAACACUUCCCUUCAAGCUAGAGAGUAAAAGAACGGUUACUCCUAACUUGCUUCGAUUACCCAACAAAAACUUAUUUUGUCAAUACUUCAAUAUGAAUGUGAUGUCUAGUUAUUGCUUGUGAUAGUUCAUUUUCAAAUUGAUACGAGUGUUACCACCAAUAAAAACACUUAAGAGCAGUAUGGUUAUUCCUACCACAAAUUUAACAUGACUCAAUAUUGUUCCUUUUCUUAUGUCAUAUUGAAACUUUUAUUGUUAAGAGAACCUGGUCCAUGUUGAUUGUUCUGAGGACCUGUUCCCUAUCCAGCAAGCUUGAAACUUGUUUCUUUGGAGUUGAUGUUGUUGUUUCCUCUUCCCUUACCUUUUUGGGCAGAGAAUACCAUGUUAUGAUUUUGUUGUGGCAUAUCUUCUUCAUCUUCCUUUAUAUGAAAAUUCGUGAGAGCAUAAACAAAUUGAUUAACGAUGGAAUAUGAUGUCAUAUAUAACAUGACGGUUCUAAAGGUAUUGUAUUUGAGACGUACACCUCUAGCAAUAAUUUAUUGCUUUGCUAUCUUCAUCCAUAGACUUGUGAAUGGCUACAAGACCAUCACAUAUCACUUUAAAUUUUUUGAUGUAUUUAUCAAAAAUUUUGGUUCCUACCCUGACACUUUGUAGUUGUUGUUUAAGUUGAAAGUCUUUAUCUUUUGUUGCUUGAAGAUAAGUUUCUUCCAAGCAUUCCCACAUCGCCAAGUUGAGCGGCCUACAAUUAUGUACAUAUUUUCUUAGGUCAAUGUGCUUGAAAUUCAACUCCUUAGUAACACAUAUUUCGUCUUCCAAUCAUCAAUGAUGCCACUAUAUUUUGCAUCAUUCUCAACCUCUAUGAUUUUCCAAGUAGUCUGUCCAGUGGAACAACUGCUUUUACUUAAUUCAUUCUCUGUAAUGAGACAAGUAAAUCUCAUCACGUGAAUUAAUUGAGAUGUUCUCCCUAUGAGGUAGUUUGCUGGCUUAAGUUUAAUGGAGCAAGCGAGAAUGAGUUGGUGAAAUUAGGAGGUCCACAUAGUAUUGGUAGAAGUGGUCAUUGCAUUUUACGUGUGUUUUUCUUUAUUUUUUAAUAAUUUUUUUUUAUUAAUACUCAAAAAGCGCAAGAGUUUUAUGCUCUAAUACCAUGUAGAAAUCUCACACCACUGAUUAGAGAAAUCAAGAAUUACAUUGAUGAUCAAAGUUGUUGAGUACAUACUCAUUAUAUAGGGAAAGAAUUGUAGAAUUCUAAGUUAACUAUACUUAGAGUCCUACUACAAUAGCUAUUACUGAUAUAAUAAUAAUAAUAAUAAUAAUAAUAAUAAUAAAUAAAUAAAUAAAUAAAUAAAUAAUCUAAUCCUAGUCAUAAUAUAAUCUUAAUCGACUUUAGCUAGAAGUACAACCUAGUUGAUAACAUAAACACUAGUCGAAAAUGACCUUGACAUCAUAAUUAUCACACGUCUCAUCACAGUUUUCAACAAUCAAUGCAUAGAAAUGAUAUCACACCAUAUGAAAGAGACAACAAUUUAUGCAAUUUAAGCACUCUCUAACACAAAGUCCUCCACCACUUUCUGGCGCGUCUGCAAAGCUGAAGUGCAAUAAAUCGGACACCAUGAGGAUGCACUAUACACACUGCCUCAAGCAUCUCACGGAAAAAUUAAUUCAAGAAAUUAUGAGUAUCCUCCUAGGCAUCUGUGAAAAUAAUACGUGACAACUCAACAUUAGCGAUGGUAACCACGCACGAUACAAAGGGAUGAAUAUAACAGUCUUCAUAGCCUAUCGAAGAUAAAUAUAGAUGUCUCUGUAUCGAUCCUCAAGACUCUACUUAGACUUGUCUUGCACACACGUGAGACCUACAAACCUCGGUUUAUGAUACAAAAUGUCACGACUCAAAAAUAAACAUGAUGACACUAAACUAUUGACCAAGACAAAUCAACCUCAACCCAGUUAAACGAAGAAAAUAUAGAACUAUAAAGUAAGAAGACAAGAUAAAGUGGAAAAACCUAUUAGUUCUAUUAACCCCCCCCCCCCCUAAAUGUGAUAAGCAAAUGUACAAACCACUAUAUACAUAAAGUGCAGAAUUAAAAAAUAAGUUCAAGUUUCAGUCUUUGUUGCUAAAUUAAAACAAAUCUUAAAGAAAAAGAAAAGAGGGUCCAUCGGAAUAACAAACAUCUACCUCUGAAUAGUUCCUUGACAAGCCUCCAAAAGUAAGAGGUUGAGGAUGAUCACACAGUAUCGGGCUUGGAAUCUAUUUAAGCAUAGAACAAGGAGUGAGUACUUACAACACAAUAUCCAACAAGUAAUCUAAUAAAUGAAGCAAGCUAUCUAGAAAAUGAAUACUUCUUUUAUCUCAACCGAACCUUCUCAAACUACAAUCCGCACAGAAUUCAGCCAAACCUAGUAGUUCUAUAGUAAAUAGCUCACAAGGCUCAAAAGUGAAAUUCCAGUUGUCAAUAUUCAACAUGCAUCAAGCAAGGAAAUCUCAAUGUAUGUAGGUCAAUUACACGUAACAAGUGAGUCAAUCACAAUUAAUAAGUCACACAAAAAUAUUAAAACACGUUAAAUCACCAUAAUCAAUCUCUAGUUAAUAUCAUUUUCCAUGAGUAAAAUAUCACUAGUUCAAACCAUAUUUCAUUGACUUUAUAUUAAAUCACUAGCCAAAUAUAUUUUCCCAUAAGCAUUAUAUCAAUUCACCAACCGAAACUGUUUUCCAUCAGUUUAUAUCAACUCACUAGACUGAACAUGCUUUUUGGCACUCACCAUCAAUGACCUCAGCAUCAUAGACACUUGUAGGGAACAAUGUCAGCAUAAUAACCAUCACAUGUAUCAUCACGAUAUCCAAGAAUCAAUGCACACAAUCAAUAUCACACCAUAUGUAAGAGACAUAAAUUCAUGCAAUUCAAGUCCACAUUCACGUUGUCAAGUAUUUCAUGAAUCAAACAAUAAGGGUCACAACAAGGCAAUUCACAUCAUCAUAAGCAUCACAUAACCUUUUCAUUUCAAUCUUUUUUUAUUUAUUAAGAUUUACUAAGUGGAAAAUUAACCCUUCACAUCACCCCCAUCACUCUCAACACAUAAACAAUGAAGGAAAUACACAAAUUCCACUAGAAUAUAAGGUUUAAGAGAUCACUUGCCUUAGAUCAAUUAAUUAAUCACUCCAAGAGUUGAGUCUUCUUCUUUCGGCCAAUGUCGAAAGUCACACAAUCUAUGACAAUCAAGUAUGAACCAUAAAUCUCUAGAAACCACAUUAAUACCCACAUCAAUUUCUUUGAAAAAUGGAUCUAUCAUCUCAAAAUUCAAUUUCAAAAAUAAGAUUUGAAUCAAUGAAUAAACACUUGAAAACAAUUCACAAGGCUUUAGGAACUCAUUGGUGAAAAUCAUUUCGAUAAAGGACUUAAAAUCAGUUCACAAUCUCCAUUACAGUUUAGAACUGAAGUUUUUGAAAAUCCUUCCAUUUACCAAUAAAAAUUCCAAAUUUUGAUGUUAGAAUCCAUAUAUAUCCAAGGGAAAUGAAGUUCUUGGAUCAUAGAAGUUUACCCAAAUGAUUUUGCACAAGAAAUUCUUUCAAAAAUUGCCUUCAAGGAUUUCUCAAGCUCAAAAUGAAAAAUGAGCUUAAAUAAAAAAAAAUUAGAAAAUAAACCCCCAUCUGAAGUCGUAAAACCCCCCUGAGUUCACAAAAACGAAUCUCGCAAAAGUGGAUACCUUCACGAUCGUGAACCAUAGCUUCUUCAAUGUGAGGGUCACGAAAGUGGAAACUAAUCGCAAAUGUGAAGGUCAACAAGAUUUUACUCUGCAUGAACAUUGCUAACACGAGCCUCGCGAAAGCGAGCCAUCCCUUGCGGCCACGAGGUGCACCAGCAAUUAGGCAUCAAUAAUAUCAAUAAUCUCUCAAAACAUCAAAACAACCCUUGAGGUUCAUUCGGAACCCCAUACACACAAAACUUCUAUACAAAUUAGUUAUACUAAACGUUCCAAACUCAAUGGACCCUUCGAAAUGUUGGGUUUGAAGGUCAAUUAGGGCGUCAUGUAGAAGCUUACAAUUGCAAAUCAUAAGACAAUAAAUUAGACGACACAUAAAACUAUACUAAAAGACAUAAUAUUAUUAAAUGAACUGACCAAUUGACCUACAUAAUUAAAAACUAAUUAAAAACAUAGAAACUGUAGAGAGAAAAUCUCUCCACAACAAAACUGUAGACGUCUACAUUGUGGAUGCUAUUGUGUUAUGCCAUGAGAAUAUGGAUUUUCAAUCGAUAGAUCUCCAAACUUUUUCUCUAAGGAAAAAAUAAAUCAAAUGUGGAAGAAAAUUAUAUUUUCAUUUCAGAAAAAUUAAAAUAUUUAUGGUAAUGUUUUUUCUUUUCUUUUAGGAAAAAUAAACUUCACAUAAGGUAAGAAAAUCAGGGCAAAACCUAACACAAAACACGUAUCCGAGGACUAAACCUAACACAAAACACGUAUCCGAGGACUCUUUGAUCCGACAUCCGUGAAAAUCACAAGAAACUAACUCAAAUGUCUAAAUGGGGUAAAACAAGCUCAGUACCUCUCAAAAAUCAACCAAGACCUCACCUAGGCCUAAAAUCAUCCCUAAAUCUAAUGGAACUCUCAAAAUUCCAAUUCUAGCAUCCGAACCUAGAAUGUUGAUCAAAAUCAACUCAAAGACUAAAUUUCCACGAUUUCGUAACUUAGGACCUCAAAUCCUCAAAAGGACUCUAAAUCUAAAACUGAUAACUCUCAUAAACCAGAUUCAUCAUUGUGGGACUGAUGAAAACAGAGGAAUUUCAUUCUGACACUCGAAACUCCAAAAGACACCAAACAUCACUUGUGAACAAAGUUAGCCUUUCAAGCACAUAUCUUACCAAAUUCUCAACUUUAAACUCAAAGUUCGAAACCAACUUUCAAAACUCAAUUAUAAAAUUAUUGUGAUCGAUAUUGGGAGGGGCAAAACGAUGAAUUCACGAAACCUCCCAAAAAUGACCGAUCAGCUCAUUACAACGGGCCUGAAUCAUCAUGUUAUUAACACUCAUCAAGGUUUAGUCCAUGCCACUUUUUCCAACUUCUUUAUUUGUAUUCUAAAAUUUAAGGUAAAACAGUCUUAGAAUAUACAUAUACUUGGACACACCACACAAAAUAUAUUUGUAUGCGUACGAAUAAAGGUAUGCACUAGAGUUUUUUUCUCAACACUUUUUGUCUAGUGACACAAUUCGAGUUGUGAGUGAAUUUAAUUUGUAAUUGUAUCACUAUUGUGGUCUUACCUUCUGUCCCAAAUUAAUAUAUAUCAACUUACAUAAAUGACUACAUUAUAUGGUUAUUGAAAUUCAAUAGCUAUAAGUGUUCUAUUUAUCAAAAAUAACUAUAGUUUAUAUUUAUAUCUAGCUGUAUUUGUGUAUUUUUUAAAAUCAUACAAUAAUACAAUUAUAAUUAAAUUGCACUUAAUAAGAUAUUUACUAUAACUGAAUCACUUUAAUUAUGUCCAUGAAACUCUGAAUUUCUCAAGUUUAAAUUAAUAACUAAUAAUACCUAGUCAAUGCAUAUCCACUUGGAUUCCAAUCCUUUCAACAAAAAGAUUGAGAUACGUCAUAUUCAAUUCUUCAGUUGUCUCCAUUGUUCUUAGUCAAGCAUAAAGUAUUCACUUAAUUUUGUUUAGUUAAAUUGAUUCAUCACUUUCUUGUCUAUCCUUCAAUUCACAUAACCUUUAAGCAGUUAAAGGUUUGAUUUCUGCAUAAUACAAGUAUAUACACCAAAACAUGUACUUUUAAAUUAUUAUAUUAGUAUGACUAUGUUAUAACUUUUGUAUAUCUACAUAUGUGGGGCUUCAAUCAGACGAGUUAACACAGAGAAUCUAAUUUUCUAUUCACGAUUAAUAUAUUUUGUGUCUACUUAGCAUAUGAAUACUUUGUUUUUAAAUGUAUACAAGUAUUUAUAAUACAUAAUCUAUGAAUAUAUCAAACAAAACAAAAUAAAGCAAUUUAGCAUAUGAAGAAGACAAUUUAAAUAAAAUUUACCUUAUCGAUACAACUAUAUAGCAUACAUAUAAAUAUCUGUUGUUAAACAAAAUUAGAUACAAAGGACAAACAAUAUUGCUUCAAGUAUUCUUUUUUUAAGAUACAAACUUAAUGUAUUUAUGUAUCCAAGUGUAGUCAAUCAUCCUUUCAACUUGUUAUAAUGUUUUAAUAUAAAUGGAAGAUCCAAAAAUUAAAAAAAAAAAUUUAAUACAAUACAAGUAUUCAAAUGUAUAAAUAUUUCAUUGUAUCAAUCUAUCAAUACAAUUGGAGGUAUAGGGCCAUUGCAAUUCUUUGUUCUUCUUUCAUUCUUCAUUGCAGCAAUAGAGCCUGAAAAUUUGGCUUGUUUUUUAGUAAUACACAAACGAAAGAAGGUAGUUAAUGUUGGGUAUGUAGCAAGAAUUGAUGGGAAAUAGAGGAAAGGAGAGGAAUUUGAAAAGUUUAGAACUUGAAAGGUUGGGAACUUGAAAAUUCCUCUAAUGCUUUAUUGAAAAAGGCAAUAGUCCCUCAUCGGUAAUGAAAAUGAAAAUAGUAGAAUUUAAAUAAAUAAACACUCCUAUUAAUUGUUAAAAGGGUUGGAAAGAGGGACCCCCCUCGCGCCGUUGUCGUCGUCGCUCGCUCGCUUCGGCUUCGGCUUUGGCUUUGGCAAAUGAUCGAGAGAUAAUUUUUUGGACAAAAUUUAUUUUGAUUAUUUAUUAAUUAAUUUAAAUGGCCAAAAAUUAUUUUCAAUAAAUUAGUUGAUAACAGAAUUUAACCGAAAUGUUUUCAACUUUUUAGUUAACCCGACCCGCCUCGGAUCCGCGCGAGUGACCCGUUUUAAAUUCCGUUAUAUUCAAAAUUUCCCGCCAUGACUGUUCUGAAAGGUUGCAACUUUCAGGAACAGUCAAUACCAUUUGAAAGUUUGCAACCUUUCAUUAAUGGUCGUGUCAAUUCUGAAAGGGUAGCAACCUUUCAGAAUAUAUUAUUCUUGCCUAUAAAUACCAUUCAGUCUUCAGAAUAUUUCACUACGAAUUUUCUGAUCUUCCUUCUUCAUAAAAACACAUCUUUCUUCGUGUACUUUCCUGCUGUGGAUUGAUUCGCUGACAGUAGAGUUUUUGGUAUCUAUACUCUACUGAUUAAGAUCAUUUUACCCUGGGAGGUUAUAUUCCAAAUCAAAUCUCGGAUACUAGAGGGGAAUAAUUUCCUUAAGGGGACACUGUGAAUUCAGUGGACUUGAUUUUCUUCCUAAAUUAUCAAUAAGAGUAUUCGAGAUUCUGGUAAGUUUUACAGAUUUAAUUAUUUUAUACAAACAAAUUUCUGUUCAUCUUAUUUACUGGUUCUAAAAAUCUCAGUUACUUCAUGUUUCUGAAUGAUUUAUUACAACUAGUAAUUUCUGAUUUUCAUAACACAGAUUGACAACAAUCUUAAGGAAAUUAUUAAAUCUGUGUUUCUGGUGGAGACAAAAAUCUUUGUGAUUUUAUACUCCUUUAAGUCUGAAUUAUAAUUUAUUGCUUACUUAUAUUGAUUGUAUCAAUUUGUUUAUCAGAAAUGGAAAACACUGGUGUUACAGUGGUUGUUGCUGCACCAACCCGAACUCUUGUAUCACAAGCAGAGAAACCGGGUAAAUUCAAUGGUGUGAAUUUCAAAGGAUGGAAGCAACGAGUAUUUUUCUGGCUUACCACUCUUGGUCUGCAGAAUUUACAAGUGAAGAUACUCCAGUUCCUGCUGAUGAUAUGCCAGACAGGGAAAAGUUUAUGAUUGUUGAAGCAUGAAAACAGUCAGACUUCCCAUGUAAAGGUUACAUUUUGAGUGCUUUAGAGGAUGACUUAUAUAAUGUCUAUAGUGCAAUAACAACUUCAAAAGAGUUGUGGAAUGCACUUGAGAAGAAAUAUAAGGCAGAAGAUGCAUGCUUGAAAAAGUUUGUGAUCGCAAAGUUUUUAGACUAUAAAAUGGUAGAUAGUAAAACUGUUGGAUCACAGGUACAGGAACUUCAACUUAUUCUCCAUGAUCUGAUUGCUGAAGAUAUGGUAGUAAAUGAAGCUUUUCAAGUGGCUGCAAUGAUCGAAAAGCUGUCUCCUUCAUGGAAUGAUUUCAAGAAUUAUCUAAAGCACAAGCGUAAAGAAAUGAAGCUUGAAGAUCUUGUGAUUCGGCUCAAGAUUGAGGAAGAUAACAGAAAUGCCGAAAAGAAGUCGCGUAAGAGUUCAACAAUCAUUGGAGUUAAUAUUUUUGAAGAAGCUCCUACCAAAGACAAAAAGAGAAAGAAGUCCAACGGGCAGAAGUCAGAACAGGCCAAGAAGAAAUUCAAAGGCAACUGUUAUAAUUGUGGCAAGGCUGGUCAUAGAUCUUCUGAUUGUCAUGCUCCAAGAAAGGACAAAAACAAAGGCAAAGGCAAAAGUCAAGCAAACAUCGUGGAAAAGAUGGAAGAUGCAGAUGACUUGUGUGCAAUGAUAUCAGAGUGUAACUUAGUUGGAAAUCCCAAGGAGUGGUUUCUCGACUCAAGUGCCACCAGAUAUAUUUGCUCUGCAAAAGAAGCCUUUGCAACGUACACUCCUGCUGAGUACGAUGAAGAUUUAUUCAUGGGAAACACAGCAACAGCAAGGAUUGCAGGAACUGGGAAAGUAAUGCUGAAAAUGACAUCCGGCAAAGUGUUGACUUUAAAAAAUGUUCUGCAUGUCCCCACUAUUAGGAAGAAUUUAGUUUCUGCUGCACUACUCGUUAAGAACGGGUUUAAGUGUGUCCUAGUUAGUAAUAAAGCUGUAAUAAGUAAGAAUGAAAUGUUCAUAGGAAAGGGCUACCUCAAUGAGAGUCUUUUCAAACUAAAUGUAAUGGUUAUUGACAGUAUUAAUAAAAAUUCUGUUUCUGUUUACUUAUUGGAGUUAAGUGAUUUAUAGCAUGCCCAUUUGGGACAUGUAAAUUACAAAGCCUUGCGAAAAUUGGUUAAUCUAGAAGUAUUGCCUGAUUUUAAAUGCGAUAAGUCGAAAUGUGAAAUUUGUGUGGAAAGUAAGUUUGUUAAACAUCCUUACAAGUCUGUUGAAAGAAAUUCUAAAACUUUAGACUUAAUUCACACAGAUAUAUGCGAUAUGAAGUCAACACCAUCUCGUGGUGGGAAAAAGUAUUUUAUAACUUUUAUUGAUGACUGCACUCGAUUUUGUUAUGUAUAUUUGCUUAAUAGUAAGGAUGAAGCAAUUGAUGUAUUUAAGCAAUAUAAAAAUGAAGUGGAAAACCAAUUGAAUCUAAAGAUAAAAAUGAUUCGGAGUGAUAGGGGUGGAGAAUAUGAAUCUCCUUUUGCAAAGAUAUGUUUGGAAUAUGGUAUUAUUCAUCAAACUACUGCACCUUAUACACCACAGUCAAAUGCUUUGGCAGAACGGAAGAACAGAACAUUAAAGGAAAUGAUGAAUGCCUUAAUGAUCAAUUCUGGUUCACCACGAAAUCUUUGGGGGGAAGCCAUCCUUACAGCUAAUAAAAUACUCAAUAGAGUACCCCAUCGAAAAACACAAUCAAUUCCAUAUGAGUUGUGGAAAGGAAGAAAACCCAACUUUAAAUAUUUCAAAGUGUGGGGGUGUUUAGCCAAGGUAGAGAUUUCUUUACCUAAGAGGGUUAAAAUUGGACCCAAAACAAUAGCUUGUCUCUUUAUUGGGUAUGUUGUGAAUAGUAAAGCCAGUCGAUUUUUGGUUCACAAAUCUGAUAAUCCUGAGAUUCAUGUUAAUACGAUAAUUGAAUCAGAUAAUGUAGAGUUUUUUGAAAACAUUUAUCCGUAUAAAACUGAAAGUGAGUCAACAAGUGAAAGACCUAAACGACCACGAGAAGAAUCAAUGGAAAAUAUUCUCACUAGUGAGGAACCUAGGCGAAGUACUCGACAACAAAAAUCUGUUUCUUUCGGACCAGAUUUUGUAGCACUAUUGCUUGAAAAUGAGACUCAAACAUUUAAAGCAGCUAUGUCUUCGUCAGAGUCAACUUAUUGGAAAGAAGCAGUCAAUAGUGAGAUUGAAUCAAUUUUAAGCAAUCACACUUGGGAAUUGACUGAUCUUCCUCCAGGAAAUAAACCUUUAGGAUCAAAAUGGAUCUUUAAAAGGAAAAUGAAACCUGAUGGGACUAUUGACAAAUAUAAGGCUAGACUGGUAGUCAAAGGGUACAGACAAAAGGAAGGUCUGGACUACUUUGACACAUAUUCUCCAGUAACAAGGAUAACAUCAAUUAGGAUGUUAAUAGCACUAGCAGCAGUGCAUGAUCUUAAAAUCCACCAAAUGGAUGUAAAGACAGCCUUCUUAAAUGGAAAGUUAGAGGAAGAAAUUUACAUGGAACAACCUGAAGGGUUUAUAGUUCCUGGUAAAGAAAAGAAAGUGUGCAGACUUGUGAAGUCACUUUAUGGACUCAAGCAAGCACCCAAACAAUGGCAUGCUAAAUUUGAUCAAAUAAUGUUGGCAAAUGGAUUCAAGAUUAACGAAUGUGAUAAAUGUGUUUACAUUAAAAACGUUAUGAAUCAUGAAGUCAUUGUUUGUUUGUAUGUUGAUGACAUGUUAAUAAUGAGUAAAGAAAUUGACGAUAUAAAUGCUACUAAGCGCAUGUUGUCCAGCAAAUUCGAUAUGAAAGACUUAGGAGUUGCUGAUUUGAUCUUAGGGGUCAGGAUUAUCAAAACUCCUUAGGGACUAGCAUUAUCUCAAUCUCAUUAUAUUGAAAAAAUAUUGGAUAAGUUCAAUUACUUGAAUUUCAAUGUAGUUAAAACUCCAAUUGAUUUAAGUUGUACAUUUAAAAAGAAUGAAGGUCAAAGUGACUCUCAAUUGGAAUAUGCCAGAGUGUUGGGAAGUUUGAUGUAUAUUAUGAAUUGCACGCGAUCAGAUAUAACAUGUGCUAUUAGUAAACUGAGUCGGUACACUAGUAAUCCGAAUCAAACUCACUGGAUGGCUAUGAAACGUGUGUUGGGUUAUCUAAAAUGGACACAACAUUAUGUUUUGCAUUAUAAUAAAUAUCCUACUGUGAUUGAAGGAUAUAGUGAUGCAAAUUGGAUCACCGGGUCAAAUGAUGUAAAAUUCACGAGUGGUUAUGUAUUCAUACUUGGUGGAGGAGCUGUCUCUUGGAAAUCUUCCAAACAGACAUGUAUUGCUCGCUCCACAAUGGAAUCUGAAUUCAUUGCUUUGGAUAAGGCUGGUGAAGAAGCGGAAUGACUCCGGAAUUUCCUAGAGGAUAUUCCAUUCUGGCCCAAACCUGUUGGACCAAUUUGCAUACAUUGCGAUAGUCAAGCAGCAAUAGGUAGGGCAGGGAGCGUUAUGUACAACGGGAAGUCUCGUCAUAUACAACGUAGACAUAACACCAUAAGACAACUGCUCUCUAGUGUAAUUAUCACAAUUGACUAUGUUAAGUCAAGCGAUAAUGUGUCAGAUCCACUAACGAAAGGCCUAGUGAGAGAGGCAGUUGAAAGAUCAUCUAAGGGAAUGGGUUUACGGCUUAGGACAAGUAAGCAUGACAGUAACUCUAUCUAGCAGACUGGAGAUCCCAAGAGCUAGAUUCAAGGAGAAAAACAAAGUUGUGGCUGACAGUUCGAUAUUAUCAAUUAACUCAAUCCAUUCUCAUGAUGAAGACAAUGUUCAGGAAAAGGUUAAGACUUUAAGGCUUGUUAAUGAGGUAAUAAAGCUUAAAGUUUUUAAUGAUUUGCUAAGUUUGGUAGAUUUGACCAAAUAGUGUAUCUACGAGAUGACACGGUUAGAAAUCAUCUAUGUGAGUGUGAAGUGAAAGCCGCUUCAAAGAGAAUUUUAUGUCAAAAUCUUAUUCUCUAUACACUCAUGAAACCAGGAGGUGUUCAUGGCUGAAACGAACACAACCGUAAGAAUCAUAAACAGUAAAGGGUUAAUUGUGUGACAUAUGGUUGUCUAGGUAUACACCAAAGUUCGACGGUUCAAAGAUAUCACAUCUACCGAUUGACCGAGUAUAUCCGACAUAUGUUCACUACGGAAAGUCCAAGGGGAAACCUACUUAUCCAAAUGCAAUUAAUCCUUGCUUGUAAAGUACACAAUUGUCCGUGCAUUCCUAUGUUAUAACUAUUCCCCAUCAAUGUGGGAGAUUGUUGGGUAUGUAGCAAGAAUUGAUGGGAAUUAGAGGGAAGGAGAGGAAUUUGAAAAGUUUAGAACUUGAAAGGUUGGGAACUUGAAAAGUCCUCUAAUGCUUUAUUGAAAAAGGCAAUAGUCCCUCAUCGGUAAUGGAAAUGAAAAUAGUAGAAUUUAAAUAAAUAAACACUCCUAUUAAUUGUUAAAAGGGUUGGAAAGAGGGACCCCCCUCGCGCCGUCGUCGUCGUCGCUCGCUCGCUUCGGCUUCGGCUUCGGCUUUGGCAAAUGAUCGAGAGAUAAUUUUUUGGACAAAAUUUAUUUUGAUUAUUUAUUAAUUAAUUUAAAUGGCCAAAAAUUAUUUUCAAUAAAUUAGUUGAUAACAGAAUUUAACCGAAAUGUUUUCAACUUUUUAGUUAACCCGACCCGCCUCGGAUCCGCGCGAGUGACCCGUUUUAAAUUCCGUUAUAUUCAAAGUUUCCCGCCAUGACUGUUCUGAAAGGUUGCAACUUUCAGGAACAGUCAAUACCAUUUGAAAGUUUGCAACCUUUCAUUAAUGGUCUUGUCAAUUCUAAAAGGGUAGCAACCUUUUAGAAUAUAUUAUUCUUGCCUAUAAAUACCAUCCAGUCUUUAGAAUAUUUCACUACGAAUUUUCUGAUCUUCCUUCUUCAUAAAAACACAUCUUUCUUCGUGUACUUUCUUGCUGUGGAUUGAUUCGCUGACAGUAGAGUUUUUGGUAUCUAUACUCUACUGAUUAAGAUCAUUUUACCUUGGGAGGUUAUAUUCCAAAUCAAACCUCGGAUACUAGAGGGGAAUAAUUUCCUUAAGGGGACACUGUGAAUUCAGUGGACUUGAUUUUCUUCCUAAAUUAUCAAUAAGAGUAUUCGAGAUUCUGGUAAGUUUUACAGAUUUAAUUAUUUUUUACAAAUAAAUUUUUGUUCAUCUUAUUUACUGGUUCUAAAAAUCUCAGUUAAUUCGUGUUUCUGAAUGAUUUAUUACAACCAGUAAUUUCUGAUUUUCAUAACAUAGAUUGACAAUAGUUAAUCCAAAAAUUCGUCAAAUAAAUGUAUACAUUUUAUACUCUCCUUGCAGUACUAAUUUUGUCACGAUCCAAAUUAAGCUGUGAGUGGCACCCACACUUAACCUCCUAGGUAGGCGAAUCAAGGAAUCCAAAUUCAACAUAUACCAAUAAUUCAACUACGAAUACAAAAUAAUGUGCAUGCUCCAAAACUAAUUAACUAUCGUUUCCCAAAACUUGUAAGUCAUCACAACAAGGACAUCUAAUCUCCAACUGUUAAGUUUAAGAGUAUAAAACAAAUCAAAAUAAUAAAAUAAAGUAAUUUGUGUCCGAAAACUAAGGACAUUAGGUAAUGACCGAGAGAAUCCAAUCCAAGCUUGAAUGAAUAGCUCACCCUUGAACCUGAUAUGCCGAGACUUGCUAGAGCUAAGGGCGAGUCAAAUUUUCCGGUACACUUGCUGCACUCCAUGAAAGGAAAACAAAGAAAAAUUCAAGUAGGCUCAGUACGAGGCAACAUAUACGAGGCAACAUAAAGUCACUGUUUAAAGAACCAGUGGCAGCCAACACCUCAACUAUACCCCACACUUUUAUAUCCUUAAUCAAUAUUGUUAAAUUAUUGCUUCCUCACUUUCAUCAAAUGUCUCAACCAAUCAGUGAUACAAAUUCAUGCAUAUUACCAGUAAUACCUUUCCCCUUCAUAAUUCCAUUAAUUCACUAACAACUAUACAUGCAAUGAAAUAAUUACCUAUUUCUAUAUACCAAAAAAAAAAGAUUGAAUUUAUAAUUGAGAUAUCAAAAUUAUGUGCAACAUCCAAGACCUUCACUUUCGUGCAACUCCAUUCGAUCUAUAUAAUAUAAAUAUAAUAUAGUUGUACUAACUUAGUUCACUGCAAGGCAUUAAUUGCUCAUUAAGAGGUCCUACAAUAAUUCCCAGAUUAACUCACGUGAAAGGCCUAAUAAGUUUUCACCCAAUUCUUUAAUAUAAAAUAACAAUAAUAAAAAACAGUCAAACACAACAACCCGGGUAACCUUCAUUCUUCUCGAAUCAACAAGUAGUAAAAAUUUUCUACGCCUACAAACUAUACCUUUCCUAAAUCAUUACAUUCAUGACAAGAUUAUUGUAUUUUGAAUCCAUCUAAAAACUUAAAAUAAAUUCAAAAGGGACAUUAAUUGAUAACUAACCAACAGAAAACUAAAUGGAAGGGGCAACGAAGGGUUUGUAAUACCUGAGGUUGCUGCCUUCGAUGUGCGGCUUUCUCAUUCUCUUCUUUUUAUUUUUAUUAUAUGGGCAACUUUCAUAUAUAACAAAUAAAAAAUUCAUAUUUGUAUGAUAUAACAAAGUUUGCAUAAUUGCGCCACAUAGCAAACAUAUAAUUGUAUAAUUCGCUAUACAUAUACAACCGUAUAAUUCGUUGGCCUCGCUAUACAUAUACAAUUGUAUGAUUCGCUGGCCUAAAUUGCAUAAUUUGCUGGCUUAUUUCACUGCAAUUGUAUAAUUCGUUAGCCUAUUUCGCUGCAAUAUGGGUAUAAAAUUUGCUUUGCAUACAAUUGAAUCGAAGUAAAAUGUUUGUAUAUUGUAUAACUAUAAGUGUAUAGGAAGAAGAUAUAUAUUUUUCUAUCGCUUUAUACAAAAACAGAAACACAAUUUAUACACUUUUGUUGUAUAAAGCGAGAAAAAGUUGUAUUUUACUGCAAUUGUAUAAUUCGCUGGCCUUUUUCGCUGCAAUAUUUGUAUAAAAUUUGCAUUUGUAUACAAUUGAAUCGAAGUAAAAUAUUUGUAAAUUGUAUAAUUAAGUGUAUAGCACGAAAAUAUAUAUUUUUGCAUAUGUAUAUACAAUUUUCUCUUACUUUAUACAAAACAGAAACACAAUUUAUACACUUUUGUUGUAUAAAGCGAGAGAGGCGAGCAGAGGGAGAGUGGCGAGUGAGAAUGGGAGAGUGGCGAGCGAGAGUUUUGGGAGAGAGGCGACUGACAAACUUUGCAAACGUUAGUUAUGGGGCACAAUUAAAUCAAAAGACAGUUACUUUAUUUAUUUUAGGUUAUUAGUUUUAUAUUAUAUACAAUUAUCCUUUAUUUUAUUUCCUAUGGAUUAUUUACUAACCUAAUUAUAAAAAGGAAUAAAUAUAAAAGUGGUUUAAAUGAUCCAUUAUUAAUUUUAAUUAUUCAAAUUACCCCAUACUUAUACAAUUUUAAUUAAGAAUAGUUUAAAAUAUCUAUUUAGAAUCUAUGACAAUAGCCUUUUAUGCAAUAAAAAACUUUAGUAGUCAAAACGACUAAAUGAGUCGUUACAAACUUCCACCAUUGUAAUGGAGAAAAAUAAAAUUUUCAAACAAAACCCUAUGAAAAGAAAAUAUAUAUGUACAAAAAUAUAGUCGCCAUAAAAAGGAGAAAAAGCACAAAUACAAGAUACCUCAUAAAGAAGAAUCAUAAAAAUCACUUCUAAAAUCAUGCAAGAGUCGUGAAAUUGAAGGACUUUGGAAAAAAAUAAUAAUAUGUGAUAUAGUAAAUUUUGAAAGAGGAAGUACUGAAAAGUAUUAAGAUGGUAAGCAUGGAAACAGCACUGUAAAACGUGCCUAACCAUAAUUGAUUAGGCAUAUGAUGAUAAUUUUGUCAUUUAAUACUCAUUUAUAUACCUAUUAAAAAACUGAAUUCUAUAGGUAUAUAAUUAUUUAAUAUUUAAUUAUAUCCAUAAAAUAAAAAUAAAGUAAACUUUAGCUAUUUAUUUUAAAAUGUAUGUUGAUGUUUGCUAUAUCUGAAGUUUUUCCUUGUUUGAAUUUGUAUUAUUUUUAAGUGAUGUCGUCAUAUUAUGUUGCUUCUAGAAAAAAUAUUAUUUAUACACGUUAUAAUAUACAAGGAAACAGUUCUGUAAAGUAAUAUCAAGAUAACAUAUAUACUAAUGGAUGUCUCAGUCAUUGUGUGUACGCAUAGUCACAUAUAUGUAUGUGUUUUCAAGGAUAAUUAAGUGUAUAAUGUAACAUUGGAACACCUAUAUUAGACAAAAUGAAUGUAGCCAUAGUAUAUUUUAUGCGUGUAUAUAUACUCAUCUAAUUGUUGGUUUAGUGGAGGAAAUGAAAAAGAAUAAAAUAAUUAAUUAUAAACUAUUUUUAUAACUCAACUUGAAAAAACUAGCUUUGAGGAUUAUCACUUAAUACCUUAUAAAAGAUUAUAAUAUAUAGGGAUAAUGCACAAGUAUCCCCUCAACCUAUGCCCGAAAUAUCAGAGACACAAUUAUACUAUACUAAGGUCCUAUUACCCCCUAAACUUAUUUUAUUAAUAAUUUUCUACCCCUUUUCAGUCUACAUGGCACUAUUGGUCCAACGUUGGUUGACUUUUUUUCAAGCUAGUGUCACGUAGGCCGAAAAUGAGUAGAAAAUUACUUAUAAAAUAAGUUCAGGGGGCUAAUAGGUUCUAAGCAUAGUAUAAGUGUGUCUCUGACAUUUAGGACAUAGGUUGAGAAAGUACUUGUGCAUUUUUCCUAAUAUAUAUUCUAAACUCCUUCGCUAUUCUAGAACUAAUAAUUUAAUCGUGGACACCCAUAAAUCAUAAUAUAGGUGAAUGUAUAAUAGUAUGAUUUAUGGGUGUAUCAUAAUGUGAGAAUAAAUACAAAAAUAUAUUCUCAAAAUAUGUACUCUCUUUAUCAAUUAAUGGGAAAUAUUCUUCCUACAUAGUGAUUAUCAGGUUGAUGUUAAUAGUUUUGGAGGUAUAUUUGUUUGUCUUACUUUAAGUUUAGUAGUGAUUGUAAAUGGUACUAGUGGGACUCUACUUUGUUGAGGACCAGGAAUUUAUUAUUGUAGUCUUAUUAUAAGAUAAGUGACUAGAUCACUUAUUAUUAGUUAGUCAAAAGAAAUGCCACUAACUUCACUUUGAUGCCAACUUAUUAAAAUUCAUAAGUUUGACUUGAAUAGACUAGCUAUUACAUUCACUCUUAAUGAUCUUAUCCCUAGAUCUAUGAGAGAAGUGAAAAAAGGAUAAUGAAGAAAGUAUUUUGAGAUGAAUUGAUUGUCUAGAAAAUGUAUAUAUACACACGUAAAUUUAAGGGAAAGCUGUACAAAAUAUUCAUUUGAAUCUAUUAGACAUAAUGCAUAAAGGCAUAAUACAUAAAUGUACUCUUUAACUUGGUUUUGAAUUACAUUUAUGCCCCUUAACUUUAGUAAUGCACUAGUAGACACUUGAACUUGUAUAAAUUUGAACAAAUAGACACAGAUAUCCUACAUGUCAUUCUACAUAUCAUUUUUUGUCCUACGUGGUUUUUGUUAUGUAAGACUCAUAUGUCUAUUUAUUUAAAUGUUGGAUAGUUAAAGUGUUUGUUUGUGCAUUAUGAAAGUUGGAGGUCAAAGUUAAAAUUUGAAUCCAAGUUUAGGGUCCAAUAUAUGUAUUAUGUCAUGCAUAAAUAUAUGUUUUAAUUUGGCCUUAACUGACAUUAUGUCCUUUAAUUUAGAGUAUGCACAAGUAGACACUUAAACUUCUAUAAAAUUGAACAAAUCGACACAUUCAUCCUAAGUGACAUCCUACAUGGCAGUAUUGUGUCCUACGUGGUGUCUUACAUGCAUUAUGUUGCGUAGAAUACGAGUGUCUACUUAUUCAAUUUUAUACAACUUUAAGUGUUUACUUGCACACACACAAAAGUUGGAAGACAUAGAUACCUCGUACCUAUUAAAAAUAAGUUAAAGGACAUAUUUAUGUAUUAUGUUAAUCUAUUUAAUUACUCUUUUUUACUCAUAUACGUAUACAUAUAAAUUAUCCAAGGAACACAAAAUAAUUAUCCAUGUACCCAUUGAAUGAUGGGUCAUAUCAUUGAUAUUUCAUCUUUAUUCUAAUUGAUUUCCACCGAGGGAGUAAUUGAAUAAUGAGAAAUUCAUUCCUUUGAGAAAAAUGAUUAAUCAAACGUUGCAAAGAAAAUAUUAAAACGAGGUUUUAUUGUGCCCAUUUGUAGUAAAAAGUAUUAAUUAAGUAGCUUUGGGUCAAUGUUAUAUUAUUUUGAUUAAUUUUUAUGAAUAGCUAUAGUUUUGAUCAUAAUAAUAAGAGCAACUUUCUAGUUUAGCAAACACAAAUCAUAUUUGUAUGUUAUAGAUAUAGUUUGUAUAAUUGUGCUCCAUAACAAAUAUGUAUAUUUUGCUAUACAUAUACAAAAGAAAGUAGUUGUAUAUAAAUUGUUUCAGUUCUAGUAUACAUAUACAAAAGUCAAUUAUAUAAUCUGUGUUUGUAUAAAACGAGAAAGAGAGAAAGAUAAAAGAAAGCUGGGCAGGGAAUAUUUGUAUUGUAUAAUUAUAAGGGUAUAGGACGAAGAUAUAUAUAUUUGCAUGUGUAUAUACAAUUUUUCUCUCGCUUUAUACAACUAGAAACACAAUUUAUACAUUUUGUUCUGUUUGUAUAGGCGAGAGAGAUAAGAAUGGUAAGCGAAGUCUGAGAGAGGGGAGAGAGUGAAUGAAAAUAUAUGUGUGUAUGCAAUUUUCUCUCGCUAUAUACAAAUAAAAGCAUUUUAUACAUUUGCGUCUGUAUAAAAAGCGAGAGAGGCGAGACAGAGUGAGAGUGACGAUUGAUAUUCACCAGGAGAGAGGCGAAAUAGCAACAAUUUACAAUUAAAUCAAACAAUGAUUAUAACAUUUAAUUUGAAUUUAUAGUUUGCUAUUAUAUACAAUUUUCCCUAAUUAAAAUAUUAACUGUAAUUUAAUUAUAUUCAUACCAAUAGUUUUAGAUAGAAGAGAGGAAAGCAAUAUCUCAAGAGGUAGAGAAAAGAGACGAGCGAGAUAGAAGAGAGAGAAGACGAGCAAGAUCAAGAGAGAUAGAGGAGAGAUGCGAGCAAUUUGGUAUCUCAAAUAUAACUUGUAUCUCAAUCGAAAUUGAGACACACAUAUAAAGAAUCUCAUUUCUCUACCGAAUCUCACUUUGUCUCUGUCAAACCUCUCCUAAUCUCGCACACAGAUACACAAAUCAGCAUAUUAUAAUGAAUACACAUUGUAUCUUCCCUAAAAUAAAUAGACAUAUGAGAAGUAUCAUUUUUUGUGAUACACAAAUGAAAAAGAUAUUGAUACACUGAUUGAAUAUUAUAUCACUCCUGAAAUAAAUAAAUUGAUACAUUUUUUUCCUAAUAUAUAGUUGUAUAAAAAAAAUCGAUGCACAAAUGCUAUCUGAUAAUAUUUGUAUCAGUUGUUUCUAAUACACAUCUACAAUGUUUUCUUGUACAGAAAUAGAAUUUUGCUAUAUCUAUGUAUGAAUUGAAGAAGGUAAAUUUUGAUAAUAGUAUAAAAUAUUUUGAUACACAAAUACAAAUCUUUUUUUUGAUUCAUAGACACAGUCGAUUGUAUCAAUCUAAGGAGAAAAGAAAAUUAAAAUGUAGAAACAAAUCAAGAAUCUAUAAUGAAUUUUUUUAUAUAUCGAUGAUGAUAGUAUAACUUAUUUAGUCAAAUCGAUGAAGAAGAAAUUAAUAAAGCUAUGCCAACUCAAUCAAAUAUGUUGGACAAAUCUAUGAUAUCCCAAAACACUAUAAUUUAAAUUAUUUUCUCAUUUAAUCAUUUAUGGAUUUUAUUGAUUGACUACAUGUGAGAUUUCAUAUCAUUUUAUAAUGACACAUAAAAGUGUAGUAAAAUAAACAUAUCUUAAGGAUGUAUUUGGUAUGAAGAAAAAUAUGAAAAUAUUUUUUAAUUUCCCUAUACUUGAUUGGUUUAAAAGUUUUGAAAAAUAUUUUUUAAAUCAACUCAUUUUCCUCGAUUUUAAGGAAAAUAAUUUUUCUUCAAAAAUUCAGAAAAACAUUGUCCAAAAGUCUUCUCCAAUUUCAAAAUACAUUUUUUUUUAAAAAAAAAUUGAUUGUUGAACAAAUUUAAAAAUAAUUUAAAAAAAGUAUAUUGGAGUUCAAUUUUUUUUUCAUCCCACCCUCAACCUCACCCCUGCUUCCCCCCCCCCCCCCCCCCUCCCCCCAAAAAAAAAAUUGUAAUUUGGUUUAGAAAAUAUUUCUAAUUUCUAAUUUUACUUUUUCACCCCAACCCAACCCUCGUCCCUACUCAUCAGCCCCCACCCCCUCCCAAAAAAAAGAAUUUUGAGUUUGUUUUUUUUUUAAAAAAAAAAUCAGCUUCAAUUUUUUUCACCCCACCCUCACCACUAACCGCCCCCCCCCCACACACACACCAGCACCAGCAUCCCCCUCCCCCCACCAAAAAAAAUAAUUUGUAAUUUAUUUUUAAACAUAUUUUCAAUUUUUUUCACCCCACCCACUCCUACCAGCAACCCCCCCCCCCAAAAAAAAUUAUUUUCCGCACUAGUAAAAUAAAAAAUAUUUUUCAUUCAUAAUACACUGAAAAUCUUUUUCAAAAUAUAAUUUUUAAUGACCAACCAAACAUGAGAAAAUAAGUAAAAAAUCUACUUAUUUUGCGAGAAAACAUUUUCCUUUCCUACCAAACACACUCUAACUCCCUUCUUAUUUUCCUAGUUCUUAUCCACCCCCGCACCACCUCACUCUCAUCCACCUUUAUUAUCUUCUGCACAUCCUUACACUUCCUCAAGCAAGAAAAUAUCCAUUUCUUUUAAAUAUAAAAUCAACUUGAAUUUAAAAUUAAAAAAUCCAGAAAAUUCAACUGAGUAACUAGAAGCGAUAACUUCAUAAUUGAAGUAAUUAUUGAAUAAAAUUUUUAUUCCUCCGUUUCAUCAAAUCAUACAGUUGAAUAAGCUUAAGUAACUCUAAAACCAUAAAGAAACUGGCAAAUAUACAACUGAAAUUGGCUUCUAAAGACUACUGGUAAGCCAAGGCAAGUAUGUUCACAUCCACAAAAUUUGAGAAGGGCAAUGAAUUUAUAUAAAGGAAGCGACGUUUUCAUGUGCAUCCGAGUUGCAACAGAGGGCGAAAACUACAUCUCAGAGCCCAACAAUUCUGACUGAUACUUCACUCAAACAGAACAAAAAUGACAGCGUUGUCACAUAAUAGCUGCUUAGGCAGGACGGAGAUAAUCAAGGCGCACCUGACACCCCAGGGAAUAGUUCUGAUAUUUUGUUGAAGACGUCCAUCACCUAUAAUCAUAUGUUCAACUAUAUGUAUUAGGUAUUUAUCAAAUAUAUACACGUACAUGCAACAUAAUAUGCAGUUGAACCUCCGUCUAUUUAGUCAACAUAAUAAUCAUAGUAACGAGUAUGUAAACAUUGAAUUUGUGCUAUACUGGGCAAACAUAAGAUGAAAUAAGAACCAAAAGUUAUCACUCAAAACUGUCUAACUGAUGCAUCUUACUGAUCUCUAGCAUUAAUUACUGAAGCAAAAUGCAACUUAGUCAAUAAAAAGUACAGACUUCUUACUCAAAUUUAGAUCGAUAUAUCAAGAAGACAUGUUAAAGAUGAAAUUACGUUCUUACCUCCUUGUCAUUUUGGUAUUUUGCAAUACUCAGUGGAUUCUGAGAACACUGCAAUAAAAAUAAAAGUCAGCGUGCAUCAACAUUUCAAGCAAUAAUAAAUGUGUGUCAUAUCUCUUCUAUGAUUAUUCAAAUAUAUGCUUUUUGGAACUUCAACAAAUUCAAGAGGAUAUAAUGGGGGUGGGAAGUGGGAUGGGGUGGCGUGAAAGGGGGCAACAAGUGCAUACAUCCAUGAUGGCUGCUUGAACUCUUGGAUUUUGGAAAGCCAUGGCAACAUCAGGAUUAGCCAUAAUCUUCGAAAUGACUUCCUCGGGAGUAAGUCCUAUCUGAUCUGCAACCAUAAAAAUAACAAACAAAGAAAAAUACAGAUCAUAUCAUUUGAUAGUUUUGGCUAUAGCAACUGUUUGUACCAUUAAAGGAGGUCUUCCUGACAUGUUAUAACUACAAAAAGAUUUCUCCCUCCUGAUAUAACAUUUACUAGUAUUUCCCUACACAUGUGUGCUCAUGUUGGGCUGGUUGUUCUAUGAUACAUUGUUUGGCGCAUCUUAGCCCAGGUAAACAUUGGGCAUGGUUGGGCAAUGACCCAUUCAUUGACCCGCCAAAAUUAACCCAAAUAGUACAUUCGCCACACCUAAUUCUGGUAUUUUGUUGAAGUCAUCCAUCACCUAUUACCAUAUGUUCAACUAUAUGUAUUAGUAAUGACUUUGUUGAUCAAAUGGAGAAAAUUAAAAAUAUAUGUUGAUGCUCAGUGGAAUUCAGCUAUUGUCUAAGACUCUCUUAUCCCCCACCCUCCCCCUCCAGAUUAGUGGGCUGCAGACACUACUAUUUUUGCAAAUAGAUCAGGAAAAGAACAAUAUAACCACUCUAACUUACCAAAUUGUUGCUUGAUUUCAGGGCUGCUGAGAUCAAAAUUCUUCAAGGAAUCCAUCAUGCGGUUGUCCCAUUCUGGGUUUCCACCCAUGUUAUUCCUGGUAUGGGGCAAAUGAUGGAAACCCUGAUAAGUUUUUCAUAGGUGCAAAAGAGAAGUAUUUAACACGAAAUCCUCGUUAGCCAAAAAAAGGCAAAUGAUUCAACAUGUCUGUUUCUUUCCAUGUUCUCUUCUUUUCUAUUCUUUUUCAUUUCUUUCUUUUCAAACUGAGAAACGAACAACACCAAAAAUGCAGAAUUGUGAGCAGCCUGACCAAAGUAGGUAGUCCAACGAAUAUUUGAUUCCAGACAGAUAACUGGUAUCAUUUGAUAUGUGUGUACAAGAAUCAUUUACAGCUUUGCAUUGUUCUAAUCUAAACUAGAAAUGCAAUCAGAUGGACAAGAAUCAACAAGAUGAAAACUACCAAUUAGGGUCCAGUGUAUACCAGUGUCAUACAUACAUCGGAAUGGAAUAUUCUCAUUCAAGAUGAGAAUUUUAACCCCAUGCAGGCAGAAGAAAAAGUCAGGUCUCAUUUGCACAAAUUCAAAAGGAACUGGUUACUCCAGUAAACAAAAAGUAGUAUGUGGAAGGGGGAAAAUGAAGCAGUUCAGAUACAGCAGAGUCACACCAAGAGUAGUUUUCCUAACACUUAAACAAGUUAUAUGAAUGGCAUAAGUUCCUAUCCAAACAGCCUUUGAGACAGUGCUUAUGGUAAAACUCAGUGGAUGGAUAUGUUACUGAUAUAAAUAUGAUAAUCAAACAGAAAGUUUAGAAAAGUAAAUGAUAUACAAGUAAUGCAUUUUGGCAUGGAACAAAGAAAUAUGCACUUGAGAAUGGUAAUCUUAAUAAAGAAAUAUGCACUUGAAAGAUAAUUGAACCAGACUUACAUCAUGUCCUGCAACUGUUGACGGUAUUGUGGAUUUUGUAGCAUCCCUGUGAUCAAAUUAAAUGCAAGACCUUUUAGUUUUAUCUGAUAGAGGAAGAAGAUGAAAAGAGUUUGAAAAACUUAUAGCAAUGAACCAUAAAGGUAGUAAAGUUGAGUCACAAGAAACCAGAAUGACAAGUAUUUUUGAUAAGAAGAGGACAGGAAUAAAUAAUUAAUGGCAUUUAACUCUUGUUCUUGAUUUGUCCUACAACAUAGCAAUUCAGACAAACAGUCAAUGAUAAAAGAGGAAAUGAAUUUUACUCUAAAACCUGAAUCAUGAGUUGGCUAAGCACAUCUAAUGCAAAAAACACUAGUAAGAAAAGUUGCAAAGCUUAGACAAUAUAUACUAGAUGUACUUGUCAGCAUUUACAUCCUUCUAGGGAUCCAUCAGUAGUUAAAUUAUGAAAAGGAGUACUGGAAAAUUCAGAUUUCCUAGGAAAGUGCUUCAGAUGACAGCUCACAUUUAAAUGUUGUAGGGUUCCUCAUCUCCUCGGGUAGAUAGCUGCACAAACACAGAAUAGAAGGUUGAGUUCUCAUCAAAAUAAAGCACAACUAGUUUAUACACACAAACUAUAUGUCACAUGAGAAUAAGAUGAGAGGUCUGGUUGUGUUCACAAGAAAAGCAAAAUAGAUUUAACAUAGAAGAGAAAUGUCACUUUAGAUUAAUACUUUGCAGGAAACAAACAAUUAGAACGUUUCCUUCUCCAUAAGCUUUAAAAAAAACAAACUAGAAUACGCUGUAGCAAACCCGUAUAAUAUAUAGUAGACUUUAAUAUGCACAAGCAAAUUUCUAAUAAGGACUAUACAUUAGCCAAUUAACUCGAAGUUACCUUAAUUACACUUUUCCAGUCAUUCUCAAAAGUACAUUCCACAUCUUUAUUAUUUUCAACUAACUACCUACCAUCUGUCUGAAAUAAGGUAUAAUGCUCCAAGUCCUGCUCUCUUGAGUCCAUCCAAAAUCUUCUUUAAAACAUCAAUUAAGCAUCCCAAAUCUCAUAUUAGUUCACUUCCUUCUAUCUUUACCACAGUAGUCUACAGCAUACUAUAAAAACCUAUUCAAUUAAACACAGUACUGAUGGAAUGACAUUUUCCCUGCAAUGCUUUAGAGAGGUUCAAAACUAAAUCUCAACAAAAGAAUUUUGAUUCCAUUAGAAGUGCAAUACAAUUUUAUUUAUAACACAGUACAUAGUAACAUGGUGUAACUGAAACUAGAGUUCCAUUAUCAUAAAUCGGAAUGCUAAGUGAUCAAGAUAUCAGCAAAUAUUCAAGAUAAUCCAACACAACUCAUAGAAUAUAACAGAAAAGGUAGAUGCUAUCUUACGGGUAAACCAUCUUCUGCACUGUUGGAUCUUCCAUCAUUUUCUCCAGAGCAUCCACCGACAAUAGAGGAUUAGAUUUUCCUGUUCAAGAAAGCAGAUCAUGCAAAAUUACUUGUAGCUGAGAGAAGAGAGCAUGAAGCAAUUUGUUUUUUCAUAAAAAGAAAGCAUGAAGGAGAAUUAGGCCCAAGUAAAGUUACACACAACAUUUUACUAAUAAACAGAUAUGACCAAUAAAGCUGGACUAUUUAUCACUCAAAACCUCCAACCUCAAAACAAGUUUAUGGACAGAGAGUUCCAUGAAAUCUGUAAGAAAUAGGCCAUUCUUUCGUAAAACAUGUCUGCUAGAGCACUUAGCAUUUUUUAGGAUGUAGGAAGUUCUAUUCAAGUUCCCACAGGAGUCGGGACACAAUAUUCGGGUCAUUACAAAGUCACAGCUUCUGUCUGGAUGUUCAUCUUUCUUUUCUGAACCUCAUUUGUCUGUAUCUCAUGCAAUAUCUCCUACAACAUGGAUUAUUGACUUCAAGUUUUUACCCACUUCCAAAUUUUAUUUGUACAUACAUAUGUGUGCAUUACAAUGAUCAUGCGGCCUUUAGCCUUUUGUUGGACUCAAAAGGAUAGCAUUGAAAACACAAAAAGUACUAACAUUAUGCCAUUUCUUGGAGUCUUACACCCUGGAGAUUCACCAAAAUACCAUUACGUAUCUAUAUUAUGCUACAAACAUACUGCAAUUGGACAAGAAACUGGGCUUUCUCCCCAUUUUUUCCUAAAUAGAAAAAGACCCCAGAAUGUAUUUUCCCCACCAGAUUAUGGAACAUACAACCUCAUUUCAUUUUGUUGGGCAUUAUGCACUUCAUAGUUUAACCACCUUGGGCAUGAUUCACAGCUUACCACAUCCUCCAAACCACCCAAUAGGCUAAAAGGGAGGAUCUACGUAGCUAUGAAGUAUGUCCAUGAAUCCAUCUUUAUUAUCUAUUGCAAGAUUCAUAAACUCAUAGAAAUAAUGAUUGAAAAAGAAGGAAAAGAGGAAAAUGACCAAUAAAAACAUGAGUAAGAAGAUAGGAACAUGCAUCCAAUCCUGAUGCUUGAAUGACAUUCGUAGUACAACAGCUAUGAGGGCCAACCAGCAAGUGAUUUACCCGUUGAUGAGGUACUGUCAGAUGUAUUUGAACCAAAUCCCGACUGUGAAGCAGCUCCAUUUUGAGUUACCUAAUAGAGAUUCAAAAAAUAUUAUUGAAGUGCAAUUGUUAGACGACACCUAGAGGGGUCAAAAUUGAGCACAAUUGUAGGUAACCCGCCCAUAAUUUUGAGGGUUGGGCACAAGAUAAUUUCAAUUGAAUUCAAUCCCAACCCAUUCAAGUCCUAACCCAUUUAAGAGAAUCCUCAAUUGAGGCCAAUUUAAUCUCCAAUUUCAACCCGUUUUAAGACUCUUUAUUUGCAUUGUUGUAAUGUAUGUUCCUAUAUUAAAGGUAUGGAUUACUAUCUAUUUUAUAUCUUAUCGGAUUUAUCUAUCCAUUUGUCACUUCUUUUUUAAAAUUUUCUUUAGUUGAAAUUCAAAUUGUAGUUAUAUAACUUAAAUAACAAUACAUUAAAAUUGUUGAAUUAAGCGGGAAAAAUUGGGUGGGUCAAGACUUAACCUAUUUUUAAGCCCAUUGGAACCAAAAGUAAACUUGGGCGGGUCAGGACCCAAACCCAAUAUCUAUUUCAACCCAUUUAAUAUCUCCAAUUUCAACCCAACGCGCCCAUUUGACACCCCUAACGACACCAUAUUCCCAGAUAAUAGCUACCAACCGACCUGAUCAACAGUUACCGCAGCUGUCUCAGCUGAGUCCUUAAAAUUUUCAAAGGCACCCUUCUGGAAUGUUUCAUCAGGAGAAAUGUCAACAAAAGCUGCAAAAAGUUUAAUUCACAUAGUUAAUAUCAUGAGUUCAUAACCAGAAAAUCUGAACAUUUCAUAAGAGUAAUACAAAGUGUAUCACUAUCGCAAAAAGGUGGUUCUAACUAGGGAAGCAUUAGCAUUUUUGUAAAUAUGAUUUAGAACAAAACUGCUCAGGUCCCACUACAACUAAACCCAGGUAUUAAUUUCUACUGGUCCACGACGGUUCUUGGCAUUUAAGAAAGAUGUCAAAGAAGGAUACAAGUUACAAAUCAGCUUUGUUUCCGCAAAGCAUCCUACUAUUCUUUUUUGAGGAGAUCGUUAUUCUGGGAUAUUAGUGGAGUCUAAACUUAGCUUUGGUCAAGAACUGUUGUGGAAGUCAGGCCAGUAAUCUAUUUGAUUAGCAAAAGAAAAGAAAAAAACUUUUGAUGAUCGAGACACAAAUAAAAAUUUGUUAAAUACUUGAAACGAAUUAACCUCACAGAAAUUGAAGUGGUACCUUCCUCCUGCUCAUUCCUUUUAUUUAAAUUGGGUUUCCCUGCACUUCAAUGUAAGCUUUUCUCCCAAACCAGCCUUCCCCUCCCCGUUAUCAGCAAGGGGUUCUAAUGAUACAUGAGGAGGUUAGAUUUCUAGGGAUACGUAGGAUCAAAAUGGCUAUGACUUGGGGGGAUUACACUUUUCUUAAUUCAAACUUAGGGGAUACCCUUGCAGAGUGCCAGCAUAGCAAUAUUGUGUGAUAGUGACUUCAUGCAUGAAAGAGAUGGCAAGUGGUUUUGGGGUGAGAAAUACUUUGAAAAUAAGAAAGAACAGAAAAGAUGAAUUUCCAUAUAAAAGCUCAGAAGAUCACAAAGGAUCACAUCAUGACACUCCAAAUUCCUUCAAGAAUGUUAUGUAGAUGGUUGAUGUUUUGGUGUUUUUAAGAUCAACAGCUAAAUUGCUUAAUCUUAAAAUUUAGUGGUGAACUCACUCAUUUAAAAUAGUUUAAUUAUCUCACUGAUAUACUCUAGUAUCCUUCAGUUUAUUGAGAUAAACCAACGUUAAGGGUGAUCAAAGCAUGACAUUAACAAGGUCUAUUCAAAGGUAAAUGUCAAGAGGCUUUAGAUGAACAUGCCUUCUUGCCAGAUUUGCUGUUUUUCUAUAUGAAAGGAAAAGACAAACAAGUACUAGAACCAGAUAUAAAUGAUAUUUAGAAUGCAAAUAUUAGGUACCAUUUUUCUUUGGCUCCUUUUCAGCCUCUUUAUCAUUUUUGACAUUGACAGUGGGAGGUUCCUCCACUUUAGUUGCGGAUACAUCAACAGUCACUGGCUGAGAUGCAAAUGAAGCUGAUGGUGUAGAUGAGCUAGAUGCAGUAGGUGGUGGAGGUGAUGAACUAGCUGGACCGGACACUGGAGGUGGUGGGAAUGGAAAAGGAAAAGGUGACCCAGGUCCAGGUGAAAAGGCAGUGUUGCUAAACUGACUAUUCUGGCCAUUCAUUUGUCCCAUCAUUGUUUUGAGCGCUUGCUGCAUAGCGUACUUCUGGAAGCAUGGAAAACAACAUGCAGAAAUAGUUAACACACACUAAGGGUCGGGCUUUAUCGAAUUUUUGUAGCUGCACUCAUUGGCCUCCACAUAGGAAACAAAGAAAUAUACCCACGUACAAUUAAAAACCAAAACAUUUGAAACAUGAAGAAUAUGAAAGAAGUUUAAAACACGAUUUUCCGCCAUAGAGAGUAAAAAAGAAGGCACCUUAAACAAGCAAUCUUAUUUUAUGUUUUCCUGUGCAACUAUUGUAUCUUAGCAGAAAUAUUUAGGUGUUUAAAAGGAGGAUAGCCAUUGAAUUUAUCUUUAAACUCACAGAAAACAAGAAGAAAGAAAUCAACUAAAUGUAACAGCAAGAGUUACGGACUCUAAAAGAACAGACAAGUAUAGCAAAAUAGUUUUUUUUUUUAAAAAUAAGAAAAUGGCUGGCCUCUCAAUACCAGAUUGUGAUGGCGUAGCAUUAUUUAAUUAGUAAACAUCGAAAGCAUAUUCCACAGUGAGGCCCUAGCUAAUUUCAGAAGUAUUCUAGGUUGAUGUGCUCAUCAUUAUUAAUUUUGUAAUUACAGAUACCAUCAACUGAUGAAUGGUCAUUCUUAUCUUCUGUAUCUGCUUUGUUGGUCCUUUUUCUUAAUAUGUGGUCAAUCCUCUUAACAUACUGCUCAUAACAUACGAGGUAUGUCUCAUCAUGUGCAUGUCAUAUUAUCGAUAAGUUAAAAUUCAUAUUUUCUCAAAAGUCCAAAUUCUCUUAGCUGCCACUCUGAUAGUAGCCCUAUAAGAAACAGAGUGAGAUAAGCAUCAGAUUCCUGCAAAAUAUAAUUACACCUCACUUAAGAAGUACUUGCCUUUAGGUAUGAAGCCACCUGCAAUAUAUUUCAGAAAAAACAGUGAAAAGUAACGAGUCAGUAAAAAAAAUGAAACAAGAGUGUAACCAAUAAAAUUAAAAAAAUUCUCCUUCUCACCCAUGCGAAAAGUGCUGAAAAACCAACACCAACUCCAAUCCAAAAAAGAGGAGACCCCCUGUAGACGACAAAUAACAAGAAAUAAGUAAGCAAAUCAAGAGGUGCUAAUGCAGAUAGAAACACAAUAACAGAAACAUGUAAAGCAAGAAACUGAUAGGUUAGAUUAUAUACAAGAAGAUUCAAAUUAAAUCGGGGAUAAUACAAAUUAUUACAUUUGAGAUGGUGGUGAUGGAGCUGAAAAUUGUGGAUUUACACCAACUGAAGAAGUCUGUUUGCCACCUGAAGUUGUAGUGCUAGCAAAAGAACCCCUCCCUGAUUUUCCCAGCACUGCAUAGAACACAUUGAAGGAAGGCUAAGCAGCAGCAUAAUUAUUAGUAAGAAUAUAACAAUGGAUCACUAAAUGAUAUAAUCUAUCAGAAAUUUGGGACAAGAAAAGUGAUUACAUCCAGGAUAAAGUGGUUUUACCCUUCAAUAUGUAUAAUCUUUUCCACUCCGACAACACAGGCUUUCUCUACUUUGGCAGUCUAGCUUAAUAUAAAACAUACCGAAUUUGUAGAAGCUACCCAUGUAAACAUGAUGUGAAUGAAUUUAAUGAACAAGAACCAUCCAAUAAUUUAUGUUUACUUGAUCAGGUAUAAUAAUAUUGACAAUGAGAACACUUCUGCAUAGAAGUAUUCCCAGAAGUAGAGAAUCAACAGAAGAUACGACUCGCUACGAAAGACACCAAUGAUACUACACAAAUUGGAACCCUCAUAGGUGCACCAAGAGUAAAUCAAAAGCAGGAAGUUACCCCUCAGAUAUACAAAGUUGUGCCUUUCCUUUCAAAUCUCCGUCUUUCCCGUAAUGCUAUCCACACUAGUACUAUUGGAGAUACAUCCCACGUUUGGCAUCUUCUUUUCACUUCUCUAAUGGCCCAACUAAAUAAUGCAUCCUUCACAGCACCCAAAUCAUUGUAUCCCGAACAAUAGAAAAAGCUCUCAAAAAUGUGAUGCUAAACUUAGUUGCUCAGAAUUGGGUGCAGGUGUCUGAUACAGGUGUGGAUCUAGAGGUCAGAUCCUCUAUGAUCAAAAUAUUAAGAAUCGGGGAUACAAAUCCAUACAUGGAUACAGGUGCGGAGAUUUAGCUAAAAAAAAUUCAAAUAUCAACUAAUAGAGUUAUAAAACCUAAAUUAUGAAAUAAUUUGUGGAGAACUUGAGACGAAAUAUUGAUCAAGAGGAGAUCCUGAAGGGAAAUAAAAGGUAAGGGAGUGACAAUAGAAAUCUAUAUAUACAAAGGUAUUUCAUUUUCUUCAAUUUCACCUUAGCUUUUGUUUUGAUUAUAUAAACCAUUGAAUCUGUCCUGAAUUUCUCCCUUGAAUUUGGUCAAAGUACCCAAAACUAGAUGACCAGACACACCCACACCCACACCCACAUUGUGUCGACACGGGUGCGGCACCGAAAGUGAAGAGUAUGAGAAACUUAGAUGCUAACUAGCAUUGUAGUAAGAGAUAUCCCAUGUCCUACACAAGGGUUCACACAUGAAGCAUUAACUAACAUAAGUAAUCCUCCUCUUUUCAAGUUUUUGGUUGUCAAAUUCGCAUCCUCUAAGCAAACAAACAGCCUUUCCAAGAGCUCUAGACGUCCAAACAGAUGAGGGAAAUCCAACUUCGCUCUAGCUAGCACCUUACAGUAGCAACUUUUCACUGAAAAAUAGACUCCUGCUAUCUAACACCCAAUUGUCAUGGCUCUCUACCAGUAAAUUUGCUUGUAGAGUAUUUCAAUAGACUUUGGAACUCCACUAUGUCCCAAUCCCAAAAUUUCCUUCAUAAAUUUGAGAUCCCAAAUAACAUGCGCAUCAUGUGAUCUUAGAACUUGAUCUAGUAUCAUCUCUUUUAAGUUAAAAAAUUCUAGAUUUUGGAGAAGUGAUCCUUAACAUGUUAUAUUCGCACCUCCUGUCCAGCAAAAAACUACCCUUUCAUCCAUCUCCCACUCGCAAAGAGAUGCAUAACUCUUCCUUUCCCUGUAUAAUUUUCCUGCAAAGAGGGCAUACUUAAAAGGAUUCAUGAUGUUUCUUGUUCUCCAACACCCCACCCCAUUGAUAGCUAGAGCUCUUGAAGUCUACCCGAGCAUGCUGCUUCAUUCAUCCAUGUAUGUUGAUAUCACCUCUCCAUAGUACAUGUUCCUUUAUCCUAAAUCUCCACGGCAAUUUCCUUAGCAAGGCCUUGUUAAAAACGCAAAGAUCUUCCUUCCAUCUUUUAACAAAUAUCUUUUUUUGAUAAACAAAUACAAAAUUCUCCAAUCUGCAAAUCUUUUCUCUACCAUUAUCCUAUAAUAUAUUUUGGGAACAAUAUCUUAUCCAGAAACUUGAGCUGACAACUGCAUCAGGCCAUUAGUAACUUUUUCCUAACAUAAAAACAUACUACAUAUUGGGAUCAUUCUUCAACAAAUUAAAACAAUCAAUUUCCAAGUUAAACAUUUAUAAAUGGUAUAUUAGAUUUUUGAUAUGCUUAACCACUUUGAGCCCUUAACUAUAGUUACUAGUCAACAAAAAUAUGCUCUGCUUGUAAUAUUUUAGAUAACACUUCUAUAUUUUAGGCUCUCUCUCCUUUUCUUUUUUUCCUUUAUUGUGAAGGGCAUAUGAAUACCUACAUAAAGUGCACUAAAUGGACUUUUGGCUCUGUUGUUGCAUGCCUCCCAAAAUAUAAGCACCUAUAGGCAGGAUUCCGUUGGGGUCUAUUACUACCCGUCGGCAACAACAGAAAACUCGAGACUGAUUUUCAUCAAUUAAGAGCAGGAUGAUGCAGACACAACCGGAUGUGGGAAAAUCUUUCAUCCUAGAGAUUUUUUACUUGUAGCAUAUUUUUGGUAGCUUUAGAUUUAUAUUUAUGCAUUGUUUUAUCCCCAGGCCUUUGGUCUAGUAGUGAGAGCAAAACUUGUGAUGUUUAGGUAAGGCGCACUAAUGGAUCCAAACAACAAAAGCCUGGUAUUUAAGUGGAGAAGGGUGGGCACUCCAUUAUCCACCAAGUUUCAAACAGUGCACCAUUAGCAGGGAUCUCUCAGUUAUCAAACAAGAAAAAAAGAUUUAUGUAUUGUUCUUCUUAGUAAACUAUUUGAGCUUUAGGCCACUAUAUUAAGCUUCCAUAGCAGUGCGAUUUUGAGUAUUUAGGUGUGCUGCAGAGAAUUUCAUGAAAUAUAGCCAAUUCAUCUAUAAGCCAGUUAUUCUAUAUUUUCCUUCUCUGUUUCCAGUCCUACUUGCCUUAUAAAUCACUAAAUCAGCAUGUAACAGUUUUUUAUUUUUAGAUGGAGCCUGUAAAAUUUAAGAUCUUUCAAUUCUGAAAUGAAUUCAAAAGCUGGCAUCAUAGAGAUAUUUAUGUAAUAUUUACAGUAAAAUGAAUUAUAUUAGCAUACAUGUGAUUUUUUGAUACAUUCAUAUCUUUAACCCGGUACGGGGUACCAUUUACGGAAGAACCCACAUUAACCUCAUCAAUAGAUACCUUCAAAUCAGUCACCAUGUUCUUGAUGGCAUUCACAACUCAUUUAUCAGAUGACACCAUCUAAACUAUUAAUACCAAAAGCCUUCAUUUGCAAGAUACUUGAUUUGCAUUUGAUAACGAUUCUAGCUCGGGUAGUAAGUUUUACCAUCUACCCAUUAACAUAGUCAAAUGUUGCAAAAGUUUUUUUACUUUUGUAACCUAUCAGCAUAUACAGUUACCUCACAAACAUAGCAGCCUUUCUAAAUCCUACACAAAAUACUGAACUGACUUAAUAUCCAUUAGCAACUAGACAAAAAGAAUUAUCAUUAAGUUUAUCCGUCCCACUGUUCUUCACAUCAAAGUUCACCGCAGUAUACUUGUUUUACAAAUAGAAAACAAUAUCGACAAAGUGUCCUAUCCAACCAAAUACAAAACAUAUGCACAAGCAAGAGUUAACUAGCAGAAUGUCACAGUCCUCGUAGAAACAACUCGCACUUUAAACUAUUCCACACAGACACCAAUUCACUUAUUUUAGUAUGAACAAAUUGGCAUUUAUGCCUACCAACAUGCAAAUAAAUCAAGAAACAUUUUUAGGACUGAAAUUUCAAAUAUUUCUCUCAAAAGGUAACUUCUGUUAAUAUUGAACUCCUGUUUGAGAUGCAGCCAAGCUUUAAACAAAUUAAGAAAGAAAAAAAUGUUUCUAGUCCUAUUGAAAGUAGAAACAGCAAAUUUAACAUGAUCAAAACUCAGCCUAGUGCACCCCCUAACAACUAAAUAUAUCUAGAAACAACUCUAAGAAAUAUAAUGCAAAUGAACAGAUCUACUCUUUCUGUGAUGAACCAGAUAAACACAAUACACAUACAAAGAGGAGACCAAGGGAUAGAGAAUAAGAAUAAGGAGCACUUCACACAACCAACAGAAUUUGAAACAACUCUAGUAACCAUAAUUCAGAAAUUCUCUUCAAAAAUAACUACCCAUAAUGAAUAAUUUCUAAUAUAAUAUGCAAUCAAGUUUAAGAGUAACAUAGCAUUCAAUAAAAGAUUCAUUUUUAAAUGAAGGGAAAUCAAAACUGCACUUUCCAACUACUAAAUAAACAAAAAAAAAUAGCACACAACACCACAAUUUCGAAAAUUAUCUUCAAAGACAGCUAAUUAUGGGUAAUAAAAUCUACUUUAAGAUGAAUUGAAACUUCAAAUAAAAUACAGAAUACAUUUAAGAUAAAAAGACAUUGAGCAGUAGAUAAAAGAGUUGAAAGUACCAAUCUUUUUAGUGAGCCUUGGACCCUGAAAACAAGAAACCACUUCAAAACAAGUUGUGGGUCUGACAGUUCUUCCAUUCUUGAAGGGUCUUUUGGGUAGAUGAGGAAGGCCAAAGAAGGGUUUGCUUGAAAUUACUGAGUUUGAAGAGAGACCCAAUACCAUUUUAGGUGAAGAAACUAUACCUAUGUUCUCCAUCACCUUGAAAAAUACUCAAUUUUUAGCUGAUACUUCACCUUAUUACAGAAGAAGAAGAUCAGAACUGCAAAAAUGAUAUCUCCUUUUCGCUUAUUUUGCAACAAAGAAGAGAGGUGUAAGUGUGAUAUCGGCUGGAGAAGAGUGUUGUGAAUUGAAAAUGGAGCGGGUUAUAUGGAUAGGUUUCGCAGCAGCUUUCACAGAUUCAGUAAAAUGUCCAUCUAAUUUGUGUUACUUACACGUAUAUUUUAUUUUUGACUUAAGUCAUUUGCAAUUUUUUAAAAUUGUCUACAUAAAAAUUCAUUUAUAUAUUUUAACUAUGAUUUGUAUCUAUUGAAUAAUUAAUACUAUUUUUAAUUCAAUAUUAAAUAUUUGAUGUAAAAUUUAAUAUUUUGAGCUUCAACUUAUUCCAAUUUCUACGACAAAUUUGGUGUGUGGAAUAAUAUUGUAACACUAUUCAUCAUAAAAAUUCACUUUUUGAAUAUUAUAAUAUUAUUUCAUUAUGCAAAUUUUUAAUUAACAUUAUAUAAAUUGUAUAUUUUAAUUAAAUAUCUUUUAUAUUUAAUUAUUUUUUAUGUAAUAUUUUUAUAAUAUAAAUUUUAGAUAUAAAAUUUACUUUUUUAAAUUAACUUUUCUAUAUAACUUUUUUCUAAAAAAUUAAAUUUAUGUUAAUUCUACUAUAAAUUAUAUAAACUAUAAUUAAUUUUCACAAAAAUUAAAAAUACAAACAUAUAACUUCUUAAACAAAUAAUAUUGUACUUAAAAAUAGCAAAAAAUAAUAAACAUUCAAUGAUGUAGUAAUUGACAUACAUCAAAAUUGAAAUAUAAAAUAAAUUGUAAUUUUAAAAGUACAUAAUAACUUAAUAAUCUGAUAGAUUUUUUUUGAAUCCAUCAAUAAUAUUAAAAUAUAAAUUGUAUGGAGUCGAAAAUUAUUGUGGUUGUGGUUGCACUGCUGAAACUGUUGACUUCUUUUUUUCAUUAUUCGACUUUGUUAUUGUCGAACAAAUUCACGAACAUUUGGAUCAGCAAUACCAUCCACUCCAUUAAUAUAAAUUUUCUUCUUUAAAUUCUUUAAAUUUCAAAACUCUAUGGUUCAUUUGGAACUAUGUAAUGUAUUAAUAGAGCAUUUAUGGGAACACCGAAGCGAUCUUAAAAGUUGAAUAUUUAUGUAGAAUUUUAAUAUAUAUUUUUAAUUGUGUAAUAUUUAUUUAAUUGUAUUUCAUUAAUGUUUUCACUUUUAUUUGUAUUAUCCAUUAUUAUGUAUAAUGUAUAAUAUUUGCUAGCAAUUUAUAUUGUUUAAAAAAGGAAUAAGUGCACAAGUACCCCCUCAACAUAUGCCCGAAAUCUCAGAGACACGCUUAUACUACACUAAGGUCCUAUUACCCCCCCCCUCCCCCGAACUUUUUAUAAAUAAUUGUCUACCCCUUUUCGACCUACGUGACACUAUCUUGUGGACCCAACGUUGGUUGACUUUUUUUUUCAAGUUAGUGCCACGCAGGCUAAAAAGGGGUAGAAAAUUACUUAUAAAAUAAGUUCAAAGGUAAUAAGACCUUAGUAUAGUAUAAGUGUGUUUCUGAAAAUUUGGGCAUAGGUUGAGGGGAUACUUGUGCAUUUUCCCUUUAAAAAAUUAUAAUACAAAAUAAUUUUAUACUAAACAAUUAUGAAAGAAAAUAACAUAAAUUAUAUGUAGCGAAUUUUUUAGAAAGAAAAAGUAUAAAUGAAAUAAGAAAUAAUACAAUAAUAAUAAAGAGAGAGAAAAUAUUAUUUGGGGCAGUGGAUGGAGUUGAACCAAAUUUGAUGUUUGGGUUGGAGAUGCCCUAAAUAAUUCAAAACAUGUGUCUAUUGAACACUUUAUGCUGAUGUGGCAAAAUAAGUGCAUCUCACUACACCGAAGCACGUGAGGAAGUCUCAAACUUCUUUACAUACUUUUUUUUAUUAAUAAUAAACUUGUAACUUUUUUCCUUCUAAUGACACUUGGCAUUACAUUAAUUAAAAUAACUAAAAAUAAACUUUUAUUCAAACUAUUGUCUUAUAAUACUCAAAAAGAAAAAAAAACUCACCCCCACCACCACCUCUGGAGGUUAUGUCAACAAUUGUUUUCUUCGCCCCAUUUUAAUCAUUUUAAACUGUGUUGUGGUUCUUCAUUUUUAUUUUUCGCUCUUUAUAUGAAAAAAAAUUGAAUUUGCUAAGUGUUAAUCGAAUUUAUAAGAAUGAUAAAAAAUCAGACAUCGAAGUUAUAAAGGCAACCUCCGUCCAUCUUUAUUUCGGAUCAUUUCGGUCAACAAACUCACUAGCCAUUAAAGUUAUAAAAUAAUAUAAGAAAAUUUGAUAUAAUUCAUGUUAAAUCUUCACGAUUUCUCUUCAUCACCCAUUUCAAAAUACUUUAUCAAAAUCAACUAAUUUUUCACAAAAAUUACAAUAAUCACAAUAUUAAUUUAUCAUGCUUCAUAAUUUAUUUCAUUAUUUGUGUUUAGUUUAAUUUCCAUAGCUUAUAAUUUAUUAUAAAAAGAAAAAAUCAAUCUCUUCAUAGAAACAUAAAAUAGUGGGUGACAAUAGAUGAAGAAAAUGAAGAAAGUGCAAAUAAUUAAAUGAGUGGAGAGGAUUUUCUUUUUUCAUUCUUUUUUGUUGCAGCAUGAGGUGUUGGCAUGGCAGACGUUAGGGGAAGAAAGAAGAAAUGUAUGCAGGUGGGUUCCUGUGGAGGGUUGGGGGAGAAAUUUUUUUUCUUCUUUUUGUUAAUCAAUGUUUUGAAUUAUUAAAGGUUGGAAUUAAAAAAAAUGAAAAUUUAUUAGAUUUGGGGCACGUUCUGAAAUCUUAUUGGUUACUUUUUCAAGUCAAUGUGUGAAUUACAACACACAACAUUUUAAAAGUUUUCUUAUCGUUUUGUGUUCAAAAAGUUCAUAUUCAUUAAUAUUAGAGUGUAAUAGAUAUUAGUCAUAGUUGAGGUGUCUAAGUAAAUUAUACGAACAACUUUAGGGGGCCACAUAUGACUUAAGCCUUUAUUUUUGUAAUUAUUUCAUUAAAUUAUGCACUAAUUAUGUUAUUGUUAUUAUUAUUAAGUCUAAACUCAAAGUAUUAAUUUGUGGUUGCUUCUAAAAGUAUAAAAUCCAAUAACUAUUUCAUUAUAUUUUUAUUAUACAUGUAACUAAAAACUAGUUCAAUAUUUAUAAAGAUCGGUUCUAAAAGCUUAUAUUAUACAAAAGUACCUUUGUUUUUUGUUUUUUUGAUCGAUGUCUGGUAUUUCACAUCGGAGCUCGAUUAUUCUGAAUUCGUGUCGUAUCCCAUUUGGGGAGAAACAAUUCGUAUCAAGAUUUUUUUCUAAGUCGGGACUAAAACUUGUAAGUUCUAAUUAAGAUAAGAGUACCAUCAUCUAUUGCAUCAGAUCUUUUAGUAAUAUACAAAAUCAUUUAAAAAGUGAAUAAAAAUAUAUUUCUUUUAUUUUCUUCUUUAUUUUCAAAAUAAUAAUAAAAGAUUUUCUAUAUAUUAGAAAAACGAUGCACUUAAAAUUCAUUUUACGAAAAUUAUAUUCAUUUUAGAUCUUAGUACGUAUGUACUAACGUGUCAAACACUUGUUUACAUUUGUUAACUUGUACCAUUGUGUGACCUCCAUUCGUGUCUUUCUCUUGAUUGUGCCUAUUACAUCAUUCUGCGUUCUUUUUAAUAACAUCGCUUUGUAACGACUCGUGUGAUCAUUUUAUUUUGUUGAAUUCAUUUCAAUGUUGAAUAUUUUGUUAGAUUUAUGUUGUUUUUAACUUGGGAGAAUGGGUUGCACUAUGAUCGGAUGAGGACUGAUUGAGUUUUUCAAUUUUGAAAGUUUAAAAUUUGAAAAGUUUGACCAUGUGAAGAUAUCGAGUUGACAAGGUGAGUUCCUAGUUCUGACGAUCUUGUUAAGUAUUGAAGAUCGUUUUAACUUGAUUGGAUGGUUUGAACAAUCACAAUGUGUUUGAGAGAGAGUUGAGCCUUUAGUUGAAUUUUUGGAGUUUUAAAAAAGUAAAAGUUGACCAUAGUCAAGACGACCUUGUUUUUUUAAAAAUAAAAAAUAGGGCAUAGCCCAUCUGUUACCAAAAAAUCGUUUUUGACCCUUGCCCAAUAGUGACCCAGGUUAUCAACAAUGUAAAAUUAUCAUAUUUGCCCUUGUACUCUUAGAAAAGGGUCAUAUUUAUCUUUCAUCAUACUUUUUUGAUAUAUUUAUCAUUACCAUCCAACGUUGGGUAUGUACUUACCCUUAUAUAGUUAACUUAACAUGUCAUCAUUUUUAUUAGUCCACGCGGCGCCACAUGGAUCCAUGUAUAUAUACUUUAAUUAUAAUUACAUUAAAAAAAUUACUUUCUAUUUAAUAUUAUAUUCAACCCAUUUAUAAUAUCCAACCCAAUUAAUGUGAAAAAUCAUGGGCCCUAAUUUUAUACCAUCAUCUUGUGUCACAUUAAAUGAUAGACGUUUAAGAUUUAAUCUUCAUGCAUCAAUGACACAAAUUUCUACUAUGUUAGGCUUGCUCCCUUCAGAUCAAUUCUUAGUGAUUGUUUGAUUUUUCAAACACGCUCUCGAUCGUCUCAUUGUUUCUUCAGACCCUUUUCACUUUUCAAUUUCAUAUGUGAGUUUUAUAUUACAAAAGCAAGAAAAAAGAGAGGAAGAAAAUUGUAGAAAUAAUUUAUGCUUAUGUUUGUGAGAUUACAACAAUAAGUGAAAAGAUUAGAGCCAAAAGCAUUUUCUUGUUGAAGAAGAAUAAAACAGAGGAUAAAGUGGAAGAAAGUCAAAAUUCUUCUUCUUCUUCUUUACAAAUGAGAGAGAGCAAAAAUGACAACAACAUAAUGUGUGAAUCAACUGUGUUUUUUGCUUAUGGAUCAUUUUGCAGCUUGUUGAUCUAUAGUCAUACCAUCAAGUAUCUAAUCUCUUAAUAUCAAUUCAUGCACAAAUUAAAAAUAGUGAUUGUUAAUUUGUUAAAGUUCUGGAUCAAUUUGAAUAAGUUAUGGUGUAUUCAACUGGUGUUGAUUUUUGGUAGUAUUCAAUUUGGGACUAAUAAAAAUGAUGACAUGUUAAGUUAACUAUAUAAGGAAAAAUGUGUACACAAAGUUAGAUUGUAAGGGAUUAUAUAUCAAAAAAGUAUGACAAAGGGUAAAUAUGACACUUUUCUAAGAGUACAAGGGCAAAUAUAGCCCUUACAACAACAUACAGAAAAGCUAAAAAAGGAAACUAAUUGAAUUCAAAUGGUCCAGAAACACCUUCAUCUUCAGUAAAACUUCAUAAAUAUUCCUCUGAAAUGCCUCAGCUCAAAAUAGACACAUAACAUCUCAUAAGUAUUAUUGAAUCGACCUCCUUAAAGACUUCUUCAGCUCAAAAUAGGUUCAAACAAAAAAUACACGAACUUAUAUACAUGAACCAUUAACACUUCUGCAAGAAUUAGUUGAGGUGAUAAAUAUCCCAUGAAUCUUUUCCUCUAUACAAAAUGACUACUAAAGAAAUAAUACCACUAUGACAAGAUUCAUCUCCAAAAAAUAUUUUCGACUUAAGUGGCCCUUAAUUGUUAAAGCUUUGUCCUAACCCGUCGGUGACCCCUUAAAGUUGACACCAAUUUUUACUUAGACACCUUAAUUAGACUUUGUUCAUUUUAGACCCCUGACAUAGGUUUUUGUUGUGUUUUGACACUUUUUGCAGAAACGUCUUAGAGAGGUGAUCCACUCGUUUAUUUUGCAUGAAAAAUCAAUUUUUAAUUAUUUUUUCUUCUUCUUCCUCCCCAUUUUUAGCCUCCAAUUUUGAAGCUCAACUCCAUCCAUGUCGAAUGUUUUAAAAUUUUAAAAAAUGACCUAUUUCAAGAUUUAAAUAUUCCAAGAGUCAUGAAAUUCGUUUCUUGAUAGGAAUUUACUAUUGUAAUAUGGAAGUGGAUUUGAUUUUUCAAGUAAGUGCCUUCUUAUUUUUUUCACUUAAUUUUGAUUAUUUCUAUUAAAUUUUACUAUUUUGUUAUUUAUUAAGAAGAGUGUGAAUCCAUGACUUAGCUUUAUACUUCUAUAAUAAAAGGGUUGGUGUAUGAUUGAGAAGUGGUGGUUUUGGGGGUGGGGGUGGGGGGUGGGGGGAAGGAUAGCGUUUAUGCAAAAUUGUUAUUUUCGACAAGACAAUGAGAAGGUUGCAAAAUAUUUUUUGUUAAUUAGUUAAAUAUUUUUCUUUUAAAUUAUGUGGGAAAAAAUGUCACAUGUCACCGAUUCAUUGACUACAUUUUAAUUUUCUCAAGAUUCAUUAUUUAAGAAUGAUUUUAGGCACAAAUGACAAAUGUCAUCAUUUAAUUAGAUACUUUACACGUCAUUUGCGAGUGCAUUACGCACAUAUUAUAUCUUUUUGCUAAUUGUAAAGUAAGUGUUAAAAUGACACAAUAGAACCUUAAAUAAAGUUCUAAAAUGAAUAAAGUCUAGUUAGUGUCUAAGUGAAAGUUAAUGUCAACUAUAUGGGGGCUAGAAAUGGGAUAAAUCUUUUGAUAUGAGUAACAAUUAAUGAGCAUGUGAAUUCUUAGUCAUUGUUACAGAAGCUCCUAUGAUUGCAUCUGAUUCUCCGAGUUCCUUUCUGCUGACUUAUCGCAGUAAUUCAUUGUUUUGUAUCUUCUUAAUUUGUAUGUUUGAGAUUUUACUUUGUUCCGUCACUAAUAUUUUCUUGCUUGUUCUGGUAGUCAAGACGGCCUUGUAUUGGUGAUCUGGUGUCUCUAACAUAUUUGGAGCUAGUUUUAUGAUCGAUUUUGUAAUAUUGAUUUGCCUUGAGAAGGUCUUGGAUGAGUUUUUGAUACUUGCUUGAAGAUUGGAACUUUUACAUGUUGAGUUCCAAUAAUGGUACCACCUGAAUCAAAUGAGCUUCAAAUGGUCUUUUGAUUAAACCAUUAUAUCUAUAUUGUAAAUGUUGACAUUCAAUUUUAACCCUUCAUAAUUUAAUUAAUUUUUUGAGUUUCUUCAAUUCUAAAUAAUUGUUUACAAAGAUUAAAAUAUUUUCAAAAGUACUUCUAAGGAAAAAUUGUCAUUGUCAAUAAAUAAAUAUAAUUCUAAAUCGCUUAUAUUGAUUUAUAUAAGUUUUACUUUAAACAAAUAUUUUGAAAAAUAUCUAACUAAAUCAGUGUCUAAAUUAAGUAUGCAUAUUUUUUAUUCAAAAUCAAUUAGGUCACACAAUUAGUCUCUUUAUUUUAAAAAUAAUUAUUUUAUAUUGUUAAAAUUAACCAACUCGAUUAUUAGUCAAAAAUAUAAUUUGUUUCAUUUAAAAUUUAUCAAAAUCAACUUUUUUAGGCCAAAGAACCUUGUCCUCCUUGGCCUUACUAUCACGCUCCGAGCCUACACCUGGGCGUGGCCAGCACUUGAAGACCAUUGCUGACCUCGAGAGGACCCUUGGCUUGACUUGCUCACUCAGCAGAAGACUUAAAAACAAGAGAUUACUCAAGAAUUAACUUAAAAAGUUAUAAUUAGCCAAAAUGGCAACUCAAGUCUUAAUCGUUUACAAGUGAAAGAAAAAAACUAUAGAAACUAAUAAAAUAAAGAGAGAUGUUGGGACAGAACCCCAAAUUAUCCUAACAACUGAAAACUAAAAACAAAUUAGUGCAUGAUAAAGAUGUCCUCCGGAAUGAAGGGAGGCUCACCAACUGACUCUAAGUUGCUCACUGGUCAACAGUAUGCCGAGUGCUAAUCCUAGUUACCUGCUUCUGUAUCAUAAGACGAUGCAGGCCAACUGGUAUCAGUACAUUGAAUCUACGAGUAUGCGAGUUGGAGUUGUAAAACAACAUAGGCUUGAAAGAGAUUAUGAAAUAAACAAUUACCUUGACUCUUGUCAACUCAUGAAUACUUAACUGAACUCAUCUCAUUAUAAAACAAUUUAAAGCAGGUGCAACAUAAAGAAAAGGAAAUAUGUAUAAAACAUGAUAGCAACUCAUAAUCAUAAUAUCAUAAAUACAUGCCAUGCUUCCUCUCAAAGUCUACUUGUGCAAUGCAUAAAAAUGAAUUCUCCUACCCUCAUUCAUACUAAGUAGAACCCUUUGAGGAACUGAUAAGCUCAAACCUACUUCUCAAAUAAGAAGUAAAGUGGUCGUGUCAAGUAAAUAACCCAACUAGUGAGGUUGGGAUCGUUCCCACGAGGAAAAUAGUCUAGACUUAACUUCAACCUGUUAUUACUAUUGUUUGGUCAAUGACUUCCUUGGAAAGUAAAAACAUAAAAAGGGGGUUUUCAUUUCUAAAUGAGUGAAUAUAAAUAACGAACUUGAAAGAGAUACUUAACAGCUUAUUUUAAUCAAUUAAUCAAAGUAACUAGGGUUUACGUGUUCAGCACAGGUUCAUAACUUGAUAAUUCUAACUAUAACAAUUCUUUCCUAGUAUCUUGCAUGCAAAGUAAUAAGGUAUGUAUUUCUAAAUCCUUGGUCCGGCAUCUAGAAAAUCUCACUCCGUACCUUGGUCCGGCUACGUGUGUUGCUAUCCUACCCCUUAUCCUUACCUCAUAUUAAGCAUCGUAUUCGAUAUUUGACUAAGUUAUUACCUCGUACCAAUCAAUACUAGCCUAUUAGAUAGUAUACACUAAAUCUAUGUUAAUAUUAUUUUCCUAUUAUCUACCUCCUUGGUCCGGCAAGUAGCAUUAAGGUGAAUUUUAACGUUGGCCAUCCGUUAAAAAGAAUUCUAAGCGAAAGAAUUAUUAAUACAUGCAAGACACUAUUCUAGAAUUGUUAGUUUAGCUAGGGUUUAUCUCAUUAUUUGCCUAUGGUUCCCACAACCCUAGUUAUGGAGUUUAGUUACUCAUGACCAUAAACACAAUAUUCAAAUAUAUUAAAUAAGAGUUCAUGUACUUACUUCAAUGAGAAAGAGUAAAAUCCAAAAGUUUGCUUGAUUAAUCACAAAAAAUCACUUGCAAGAAUCUCAUAAUCUAACACUAAUACACAAAGUCUAAUAUACGAUGUCUAACAAUACGGAGUCUAACAAUCUAAGAGUCUAACCUCAAAGAUGAGGUUUUUCGAACUAUUUAUAAAAAAUAAAAACCUAAUUAAACAAGGACUCUAUUUGCUGGAAAUCUGCCAAAAUGCGGUUGGGUCGACGGACCACGCGACGGAUGGUCGUGGUCACGACGGAUCGUCAUGGACUCCGUCGUCCCAUACUCGUGCAAUUUCUUCUGCUGCUCUCUUCACCACCCUCGACGGCAAGUAUGACGGACCGUCAUAGGCACAACGGUCUGUCAAGGGUCUUCAUUCCAAAACACUUCAACUCUUAGAAUCUGGGUACUGGGAUCACUUCUUUGAACUUCAUGACGAACCUGUAGAACGGACCGUUAUAGACACGACGGACUGUCACAAGCUUCGUAACCCCGCACUUGGUAAGACUUCACCAUCUUUCUUCAGCAGCUACACUACGUUGCCACCUAUGGACCGUCGCAAGCACGACGGGCCGUCAUAAGCUCCGUAGGUGGUCUUUUCUACAUUUCUUCGCUCAAAAUCUCCGCAUUCAGCUUUGGACAGAUUUCCUGCAAAACAAAGAGAAACUUAUAUAAAAAUUAGCACAAAAAGACUUUCGAACACACUAAACUUAAGGAAAAAGUAUUAUUUAUACCGUGAAACCACGGUAUAUCAAUGCCCUCAACUUAAAUUCGUUGUUUGUCCUCAAGCGACGCACUAUGACUCACUACACAAUCUUUGUACAAUAGUAUCCAUGUUUUAUCCUUUGCAAUCAUUUGGCUAUCAAUAACGAUUAAUCUCAUCAAAUCUAUGCAUACUAUCACUAUUAGGCUUGAAUUUUGUGGGAUCAGAACAUGACACAGACUCACCAUGCAUUAACACCUAUCCUCUUCAAUUUCUCACCGAGGUGCUAACAAUUCUGUUAUUGCAACUAGUGUCCUCACUUUAAAACAAAAUCGUCAUUUUUCACACAAUGAUUUCAGUUCGAGUAUAAGGAUUACUUUUCAACACUCGCUCUCAGAACAAAGUCACACUCAUUCAUACCUAUUGCCAUAAGCUUGCCCUUAUUUUCACUGCCUUAAGUUCGCUAUACAACCCUUAGGAUCACGAUAGUACUUUCUUAGCUAGUAACAUAGGCUUAGGGUCAGGUAGGGUGUAUUUAGGUAUACUUUAGUGAAUUUUCGCCCUCCUUGACAUAUCGGCUAAACCUUCCACUUUCUAUCAUUUUAUCUCGCCCAGUUUCUCAUAUUCGUUCACCUUGCUAUUUUCUCUUCUUUCUUCAUUUGUGUAAGUGACUCUCUUCUUUUCUUGUUUGUAAUUCUUGCAUAUUUUUCUUUUUCUUUACUUUUCUUUCAACGAAUUCUUGAGUCACUUUACUUUUGUUCUUUCUCUCUCUUUGUUCUUUCAACCCCACUUUCCAGAGCAUUCCUCAUGAUAGCCACCCUUAACUCAUGGCUUUGCCAUGAGUCAAGGUACACAAUACCCAAAGUUGGGUCAGGGCAAUAACGAAGGUUGUUUAUGCAUUAGCCACCCUCAACUUAGGCUUUUGGCAUAAUCUGAGGUGCACAUAUCCAAGGAGGGACCAGGGCCAACAUAUUGUUCCCAGAAAAGAUCAGUUGGGGUGAAAAAGAAAGGUCUAAUUUUAAGCUCAGAUUAUUUGGAUCAAAGAAGGAUAAAUUUCAUUUGGUUUCUUUUAUUUAGGCUAGAAAUGGGCUAUAUUGAAUAAGGGCCUAUGAUCCUUUCCUAAUUGUCUAUUACAGCUCACUUUUAGCAGGACUAACCAGGCAAGUUCUAGCUCAGUACCAAUAGUGGACUAUUAAAAUUUCCCUCACACUCACUUGACAUCUUAUCACUAUACCAGAUUAUCAGACACCUAGUCCGAAUUUAAGACUUAGGGUAAUGCAAUGGUGUAACUCUAUUUCAUGCUUAGAGCCACACAAUUAUUAGUUACUAUGCCUAGUCGUGCAUCAUUUUCCAGUUUAUCAGGAUAUCAUUUUAGCCAUCAUGCUCCAGAAUUAAACUAUGUACAAAAGAUAUAAAUAUGCCAGUUCAACAGAAAAAGUAAUCAGUCUUUUGGGGAAAAAGAACACAGGCAAGAAAACCCCAAAAGAGGAUAGUGAAUUGGGCUACUCAGACUUCACCCUAUCACUCACUCUCCAUUUACCCCACCCCCAACAAAAAAACAUGAAAUUGUCCCCAAUGCAUAAAAAUCUAAAUACUAGAGUGGUAGGUGAAGCAAACCUGUGGCGCAAAGCGCCAUCGAUCAGCAAGCUGGUGGGUUUGGUUCUGGAUGGGGCCCUCUACGUGGAGCCAACUCAUUGGCUUCGUCUCUGAUGAGGUCGACGUCAACAGUGCCCUGCGGGGUCUUAAGCUGAUCUCCGUGCUAUAUGGGCACACCUGCGGACCUGUAGAGAGCAAAGAUCAUGCACGAGAAAGGGUAGGUAGUAGUGACCUUGAAUGCCCUCUCGUGCAUGACUGCCUGUAGAAGCCAUGCGAAGUCCACCUCGAACCCGGUUAUCAUCGCCGCCAUCAACCCUACUCGAUCCCAGGUAACGAUAUUAUCUACAGCUGUGGGGAAAAGGCAGUGAUGGACAAACAGCCACAAGAACUUCGCCGUGAAAAUGAGGUUGGCCUUUUUGAUGGCCCCCUUUGGCUCAGUCACUCAAUCUGCACCCUCUCCAUCAACUGACAGGUGCAGGGCCAUCCACCUCUUGGUGGUCUCUCUCAGUGAUGGCUCGCGCAAGAACUGGCCAUCUUUAACUAUCUGCCAGCGGUAGUCAAACUCGGCAGUGACGGGGGGUCCGAGUAGCAUCAACACUCUCUCCAUAUAGAAACCGGUGGAUGGCUGGCAGGGAAAUGUCAACCUGUACGCCUCGUACUUGGAUCUGCUCCAGUGGGGCCUGUUUAGCGGGGGCAGCCUGCCUAUCUAUCUGUGAUUGGAGAGUCGCUACGUAGGAUACGUAGAACUCUCAGACCAUUUCUUCACUGUAACAUCCCAACGGACGUGCUGUCCACUCCAAGCGAUGCCUAGUGAAGAGAUUGUGGAUCUCAGGCAUUGUCGGGAGACUCCCUGUAAGGACCUGCCAUUCCAAGGUGAGUGUUCGAGUCAUCACUCCUUUAUCAGUCAGGAACUUGGCAUCGGAAUAGACUUGAAAUUGCCCGUCGACACACCACCAAUUAGGCUGGUCAGUGGUUGGGGUGGGGACCUUAGCUGGUGAGCCUGAUGUAGAUUCUGAACUGUCAGCCUCAUCAGACGAGGCCGACGCUGCAGCGGUUGCGGGUGCGGUAACCUCAGCAGAGCCGGAGGCUUCCUCGGACCAUGAUACUCCUAAGGAGCUAGAUGCUCUUUAUUCAUUUGUGGCUGAACAGAGGGUGUGCCGGUCAGUGUGCGCUCCUCAUCAGACUGGGAGGGAUGCCACCUUUUUGGGUGUGGCUCUGGGAGCACGUGCAACAUGGGAAGGUGUGGAAGUGCCUGGGGGCACAUACUCAGGGUCAUGCUCAUCAUCAGAGCUGAUGACCAUGCGGGCAGACGCGGCGAUAGACUUUGAUCGCCCGCGUGCGUAGAUUCGGUCUUGCUUGGGUGCCAUAGUAGAUAGUACCUGUAAAGGAUCAAUAUUAGUAAGAGUAGUGGCAAACAAGACAAGCAAAACCAUACGAAAUAAAACAUUGAAAAUAGUAUGUCAUUGCUAUAGAAACAGUGAUACACGAUGGGCCUGGUGACGGCUCAUCGUGACUAUGACGGACCGUCAUGAGGUCCGUCGUGUUUUACUUAGACUAUGUAUAUAUAGAGAACCCUGAAGGAAAGUCUCUGACUAGCAUGACGGUAUGUGUAGGACGGACCGUCAUAGGUACGACGCUCCAUCAUAGGUGUUCGUCGUUAAACACUUAAAAAAAUAUGGAGACCCUUAGCAGAGGGGUCUCUGACCGUCAUGAACGUCGUGCAGGAUGGACCGUCAUGGGUUUGAAGGUCCGUCACAUGUGUCUGUUGAAGGACACUUAGAAAGAGUAAGAGACCCUUAGAAAUAGGGUUUCUGACAACCAAAACGGUUGUGCAGAACGGACCGUCGUGAAGACGACGUCCGUCACAUGUGUUCGUUGGGAAACACUUGGGAUAAAAUGAAAGACCCUUAGAAACAAGGUCUCUGACAAACGAUUGUGCAGGACUGACUAUCGUGAAGGCGACGGUCCGUCACAUGUGUUCGUUAGGGUACACUUAGGAAAAAAUGAGAGACCCUUAGAAACAGGGUCUGUGACAACUGAAACGGCUGUGCAGGACGGACCGUCUUGAAGACGAUGGUCCGUCACAUGUGUCCGUUGGGGAAAACUUUGGAAAAAAUGAGAGACCCCUUAGAAACAGGGUCUCUGACAACCGGAACAGUUGUGCAGGACGUUCUGUCGUGAAGACGACGGCCCGUCACAUGUGUCUGUUGGGACAGGGUGCUAGGGAUUUUGGAACGGACCCUACGACGGUCCAUCGUGGGUAUGACGGUCCAUCAUCGGGGUCUCCUUCUGAAUAACAGUGACAGAACUGGGGUACCCUAUGCAUCCCCAAUGAAACCACAUCAAACUUGUAGUGUUUUGGACCUACAUUUGUCUAUCCCAACUACCUAGGAAACUAUCAAUGCGAAAGCACCUAUGUCUAGGGUUGUCAACAUAGCAAGUUUAAACAUUUUGAACCUAGGUUAGACAGAAUCAUAUAAAGGAAGCAACAUACGACGAAGAACUAAGCUAAUACUAACUAAUAAACAAAAAUGCAAGAUAAAUAAGUAAAAUUAGAGACACAUACCUUAGAAAUGAAGAAAAACAAAUGGACAAGUACUCAGUGGUCAGGCAGACACCCACAACAGCAGCUCCGACUAGUAGAUGAUAACUCUAGGGCUUUGGAGAAUUGUGUGGGGGCAAUGAUCGAGGGAGAGAAUGUGGAAGUUGAAAAGAGAGGGGGAAUGAGAGGAAUAAUGAAGUAAUGGGGUGAAAUGAGGGGUUGGGGAGUUUAAAUGGUGAAAGUUUAUUAUAAACUCCAACCGGGUCGGGUCGGGUAUGCCUCAUUAAUCACGCGAUGAUUCCCCGAUGACGGUUCAUCGCGGUUGUGACGAACCAUCGUUGGUUCCGUCGUAUGUGCCCUAGUUUGAAAAUAACAGAAAAACCUACCUGGUAAGACGGAUGCAUACGACGGUCCAUCGCAGGCGCAACGGUCUGUCGAUGUGUCCGUUAGUGACUGUUGCUGAGUAAUUUUUCUGCAGAAUUUCGUGGUGAUGUGCCUGAAAAUUUAAAAACCCAUUUGUAGAAAAAUGCUACCAUUACUAAAAAGGCGAUAAGUAUUGGGUUGCCUCCCAACAAGCGCCUGAUUUACCCUUGAUUGCUCAGACUUCAUCAAGAUGGUAUGCCUCUAUCGCUUCAUUCCCCGAUGCUUUAUGCCCAAAAUAGAGUUUUAUUCUGUCUCUGUUCCUCUUAAGCCUCACUCCCUCCUUGGUUUUUAACUCAACUACUCCAUGAGGGAAUACUUGGGUAAUCAAGUAAGGGCCAGUCCAUUUGUACUUGAGCUUGCCCGGAAGACAAGGCGACCCAGAACUGCUUACAAGCACCAAAUCCCCAACCAUAAACUCUUGUUUUGCAAUUUUUUGUUCAUUCUCCUUAUUCAUAUUUUCUUUGUUAUGAAACUCCGAUAUUUACCAUCCUCGGUCUUUUUCACUAAUCUCUGAGGGAAGGGUGGUGGUGGCCUAGGCAUGGGAAUUACCUUCAUAGGUACUUCUGCAUCUUUUCCAUUACUUUCCUCUGCUUCACCACUACCCUUUACCACAUUAUCAAUAACCUUUCUCACAUUUUCCUCAGUAGACGACAUCGGUGGGUCAAUGGUUUGCUUACCACCCAUAGUAGUGAUUGCCAUACAGUGCGCAUCAUUCUUUGGAUUUUGAACAGUGUUGCUAGGAAGAGUGCCGGGUUGCCGUGUGUUCACUGUCACAGAUAAUUGGGCCAUUUGCAAUUCGAUCUGUUUGAUCGAAAUUGCAUGUGUAUCAACUUUUUGCCUAAUACUAGCUAAGUCACCCCUUAACUCUUUAAUGUGCUCAUCACUAGAAUUGAAUCUCCUCAUCAUUUUGUGCAAGAUAUCCUCAACUCGCGCCAUACUAUCUCCACCAUCCCUAGGAGUAACUUCACGAUUUUGGGGAGGGACAUAGGGCCCAUUCCUAUCAUUUCUUUUACUGUAGUUACCCCUGUUGAAAUUGUUAUCGCGGUUGUAGUUACCAUCACGGACAUAAUGACCCUCACGGUUGUAAUUACCAUAGUUUCGACCUUGGUUCCCUUGACCUUGGCGCCAAUUAUCCUGAUUUGCGCCUUGGGCUCUUGGUCGGAAACCCCCCAUCUGCUCAUUUACUGCAUAAGUGUCCUCCGUAUAAUAGCAUUCAUCAUUAGGAGAUGGUGGUUUAGCCAAGUAGUUUACUGCAUUUAUCUUUUCUGCACCUCCAGUGACAUGUUUUAGUACCAACCCAAGCUCGGUUCUCAUCUGAGCCAUUUCUUCCCGAAUCUCAUCUGUGGCUGGGUUGUGAGUGGACUGCACUGCGAAGGUAUUUCUCCCUGUAUCAGACUUCCUAGUACUCCAAGCUUUGUUAUUCCAGGAGAUUUUCUCUAAUUUUUCAGCAAUCUCAGCAUAAGGACACUCCCCAUAAGAUCCACCUGCUAUAGUGUCCAACACCACUUUAUUGCUAUCAUCUUGUCCCCGAUAGAAGUAUUCCUUCAGUGACUCAUCAUCUAUAUGGUGAUUUGGAACACUUCUCAAGAAUGAGGUGAAUCUAUCCCAAGAACUACUAACUGACUCUCCUGGUAGUGCCACAAAGUUGUUCACUCUGUCUUUGUGGUUUAGUUUCUUGGAGACCGGAUAGUAGCGUGCUAAGAAAACAUCCCUUAAUUGGUUCCAAGUAAAGAUUGAGUUGUAUGGGAGCUCAGUGAACCAUAUAGCAGCCUCUCCUGUCAGUGAGAGAGGAAACACUCUAAGCCCUAUUACAUCUAGAUCCAAAUCAGGCCUCCCUACACAACUUUUACACACUGCCCUUACCUUAGCUAUAUGGGCAUGUGGAUCCUCAGAAGGUAGACCUGAAAACAAAACUCUGGCAGUGAGCAUUUGCAUCAGGCUACUAGUUACCACAAAGGUGUGGCCUGUGGGUAGAGGGGGCAAGACAAGUGGCCCAUCCCAGUCUGCUAUGUUAUCAUACCCUCUGUAGUAUGCUUGGGGCAGUGAAGAGGGAUUUUGUUCCCUCUGUUGGUGUUCACCCGGAGCAUCGGGUAACAUCUGACCAUGAACAUCAACCGGAGCUGGGAUGUUCUGGUUCGGAUCGUCAUCAUUUAUUCCCAAGUUUUGUUUCAUAUUGCGCAGUGUACGCUCUAGCUCGUGAUCGUAUGGAAACAAGGGUUCUCUUCCACUCCGUGUAUUUGGCAUACAAGGAGGAUAGUUCUGAAAAAAAAUCAAAAACAAUAAAACAAAGUAAAAUCAAGAAAAUAUCAACUAAACUAUAGUAAUAAGUUCAAGUUAAUCUAAAAGCUAUAAUCCCCGGCAGCGGCGCCAAAAUUUGAUACGCUUAAACUUACUUCUCAAAUAAGAAGUAAAGCGGUCGUGUCAAGUAAAUAACCCAACUAGUGAGGUUGGGAUCGUUGCCACGAGGAAAAUAGUCUAGACUUAACUUCAACCUGUUAUUACUAUUGUUUGGUUAAUGACUUCCUUGGAAAGUAAAAACAUAAAAAAGGGGGUUUCUAUUUCUAAAUGAGUGAAAAUAAAUAAUGAACUUGAAAGAGACACUUAACAGCUUAUUUUAAUCAAUUAAUCAAAGUAACUAGGGUUUACGUGUUCCCCACAUGUUCAUAACUUGGUAAUUUUAACUAUAACAAUUCUUUCCUAGUAUCUUGCAUACAAAGUGAUAAGUUAUGUAUUUCUAAAUCCCUUGUCCGGCAUCUAGAAAAUCUCACUCCGCACCUUGGUCCGGCUACGUGUGUUGCUAUCCUACCCCUUAUCCUUACCUCAUAUUAAGCAUCGUAUUCGAUAUUUGACUAAGUUAUUACCUCGUACCAAUCAAUACUAGCCUAUUAGAUAGUAUACACUAAAUCUAUGUUAAUAUUAUUUUCCUAUUAUCUACCUCCUUGGUCCGGCAAGUAGCAUUAAGGUGAAUUUUAACGUUGGCCAUCCGUUAAAAAGAAUUCUAAGCGAAAGAAUUAUUAAUACAUGCAAGACACUAUUCUAGAAUUGUUAGUUUAGCUAGGGUUUAUCUCAUUAUUUGCCUAUGGUUCCCACAACCCUAGUUAUGGAGUUUAGUUACUCAUGACCAUAAACACAAUAUUCAAAUAUAUUAAAUAAGAGUUCAUGUACUUACUUCAAUGAGAAAGAGUAAAAUCCAAAAGUUUGCUUGAUUAAUCACAAAAAAUCACUUGCAAGAAUCUCAUAAUCUAACACUAAUACACAAAGUCUAAUAUACGAUGUCUAACAAUACGGAGUCUAACAAUCUAAGAGUCUAACCUAACAGAGUCUAACCUCGAAAACAAGGUUUUUCGAACUAUUUAUAAAAAAUAAAAACCUAAUUAAACAAGGACUCUGUUUGCUGGAAAUCUGCCAAAACGCGGCUGGGUCGACGGACCACGCGAUGGAUCGUCGUGGUCAUGACGAACCGUCAUGGACUCCGUCGUCCCAUACUUGUGCAAUUUCUUCUGCUGCUCUCUUUACCACCCUCAACGGCAAGUAUGACGGACCGUCAUAGACACAACAGUCCGUCGAGGGUCUUCGUUCCAAAACACUUCAACUAUUGGAAUUUGGGUACUGGGAUCACUUCUCUGAACUUCAUGACAAACCUGCAGGACACACCGUCAUAGACACGACGGACCAUCACAAGCUUCGUAACCCCGCACUUGGUAAGACUUCACCAUCUUCCUUCAGCAGCUACACUAUGCUGCCACCUACGGACCGUCGCAAGCACGACAGACCGUCAUAAGCUCCGUAGGUGGUCUCUUCUGCAUUUGUUCGCUCAAAAUCUCCACAUUCAGCUUUGGAUAGAUUUCCUGCAAAACAAAGAGAAACUUAUAUAAAAAUUAGCACAAAAAGACUUUCGGACACACUAAACUUAAGGAAAAAGUAUUAAUUAUACCGUGAAACCACGGUAUAUUAGGAACCAUGCAAUUACUACCUUGUGCUUCCAAGAACCAUCUUAUACCUUGAUAGGGGUAUAUGAAGCUAACUCACUAAGUGGAUCCACUAUCUUAACUUAUGUUAUCAUCUAAAAAGUAUAACCCAUUAAUACCCACGAUGACUACAUGUUUAUGGAAACUUGAGUUAAUAUGAACUCGCAUCCCCAUAUAAGUGCUCAAUACUACUCCUAAAAAUAUACUUAGCUCAUAUGUUUUAAAAACAACUUCUUUCUUUGGUUGGAGAUAAUUACUCAAAACUAAGAUUAAAAGCUCUCUUUGAAUCGAUGCUACUUUUUCUUGCUCAAAACUCUUUUGGAAAUUCUUAGUUUCCUCUUAUCUUAAAUGUGAAAACAUUUAUAAACUCUUAGGGAAUACUUAGUUUCCUUAUAACUUUUGAGAAAAUAACUCAACUCUUUACUGUUUAUUUAGCUUUAAACUUGAGUCUUAUAAGCAAAAUCAAAAUAUUGCUAAUGACUCUUAAAAUUUUUGAAGAACUUAGCUUUGACUUGCUUAUUAACUUUUAGGCUUGGCUCUUAACUUCUUUGACUUUGACCUUAGGUUUCCUUGAAUUCGAUUAUCGAUUCAAGGUUGAUGAUCUCAUGUUUACGGAUUAUUUUGUGAUGUUUUUAUGUACCUUAGAAUGUUGAAAUCAACUAAGAAGCAUGGGUAAAUCACUUAGGAACUAGUAAGAAAACUGGGGAAAAUGGGGUGAACUAACGUCCUUGGCGCUCUGAGGGGAAUGGGGUGCUAGGACUGAAACUUCAAAGGCCAAGUUGGGGUGCUCUUGCUGGAACAGAGCCUCGAGGCCCUACGGACAGAGAUUUUCCUUUGAGGCUAUGGGAGGCGCAACGCCUCAACCCCCGUACUAGGUGUCUCGCUUUUUCUCCUUUGUUUGUUAUCUUUAGACCUUCUAAAAUUCCAUGGUUAUUUCCCUCAAAACUUAGGAUAAUUAGUAAAAUCAUUACUUAAUAUAUUUAUAUUGAAAAAACAACCUGGAAACAUGAAUCAAAUCAACACUAGGUAUUCAACAACUCAACCAACAAGAAUUCGAUAAUGUUCUUCAAGAACUUCAUAUUAAAAUGUAAACAACUCAGCAAUCACUGAAUUGAAACAAGUUUGGUGUGUGAGUGAACUGACCUAACACUAAAUGAUCUCACAUACCUUGUAGGGAUCACCCCCGAUGAAUUCCACAAGCCAAAGUUCAAUGAUCUUGAACGUUCUUGUUUCCUCUUCUCCUUUCCCCUCUUUUCUCAUGUUCUUUUCUCUUCUCUCAAAAUCCUAACUCUUUUGGUAAAAGUGUAAAUUGAAUACUAUAAGUUUAAGACCUAAGAAUAUUACUAAAAAUGAAUCAAUUAGGUUGGGUAAGGAAAAGACCAAAACACCCUUUAAAAUCCCUGAUAUGGACAUUUUUUAAUCUGACAACCCAACUUCCAAAGGGCAUAUCUCACUCAUACGAACUUGGAAUCAUGAAAAUUGGCGGUGUUGGAAAGAUCAUUCCAAGGGCUUCCUAACCAUAUUUUUAAAUACACCUAAAUCAUCCUGGGUUAGGAGUUAUCAUUUGAAGAUGACCAUAAAUUCAUUUUUUCCUAUCUUAAACAAUAUUUCUGAUUUCUCAUUCUUUCCAAAAAAUUAGACUUUUAACUUAUAAGUUUCUUCCUAGUUAUUUCGAUUCAUACUCAAAUGAGAUUACUCUUACUAGGCUAAGGGUAGUAACAUCUAGUUUAAACAUCCAACAAGUAAAUGCAAACAAUCAACAUGAUCACUCAUAAUUUAAGGAGUACUAAGAAUAAAAAUAGUACAUUGGUCUGAACUUUUAUCCGGAUUCAAAGAGAUAUGGAUGUCUCUUCUUCCUAUCCUCUUUAGCUUCACAAACCUACAUUGCCCAUUCUCUAGGAUAUACUAGAAAGACCAAUAUACUGGGGAUUGAUAUCCCCCUCAUAACACCCUUCAUGGGUGAAACUUUUCAAGUAAUUCAAUCAUCUACCUCAAACUCUAAUUCCAUUCUACUAACAUCAAUGUAGGAUUUUUUUUGACGACUCUAUGCUGUUUCCAAUCUCUCUUAAACGAUUUUCAUUUUUUCCAUAGCUUGAUGAACUGACUCUGGUCCCAUUAACCUUACUUCACCAACUUCAAAUCAUCCAAUAGGUAGUCUAUAUCUUCUCUAAUAAAGAGCAUCAUAAGAAGUCAUUUGGAUGGUAAAGUGGUAAUUGUUGUAAGCAACUCAAUCUGAGAUAGGUGAUCUUCCCAAUUACCCUUGAAAUCAUUCACACAACCUACUUCGAUACCUCAAAACCAUCUACCCCUUGUUCAGAAGCCAUCACUUUUUUUUUCUUAUGAACAUUUGCCUUUAAUUCAAGCAAAAUAGGGUCUUGAUCUUGGUCACCUUUGAUCUCUCAUACUAAUGAUGACUCAAACCCAUCCGUCACCACCAUUUCUCCUUCUGUGAAUUCCAUUAAUCAAACUCCUAGUUGUGCAAGUCUAUGCACCUCUUGUGCUAACUCAUUCUUACCUUCCUCAAAAUGGAUGGUACAAUCCAUAAACAAACUUCUUAAGUAAUCAACAACAACAUUAGCCUUACAUGAGUAGUAAAGAAUACUCAGGUCAAAUCCUUGAGUAUCUCUAACCCCCUUUCUGUUUGAGAUUAAACUCUUUCUAACUAAACACAAAUUGUAGACUUUUGUGAUCGGUAAAUGCAUCCACAUAACACCAUAAAGAUAAUGACACCAUAUCUUCAAGGAAAAUACUACAACAACCAACUCUAAGUUAUGGGUUGGGUAGUUUUUCUCAUGAACUUUCAAGUGUCUAGAGGCAUAAGUUAUAAGUUUGGCAUUCUUCAUUAAUACACAACCCAACCAAAUCUAGAUGCAUGAUAAUACACAAUAAAACCUUAGUACCUUUCGAUAAAGUCAAAACUAGGAAGUAGUCAACUUCUUUUUCAUUUCCUGAAAGCUUUUCUCACAAUCAUCAGACCAUUGAAAAUUAAUUGUCUCCUAAGUUAAUUUGGUCAAAUAAAAACCCUAUCUAGAAAAUCGUUCAGCUACUCUUUCAACUCUACUAGUUCCGUUCUAUAUGGCGGAAUAGAGAUAGGACGAGUAUCUAGAAUGAUGUCUAUACCAAAGUUUAUUUCUCUUUCAUGAGGGACUCUGGUAGAUCACCAGGAAAAAAUUCUGGAAACUCUUUCACUAUAAGAACUGACUGAAUGAGAGGUACCUCAGCACUUGAGUCAUUUAAUCAGACUAAGUGAUAGAUACAACCUUUUGAAACUAACUUUUCCGCCUUAAGGUAUGAAAUGAAACACCCUUAGGCACUGCUGAACUACUAUUUCACUCUAUGAUUGGCUCAUUAGGAAUCGGAAAAUUGACAACUCGAGUUUUAUAAUCUAUUGAGACAUAACAGGAAUAAAUCAAGUCCAUACCAAGAAUGACAAUUGAAAUCUACCAUGUAUAACUUAAUUAAAUCAUCCAUGGUAUUCUUGUGAUUUACGAAUGAGACAAUCACGAUAGACUCUCUAUGCUAGAAUAGACUCACUAACAUGUGUAAAAACACCAAAUGGUUUAUUAAGUUUCUUAGGAAUAUCAUCAAAAUUCAAAGCAACAUAAGGAGUUACAAGAGUAAACUCGCCCCUAGGUCUAGAAAGCAUAAACAGUAAAGUAAAAAACUUAGAUCAUACUUGUGAAAACAUUUGGCGAAUGGCGACUAUUUAUAGAUUAUAAGCGGUUUGUUUCCUAGCUAACCUAAAGUAGCUUCUCAAGGUUCAACUUUAUAUUGUGGAUCAAUUGACGAAGGCUGGGACUUAUUGCCUUUAUUACCAUUACCUUGCAUGGUUUCAGGACACUCCCUUAUAAAGUGACCCUCUUUCUCUCACUUGAAGAGACUUUUCUGCCCAUCACGACCUUACCUGGGUGUUGUUUACCACACCUAGCACAUGCAGGAGUCUUGAUACUCUUUUGUACCAUACUGCCUUAAGAAUGGACAUGUUUAGCUUUAAAACUAUGGGAAUUUUGACUAUUGUACUCACAUUUGUUCUUAGGUGCAGGUGCACCAGCAGAUGGUGGAGCAGGUCCCUUUCGAGUGGCAUCAAUCUUUUGGUGCCUGAACUCGUUCCCUGAUGUCUUAGCCCUCUUAUACUUAAACUUUUCUCUAUCCUUCAGCUUAUUCUCCUUAACUUGUUGUACAUGGAUCAUAAGCCUUGCUAGGUCCAUAUCUCCUAUCAACAUAGUUGCCUUGCCUUCCUUGCUUGACUAACGACACAACCCAGCAACAAAUAAACUUAUCCUGGUCCUCAUGUCAGCAACUAUCUCCGGAUCAUAGCAGGAAAAUUUUACGAACUAUAGACUGUACUCUUGCGACAACCUUCAUUUGGUAUGCAACUAGUUCCACCAUCUCCAUUUUAGCAACAUGCAUUACAUCAAAUACCCUUUUUAAUUCCUCAAUAAAGUUCUCUGGAUUAUUAAUGACACGUGAACCUGUGAAGCUUGGGGGUUUCCAUAAAAGAACCUUAAAAGGUCAUAGAUCGUUCAAGUACCAACCACUUCUUGUCGAUUAUCUCUAUGUCUAAUUUGAUAGGUUCCAACUUGACUUAACUUCUGGAUAAUCUCACAGAAUUCAGAAUAGGUAACUUCUCCUUGAAGUUGCAUUUGGUAAUUUUUAUUCCUAAACAGUACUCCUAGCUGGACGACCUCUGACUUCUCUUCGUGGAGGCAUGAUUCUAUAGAAACACGUGUAGGCAUGAAUUAAAAGGAAACUUUUUAGAGAUCAAACUCUAACACGUGAAAUGAGUAUGAAGGAAGUGAAGAAAUUCCUAAAUGUUGUGACCUUCUAAUUAUAGAUUUGUUGUGCUUUACACCAAUAAUUAAGACUCUACAAACACAACUUUAUAGACUCCCUAGGACUCUUAACUAUGUGCUCUAAUACCAAGCUUGUCACGCCUCAUGCCUACACAGUAGUCAUGGACGGCACUCGAAGACCAUCGAUGGCCUCAAACGGACACUUGGCAUGGCUUACUAACUCAGCGAAAGACUUAAACAAAAAAGAUAACUCAAGAAAUAACUUAAAAGUAAUAAUUAACCAAAAUGGCAAGUCAAGUCUUAAUCGCUUACAAGUGAAAGGAAAAGACUAAAGAAACUAAUAUUAUCUGUCUAUGAAGCCUCUAAAAUAAAGAGAGAUGUUGGGACAGUACCCCCAAAAUAAUCCUAACAACUAAAAACUUAAAACAAAUAAGUAAAUGAUAAAGAUACCUUAUGAAAUGAAGGGAGGUUCACCAACUGACUAUGAGCUGCUCACUGGAUCAACGGUAUGCUGCCUACAGAUCCUAGUUACAUGCGUCUGCAUUAUAAGAUAAUGCGGCACAUUGAAUGUACGAGUAUGCGAGUGGAAUUCUAAAACAACAUAGGCUUGAAAGAGAUUAUGAAAGAAACAGUUACAUUGACUCUUCUCAACUCAUGAAUUCUUAAUUUAAUUCAUCUCAUUAUAAUGUAGUUUAAAACAUAUUCAAUAUAUAGAAAAUGAAAGUUGUUUAAAACAUGUUAUCAAAUCAUAAUCAUAAUAUUGUAAUGACAUAUCAUGAUUCCUCUCAAAGUCUACUUGUGUAAUGCAUAAAUGAAGUCUCAUACCCCCAUUCAUAAUAAAAAGAACCCUUUGAGUAACCAUGUAAUUACUAUUGUUGGAGUUUCUCUAACGACAACCAUCACCAUCCUAUACCUUGCUGGGGUAUAAGAAGACAACUCACUAAGUGGAUCCACUAGCUUGACUUAUGUUAUCAUCAAAAAAGUAUGACCCAUUAAUACCCACAAUGGCUAAAUGGUUUAUGGAUACUUUAAGUUAAUAUAAACUCUAAGGCUGACAAACGGACAGGACCGGUUUUAUCGGAAACCGGACCGGUACUGGAUUUUUCUUACCGGAUUUACCGGGAAAAAAAACCUGUUCCGCCUGGUCCGUUUGUUAUCGGUUUGGAAUCGGGUUGGACCAGUUUGGAACGGAUUCUUACCGGUUCAUCCGGUACCUUUUUUUUUAAAAUUUUUUUAGUUAUUUUAAUUAUUAUAUAAUAUUAUAUAUUUAUAUUUAAAACUUCAAUUGAAAACUUUAAAGUUUAUAUAAGUUUGAAAUUGAAUUUAUACUUUAAAGUUUAUAUUGAAUUUAAAGUUUCAAAUUGAAUUUAAAGUUUUAUAUUGAACUUAAGUUUGAAAUUGAAUUUAAAGUUCUUUAAACUUUAUAUUGAAUUUAAAGUUUGAAAUUGAAUUUAAACUUUAAAGUUUAUAUUGAAUUUAAAGUUUUAAUUUAAACUUUUAUUAAAAUAAUUAAAAAUUAAAUUUAUAAAAUGACAUGAAUUAAAUAGAAGAGACUAUUAUAAAAGAAAAUCAAGGCGAAUAGCCGUAUAUUUAUUCAAAUAAAUAAAUUAUACAAUAAAAAUAUUAGAAAGAUAAUAAGAGUACAUAAUUAGGAGGAAUAUCAUCUUUUACUAUUAAAUUAUAAACAUGUACGGCACACUUAAUAUGAAAACAAUCAUUAUCAAUUGGACAAAGUCUAAUUUUUAAAUAAUCAACGACUUUUAAAUUAUUAGAAGCAUUAUCUAAAGUGACACUCAUUAUUUUAUCACAUAUUCCAUAAUAUUGUAAAAUAGAGCCUACUUUUGAUGCUAUAUAAGAACCGGUUUUAGUUUCUUCAACAUAUUUAUACGCUAAUAUUCGUUUUUGCAUGUUACAUUCAUGGUCAAUCCAAUGGACAGUAAGUAUAAAAUAAUCGUUACCAUUAGGAUUACGUCCCAUAUCGGAAGUAAUAGAUAAUCUAUCUUCGUAAUAAGCAAAUUAAACAACAAAGAAAAUGAGAAUAUUCUUUUUGAUAUUUAAAAAGAUCACUUUUAAUUGUAUUUCUUGGAAUACCUUUAUAAUCUAGGUUAUAUAAUUCUUGAAUAUAAUGAACAAAAGCAGGAUGUGAAGGAAAUGAAAAAGGUAAACCAGAAACAGCAACCAUUUUAGCUAAUUCUCUACAAUCUUUUUCUUUACUAUACGUACGGUGUGUGCUUCGACUAGCCGUGUUAGACAUAUUUAAUACACCUAGAACCAUAUUAGAACCUCCAACACCCAUAGAUUUUUCGGUUAUGGGUGUUUCAUUUCUAUUAACUCUUUCUAUAUCUGUAACGACCUGUUUAGUCGUUUUGAGCAGCAGAUUUUAUUUUUGGAAAAUUGGCUGAAAUGACGGACCCCACGACGGACAGUCAUGGGCACGACGGACCGUCGCAGGGUCUCGUUUCAAAACACUUAGAAAUUUUGAAAUUGGGUACUGAAAAUCGACUCUCUGAACUUCGUGACGACAUGGCAGGACGGACCGUCAUGGGCACGACGGACCGUCACAGACCCUUUAAUAAAAUUGAGUCUCUGAACUCUGUGACGGAGCAGCAGGACGGACCAUCGCAGGCACGACGGCCCGUCACGGACCGUCACAAAUGAUCAGCAUGUACUUUUUAGUAAGUUCUUAAAAUUGAAACCUCCAGUCUUCAAGGGUGCUGAAUCUGAGGAUGCCUACGAUUUUUUGGUUGAUUGUCAUGAGCUACUACACAAGACGGGUAUAGUAGAACGGUUUGGUGUUGAGUUUGUGACUUAUCAGUUUUAGGGAAAUGCCAAAAUGUGGUGGCGAUCACAUGUUGAGUGUCAACCGACAGAAGCAACACCUAUGACUUGGGCAUCAUUCUCUAGCUUAUUUAUGGAGAAGUAUAUCCCACAGACUUUGAGGGAUAGGAAAAGAGAUGAAUUCUUAAGUCUAGAGCAAGGUAGGAUGUCGGUUACUGUAUAUGAGGCUAAGUUUCGUGCACUAUCCAGAUAUGCCACCCAACUUUGUUUCAGUCUACAAGAGCGGAUUUGCCGUUUUGUGAAGGGGUUGAGGUCAGAGUUGCGGAUUUCAGCCUUACAGGUAGCGGCUACGGCAAAAUCUUUCCAAGAAGUGGUAGAUUUCGUGGUAGAGGUGGAAGGAGUGAAGCCAGAUGAAUUCACCACGGCAUCAACAUCAAAAGGGUUUCGAAAGGGAGGUGAGUUUAAUGGUUCUUACUCAAGAGGACAGGGUUCCGGAGGUUACUCAGUUUGACCAAUUUAGUCUUCACUACAGACUGUAGUUGGGGGUCCACCUCAGACCGAUUAACACUUCUCUGAGAGACCUAUGCAUGAACCCAGAGAGUGCUAUGGAUGUGGGGAGACUGGACAUAUUAAGAGAUAUUGUCCAAAACAGAGUUAUCGACCCCCAAUAGCUAGAGGUAGAGGUGGUUAUGGAAGAGGCCGUCAUUCUGGAGGACGCGGUGGUCGAGGUAAUGGUGGUCACCAAAACGGCUGGGGUGAUGGGCAAACUGGAGCCACUACAUCACAACAUGGUAGGGGCAACAGGCAAACAAACAAAAGGGCCCAUUGUUAUGCUUUCCCUGGGAGAUCGGAGGCGGAGACAUCUGAUGCUGUUAUCACAGGUAAUCUUUUGGUUUGUGAUUGCAUGGCUUCUGUAUUGUUUGAUCCCGGAUCCACAUUUCUUAUGUAUCUUCCUCAUUUGCUAAUGGUCUAAAUUUUCAUUGUGAAUUACUUGACAUGCCUAUUCGUGUUUCUACUUCGGUGGGUGAGUCCGUGGUAGUUGAAAAGAUAUAUAGGUCUUGUUUGGUAAAUUUUGUGGGAGUAACACUUAUGUAGAUUUGGUUAUCUUAGAAAUGGUUGACUUUGAUGUAAUUCUGGGUAUGACUUGGCUUUCUCCGAAUUUUGCGAUCUUGGAUUGUAAUGCUAAGAAUGUGACGUUAGCCAAGCCUGGGACAGACCCGUUAGUGUGGGAGAGUGACUACACUUCCAAUCCGGUGCGUAUCAUCUCCUUUCUUCGUGCUAAGAAAAUGGUUAGUAAAGGGUGUUUAGCUUUCUUGGCCCAUCUCAGGGAUGACACCACCCAAGUACCUUCAAUCGAAACGGUGUCGGUAGUCCGUGAGUUCUUGGAUGUGUUCCCUACAGAUCUUCCUGGUAUGCCACCGGAUACGGAUAUUGACUUCUGCAUCGAUCUUGAACCGGGCACUUACCCCAUGUCUAUACCCCCUUAUAGAAUGGCUCCCGCGGAGUUAAGAGAGUUAAAGGCUCAACUUCAAGAGUUGUUGAGCAAAGGCUUCAUUAGACCAAGUGCACCUCCUUGGGGUGCUCCGGUUUUGUUUGUGAAGAAGAAGGAUGGGAGUUUUAGGAUGUGCAUAGAUUACCGGCAGUUGAACAAGGUAACUAUUAAGAACAAGUAUCCUCUUCCUCGCAUUGAUGACUUGUUCGAUCAGUUACAAGGUGCUUGUGUCUUCUCUAAGAUUGACUUGAGAUCCGGUUAUCAUCAAUUGAAAAUACGGGCAACGGAUGUGCCAAAGACUGCUUUUCAAACCAGGUAUGGGCAUUACGAAUUUGUAGUGAUGUCUUUUGGUCUUACGAAUGCCCCUGCUGCGUUCAUGAGCUUGAUAAAUAGAAUUUUAAGCCAUAUUUGGAUCUCUUUGUGAUCAUGUUUAUUGAUGAUAUACUGAUAUACUCUAAAAGUAAGAAGGAACAUGAGGAACAUUUGAGAAUUGUAUUAGACAUGUUGAGGGAGAAAAAGCUUUAUGCCAAGUUCUCUAAGUGUGAGUUUUGGCUAGAUGCAGUGUCCUUCUUGGGGCACGUGGUUUCUAAGGAUGGAGUGAUGGUGGAUCCUUCUAAGAUUGAGACAGUGAAGAAUUGGGUAAGACCUACUAAUGUGUCAGAGAUAAGGAGCUUUGUUGGGUUAGCUAGCUACUACCGCCGAUUUGUCAAGGGAUUCUCUUCUAUUGCUUCCCAAUUGACGAACUUAACUAAGCAGAAUGUUCCAUUUGUAUGGUCGGAUGAGUGCGAAGAGACUUUGUUGACUACCGCACCUACCCUUACCUUGCCAGUAGAGGGUAAGAACUUCAUUGUUUAUUGUGAUGCAUCCUAUUCUGGGUUGGGUGCAAUGCUUAUGCAAGAGAAGAAUGUGAUUGCUUAUGCUUCAAGACAAUUAAAGGUGCAUGAACGUAAUUAUCCAACCCAUGAUUUGGAAUUGGCUGCGGUAGUGUUUGCAUUAAAGCAAUGUAGACACUAUCUAUAUGGGGUUAAGUGUGAAGUAUACACGGAUCAUCGUAGCCUACAGUAUGUCUUUACUCAGAAGGAUUUGAACUUGAGACAGAGGAGAUGGAUGGAACUACUAAAGGACUACGAUAUCACUAUUUUGUAUCAUCCGGGAAAAACGAAUGUUGUGGCGGAUGCUUUAAGUAGAAAGGCGGGAAGCAUGGGAAGUCUAGCUCACUUGCAAGCUUCUAGACGCCCAUUGGCUAGAGAAGUUCAGAUUCUGGCUAAUGACCUUAUGAGAUUAGAAGUAAAUGAGAAGGGAGGAUUUUUAGCUUGUGUGGAGGCAAGAUCUUCCUUCCUUGACAAGAUUAAGGGAAAGCAGUUUAAUGAUGAGAAAUUGAUCCGGAUCCGAGAUAAAGUGUUGCAAGGAGAGGCUAAAGAAGCAACAAUCGAUGAGGAAGGUGUUUUGAGGAUUAAGGGAAGGGUAUGUGUACCCCGCGUCGAUGAUUUGAACAACACUAUUCUGACAGAAGCUCAUAGUUCAAGGUAUUCUAUACAUCCGGGUGCAACCAAGAUGUACCGUGACCUAAAGCAACACUUUUGGUGGAGUAGGAUGAAGCGUGAUAUUGUUGACUUUAUUGCCAAAUGUCCAAACUGUCAACAAGUAAAGUAUGAACACCAAAGGCCCGGAGGAACACUUCAUAGAAUGCCAUUCCGGAAUGGAAAUGGGAGAGAAUCGCAAUGGACUUCGUGGUUGGUCUUCCAAAGACAAUGGGUAAGUACGACUCUAUUUGGGUGAUUAUUGAUAGGUUAACUAAGUCUACUCAUUUUAUUCCGGUUAAGGUGACUUACAAUGCCGAGAAGUUAGCCAAGAUCUAUAUCUCAGAAAUCGUUUGAUUGCAUGGGGUUCCACUAUCCAUCAUAUCAGAUAGAGGUACGCAGUUUACCUCUAAGUUUUGGAAAACAUUGCAUGCGGAAUUGGGUACUAGGUUUGACCUCAGUACUUCAUUCCAUCCUCAGACCGAUGGUUAGUCUGAGCGAACAAUUCAAGUGUUGGAGGAUAUGCUUCAUGCAUGUGUGAUAGAAUUUGGUGGUCAUUGGGAUAACUUCCUACCCUUAGCGGAGUUUUCAUACAAUAAUAGCUAUCACUCAAGAAUUGAUAUGGCUCCAUUUGAGGCAUUGUAUGGUAGGAGAUGUAGGUCUCCCAUUGGGUGGUUUGAUGCAUUUGAGGUUAGACCUUGGGGUACUGACCUUUUGAGGGAUUUGAUAGAGAAAGUGAAAUCUAUUCAAGAAAAGCUUCUAGCGGUGCAAAGUAGGCAAAAAGAAUAUGCAGAUCGGAAGGUUAGAGACUUAGAGUUCUUGGAGGGUGAACAAGUCUUGUUGAAGGUUUCGCCCAUGAAAGGGGUGAUGCGGUUUGGUAAAAGAGGUAAACUAAGCCCAAGGUAUAUUGGUCCCUUUGAAGUACUUAAGCGAGUAGGGGAGGUGGCUUAUGAGUUAGCCUUGCCUCCAGGGCUGUCCGGAGUGCAUCCGGUAUUUCAUGUGUCGAUGUUGAAGAGAUAUCAUGGGGAUGGAAACUACAUUAUCUGUUGGGAUUCAGUUUUGCUUGAUGAGAAUUUGUCUUAUGAGGAGGAGCCUGUUGCUAUUUUAGGUAGAGAAGUUCGCAAUUUGAGGUCAAGGGAGAUUGCAUCCAUCAAGGUGCAAUGGAAGAAUCGGCCGGUUGAAGAAGCCACUUGGGAGAAGGAGGCCGACAUGCAAGAAAGAUACCCACAUCUGUUUAAAGAUUCAGGUACUCCUUCUCGCCCUUGUUUUUCUUCUUGUGAUCGUUCGAGGACGAACGAUGGGUAAAUUGGUAUCUAUUGUAAUGACCUGUUUAGUCAUUUUGAGCAGCAGAUUUUAUUUUUGGAAAAUUGGCUGAAACGACGGACCCCACGACGGACCGUCAUGGGCACGACGGACCGUCGCAGGGUCUCGUUUCAAAACACUUAGAAAUUCUGAAAUUGGGUACUGAAAAUCGACUCUCUGAACUUCGUGACGACAUGGCAGGACGGACCGUCAUGGGCACGACGGACCGUCACAGACCCUUUAAUAAAAUUGAGUCUCUGAACUCUGUGACGGAGCAGCAGGACGGACCGUCGCAGGCACGACGGCCCGUCACAGACUGCGUAUUCCCAGUCUGGGUCGGAUUUCUUUUUAUGUUUUAAAAGACGUUUUGUACUAUUCCUACCUUAAUUAUAAAGUUAGAGGGUUAAGGUUAAUAAGUCCAAUUACUUGGGGGUUAAAAGAGGUAACUUUAAGAUAAUUUGUGGGUUAUUAAUGCCAUUUUUCAUUCUUAAUUAUAUGUUAAUUAGGGUAAAAGAAAGAGGAUUGGAAUAAGAAAAAAAAUAGAAAGAACAAGAGAGAGGAUUGAUUGAACGAGAGAGGCAAAACGAAGAGGAAAACACAAAAAUUGGGAAUUUCUUGCUUGAUCACUAGCCUUCGGUGGAGGUAGGUUAUGGCUUAUUUUACGAUAUUCGUAGUAAACUCUUAAUAGCGAAUGAUAUGUAUUGAUAGUAUUGUAAACCCUGCUAUGUGCUUAAUUGUAUGCUUGCAUGAAUGUGAUUAUGUAAUUGUGAAUAAAUAAGCAUGAUGAAGCUAUUGAAUCCCAAAUCUUGAAAAGAAACCCUAAUCUACUUUGUUAACGAUGAUGCCUUGGUAUAAAAGAAGGAUUGAUGAACGAAAGUGGUGAGAUUAGGGGAUCGGGUGCCGCGUUCCGGUACCACGAUAGAGAUAGAGGAUUGGGUCCACGUUCCGAUACCAGGAUAGAAUGAGGAUCGGAGUGUCACAUUCCGACACCAGGAUAGUAUAUGGAUCGGGUGCCACGUUCCGGUACCAGGAUAGAAUGAGGAUCGGAGUGUCACAUUCCGACACCAGGAUAAUAUAUGGAUCGGGUGCCACGUUCCGGUACCAGGAUAGAAUAAGGAUCGGAGUGCCACGUUCCGGCACCAGGAUAGAAUAUGGAUCGGAGUGUCACGUACCGAUACGAGGGGAAUAAAGAUAAUGAAUCUUGAAAUAUGUUAAUAUACUCAAUCUAAUGAAUCUAAUCCCCAAAUGAGUAUGGUAAUUGAGGCUUGCGUCCUCAUGUGUGAACUUGGCGGUACUUGUUAAUGAUUAUAGUGUUGUUGUUGCCACAUGUUGAGUAUCAUAGUUGAUUUUAUGAUAUUACUUGAUAUAUAUACUAUUUUCUAUUUUGAGUUGGCCGAUGAUAUCUACUCAGUACCCGUGUUUUGUAAUGACCCCUACUUUUAUGUUUUCUUCUUUGUAUUUGUGGAGUGCAGCAAACGUGCCGUCAUCUUCGACUCAACAGUAAUUAUAGCCAGUCUUCACUACAUUGGAAAUUCAGGGUGAGCUAAUGCUUAUAUCUUGAACUGGAUCUUCUUCUUCAAGUCUUGAUGCCUUGAGCUUUCGGCAUGGACUAGCUUUUAUUUGUUUAGCUUCUUAGACAUUUGUAGUUUAGAAAUUUGAGGAUAGAUGUUCUUGUGAUGAUGACUUCCAGAUUUUGGGGAUUAAUAGAUGUUGAAUUUUCAUAGGUAUUGAAUUGGUUUUUAUUAAUGAGUUUAAGUCUUCCGCAUUACUUUCUGUCGAUAUUAUAUUGAAGUGUUAAGGGUUAGAUUGGUUGGUUCGCUCACAUAGAAGGGUAAAUGUGGGUGCCAGUCGUGGCUCGGUUUUAGGUCGUGACAAUAUCAUCUAGGCGAGCAAAUUCUUUAUUACACUUUCGUAAAUGUGUUCUUAGUCGUCCCGUUCCCCCUUGUGUACCCGUGGUUACAUGUUUGAUUACCAAUUUACAUUUAGUGAACGUAAUAGUAGUUUUUUCCACAUUUUGUAUCAAAAAUUUCCAUACUAAUGAUCUUUUAACACGUACGACGGUGACAUUUGAAAAAUUAUGUAAAGGGGAGACUUCGGUAACCGGACUAGUCGGUGUAGGGGUCUUUUCAUCUUCCUCAUUUAUUUCUUCUUCUUCUUCAAAUACUUCCUCAAAAUUAGUAUAAUGUCUAUUUAAAGACUCAUGAUCUACUUCAUUUUCAGAAUUGAAUUCAAUAGGUCUUGUGACAUAAUAAAGUUCCAUUAACACAAGUAUAAUCAUUAGUAUUAACUAAAUAUCUAGGUGGCAAAUUUUUAGAACAAGAACUAUUUACUCCUCCUUUUUUUUUUAAUUCCAAUAUUGGUCUUUUACCACUAUUUCUCUCCGAACUCAUGUUAAAAUUUAGAAUAAUUAAAUAUUAUGAGAAAAACAAGAAAAACAAUAUAAUAAAAGAGAUAAAACAACUAAAUUAGUAAAAAAAUAACAAUUAAAAUUGAUAGUUGGAACGAAUGUAUCAAACGUCUACGUAAAAGUAGACGUAUAACCAAAGCCAGAUUUGAUAGAUGCCUAUUGUAGCUUUUGAAAUUCAAACUCAAACUCAAUAUCACAAUAUAAUAAUUAAUAAUUUAUGAGAGAUUUAAAAUUGAGACUUUGAGAGAUUGUAUAAGAUUGUAUAAAUAGUGAAUUUGUGAUUUAAAUUGGAAAAAAGGGUAUAUUUAUAGUGUAAAUGGGUUAGUAAGGGGUGGGGGUGAUAGUUGACCGUUUUGGGCCCCAGCCCAACGGCUAGAAGGGCCCACGGUCAUAAAAAGGCCCACUUAAUAAAAAAUUUGAAAAAUCGACUAAACAGGUUCUUACCGGAUUGGACCGGUACGGAAUCGGUUCUUACCAAACAGGUUCAACCGGAUAAAAAACAAAGAACUGGUCCGGUAUACCAAAAGACCGGUUCCUUACCGGUUCAACCGGUACCUGACAGACCGGUACGGGAACCGGACCAGACCGGCCAAAAACCGGUCUGUUUGCCAGCCUUAAUAAACUCGUAUCCCCAUAUCAAUGCUAAAUACUACUCCCAAAAAUAUACUUAGCUCAUAUGUUUUAAAAACAACUUCUUUCUUUGGUUUUAGAUAAUUACUCAAAACUUAGCUUAAAAUCUCUUGGAAUCAAUGUUCCUUUUCUUGCUUAAAACUCUUUUGGGGAAUCAUAGUUUCCUCUUAUCUUAAAUAUGAAAACAUUUAUAAACUCUUAGAGAAUACUUUGUUCUCUUAUAACUUUUAAGAAAUUAAGUCAACUUUUUACUACUUAGGUUUAAACUUGAGUCUUAAAAACAAAGUUAAAACAUUACUAAUGACUCUUGAAAUUUUUGAAGAACUUAGCUUUGACUUGUUUAUUAACUUUAAAAAUUUUACUCUUAACUUUUUUGACUUUGACCUUAGCUUUCCUUUAAUUGGAUUAUGGAUUCAAGGUUGAUAAUCACAUGUUUAUGGAUGAUUUCAUGAUGUUUAUAUGUACCUUAAAAUGUUGGAAUCAACUAAGAAACAUGGGUACAUCACUUAGGAACUAGUACGAAAACGUGGGAAAAGAAUGGGGUGAACUAGCGUCCUUAGAGCUCUGAGAGGCACGGGGAUCCAAGCCCCAGACUUUAGAUUCCAAUUUGGGUCACUCUGGCUCGCUCGGCUCCCCAUGGUCCUAGGGACAGAAAUUGUCCUUUGGGGCUAUGGGAGGCGCGACGCCCCAACCCUUGUACCUAGGUGUUCUCGACUUUUUACCUUUGUUUUUCAUCUCUAAACACUCUAAAUUCAAUGGUUCUUUUCCCAAACACUUAGUAUCAUUAGUAAUCUCUAUAUCCAAUAGAUUUAACUCGAAAAAACAAACCAAAAACAUGAAUCAAAUCAACACUAGGCAUUUAACAAUUGAACCAACAAGAAUUCAACAAUUUCUUCAAGAACUUAUAUUAAAAUGUAAAUAACUCAGCAGUCACUGAAUUGAAAAAAAAUUGGUUAAGGAAAAGACUAAAACACCCUUUAAAAUCCCGGAUUCGGACAUUUUCUUAAUUCGACAGCGCAACUUCAAAAGAGUAUAUCUCACUCGUACAAGCUCGAAAUCGUGCAAACUUGGCAGCACAGUAAAGAUCAUUCCAAGGGAUUUCCAUCCAUAUAUGGAACUACAUUUAAAUCAAUUAAGGAUAGGAUUUAUGAUCGUUUGGAUAUGAACAAAAACACAUUUUUCCUAACUUAAACAAUUUUCCAGAUUUUUAAUUCUUUCCAAAAAUGAGAUUUUUAAAUUCUAAACUUUUUCUUAGGUAUUUUGAUUUGCGAGAUGUUACACUUACCUUGCAAAACCUUAUCAUGGAUCUUACUCAACAUUGCAUCCUUGAAUUUUCUACCUUUGAUUUUAUCUAGAAAUGAAGACCUUGCAUUUAUACUAACUAGAAAUCCACCCCUCCAAAAUAUCUCAAAAGUCGCAUAGAGCUAUUAGCCAAAUCCUACACUUUCUUAGCCAAUAGUUGUUUUGUAACUGAUAAGAAAUUCAAGUUGCCAAUGCUCCAAGAUAAUUUAGGUAAGGCAUGAGGAUAUUUUAUUGAUGAGGAAGCAAACGCUUCUAUAGGUAAAUCUAAGAAACUACCUCCAUGUAGGGUAAAGGCAAAGGCAACACGCCCGUGGUAGUUAUAUAUACGGAGGAAAGCUCCGACACUAAUGGGGUGUAUGAUACACACCUCACAUCAUCUGACAAUUUGGGGGACUCACAUGAUUCUCAAGAUUCUAUCUCUAACCUGAGAAUGAUCAUCUACUAUAGGCACGGCAAGCAAAGAGAUGCUCGAAAUCUCGCCAUAAUUUUUCUUGAGUUCUAGAGCUACCCCUCAAGCUUUAGCUCCAAUCCCUCCUCCAGCAUAGAUAGUGCCUCCAGUUCCACCAUUUCAGAGUCUUCCUAUCCAGUCAAUCUACCGACUAAAGGUCGAGGGAUUGGGGACUAUCCUAGAAGAGAAGAGAUUGUACACAUAUAGUGUGGUGUAAAAACAUUCAACAAUGUAAGACACUCUUAGGUUCCACAGAUUCGAGGUCUUCACCAAAGCCCCGUGGUUCAUAUAUUCCUACUUCAGUCUAGAAGUUCUACUCUGCAUAUAUUGAGUUGGUACCUCAAGGGAAAAAGAAAUCUAGUCCCUUCAAGACGGUGGACUUUGUGAUGGUGUUAGGAAAGAAAGUGAAAUGCAACAGAGAUGAUAUAAACGAUGUAUUCGACCGUGCCUCUGACUUUAUACAUUAAUACAGAGCAUGACAACGACAAAGAAUCUAGAUGAUUUAAAUGGUUAGACCCCCUUCUAUCAGGCACCACACUAAGGUGGAUUAAGGUCAGACAUUGAUAAAGAAAAAGGGCCAAAAUGUUAUAGAUAUAUAAUGGUUUGGAUUUAUCAGCAACACGAUAAUGUCGUCCCAGAACAAGUCUAUCAUCUACCACCCAAAGGCAGCCUACCUAGGGAGUAUCAUUGCUAGAAAACGGCUUGAAUUCAAUCGAUCAGCAGGAGAUAACCAUUAGGGCCAAUCAGUGCCAGACAUCUUGAGUUGUAUUGACGAUCAUAAGUCCCACGAGAUGAGAAGAGGGAUGUCAAGUUCAAACCUACAUCUUUUAUUAGAAUUCGACGUAUAUAUGCCGAGUACAUAAGAUACAAGGCAGAAAGAGGGCAGCUCCACUGGAUACAUCCAGAGGGUUGACAUUGAUAUGAUACCUGUAAAGGCAGUCAUUCCUACUACGAAUACUAGAUUGAACAUCCAUAUCCACUCUUUUCAAUACUUCUGGUACUUCUGUUGCACUCAUUCCCCCUAAAUCUGCAACUGCAACUGCUACUUUUUCACCCCGACCUCUGAUCACACAUGCGAUGUUGAUCAAGAUGGGGCAUCUAACCCAGUCUAUUAAUACACAUGCCUCUUGUAUAGAGGAUGCGAUUAUUGAAAUGAUUAAGAGAGAUAUUGUUACUACAUUAUCAUCUCUUUAAGCUUUUAUUGAUGCCCCCUACAACGAUAAUAUAGGUGUAUGAGAAAGGUCCAGGAUUUGUUAAUGUGAUGACAUCCUUAAAGGUCAAUCUUGUUGGACUUUACAGGGAUGUAGACGAGAUGAAGUCCAUCGACCUCUCUAUGAUCUUUGGAACUAUGGACAUACCGGAUACCCCCAGCUUAGAUAUUCAAGCAUGUUCAAAUGUUCCUUCAGCUACUACGAUCGGAGAUGACAUUCGAGUUGAUCACGCUAAGGGCGAGUCAGAUGCUGAGAAAGACGACGAGCAGCAUAUUGAGAUGAGGUAAUUUAUGAGGACCUGGUAAACAUGGAGGAUGACAUAUACGAGACUACAAGACAAGACUCUGUGAGAGACACUUCCAUUGUGGGCACUAGUGGAGCCAAAAAUGAUGUGGUUCCCAACACAGAUGCCUUGACAGAUUAAGCGAUGCAUAUGCAGACUUCACCCAGGCUUUGUCUGGUAGGAGGAUUAGUUUUACCUUCUUGUUUGUCGUUUUAUUGAUUUUUCUAUUUUUAGUUGCGUUUGAGGACAACUAUAAUUUUUAUUGGUGGGGUGAGAUAUUUUCAUAACUACUUCUUUUGUGGGUUGUUUGUUUUGAAUAUUAUAUUUUGUGAUGUGAAUAGUAGAGAUUAUUCGAUUAUAUAUAUUCAUCUUUGGUUUGGUAUUGCGAUUGUUCUUAGCUUUUUUUCAUAGAAAAUAGUUUUGAACCAAAUCUUAAAAUUUGCCACCUCUUUUAUGUGUUAUUGUUUUUGUUCUAGUACAAAUUUGAGUGUCGGUUGUGGUCAAUAUCGAUGACCUUAAUAGUUCUCUUAAUUAAACAAAUGAAUGUGCGACUACGAUGAGGCAAACAAAGUUGCAUAGGCAAUGCGUGAACUUUGAGAGUCUUGUUGUGACUAGCCGAUUCUCGUUGAAGUCUCUUCUGAUGAACAUUGCAUGCUAGCAAGAAAGUUUGUGUGAAUGUGGAACAUAUUUGUUGUGAGGGCAUUUUAAUACUUUUGUUGAGUUUGAACUUGCAUUUGUGGCAAGCACUGUGAGUUUGACUACAAUUGAUGAUGGUGAGUCACAAUUUAAAACUUUGAGUGCACAAUUGAUCAUUGUAUGAGUAGUUUAAACCUUUUUGUGUGCAUUUAUGUUGAGUCUUAUGUAACAUUAUUUGUAGACAUCUAUGUUGAACUAAUUGAUCUUGAGUUUUAUUUGAGGACAAACAAAUAUUUAAGAUGGGGAUGUUGAUGAGACAGAGAGUUUGACUCAUUUAAGUUUUGUUUUGAUAACAUAAGUGUCCUCAAAUGCCUAAUUAUGCUCUAAGCUGAUAUGAAAAUAUUUAUUUAAAGUAUUAUAUGAUAAGGAUCAAGGUAACGACAAUAACAAACAAAAAGAAACUAACAAGCUAAAAAAGUGAAUGAAAAGCGAUCCUGGUAAUAGCAAAAACAACUCGGUGAAUUGCUGAGUGGCAUUUUUAGCCCGCCUAAAGUUUUAGCGUGCCAACCUUGGGAAAAACAAAAUUGGUGACAGAAAUGGGAAAUCGAUGAAUCACCGAUCAAUGCAACUUGGAUUGCCACAGUUAGUGGACAUGAAAUGUUAAAGAUGAAUGCUAAAUGGCGAUGGAGGAGAACAAAGGGCGUAUCUCCUAACCACUCAGUUCUGAUUCCCAAUUUUAGAAAUUAGACUUUUCUUUGAAAUUGUCCAAUUUUAAUUGUAACUUUGAGGAUUAAAUAUAGGUUUUUCGAAUUGAACAAUUUCAGAAUAUUGUAAAAGUUUGAAGACUAUGCUCGGCUGAUGGCCAAUCGAGUUGGUAAUUAUUUUUACUUUUUUAUGAUAUCUACCUAAAUCUCUAAUUCUUGGGGUGUGGUCAUUGUUAUUUAUAGGCUAAAUUAGCUUAUAGGUAUUAUACUUUACUAAUAUUAAUCCUUAAUUAAGUGGGUUUAAUUGUUAGUUGUGUCAUAACCAUGAAUUAUAGUUGCAAAUGUAAUUCUAGUAUAGAGUUUUGGGCUUGCUUGAGAAAGAAAGCUUUCAAUUGACGAUUAUAGUUAUUAGGUUAUUAUGGCUUUGGCUCGAAAGAAUAAACUUUAAAUUUGAUUCUACCCAUCUAGCUCGAAAGAAUCUCUAAUAGUCUGAUGUAUCAAGGACUAAGAUUUCCUUAUGCAAAAUUGCAUAACAUCCUUUAUGGGUGAUACUUUUAAAAGAACUUGUUCACAAGCCUAAAAUGUAAUGUCCCUUACCUUGCGGUCGACAUACUUUUUCUGUUGACUCUGGGAUUGUAGAAGAUUAUCUUGGAUACUUCUCAUCAUAUCUUGAGUCUCUUUCACCAAAUCAACCCCCAUAGGUUUGACAUCUCCAGCCUCAAAUAACCAUAUGGGUGAUCUACAUUUCCUCCCUUAAAGUGCCUCGAACAGUACCAUAGAAAUCCUUGAGUGAUAAUUAUUAUUAUAGGAGAACUCACACAAUGGUAGAAACUUAUACCAAUGCCCUCCAAAGUCAAUCACGCAUUCCCUCAAUACGUUCUCUAAUAGUUGAAUAGUUCUAUUUGAAUGCCCGUCCUUCUGUGGAUGAAAGCUGUGCUCAAACUUAGUUGAGUUCCUAACUCCUUAUGCAAUUUUCCCCAUAACUUUGAUGUGAAUUGCGUACCAUGGUCUGAGAUGAUACAAUGGGGUACCGCAUGAAAUCUCACUGUCUCUUUCACAUAAAACUUGGCUAAUUGCUAAGCAUUAUAGUCUACUUUGACUUGAAUGAAGUGCGCUGACUCAGUCUGUCAAUCACUACCCAAAUGGAGUCAAACUUUCCCAAGGUCUAAGGAAGACCAACCACGAAAAUCAUAACUAUCCUUUCCCAUUUACAAUUUAGAAAAUUGGCAUUUCCUGAAGCAAACCUGUAGGCCUUUGCUGCUCCUACUUUACUUGCUUACGUUUUGACACUUAGCCACAAACUCAGUUAUAACUUUUCCAUUUCGAAUCACACUAGAUCUUGGUCACACCCGGAUGAAUUUAAUUCCGCAAACCAUCGAACUGUGUUAACACUUGUGAAUCAAGUCAUCUACUAUGGGAUAAAAAAUUUUCCCUUAAACUAAGAACACCUCUCGAAUCCUGAACAACAUCUUUUGCCUUACCAUACACUGUUUUCUUUCUAAGCUCAUUUAGACUCUUAUCCUCAAACUACUUGUCCUUGAUGUCUUCAAUGUAAGUGGUCCUGAUCUCUAUGCUAUGUAACACCCCACCUUUCUUUGAGAUUCUUAAGUGCAUGAAAUUACACUCCAGGUACUAAUCUUUUUGGCCAAAGUUUGCUUGGACACACCCAAGCAAGCUAAACUACCAAUAAUUACCGUCUUCCGUCUUAGUGUGUCCGCCACCAUAUUCUAUUUACAUGGAUGAUACUGGAUGCUAACAUCACAAUCCUUGAGUAACUCCAUCCACCUUUUAUGCCUAAAAUUCAGGUCCUUGUAAGUGAAUACAUAUUAUAUAGUAAAAACAUCGCACUUGAUACCAUAAAGGUAAUGCCGCCAAAUUUUGAGAGCAAAUACUACCGCUGCCAGCUCCAAAUCACGUGUCGGGUAAUUUCUCUCAUGCACCUUCAGAUGUCGCGAUACAUAAGCUAUGACAUUUCUUUCCUGCAUUAACACAUCACCCAAGCCCUAAUUUGAAACUUCACAAUAAAUAAUGAAAUCUUUACCUUCCACUGACAGUAUCAGAAUGGGCUUUGUCGUAAGGAGAGUCUUGAGUUUCUGAAAUUCUCUUAACAUUUGUUAGUACACUCGAAAGGCACCUCCUUCUUAGUCAGCCUUGUCAAAUACAUAGAGAUAGAAGUAAAAUUCUUCACAAACUGGCAAUAGUAGCUGACAAACCCUAUAAAACUCCUAAUUUCAGUCACAAAGCUAGGCCGGACCCAAUUCUUAUCUACUUUGAUCUUUUGGGAUCUACUAUUACCCUUCAUUUUAAACCACAUGACCCAAAAAGGCAACUGAACUCACACUUGGAAAAUUUGGCAUACAACCUCUUUCCAAGAACACCCAAAAUAAUAUAGAGAUUGUCGACAUGCUCUUCCUUACUCUUCGAGUAAACUAGAAUUUAAUCUAUAAAGAUGAUAACAAAAGAAUCUAGUAAUUGUUUAAGCACAUCAUUCAUCAAAAUCAUGAAGGUUACACGUGCAUUGUCAUCCCAAACAACAUCACUAAGAACUUAUACUGCCCAUAAGAAGUUUUGAAUCUAAUUUUGGGUACAUUUUCUGGAAUAAUAUUUAACUGAUGGUAACAAGAACUUAAAUCAAUAUUAGAGAAAACUAAUGCACCCUACAACUCGUCAAAAGGAUAAUCUAUCUGAGGACACAAAUACUUAUUUUGAAUGGUGAUCCUAUUCAACUGUCAGUAGACUAUGCACGUCCUCACACUACCAUCCUUUUCUUAACAAACAAGACAUGAGCAUCCUAUGGGGAAGCCCUAGGAUGGAUGCAACCUUUAUCAAAAAGCUCUCAAAUUUGAGCUUUAAGCUCUCUUGUUUCUGUCAGAGCCAUGUAAUAAAGAGGAAUGAAGAUGGAGUGAGUGCUCAUUUACAAGUCAAUCUAGAAAUCUAUAUUGCUAUUUGGAGGCAUGCAAGAAAAAUUGAUAGGAAACACUUCCUUAAAUUCAGGCAGAACAAGAAUAGACUCCACAGAGAGAGGAUUAGAAUAAACAUCCAUAAUAUGAGCCAAAUAUGCCAAACCGCUGCCCCAUCAAUUUCCUAGCCCGAAUGAAAGAUAUGACCUUAGCUAUCUUAGGCUUGUACAUCCCUUCCCACUCUAAUUUUUCUAUACCCGACAUCCCUAGAGUUACAAACUUAUCAUUGAAAUUAAACAAAACAUAUGAGGGGGACAACCAUGUCAUGCCUAAGAUUAUAUCAAAGUCAGUCAUAUCAAGAAUAACCAAAUAAGCCCAAGUCUACAAACCUAAAAGCAAUAUAGGACAAGCAUGAUAUACCUGGGUGACUAUAACUUACUUUCCAACUGGUAUAGAAACAUGGACGAGAGCAUCAAGUAUAUCUCAAACCUAUAUUGUGGAUUCCCUCUACCAUUACCACUGUUGCCUGUUGGCACCACCGCUCUAGUCUGCUGUUGCACGGGGUUAGACAUGCACGGAGGAGGAAAUCUCUCCUCAUAUGGCCAGGUUAUCUAUAAUUGUAACAACUACAAUUAAAAGAUGGCCUUUUACCUAACGCAGGUGCGGAUCCUUGAUUAUCAUGCAUAAGAUUUUUUUGUGGAAUUUUUGAGUAACCAAAUAUAGAAGCAGGCAUGUCUAACUAAUUGGUUCUGCUGCAAGUAUCAGUCUACCUGAACCUUAGUAGGAACCAUGAAUGUUACCUAUGCUCUUGGGCUUCUUAGCCAAAGCCUUGGCUUGCCCAUCCCGUCGAACUACUUCUACUUUCUUCACAAAGUCUGUCACCUCAAUAAAGCUUUUACCUGCAAAUGUCAUAUGUGAACAUACAUUACAUGUAACCUAGAUUUCAAUCCUUUGGCAAAUGUAUGAAACCUCUCCUACUCUGAAGUUACCAACUGGGUAGCAUAUAUGGUCAAGGAAUGGAACAUCACCUCAUAGGCAGCUAUUGUUAUACCACCCUGCUCCAAAGCCAUAAACUCAUCCUUCUUGCAAUCACUCAAGGUCCGAGGCACAUACAUUUCCAGGAACAGAGUAUGGAACUGCGGCCAAGUGAGUGGAGGAAAGACUGACGGUCUGCAUUCCAAAUAGGACCUCCACCACUUCUUAGCUUCACGUUGAGGACUGAAGGUCACAAACUCUACUCCAUACUGGUGUACAAUGUCCAACUUGUAAAGAGUCUCAUAGAAAUUUUAAAUGAACUCAUAGGAAUCCUCAUUCUCAUGGAGCACAUGAGACUUCAAUUUCAGAAACUUUGUCAAAUACUCAUGCUCACUACCAGUGAUCAUAAGACCCAAUAGGGAAUGAAAAUAAGCAUCAGUGAAUGGUGCUCCAACCACCUUGGCAAGAGUAGCAGCAAUGGGGCGGUAGGCCGGUGGUUGAGCUACUUGCACUUUGGAAAGGAAUUUGAGGCUGACCAAGCCCUUUAGAAAUGUUAUGAUCUACUGAACUAACACUGGGUCUAAGGGAUAAAUGUGGGUAUUCCCAACCUGUGCAUCCUCCUCUGGUCCAAUAUCCUCAUUGUUUUCAAUUUCCAUAUUCUCUUCUACCUCUUAUUGGGGUGAAAGUGGGGCCUCUUCACUAGGAACAUUCUCAAUUGGGUCUCCACCCCUGGCGUGUUCCACUUUUCCUCGGCUCUUUAUCCUUUCUCUUCCCUUACCCCUAACUUGUUGCAACCUCUGGUUAUAGACUGCUUUACGGGCCAGAUACCUUUGUAUCAUGUGUUAACCAUGUGCGGAGUGAAGAGUGAAAGAGAUUAGGUACCAAUUUGGGUCACCAGUUACAAAUUGGAAUCAAGUCAUCGCAUGAAAGAAUAAAAAAAACAAAGAGAUUUACUAAAUUCUUGAAGCCUCUCGAAGAAAAAUACAUACGUCUCAAUAUCAUUGUAUACGACUCUACUAGACUCAUUUUUGUACAACGAGAUCAAUGAACAUAGGGAUCUAAUACCAACUUUGUUAUAACCCUGACCGCCAUUAUUGACACCCACACUAUCCCUCCGAUGGGAAAACCAUUAUUGCAACCCAACUAAGCAAUUAAUGAUACCAAAUCAUUUAAAGAUACAGAAGGAGGUCUAAAUGACUAAAUAAAAUAUGGAGUUCCCACAAAAUCACAAGUUCUAAUAAUUGACUCAUCCUUGAAUACAGACGCGAUCAAUAUUAACCUAAGUGAGGCCUGCCAGUAUCCGCCUGAAGAGGCCAUGUGCUCAACAAGAAAGAGCAAGUGCACUAUUAGUGCAUGGAACUACGAUGUACUAGUAGGAUAAUACAACUACUCUCUUAAGCACAACAUAUGCCAAAAAUUACAACACAAUAAUCACACAUAAUACAUAGUUCAGUUAUCGUUUGAGAAACAAUAUACAAUUUCCUUAUACCAAUGACACGUUAAAAUGAACAUAAUAAUCACAAGUGGUCCUCUCAUGGAACGCACACCCUAAAUAUUAUUGUUUAAGAACGUGACACCCUAUCUAAUAUACAUGUGUCGAAACAUGACACCCGAUCCAAUAUAUGUGUCGGAACAUGACACCCGAUCCAAUCAACGCAACCAAUUUUAUAGUCAUACCCUUAAUGAUCAGCACUCAUAGUUAUACAAUCAAGUAACAAGUUCUUGGCAUGUAUUCUUCACACAAAAUAAUUUCAUUAAAGUUGAUUAACAUUUUCCUAUUUACAUACAUGCACACAUACAAUGAAGAAAUUAACAAACAUAUAUCACACAUAUGGAAAUGAAACAUUACCUAACUCAAAGACAAGCUUGAAUAUUCAAAAGACAUUUGAGCCUUCCCUUUGUAUAAACAAGUAAUUAACACAAGGAUCAAUAAACAAGUCCUUAUUUACCCAUAUAAUAAUCAACCUAUCAAUCCAAUGCCAAACCCAAGAUCCUAAUACUCAACUAGGGCUUUUUCCACGAUAAACUUCAGACCAAAACCCACACCCAAUGAUUAUUACCCAAGAUUCAAAGAUAUAGGAAUCAAAAUAUGGAUUAAGGGAGUACUUUUCUUACCUUUAGCGCUAGAAAUCGUGGAAAACUUCAAGAAUCACCCUAGUUUGUCCCUUAUCUCUUAAGAACACACAUUUUCUUAAAAUAACAAAAUUGGGGGUUUUCCCCGAUUCAAUUUGCGACAGGCAAGCCUCAUUCCACCACAAAGGCCCCGCACUGGCUGGAUUAAUCUCGCCUUAGUAGCUUGCACGGAGACAAAACUUGAAAUUUGAGUUCCAAGCUUCCAUUUUAAGACACACCUUCAACCCGGGACAUUCUAAAACAACCCUUUCACGCCACGGAAGUUUUACUCACCUGGAUUCAAUUAUGUAAAGCCGUACAUGCUCCUUUACAUCUUGGAUAACUACUCAUUUGAUAAACUUCAAAAUUAGAUCCCCCAUUCAUUAUCAAAUUUCUCUAAACCUCACCUUCGUCAUAUUACGUCCAUGUUUGGACUAGGUUAGAAAUUUCCAAGUUAUUACUCAGAAGUAUUCUGGACCAAAUUCCUUCCACAUUGAAUUUUCCAUCACUAUUGAAACAAGUCGUUAUGAUUGAAGCAAUAUACAUACACACAUAUAUGUAUAUGUAUGUAUAUAGAUAGAUAUGUAUAUGUAUAGAUGUAUAUACAUAUCUCUGUGUGUGAGUGUAUAUAACUACACACACACACACACACACACACACACACACACACUAUAUAUAUAUAUAUAUAUAUUAAUAUGUGUAUAUAUAUAUAUAUAUAUAUAUAUAGACUGAGAGAGAGAGAGAGAUUUGACACUAUUUUUGCCACUUCUAUAAGCUAGAUCUGGAUCUCAACUUUGGAGAAAUCGGAAAUGUCAAUAUCAGGUAAUCUCUACAUCAUUGAGGCAUUUUCCAAUUUCAUAUUUAAUUAGUCAAGGAUUUUGAUUUGAUAUCUCACAACUGCACUUGAAGAGAUUAAACAAGGAUAAUUUCGUUGAAGGAGCUUUCCUUCUGGCCAACGACUGGCACUAGUGUUACCAGUUUUGUGAACUAGAUCAGGACUCAGAUCUGGAAGAAUCUAAAAUGAUGAUAUCAGGUAAGUCUCUACACUUUGACUUGUAUUUCAAUUUUAGACUUAAUUCAUCAAGGAUCUAGAUCUAAUAUCCCAGAAUUCCACUUGAAAAGAUUAAAUCAAGGAUAAUUACGCUGGAUGGAGUUUCAUUCCUACCGAUGGCUAUAACUGGUGCUACCACUUGUAUGAUCUAGAUCUUUAUCUCUACCCGAAUACCACUUCUAUAAUCUGGAUCUAGAUCUCAACUUGGGAGAAAUCUUAACUGUCGAUAUCAGGUAAGUCUCUACAUCAUUGAGAUUUUUUCCAAUUUCAUAUCCAAUUGAUCAAGGAUUUAGAUUUGAUAUCUCACAACUUUACUUGAAUAGAUUAAACAAGGAUAAUUUUGUUAAAUAAAGUUUCCUUCUAAGCAACGGCUGGCACUGGUGUUACCACUUUGUGAACUAGGUCAGGACUUAAAUCUGGAAGAAUCUGAAAUGACAAUAUCAGGUAAGGCUCUUCUAGUUUGAGUUAUUUUUCAAUUUUAGAAUCAAUUCAUCAAGGAUUUAGAUCUAAUAACCUAAAAUUUAACUUGAGAGAUUAAACCAAGGAUAAUUUCUUGGAUGAAGUUUCCUCUCUGCCGACGGCUAUAACUGGUGUUACCACUUAUGUGAGCUAGAUGUAUAUGUCUACCCAAAUGAAUCUGAAAUGUUGAUAUCAGGUAACUCUUUACCACUCUGAGUUGUUUUCCAAU